GCAAGAAUGGCAAGAUCAGACACAAUGAUCUGUUUGCGUUCACGUUCUGUGUAAAGAGGGCUAUGGGGAUCAUAGUGUGAAGUCCACCUCUCAUACUUGUGUCCCGAGACAUUGAACAUCAAGUAUAAGGGGAAGCCUAUAAGGAGCGUGAUAAGCCACACAAGGACGCGGCCUGGUGGGUUGUUCAUUAUUUUGUAGUAGUUCCUGAUGUUGGCCUUGAACCUCGGGACAUAAACCUCAUCAUUCUCAAGGGAUUGAGUGUUGGCAUGGUGACGACGGUGGCUAAUUUUCCAAGAGAAGUAAGGGACCAGAAGAGAAGAAUGGACAACAAGGCCAACAAGGUCAUUCACCCAACCAUAAUCACUGAAGGCAUCAUGAUCACAUUCGUGCCCCACGACCCAAGCUCCCGUCAAGACACACCCCUGGACAGCAAUGUAAGCAGCCCAACCCACGUAAUUCAGAGGGUGUGGAAGAUACUGGUCUAUGUAAUUAGUGGCAACAUAGUAGAGAGCAUAGGCCAUGAGGAGAUCUUGAAUGAGGUAUCGAAAAGAAGUGACAAGUGACUUUUCGAAGCAAUGAGCAGGAAUGGCCUUCUUGAGGUCACCAAUAGUGAAUGGUGGCUUCUCAUGAGGAGCCCUUCUGAGUGCUUCUGCUUCAGUUUUCUUGGCAUUAGAAGGAGCAGACAUGCGCCCACCUGCACCCAUUUUUUCUCUAGUGUAACAAAGAAUAGGCCAAUGCUAUUCUCCUACUCUGUUUGUUUUGCUUUUGCUGUGAAUAUUGCUAACAUUACAAGUUGAAUAUUUAUAGUGAUGCUGUAGAGUUGCAGUGUAGAAUUAAGGAACAGCUGAAAACGCCCGCCAGCACGCCAGCCACUAGAGACUUUUACUAAACUACAAGCUCAAAUUUGUGAGUGUGUUGGAAUCACGAAAUAUAUGAGAUUAAAUAAAUGAAAAUACAAGAAACUGGUGUGCUGCUAUGCUGGUUUUAACUAGUAGUGCACCUUUUGGUUUUUUGUGGCUGACCAAAAUCUUGCUUGUCUAUGUUCAAAUAUUCCGGGUCCUAUUUGGGGGCUUGUAUUGUUACUUUCUUGCAUAUUUUAUUACAAGAUAUUUCAUGAUUUAAAAAUUAUAAGAUAUAAGAUUCAUUUAUAAGUGAAAUUCCAAUAAUGGGGUGGAGUUGCUCACUCAUUUUUACGAUGUUUUACGUGAUUGACAGGUCUUUUAUAUGUUUUUUUUUUGUUGCAAGAAUUUCAAAUAUAAAACUAUUUUGUAGUCCGAAUUUUUUUUAUUAUGUUUUACCUAAUAAAUACGCAUAAUAUGUAGAAUCUCAGAUGUACAAGAUUAUCAUAGACAUAAAAGAACAAUGUGAAAGUAGCAUAAAAAAGAACAAUAAUACAACGAUAGGAGAUAGUCCAAAAAUAAAUCCAAUUAAUGGAACCCUUUGCCCGGAUUUUUAUGCCUGGGUUUCAAUCUUUUUCAAAGUUAAACGAAAAACUGCAAUAAACCAGAAAUCAACUUAUAGUCAGAAUAUGGUAGAAUGUACUUUUUGAAUCUACUUAUCUUAGUUUUAUUAUACUUGUUAAUAACUCAUAAAUCCCUUAUAAUAUAAAAUUUUACAAACAGUUAAUUUAAGCCAAUCUGUUAUCAUAUUAAGUUAUUACAGCUUAUCAAAAAAAAUUUAGUAUUACAAGAUUCAUAAGCUAGAGUUUUGCCCACUAAAGUAAACUUUUACCAAUCAUGGUAUCAUUCAUAUAUCUAGUAAAAACAUUGUAAUUUUCACCAGAUCAGUCCGGGUCUCUGCAUUUUGAACACAGGUUAGAAAACUUUAAAGUACCGAACUUAAACACCAACUCACUGCAAUAGCCAAUACUCAAGCAGAAUCUGAAUUCAAAUUAUUAUUACUAGUCUCCUACUAAAAAAUAUAGACGGAAUACAGAAAGUUCAACUAUAUUUGCAAGUAAAAACUACUAGUGUCUAACCACCCAGGUGACUAACUUCAUCUAUUCACUUCUUAAACAUCCAACUUAUGAUCCAAAAACACGCCGAGCACUUGCUGCAUUUCAGUAUGUCCAAAAACCUUGAAGAACAAAAUAAAGACAAGCAUCAUAAGAUCAAACAUUCAAUAAAAGCAUGAAAAUAUCAUCGAGAAAUUUCUGAGUCUAUUCAUUAUAACACGCAGAGUUGAGGUCUGCAACUCCUUUAUAGUACAACAUUGAAAAAAAUAACUGAAAUUGACAAGGCAACUUUGGUCAAAACAAAUCAAGCUAUAUAUCCUUUCGGUACCAGUAGACUCCUUUAGUCUCGCCUUCAUCUUUCUCCACGUAAAUGCAUUCCUUCAUUUCUCGGUACAUGGCCUUUAGAAUUGGAGUUCCAUCAUAUUGAUAGUAAUCUCCAAGUAAAGGCUUCAUGGCCUCUGUGGCUUCUAGUCCGUGGUAAUGUGGGAUCAUGGAGAAUAUGUGGUGACAGACAUGAGCAUUGCACACGUUGUGGAAUACCUUGUUCAGAAUUCCAUAAUCUCUGUCAACAGUGCAGAGAGCUCCUCUUAACCAGUCCCAUUCAGUUGAGUCGUAGUAAGGAAUCGAAGGAUGAGUGUGAUUGAGGAUUGUAAUUAAUGUAAACCAUCCGUUGACAACUAGCAAUGGACCUCCAUAAACACAGAAAACCCAAACAAAUCCUUUGGCUAAUACUAGAUUGUACAGCCCAUAGAUAACAGCAAGAAUGGCAAGAUCAGACACAAUGAUCUGCUUGCGCUCACGUUCUGUGUAAAGAGGGCUAUGGGGAUCAUAGUGAGAAGUCCACCUCUCAUACUUGUGUCCCGAAACAUUGAACAUCAGAUACAGAGGGAAGCCUAUGAGGAGUGUGGUAACCCACACAAGGACACGGCCGGGUGGGUUGUUGAGAAUUUUGUAGUAGUUCCGGAUGUUGGACUUGAACCUCGGGACAUAAACCUCGUCGUUCUCAAGUGAUUGAGUGUUGGCGUGGUGACGUCUGUGGCUAAUUUUCCAAGAGAAAUAUGGAACCAUGAGAGAAGAGUGGACAAUAAGGCCAACAAGGUCAUUCACCCAACCAUAAUCACUGAAGGCGUCGUGAUCACAUUCGUGACCCACCACCCAAGCUCCCGUCAAGACACACCCCUGGACAGCAAUGUAAGCAGCCCAACCGACGUAAUUCAGAGGAUAUGGAAGAUACUGCUCUAUGUAAUUAGUGGCAAUAUAGUAGAGGGCAUAGGCCAUGAGGAGAUCUUGAAUGAGGUAUCGAAAAGAAGUGACAAGUGACUUUUCAAAGCAAUGAGCAGGAAUGGCUUUCUUAAGGUCACCAAUGGUGAAUGGAGGUUUCUCAUGAGGGGCACGUCGAAGUGCUUCUGUUUGAGUUUUCUUGGCAUUAGGAGCAGACAUGCGUCCACCUGCACCCAUCUUUCCCUGGUGAAGAAUGCAAAUAUUGCUACUCUUCAACCUUGUUGCCUUUGUUAUGUGUUUAGUUGUUUCGUUGUUGUUAUUACCUCAGACCAGCUUGGAUAUUUAUAAGGAUGUCGAAAUUAGAAAUGAGUUAAAGUCCUUAAGGCCCGCCAGCCAGGGGAGGAGUUUGAACUUUGAAUAGAAAGAGUAGGAAAUUAAGUGGCGUGCUCGUGUACAAUUAUUAGUGUCACUACUGAAAUGUGCAGUCAUAAAAUGAGUGCUGCACCAAAAUUUUCUCUUAAAUUCCAGGUCCUGCUUGGCGGCUAUACUAUCUUCAUCAACUUAUUGUUGUCUUGUUAUGCUCUUUUAACAUGCAUAUCUUUUGAUAUCUUCUUUCUCAUAUUAUGCAUUUGCUAAGCUUACUCUAAUACCAAAUAAAGUAGCUGACAUGAUGAAAAAGCAAAUUAACACACCUAAUUUAUGUCUCAUCCGAAAACAGGCUCUUUGGGGGAAUUAUUCUUUAUCUAAUAAAUGAGGUAAAAUGAUUAAUAUUCGAUAAAAUGAGUAGUGAAUGAAAUAUUCCUGUUCCAUCUUUACAAUCAAUCAUCUUCAGUUCCUCAAGUUUACGCUUAAGUGGAAGUUAUUUCUAUUUACUUCCUCCGGAUUUACAGUUAGUCCCAAGAAAAGUGUGGCAGCUGGGCAUUAGUUCUAGCAUGCAGGUUCCAGGUUACGAGAUCAUUUAUCAUCAAAUUGCAGAGGCAUACUUAGCCAAGUUAAAUUAAUGUUGGAAACUGGGAUCAGAACUUUAAUUUAAGCUGCUUGAUGUUCCUUUUUCAGUUCACUCACUACUAGGGAUGGCAACGGGUCGGGUUUCAUGAGAUCUAGACCCGAUCCAUUAUAUUUCGGUUCGGGUCCGGGUCUGAAAAAUGAAGAUCCAGAUCCGAUCCGUCGGAUUUUUUCGGGUUUCGGUUCGGGUUCGGGUCUAAUUCGGAUAUUUAAAAAAAAUUAAAAAUUAUAUAUCUAUAAAAAAUGUGAUGGCUUAUUUUAAAAAAAAAUUAGGAAUAUAAAAAAGGACUUUACAUGUUUCAUUUAGUACAAUAAACACGUGAAACAUGCUAACUUAAUUAUAUACAAUCAUUCAACUUAUCAUUUAUAUUUUAUUAUAUUUAGAUUUUUUAAUGCACAAUAAUUGAGAAAAUUAAAAUAUUGAUGAAAUUAAUAUAUAAAUUAUGUAUUGCGCAUAUAAUAUUAAGUAAGAUGUUAAUACGCAUACAUAAUAAUUCAUAAUAUUUCAUAUAUAUACUUUACAUUUAACAAAUAAUAUAUAUAUAUAUAUAUAUAUAUAUAUAUAUAUAUAUAUAUAUAUAUAUUAUAUUUGUAUGUGGUUUUUAUUAAGAUCCAGAUCCAGAUCCAAACUUUUUCGGGUCUAAAAAUAAGAUCCAAAUCCGGAUCCAGAUCCACAAAAAUCGGGUUCGGAUAGAUCCAAUCGGGUCGGAACGGGUCGGGUAUCCAUCGGGUCGGGUAAAACUGCCAUCCCUACUCACUACUAUUGAAGUGAUAGUUUAUACUCCCUCCGUCUCAAUUUAUAAGUCCAGUUUGGAAAAAAAAAUUGUCCCAAAAUACUUGUCCCUCUCUUCUUUCAAUACAAAUUUAUCUACAUAUUAAUUGUGAUUUUUUUUGAAACUCAACAAUAUUCUCACUUAUCAAUGCACUAAUUAAUGAUACAUGAGAUAAGAUUCUAUCUAACUAACUUUUUUCUUAAUAUGUGUGUUUAUUCCAAAAUCGACUUAUAAAUUGAGACGGAGGGAGUAUUGAACUUCAUUUCAUGACAUUUUAUAACACUGGAAGUUGCUUCAUCACUUGUAUUGUGUACAAAUAAAAACACACAAAGCACUCAUAUUAAUCUGAGCUUAUACUGUGAUUAAUUUUGCAUUCAUCUUACUGAAUACAAUCUUAGUUUCAAUUUGCCAAAAGCCUCGAGGAACACAUCAAAUGGCUCAAUUCAGACCAAGUAUGCUAUGAAGAUUAAGACGACGCUGUCUGUAAAUAUUGUGCAACCAUGUAAACAUUCUGCCAGGACUGUUUCAAAUUGUUGUGUUUGCAAUAUAUGGGUAAAUCUGGGUAACUCAUAACUGUAAUGUCCAAGAUUUAAAUUACGACCUCUCCUAUUGCUACGUACAAUUAAAUAUGAGUUUCUGACUCAUAAACUGAAACAAGCUGCAAAACAGAAUUAUUUCCCAGUUACUUAAGCUUCUUCUUCUUCUACUUUAGUAGCAUAAAAAUCAAAUUGUUUGAUAUUACAAAAAUUCUGAAAAUUCUGUGUAUUGCAUUGAAAAUUUGUUUUCAACUACUUACCUUAUUGUACAACAUCACAUUAAACAAUCUAAAGUUACUAGGAUUCUAGGAAUAAAAGAAGACAAUGCAGAAAUAAGUGAAAGAAUUAAAUCGAGGUAGUCUCUAACACAUUGAGCUAAAUAUCCUUUCUGUACCAGUAGACUCCUUUGGUCUCGCCUUCAUCCUUCUCCACGUAAAUGCAUUCCUUCAUUUCUCUGUACAUGGCCUUAAGUAUUGGAGUUCCAUCAUACUGAUAAUAAUCGCCCAACACUGGCUUCAUGGCCUCUGUUGCUUCAAGUCCGUGGUAAUGUGGGAUCAUGGAGAAUAUGUGGUGACAGACAUGAGCAUUGCACACAUUGUGGAAUACCUUGUUCAAAAUUCCAUAAUCUCUGUCCACAGUGCAGAGAGCUCCCCUCAACCAAUCCCAUUCGGUUGAAUCGUAGUAAGGCACUGAGGGAUGAGUAUGGUUAAGGAUGGUGAUCAAUGUGAACCAUCCAUUGACAACAAGCAAUGGACCUCCAUAGACACAGAAAACCCAGACAAAUCCUUUGGCUAAUACUAGAUUGUACAGCCCAUAGAUAACAGCAAGAAUGGCAAGAUCAGACACAAUGAUCUGCUUGCGCUCACGUUCUGUGUAAAGAGGGCUGUGGGGAUCAUAAUGUGAAGUCCACCUCUCAUACUUGUGUCCAGAAACAUUGAACAUCAAAUAUAGAGGGAAACCUAUGAGAAGUGUGGUAACCCAGACAAGGACACGACCGGGUGGGUUGUUGAGAAUUUUGUAGUAGUUCCUGAUGUUGGACUUGAAUCUGGGAACGUAAACUUCAUCAUUCUCAAGCGACUGAGUGUUGGCGUGGUGACGUCUGUGGCUAAUUUUCCAAGAGAAAUAAGGGACCAUGAGAGAAGAGUGGACAAUAAGGCCAACAAGGUCAUUGAUCCAGCCAUAGUCACUGAAGGCAUCAUGAUCACACUCAUGGCCUACAACCCAAGCCCCGGUGAGGACACAGCCCUGUACAGCAAUGUAAACUGCCCAACCCAAGUAGUUGAUUGGAUGGGGUAAAUACUGGUCUAUGUAAUUUGUGGCAACAUAGUAAAGGGCAUAGGCCAUGAGGAGAUCUUGAAUAAGAUAUCGGAAAGAAGUGAUGAGUGAUUUUUCGAAGCAAUGAGCAGGAAUGGCUUUCUUGAGGUCACCUAUGGUGAAAGGGGGUUUCUCAUGAGGAGCACGUCGAAGUGCUUCUGUUUCAGUUUUUUUGCCUUUAGGAGGAUCCGACAUUCGCCCACCUGCACCCAUUGCCCCUCACAAAAGAAGAUGCAAAUGUUGCUACUCUUCAAGUCACUCUUGGUUUUUGUUGUGUGUUUAGCUGAAGUUGCUCUGUAUUUCCUUAGAACGGGCUCGCUUGUAGAUUUAUAGGAAUGUAUGAUAUCAACAUGUGCGUAGAUAGAAGUGUGGUGAAGCUUAAAGCGCCCGCCAGCCCGCCAGGCAAGGAAAAGUUUGAAUAAACAACUUUGAAUUUGUUAGUGUGUUGGAAUAAAAGAGUAGGAAAUUGCACUAGUUCAGUCGUUUUCAAUGUGUGUUUUAGAGAAGUAUGCCCACAUGAACUGAUUGAGUCGCUAUGUUUUCUCUACGUUUCAAGGUCUCCCUGGGCGGCUGUACUUUCAUAAAUUAUACUCCCUCCGUCCCUCGUGCUAGUUUACGUGCACUGUUUGCACGCAUUUCGAAACUCUUAUAAAGUAUUGUAUUAUAAUUUUUUUUGAAUAAAAGUUUAAACAUCAAACUUUUAUUCAGAGAAAUAAAAAUUAAAAAAUAUAUUAUGAAACUAUACUUUAAAUGAGUGUGGAAAAACGUGCCAAAAAAUAACGUAAAGAAAAUGAGGGGACAGAGCGAGUACUCUUUUAACAUGCAUACUUUUUGUUUUUUUCCCUGAUUUUAUUCGUUUAGUUAUUACAAUAACAGAUACGGUAGCUGACGUUAGCCUAGAAAAUCAUACAUAUCAGAACUGCAAGCAUAUAAUUUGAACUGAUAACGUUUCACUAAUUUAACAUUCAGAACCAGCAGCUUUUUCAUUUUGAUCGAUAGUAGUUUAUGCAUUCGAGUUGAAGAUUGGAAAAUACAAACAAUAGAGAAAUGAUUUUUGAGAGCAACACAAACUUCUGCAUAACAAGUCACUUUCACAAGGAAACUUACAAUGACUCCCCACAAGCUAGACCAAGUGCUUUAAAAAGAGACGAGGCUGAAUUCAAAUCUCAUUUGCAGCUCCUCGUUGUUCACUGGACUGAAGUCGAGUUGUUAACAGUACGUUUUAACUUAUCAGAUACCUAAAUGAUAAGGGGUGAAAUAGAGAUAUACCGUUAAUCAGUAAAAUAUAGCACAGCUAGUUUUUCAAAAGGAACAAUGUUUUGGUUAAGAAACAGAAUCAGAAAAUCCUAUCGUAAAGGCUGAUGCAUUAAUAUGUUGUUAUGUUCAUGCAAAAUAUUACCUUGCUCCUUACAACUAAAAAAAGGAGCUGUCAGACAGACUUCUUGGAUCCAACUGCUGGCGACGAGCUGGCUGUUUAAAACUUCCCUGGCCAUUGAGAGCCACGGACUAGGACCCAUAAUAAAAUCCUUAUUUCCUCUGUUCUUUUCAGUUUAAAAGUUUUUCAUAUCAUAUAGGCAGUUUCGGGCAAUUUAUCAUAGAGGAAGACGCUGCUGUUUACAACGCAUUGAUAAAGAGCGCGGAGCACCCUGUAUGUUUGAGGAGUCUCUGAUUAGGCUUAAAAAGAUUAUUUUUUGUACCAAAGAACUCAUGGUUCAAUGAUAUUUUCCUCGAUCUACUUGCAGGAUAUUGAGGUACCAUUUGAAAGAAAUUAGUUCGUAUGUUAUUCGGCAAUCUCCACAAAGACACAAAAUAUUCAUUUUUACCCUUAAAAUUAAUUUAAACUUGCAUUUUUUUAAUUUGUCUACUAAUUUCAUUCACCAGAACACACUGAUUAGGCAAAAGAUAGCUGAAUCCGGACCAAUUUUUUUUCAUCAAGAUUUAUAUAAAGUUGUCAGUAGCCAAUAAAAAUGAGUGACCUGUGAUCAACUAAAUUAUCUAAAGCUGUCGAGCUGUGAUAUCUUGAUGAUUUCUGGGUCAUCGUAACAUAUCAAAUAAAACGCCUCUCCUCUCUUACGAGUACAAAUCUUGUUUGGUUAUGUUUUUCCCAGACCCAGACUGAGAACUCUGUACUUGAAGAUACCUUUUCUGGUAAAGAAAUGGCAAGUCCCACCGCCCUGAAUCCGUACUCAUCAGCAAAAGGGAACUGAUUCAACAUCGGGUGGUAUGCAGAUAUCAAGACUACUGCAGACAAUUAGCUAGCUUCAUUUACCUGAAUAACCUCAUUCGUUUCAAGUCUUAAACUUGAAACUGAUGACUAAAUAUAUGCCAUUUUUAUAUGAAAUUAUAUUCUUUUGCUCGGCCAUUAAAUUAAACCAAAAGGACAGUCAACAUUAAGAAGGGAGAAUUUAAGCACGACUGCGAAGUGCAUAUAAUCAGAAAGGAAAGUUACUCCUGAUCUUGAACAGAUGAAAGGUUAUAUAUAACUCUUUAUGUAAUUGUAACACAUUUGACCCUAACGAUCUAAAGUUGGCAGGAUCAAUGGAAGGCAAUGCGAAGACAAGUGAAAGAAUAAGAUUCUUGUAAUACCAAGCACUUAAAACUAAAUAUCCUUUUUGUACCAGUAGACUCCUUUGGUCUCGCCUUCAUCUUUCUCCACGUAAAUGCAUUCCUUCAUUUCUCUGUACAUUGCCUUGAGAAUCGGAGUUCCAUCAUACUGAUAAUAUUCACCCAAUACAGGCUUCAUGGCCUCUGUGGCUUCGAGUCCGUGGUAAUGUGGGAUCAUGGAGAAUAUGUGGUGACACACAUGAGCAUUGCACACAUUGUGGAAUACCUUGUUCAAAAUUCCAUAAUCUCUGUCCACAGUGCAGAGAGCUCCCCUCAACCAAUCCCAUUCGGUUGAAUCAUAGUAAGGCACAGAGGGAUGAGUGUGGUUGAGGAUGGUGAUCAAUGUGAACCAUCCGUUGACAACGAGCAACGGACCUCCAUAAACACAGAAAACCCAGACAAAUCCUUUGGCUAAUACUAGAUUGUACAGCCCAUAGAUAACAGCAAGAAUGGCAAGAUCAGACACAAUGAUCUGCUUGCGCUCACGUUCUGUGUAAAGAGGGCUAUGGGGAUCAUAGUGUGAAGUCCACCUCUCAUACUUGUGUCCCGAAACAUUGAACAUCAAGUAUAUUGGGAAGCCUAUGAGGAGUGUGAUAAGCCAGACGAGGACACGGCCUGGUGGAUUGUUGAGAAUUUUGUAGUAGUUCCGGAUGUUGGACUUGAAUCUAGGGACAUACACCUCAUCAUUUUCAAGGGAUUGAGUAUUGGCAUGGUGACGACGGUGACUAAUUUUCCAAGAGAAGUAUGGCACCAAGAGAGAAGAAUGGACAACAAGGCCAACGAGAUCAUUAAUCCAAUUAUAAUUGCUGAAUGCAUCAUGAUCACAUUCAUGACCCACAACCCAGGCCCCUGUUAACACACAGCCUUGAACAGCAAUAUAAGCUGCCCAACCCAAGUAGUUGAUUGGAUAAGGAAGAUAUUGGUCGAUGUAAUUAGUAGCGACAUAGUAGAGGGCAUAGGCCAUCAGAAGAUCCUGAAUGAGAUAUCGAAAAGAAGUGACUAAAGAUUUUUCAAAGCAAUGGGCAGGAAUGGCUUUCUUGAGGUCACCAAUGGUGAAAGGAGGUUUCUCAUGAGGAGCACGUCGAAGUGCCUCUGUUUCAGUUUUUUUGACACUAGAGGGAGCAGACAUACGCCCACCUGCACCCAUUUUUUCUUUCGAAGAAUAUGCAAAUGCUCUUCUUCCUCUCCUUCUGGUGUGUUUUUGCUCUGAAGUUCCUAAGGUUCCAACACAGAUAUUUAUAAAGAUAUCGCAGUUGGAGUCACAGGCUACUUACUUAACAAUGCUGACUCGUGCGUGAAGUUGCAACAUAAUAAUUUGUAACAUGUGCAUGAAUAGAAUGUCUAGACAGAUAAAACUAGUGAAAAAAGCUUAAAACGCCCGCCAGGCGCCAGCCAUUAGAGGAGUUUCAGUAAAAUACUUAAAACUAGUUCGAAAUCAUUGAUGCAAAUGGCGUGCUGAAGUAGAGUGUGCCUUUAGUGUAGGACACAACGAGCAUAUUUGUUUUGCUAUUUUCUAAUUUUCGAGGUCCUAAUUGGCGGCUGUAUGAUUAACUGAUUAAGUAUGUAAGAUGGCUCCGGAUCCAUGACAUACAUAAGAUGAAGCAUAGUAUUAGCGGGUUUUUUUCCGCUAAAUGACAUUAAUUAACACUAGAUUUUUGAUGAAAAUGCAAGGGACUACUGUAUCUUUCGGCGGAAAAAUUACUCAUUCUAUGAUUUUUACCGUCCAGCGUUUUUUUUCCCGCUGAACAUAUGUUGCUUAUAAUUUGUGGACCAUUACCAUGUGAGCUAUAUUGAAGCACAUGUAUAUCUGUUUGCUUGUUUGCCUUUUUGGUUUUCCUGAUAUCCUGUUCUGCAAUUCAUAGCAUUCAUGCACCUAAAGAAACUAAAAUGAGUUCAAAAAUGAGCUGUAUAACAUCUUAAUCUUGUAAGUUGUAAAGGAUGAGCUGAAGAUCUCCACAAACAUCAGUCAGGAAACGUAAAAUCAUCACCGAAAACAACACGACGAAUUCGGAGUACUGGCAAGGAAAACAAACCUUCAUACAGCUGCCACUGGGGACUCGAAAGGUAUAUGUGUUUGCAUGAUUGAACAAAUAUAAGAGCAAAGCAGCAGCCCAUUCAUGACUUGAGGAUUUGGGUCAACACUAAUAGCACACUACUAGCUGCAAAAAUCACACCAACCUUAAAUAAAAUAUCAUUUGCGUUUCCUAUUUCUUUCCACAUACACAUAAAUUAUGACAAAGUAGAAUGCAGUGCUAGGAGUAUAAUAUGUUAUAGCCUAAAUGCAUGCAACAAAGUCCAGACAGCAACUCCAGUGGCGGGCGCUUCAACAUGCUUAUAAAUCAACACAGUUUUGAGGAGUAAUAGCACAAACUCGACAAACACCAGAAGGCAAUAGGAAGAGAGCACAAGAGGCCUUCCCCAAGGAUCUCUUUCAGGUUCUUCUUUCUUUGUUUCUUACUCGAAUCGAUAGAAACAGAAUCACAUUUUGCAGGGCAGCAUGUACUAAAUUGUAUUACAUUUGUUUUUAUUGCAGACAGCGAGGAGACGAAAAAUGGGUGCUGGUGGACGUAUGUCCGCUCCUACUGGAAAGAAAACUGAAGCAGAAGCACUCCGACGUGCUCCUCAUGAGAAACCUCCAUUCACUAUCGGAGACCUGAAAAAGGCUAUUCCUGCCCAUUGCUUUGAAAAAUCAGUCAUCACUUCUUUCCGUUACCUCAUCCAGGAUCUCAUCAUGGCCUAUGCCCUCUACUAUGUUGCCACAAACUAUAUAGACCAGUACUUACCCCAUCCUCUUAACUACUUGGGUUGGGCAGCUUACAUUGCUGUUCAGGGCUGUGUCUUGACCGGGGCUUGGGUUGUAGGCCAUGAAUGUGAUCAUGAUGCCUUCAGUGAUUAUGGUUGGGUCAAUGACCUUGUUGGCCUUGUUGUCCAUUCUUCUCUUCUGGUCCCUUACUUCUCUUGGAAAAUUAGCCACCGUCGUCAUCAUGCCAACACUCAGUCCCUUGAGAAUGAUGAGGUUUAUGUCCCAAGAUUCAAAUCCAACAUCAGGAACUACUACAAAAUCAUGAACAACCCACCCGGUCGUGUCCUUGUCUGGCUUAUCACACUCCUCAUAGGCUUCCCUUUAUACUUGAUGUUCAACGUCUCUGGACACAAGUAUGAGAGGUGGACUUCACACUACGAUCCCCACAGCCCUCUUUACACUGAACGCGAGCGCAAGCAGAUCAUUGUUUCUGAUGUUGCAAUCCUUGCUGUUAUCUAUGGCUUAUACAAUCUAGUACUAGCCAAGGGAUUUGUCUGGGUUUUCUGUGUUUAUGGAGGUCCAUUGCUCGUCGUUAAUGGAUGGUUCACAUUGAUCACCAUCCUCAACCAUACUCAUCCUUCUUUGCCUUACUAUGAUUCAACCGAAUGGGAUUGGUUGAGAGGAGCUCUUUGCACUGUGGACAGAGAUUAUGGAAUUUUGAACAAGGUGUUCCACAAUGUCUGUAAUGCUCAUGUUUGUCACCAUAUCUUCUCCAUGAUCCCACAUUACCAUGGACUCGAAGCAACCGAGGCAAUGAAGCCAGUACUGGGAAACUAUUAUCAGUAUGAUGGGACUCCAAUUCUCAAGGCAAUGUACAGAGAAAUGAAGGAAUGCAUUUAUGUCCAAAAGGAUGAAGGUGAGACCAAAGGAGUCUACUGGUACAGAAAGGAAUUUUAGGUCGUUGAGCCUUAUUAUCUAGUGGAAAGAAUAUCUCAUUACCUAUCAUUGCAUUUUCUUCUGUAAUUUUAAAUUAUUGCAAGUCAAUGCAUUAGGUUAAGAAGAUAAAGAGUUAACCAGUAACUCUAUGUAAUAAAAAGAAUUUCUAAUUCCAUUUUGGUUGUUCAAGAAUUUCUUAGCUAGCUAGUAUAUGCCUUUUUGCUUCUACAAUUUUCAGACUCUAAACUUCAUUGUUCCUGAUGUUUACUAGAAAUGUAAAGAUGAAAGAGUGCACAGAAAUUACAAACAGGACGCGUUACCAGGGAAAAAUAAAAGUCACGUUAUCCGGGGAACAAACAGUACAAAAUGAAAACACUGCAGCCAUAAGUAUCAAAUAUAACAGAAGAACAUAAACUUCAAGUGUUAACUACCAUAAUCUAAAAUCAUCACUAUUGUUGUAUAACUGAAUAAUCUUUACUCUAUAAACCCUUAAGGUGAACAUUUGAUCAAGCCAGAAUUUGAAAAAGUCCCAGGAAUUCUGCUCAAAUACUUGUGAUUCACAGAACUUUCACUUCGAGCUGAUGAAUUCAUACCCAGACCAGAGGUUUUGAAGCGAAAACCAGGUGGAACAUAAUAGCAGCCCCGUAAAAAAGGAUGCUGAAGAGCCUCCAAAGCAGUAGGCCUUUUGCACGGAUCCCAGGAGCAAAGCGAUUGAAUAAGGCCAACCACAUCCUUGCUUGCAGAUGGCAUCAGCUGAGACAGAGAAACACCAGAAUGCUGAGGAAACUGAUAACUUAUAUCAUCUGCAAGUUCAAUCCCAUAAGCCCAAUCAACUUCAGUUGGAGUCCCUAAAACACUGCAUAUUCUGUACAUUUGAUGCUGUUGAUUUACCCCAGCAAAGAGUGGGCAGCUAGUCAGCAAUUCAGCCAUAAUUGCACCCAUUGCCCACAUAUCAACCGCUGGACCAUAAAUUGGCGCAGCAAGCAGAAUUUCAGGUGCUCUGUACCAUCUUGUUGCAACAUACUCAGAAUAAGGAGGCGAAGAAUUAAUCUCGCGAGCAAGUCCCAGAUCAGCAAUCUUCAUAAUAUCUCCAUUCACUAGCAAAUUCUCAGGCUUAAGAUCCCUAUGAAAAUACCCUCUUUCGUGCAUGUAAGCAAGACCUUGAAACACUUGAAAGCACCAGUUUCUGAUUUCAGUUUCUGAGAAGGGCUUUGUCCUGGUACUCAUAAACUGGUAAAGAUUGCAGUCCAUGUAUUCAAAAACAAAGAACAAGAAGUUAUUUUCUCCGAUUAUUUCCUUGAGCUUCACAAUAUUUGCAUGGCGCAUCUUCUUGAGAGACUUGACUUCUCUCAAAUUCAGACAUUCUUCCCACGAGUGAAACUCCUUGUUCAAUCUCUUAAGAGCCACAACUUCACCACUCUGUGUAUUCAUAGCUUUGAACACACUUCCAAAAGAUCCACUCCCAACUUCCUUGAUAAUCUUAUACUUCUCCAUUAUUCUGACUUAUAUUCAACGUCACAACAAAAAACAGGGUACCCCCGAAAAUUCAAGAAUACUCACGCACUAAGUCUCUACCACGAAUAUGCCAUUGCCCUCGGAAGGAUUUCGAUGAAGAUAUGUUAUGUGAUUGUACGAUCAAAUAUAUGAUUGAUAAGACGGCAAAAUAUUUUCGAAGUAGGCUGCAUCACAAUUUAUGGGCUGGGAUGUUUUUUCGAAGUAGGUUGAAGAUGAAAGAAUGAGAAGACGAGAGAAGAGUGCUGAGAUGUGUAUAUAUAGGAGCAGAGAUUUCCGAAGGGAAGUAGGAUCUUUAAGUCGUGAAUUACUAGGUUUAAGGAUCUUACUUGGGGCUAACACAAUAUCUACCAACGGAAGCUUCCUUCUUAGUACUAGGAUGCUCUGUAAAAGAGUUACUAAUUGGUAUUCGUGGCGGUGCUUUUACUCUUUCACUGAGUUUCUUUAAACUCAAAUGAGCUUCCUUGAACUUGAACACAUUUUCAGCCCUGACAAAAAAAAUUCAUCUUCAACCUCUUCCUUGUUACCGAAUACUAAGGGUGUAAUCGAGCCGACUCGAGUCGAAACCGUCAAGGCUUGAGUUUGAUUGGAAUGUUCGGGUUCAGACUGGAGCUGCUCGAACUUUUAAUUUCAAGAUCAAAACUCGGCUCACAAAAAGUUCGAUAAACUGGAGUUCGGCUCGAACCUAUUUUUUCAAAUAUUGACAAAUACUCAAAAUAUGAUUAGUCCGGCUCGAUUGAAUAUAUUUAAUAUAAAUAAAAUAUUAAAUACUUACAUAAAAAUAUAUUUAUAGUUUAAAAAUAAUAGGAGCUUGAUAAGGCUUGCGAACUUUAUAUGGAGAGUAAUUUGAAACUCGGUUUGAGUAUGAUUAGAAAGUUCGAGCUCUAGUUUGAUCAAGUCUUUAGUUUAGAUCGAAACGAGGCUAGUAAAAAAUUUGAUGACUCGAGUUUGGCUCGAAAAUUUGAACCUAUUUUAUUUAACAAAAACUUGAAAUAUGAUCAGCCCGUCUCGAUUAAAUAUAUUCGAUAUAAAUAAAAUAUCAAAUAUUUAUAUAAAAAUAUAUUCAUAAUUUAAAAAUAAUAAAGGCUUGAUGAGAUUGGAACUUUACAAGCAGAGUAAUUUGAAGCUCGAGCUCGGUUUGAUUAUUUACGUGCCGAAUUCGAAUUUUUUACGAGUCAAACUUUAGUAACUCACGAACUGCUACAUUCAUAUUUUAUCAAAAUUUUAGUUUCUAUCUCUCCCCCUCUCUCUCUCCCACACACACGCACACUAUAACACUCUCUCCACACACACACAAACACUCUAACACAAAUCCUGCAAAACCUUACUUCACGCCCGGCGAGUGAAAAAUCGAAUCAGUUAGGUCUCGGUUAUUAUCGUCAACAACACUGCAUCAAAUCGACCAGAAAUGCGAGGUGAUCAUUCAUAUGGUCCAUCUGAUGAGACAAUAUCCUUACAACGUACUGACAGGUGUUAUCUUUCCUAGAACAUAAAAUUACAUGAUUAUGAUUAUGUGAUUAUUUUUUAUUUACAAUAUAUAUCAUUGUUGUAUGGUUCAUAUUUCAUUUUUCUCACGAUUAGGUAUAAGUGUGUGUUUGAAUCUAUUAUGUAUGAGUUGUUUCGUAUCAUAUUUCGUCAUUUUUAUAUAUUGUUUAGUUAGAUUUUAUUUGUUUUGUAUCCUCUUCUUCGGUACUUAGUUUCGCUAGUGUAGAUGUUGGCGAUGAAGGUGGUAUAGCGGUGUAUUAAUUAGUGCGUAUAGAUCAUUCUGAUUGACUAAUGUUAUUGCAUGAUUUUGUUUUAGUUUUGUAAUUUUGGAUAUUGUUUGUUGUUAAUAAUAGUAAUUGUAGACCUUAAUAUUAGUUGUUUUUUGAAUGACAAGUUGACAUUCUUUAAAUGUUCUUAUCUUUGAAAUUUGAAUCUCCAUGUUUAAUUUGAAUUUUUGUGUUUCGAUUAGAAGAUAAUUUGAUAAGAUAAUUGUUGUAUUUUAAUUUGAUAAUUACUGAUUAUUGUACCUGAAUUCCAUAAUUCAUGGGGGCCAUAUAUGAUGGCUUUAUUGUGCCUUAAUGAGGUAUUAUUGUGCCAUUAAGGGUUGAUUUGUUGUUUGGUGUAUACCAAUAAUUAGCUAAAAUCUUGAUACUUUUGUUUGUCAAGAUUUUUAAUAUUUUUGAGUAGAUAUAUUUUAGAUCUUUUUUCAAUUUUCAAUUAUAUUUUUCUAUUUAUAUUUUAAUUUUUUUUAAAUUAAUAGUCAGCUAUUUUGUUCGGAUUAAAAUUUUAUUAUCUAUCUAACCAAAGAGAUCUCACUAUCUCUUUGGUGUAGAUUUUUUUAAUGAUUUGUUUUAUAUUAGUUUUUUAUAUUACUUUCCUUAUUCUUUAAAAUAUUAUAUUAUAUUCAUAUCUUUUAAUGAGUUUAUUGACUCUUUUCGUCUUUCGUUUUAUAUAGUUUUAUUAUUUUAUUGUCUGUAUGAACUUAUUAUGGUUUUAUUUGUAUUGUAUUUUUCAGGGUACGCGAGAUGGAAGAAAGAACGAUAGCGGGAUCAUUUAUGGGUGUUUUCUUAUCGAACAUUAGAGCUUUAUUGUUUAAGCGUCCCCGGUCAUCUCUGCAUAUCCGAGGGUUAGAUGGUAAACUUUCUUGAACGAAAGGAACUCCUGACAGCGGCUAUUGUAUUCUGAUACGAUUCAUCAUACGUGAAAGUAUCUUGUGACAAAAAAAAAACUCACGAACUGCUUGACUCAUUUACGCUCCAAAAGAAAACCAAUUUUUCAAAUUGUAAUUACUUGUUUUGCAGUAAAAAUAUAAUUUAUAUUAAUAAACUUGAACUCCAUGUAAGGAUCCCAAACUCGCAGAUAUAACCUUCUCUCUCCUGAAUAUAAUCAUUCGCUAGCACUUAUCAGGCAUCAGCCAUAAGUUCAUAUUAGCAGCAUAUUAUCUAUUGAGUGAAUUUCUCCACUCAGUUUGUGCAUAUAAUUACAAGUCCCUCGCCCUUAAUUUAAUCAUCAGAAAUUUUGUCAAAGCCUUUGAUGUAAAUCCUUACAUCCAUAAUGUAGCUCAAUUCAAAUACACGAAUAUGACUGAAAAGUAUCAAUGACUGAAAUAGGCUAUCCAGGUUUUCGUGAUUCAUAAGCCAUUUCCAAUACAGCAAGAUGCAAAUCACCAGAAGUCUAGUCUUAAUUCAUUUCCCUAAUUAAGCUGACAGAAAACUCGGAUAGUCAUACCCAAAACAUACUCUCAAGCCAAUUAUUCGGAUAACUAUAAGCUAAUUCACAUGAGUGUAUGUUUUAUGUUAGUAAAUCAGUAAUGUCAAGCUCAAAGAGAUGCCAAAAAGGUAUCAGCCACACAAGGAUCAAACACUGAAGCUGCAUUACGUCUACCCAACUAAUAACAAAGCGUCAAAGCCAAAACAGUUUGCAAAUGAAGUUGUAGUUAUUUAUAUUUCCGUUAUUACUAUUGUGUAUGUGCAGGUGAGAUUUAAAAUGUGAUUAAAUCUUUUAAAAGCAUAACUGAUUUACUGUUGAUGAAGAACAUAUAAUUCACCACAACUUUCAGCAAGAGCACUUUUCACUCACAAUAAAACCAUUUGAUUACACAGCACAGUCAUUUAAAAACACAAGUGUACAAUAUGUUUGCAUUACAAAAUCAGUAUACAGAGUUAAUGCAUUAGGUUAAGAUAAAGAGUUACCAAUCAUUGCAGACAAAACAGAAAAGCCUUUCAUUACCUAUCAUUGCAUUAUCUUCUGUAAUUUUAAAUUAUCUGCAAGUUAAUGCAUUAGGUUCAGAUAAAGAGUUAACCAGUCACUCUAUGUUAUAAAAGUAAUUACUAAUUCCAUUUGGGUUGUUCAAGAAUUUCCUAACUUGCUAGUAUAGGUUUCCUGGUUUCUAUGAUUUUCUGACUCUCAUAUUCAUAGUUACUGAUGUUUACUGGAAAAGUAAAGAUGAAUAAGUGCACAGAAAUUACAAACAGGGCGCAUUAUCAGGGAAACUAAAAACUAAAAGACAGUCGCCUUAUGUGGGAAACUAAAAGACCAUUGCAUUAUCUGGGAAAGUUAAAGAUGGUUCAAGUUAUCAGGGAAACAAAGAGUAGAAGAAAGAAACUAAUGCAGCCAUAAACGAAAAAAUAUAGUAUAACAUAAACUUCCAGUGUUAACUACAUAAUCUAAAAUCAUCACUAUUGUUGUAAAACUGAAUAACCUUUACUCUUUACACCCUUAAGGUGCACACUUGAUCGAUCCAGAAUUUGACAAAGCCCCAGGAAAUCUGCUCAAAUACUUGUGCUUCACAGAACCUUCACUUCGAGCAGAUGAAUUCGUACCCGGACCAGAGGUUUUGAAGCGAAAACCAGGUGGAACAUAAUAGCAGCUCCGGAAAAAAGGAUGCUGAAGAGCCUCCAAAGCAGUAGGCCUUUUGCACGGAUCCCAGGAGCAAAGCGAUUGAAUAAGGCCAACCACAUCCUUGCUUGCAGAUGGCAUCAGCAGAGACAGAGAAACACCAGAAUGCUGAGGAAACUGAUAGCUUAUAUCAUCUGCUAGUUCAAUCCCAUAAGCCCAAUCAACUUCAGUUGGAGUUCCUAAAACACUGCAUAUUCUGUACAUCUGAUCUUGCUGAUUUACCCCAGCAAAAAGUGGGCAGCUAGUCAAUAAUUCAGCCAUAAUUGCACCCAUAGCCCACAUAUCAACCGCUGGACCAUAAAUUGGCGCCGCAAGCAGAAUUUCAGGUGCUCUGUACCAUCUUGUUGCAACAUACUCAGAAUAAGGAGGCGAACAAUUAAUCUCGCGAGCAAGUCCCAGAUCAGCAAUCUUUAUAAUAUCUCCACUCACUAGCAAAUUCUCAGGCUUAAGAUCCCUAUGAAAAUACCCUCUUUCGUGCAUGUAAGCAAGACCUUGAAACACUUGAAAGCACCAGUUUCUGACGUCCGUUUCUGAGAAGGGCUUUGUUCUGGUACUCAUAAGCUGGUAAAGAUUGCACUCCAUGUAUUCAAAGACAAAGAACAAGAAGUUAUUUUCUCCGAUAAUUUCCUUGAGCUUCACAAUAUUUGCAUGGUGCAUCUUCUUGAGAGACUUGACUUCUCUCAAAUUCAGACAUUCUUCCCACGAGUGAAACUCCUUGUUCAAUCUCUUAAUAGCCACAACUUCACCACUCUGUGUGUUCAUAGCUUUGAAAACACUUCCAAAAGAUCCACUCCCAACUUCCUUAAUAAUCUUAUACUUCUCCAUUGUUCUGACUUAUAUUCAACGCCACAACAAAAAACAGGGUACGGCGAAAUUUCAAGAAUACUCACGCACUCAAGUCUUUACCACGACCCGAAACAAAUUGACAAAUUGUCUUCGAAUAUGCCAUGCCCUCGGGAGGAUUUCGAUGAAGAUAUUAUGUGAUUGUACGAUCAAAUAUAUGAUUGAUAAAACGGCAAAAUAUUUUCGAAGUAGGCUGCAUCACAAUUAAUGGGAUGGGAUGUUUUUUCGAGUUUUUGAGAAGCUCUGACUGGUUGAUGAUAAAAGAAUAAGAAGACGAGAGAAGACAGCUGAGAUGUGUCUAUAUAGGAGCAGAGAUUUCCGAAGGGAAGUAGGAUCUUUAAGUCGUGAAUAGAUACUAGGUUUAAGGAUCUUACUUGGGGCUAACACAAUAUCUACCAACGGAAGCUUCCUUCUUAGUACUAGGAUGCUCUGUAAAAGAGUUACUAAUUGGUAUUCGUGGCGGUGCUUUUACUCUUUCACUGAGUUUCUUUAAACUCAAAUGAGCUUCCUUGAACUUAAACACAUUAUCAGCACUGACAAAAAAAAUUCAUCUUCAACCUCUUCCUUGUUACCGAAUACUAAGGGUGUAAUCGAGCCGACUCGAUUCGAAACCGUCAAGGCUUGAGUUUGAUUGGAAAGUUCGGGUUCAGACUGGAGCUGCUCGAACUUUUAAUUUCAAGAUCAAAACUCGGCUCACAAAAAGUUCGAUAAACUGGAGUUCGGCUCGAACCUAUUUUUUCAAAUAUUGACAAAUACUCAAAAUAUGAUUAGUCCGGCUCGAUUGAAUAUAUUUAAUAUAAAUAAAAUAUUAAAUACUUACAUAAAAAUAUAUUUAUAGUUUAAAAAUAAUAGGAGCUUGAUAAGGCUUGCGAACUUUAUAUGGAGAGUAAUUUGAAACUCGAGCUCGAUUCGGUAAUGAAUUCGAAAAACUCGAGUUCAGCUUGAUUAUUAACAAGCCGAAAUUCGAAUAUUUUACUAUCCAAAUUUGAGUAACUCAUGAUCUGUUUGACUCAUUUACACCGCAACCGAAUACCAAUUUUGCAAAUUUUAAUUACUUAUUUCUGCAAUAAAAAUAUAAUUUAUAUAAAUAAACUCCAUGUAAGGAUCCCAGACAGGCAGAUAUAACCUUAUCUCUUUCCUGAAUAGAGUCAUUCGCAAGCACUUAUCAGGCAUUAGCCAUAAGUUCAUAUUAGCAGCAUAUUAUCUAUUGACUGAAUAUCCAGACUCAGUUUGUGCAUAUAAUUACAAGUUUUUGUCAAACCCUAUCAUGUAAAACCUUACAUUCAUACUGUAGCUCAAUCCAAAUACACGAAUAUGACUGAAAUAUAUCCAGGUUUUCGUGAUUCAUAAGCCAUUCCCAAUACAGCAAGAUGCAAAUCACCAGAAGUCUAGUCUAAUUCAUGUCCCUAAUUAGGCAGACAGAAAACUGAGAUAGUCAUACCAAAAGCAUUCCCCCAAGCCAAUUAUUCUGAUAAUUGUAAGCGAAUUGGCCACUAAAAUUCACAUAAGUGUAUGUUAUAUGUUAGUACAUCAGUAAUACUCAAGCUCAACAAGAUGUCAGAAAGGAUAUAGGCACACAAGGAUCUAACACUCAAGCUGCAUUACAUCUCCCCAACUAAAAACACAGCGUCGAAGCCAAACUAGUUUGCAAAUGAAGUUGUAGUUAUUUACAUUCUGUUAUUACUAUUGUGUAUGUGCAGGUGAGAUUUAAAAUGUGAUUAUAUAGGAUCUUUAAAAAGCAUAACUGAUUGAAUGUCAAUGAAGAACAUAUAUUUCACUACAAUUUUAAGCAGAGCACUUUUCACUCACAAUAAAACCAUUUGAUUACAUAGCACGGUCAUUUAAAAACAUGAAUUCAAUGAACAAUAUGUUGUGCAUUACCAAAUCAGUAUACAAAUUUAAUGCAUUAGGUUAAGAUAAAGAGUUACCUAUCAUGACCUAUCGUUGCAGACAAAACAGAAGAGCCUUUCGUUACCUAUCAUUGCAUCAUCUUCUGUAAUUCUAAAAUUAUCUGCAAGUUAAUGUAUUAGGUUAAGAUAAAGAGUUAACCAGUAACUCUAUGUUAUAUAAGGAAUCACACUACUAGAAAUCUGCUAAUACUCUAUGUUAUAAAAUGGAAUUAGUGAUCACUAAUUCCAUUUUGGGUUGUUCAAGAAUUUCUUAACUCACUAGUAUAGGUUUCCUGUUUAUAUAAUUUUCUGAUUCUAAUCUUCAUAGUUACUGAUGUUUACUGGAAAAGUAAAGAUGAAUAAGUGCACAAAAAUUACAAACGGAGCGUAUUAUCAGAGAAACUAAAAACUAAAAGACAGUCGCGUUAUGUGGGAUACUAAGACCGUUGCAUUAUCAGGGAAAGUUAAAAAUGGUUCAAGUUAUCAGGGAAACAAAAAGUAGAAGAAAGAAGUUAAUGCAGCCAUAAACGAAAAAAUAUAGCAUAACAUAAACUUCCAGUGUUAACUACAUAAUCUAAAAUCAUCACUAUUGUAACGUAGAACUGAAUAAUCUUUACUCUUUACACCCUUAAGGUGCACAUCUGAUCGGGCCAGAAUUUGAAAAAGUCCCAGGAAUUCUGCUCAAAUACUUGUGCUUCACAGAACCUUCACUUCGAGCAGAUAAAUUCAUACCCAGACCAGAGGUUUUGAAGCGAAAACCAGGUGGAACAUAAUAGCAGCUCCGUAAAAAAGGAUGCUGAAGAGCCUCCAAAGCAGUAGGCCUUUUGCACGGAUCCCAGGAGCAAAGCGAUUGAAUAAGGCCAACCACAUCUUUGCUUGCAGAUGGCAUCAGCUGAGACAGAGAUACACCAGAAUGCUGAGGAAACUGAUAGCUUAUAUCAUCUGCUAGUUCCAUCCCAUAAGCCCAAUCAACUUCAGUUGGAGUCCCUAAAACACUGCAUAUUCUGUACAUCUGAUCUUGUUGAUUCACCCCAGCAAAAAGAGGGCAGUUGGUCAGCAAUUCAGCCAUAAUUGCACCCAUUGCCCACAUAUCAACCGCUGGACCAUAAAUUGGCGCUGCAAGCAGAAUUUCAGGUGCUCUGUACCAUCUCGUUGCAACAUACUCAGAAUAAGGAGGCGAACAAUUAAUCUCGCGAGCAAGUCCCAGAUCAGCAAUCUUUAUGAUAUCACCACUCACUAGCAAAUUCUCAGGCUUAAGAUCCCUAUGAAAAUACCCUCUUUCGUGCAUGUAAGCAAGACCUUGAAACACUUGAAAGCACCAGUUUCUGACGUCAGUUUCUGAGAAGGGCUUUGUUCUGGUACUCAUAACCUGGUAAAGAUUACACUCCAUGUAUUCAAAGACAAAGAACAAGAAGUUAUUUUCUCCGAUAAUUUCCUUAAGCUUCACAAUAUUUGCAUGGUGCAUCUUCUUGAGAGACUUGACUUCUCUCAAAUUCAGACAGUCUUCCCACGAGUCAAACUCCUUGUUCAAUCUCUUAAUUGCCACAACUUCACCACUCUGCGUAUUCAUAGCUUUGAACACACUUCCAAACGAUCCACUCCCAACUUCCUUAAUAAUCUUAUACUUCUCCAUUAUCCUGACUUAUAUUCACCGCGAGUCCGCGACAACAAAAAACAGGGUACGGUCUCACGCAAAAAUUCAAGAACACUCACGCACUCGUAUCUCUACCACAGCCCGAAACAAAUUGUCUCGGAAUAUGCCAUUGUCCUCAGGAGGAUUUGGAUGACUAUAUGUUAUGUGAUCGUACGAUCAAAUAUAUGAUUGAUAAAAGCGCAACAUAUUUUCGAAGUGGGCUGCAUCACGAAUAAUGGGAUGGGAUGGUUUUUCGAGUUUUUCGAGAAGCUCUGAGUGAAUGAAGAUGAAAGAAUGAGAAGACGAGAGGAGGCUGCUAAGAUACUCCUAUGUAUAUAUAGGGGCAGAGAUUUCCGAAGGGAGGUAGGAUUUUAAGUCGCUGAUAGAUACGAGGUUUAAGGAUCUUACUUGGGGCUAAAGUAAUAUCUACCAAAGGAAGCGUCCUGCCUAUUUUCCAAAUUUUAUUUAUCUGUUUUUACAAUAAAAAUAAUAUAUUAGUAUACUUAUCCAGAUCAGAGAUAUAAUAUAUCUACAUUAUUAUUAAUUAAUCUCUUAUUAUAUUCUAAUAAAAUUUAUAAAUAAUAGAAUUGAAAAUUUCAAAAUUGAACAAUGAAAGUGCGAAAAAUACAAAAAAAAGUUGCAAUAUAGUUUGUUCUUUGUUUUUAGAAUUAUGUUUUUUCAAUAUUCCAAUUUGAACGGAAUCCUGAUAGAAGAAAAAGUUCACGAGAAUAAUAGAACAUAUGAAAAAUAUUAAGAAAAGAAAUUGCAUAAUGUAUAAGCCUACAAGGUAUAUUAUAAUACGGUAUUUAUUUGCAAAACUAGUUAUAAGUCGUUUCAGACGACUUAUAAUAUUUAGUUAUUUUAUCAUAUAUAAUUUAAUAAUUCUUAUGAAUAUAAACUAUAUUAGAAUAAUAUAUAUUUCUUAAUAUUUUACUGUACAACAGAUACAUUUUACUUAGUACUAGUGCUACAUGCACAAAAUUGAGUACAGAAUUUUGCACAAAAUGAUAUACAGAAUUUUGCACAAAAUGAUGUGGCAAGUGAGGUGGGAAGUUUUAACUGGUACUAUUAAUGCAUACACAGGGGGCUCAUUUCAAUCAAAAAUUGACACAUACUCAUUAUGUGAAUAUUUUUGUACCCAAUUCUGUGCCUCUAGCAUUUUCCUUUACUUUUUUAUAGUCUUGCCGGUGCACUGCAAACAAAGAAAGAAAAAGGAUUUUACCCAUAAGAAAGUGCGAUACCAUACUGCUCAGCAAUGCACUUCGUCCAUUCAGCUACACGGUCCAGAUUUAGCAUAAGUUCUAACCCAUAAGAAAGUGCGAUAACAUCUUUAUAACUUUGUUUACGGCAUCUGCAUAUACAAUACAAGUCGCAGAGUAAUUAUUAUGGCAAUAACCGGCAAUAGAACCAACAAGCAAUGAAGGUCCUUUAGACUAUCUCCAACAAAUUAAGCAUCGGGGAAUUUACUUACUGCUGGACAGUUCUGUCGGCAGCCUAGCAAGAAACAGUUGUUCCUAAAUGGAGUCAUUCGCUAGCACUUAUCAAGCAUCAGCCAUAAGUAUAUAUUGCAACUUGCAAGCACCAUAUUAUCAUCUACUGGCCAGAUUUCCAGAGUCACUUUAUGGCUUAUGCUGCCUGAAAGGCACCUGUAUAAGAAUUUCAUAUUACAACUUUUACUAGAAUGCACCCCUACCUUCAAAUUGCAUAAUGCAGCUCACAGCAACUCAACAAUUUCAACAUUGAAACCGCAAAGUGACUUCUAUCAGGAUUUAAUUUUCAACAGGAUGACACUUCAGUAACAUUAAAACCAUUUGAUAAGUCAUUUAAACAAAUACGAAUUGCUAAAUCAGUUUAAGUCCAGCUCAACAACCAAUUGAAUCGAACAGUAAUGCCGAAAUGACAAACUCAGCUACACAAUGAAUCAAACAGGUAAGCUGCAUCAUAUCACACCAACUCAGCCAUCCAAACCACUUCAGCAAAACACCAAGACAUUUUGCAACUACUUUGCAAUUAUUUACAUUUCUUAUUCAAACACUAAUAUAUAAGCAUAGAUCUAAGAUCAAAACAAAAAAUAAAGCAUACAAACAUGCUAAAUAAACAAAAAUAAAUUCACACUAAUUCAGAACAAUAGAGCAAUUUCAUUCAUACUAUAACCAUUCAAUUACACAUCACAUUCAUUUCGAACAAACACAAUUCAACUAAAACACAACCUAGAAACCCUAGAAAUCAACCGCCGAAGCCAUAAAGAGUCCUGCCCUGCCUCUUGAGAGCGUACACAACAUCCAUAGCAGUCACAGUCUUCCUCCUAGCGUGCUCAGUGUAAGUAACCGCAUCACGAAUCACAUUCUCCAAAAAGAUCUUCAAGACGCCUCUGGUCUCCUCAUAGAUGAGCCCGCUGAUUCUCUUUACACCGCCUCGGCGAGCCAGACGACGAAUGGCGGGCUUGGUGAUGCCCUGGAUGUUGUCACGGAGGACUUUGCGAUGUCGCUUGGCACCGCCUUUGCCAAGGCCCUUGCCUCCCUUGCCACGUCCUGACAUCUUAAAUUUCGAAUGAGAGAAAGAGAGAGAGAGAGAGAGAGAGAGAGAGAGAGAGAGAGAGAUUUGGUUGUGUUGUGGAGAGAGAAAUGAGAGUGUUUGAGAUGUGAGAUUGGGAGAGAUGGUAGGGGGUUAAAUAAGGGGAGUUUUGGGGGUUUGAAAAUUUUGAAAGUUUGGGCGGGGUUUUUGUGUUGGUUUUGGUGAUCCUGGUGGUUGAUUGGUGAAUAUGAGACGUUGAUGUUAAAAAAAAUCGACGGUUGGGAAUUGUGUAAAUUAUGAGGCACGGAUCGAUGACAUGGCGCUGAUCAGCCAGUCAGGUCGGACCCAACUCAAUCUGGGGAGUACACGCGCUGUUUGUUUUAGCCUUUUUUUUUCCCUCAUAUUUGGCAUUCCUUAUUUAAAUUCUGACUUAAGGUUAGAAUCAUGGUAUUUAUAUCAUUUACGUAAAUUUUUGUCGAAAUUUCAAAAAUCGAAAAUUCUAGUUUAUGUUUAAUCAUUUAAUUUUUUUAAAAUUUGAUUUUACCAAUUGUAUAUGAUAAUUUUAAAAGAUAAUUUAUAAAAAUGUAUUACUAUUACUAUAUUAAUAAUUUGUGUAUCAAAUAUGUUGUAAACACAAAAUAAAUAAUAUUCAAACACAUAAUUAAAAGUUAUUUCUCACUCAUAGCUAAAUUCUCAUUUAUAAGCAAUAAUCACUUUUUUUUAUGUUAAGUGAAAUGUCCCCAAGGCUGGCAAUCUCCUGAUGCUGAAUUGUAUAUAUAGGUUAAUGCGAUGAAGACAUCUGAAACCGGUCACAUGGCGUGGAUAAUUAACCGAAUUGAUCGUAUAACGGUUUGGAGUGGAUAAUACCUGGUAUACAAAAUGCACGAGUUGAUCGUAUAACGGUGUGAAGUGGAUAAUACCUGAUAUACAAAAUGUAAACAAAGAGUGAAUAUGGAUAUAAUAAAAAGUCUCGCGUCCGACCCGCACUCUAUUCGUACAUAUAUAUAAAUGUACAUGUACUUACUAAAUUUAUCACAAAAAUAUAUUAUAUUUUCAUGUUACUAUUUAAUAAAUUUUAAUAUACAAAAGAUAGUAAGCUCGUAAAAUAUUCAUAAUACAACUUAUUUGAAUAUUAGUUUCAAAUUUGUGCUAAUUAUUAAAGAAAUCAUAAUUCUUUUCAUAAUUUACAAAUUAACUAACAAUGUUUGUAUUUUACACAUUUGACCAACAAGUUUUAUAAAAUCAUGUUAAAAAAAUAUGACACAACUACGCGUAACGCAUCCGUUCACCACUUUGUUCUCUACUCAUCUCACUUCUAAGACAAGCUGCCUUUAGCUAGGAGUCUCUUUUCUUUUUGUCCUGUUCUCGUUCACCACUUUGUUCUCAACUCUACUCACUUUUAAGACAAGCUGUCUUUAAUUAGGAGUCUCUUUUCUUUUUGUCCAGUUCCGCUAAAACGAUGCUCGACUUGCAUGUGUUAAGCAUAUAGCUAACGUUGCUCCUUCUGAGCCAGGAUCAAGUUCUUAUUUUAAAUAUGACUUUGAAACCUGAUGAACCAGGCCUAGUACUUCCCGACCUUAUGUGAGCUUUCCUGCUCUUAUAUAAUUGUAAUGAGAGAAUAUUUCGAAAAUCUUUUUAAUGCUUUUGAUCCGACUAUGCUCAACGAGGUGACUCGUGUAUGCGACGAGACUAAAGACAUGAAGUAGAAUGUUCAAACCAAAUGGUAUCCAAAGGAAAUGAACAACUUAAGGGAACGACAUUUUUCGAUUAGGAGAUCUGCUCCCAGUUUGACCAUCAUCAUUACUCUUAAGGUUAUCACCUUGCUCAAUUGAUUAGUUCUAUCAUCCCAAUAUUUUAGCACGAAAAAAAUGUAUUUGUCAAAAUCAUAAAAAAAUGCGUGAAAAAACUCUUACUUAUUAUUCGAACUCUGAUGAGUGAAAGGACUUUCAAGAAAGUUAUUCUAGAGGAUCAACCAGAGAUCGAUUGACUUAGUUAGUGAUACUUGAUACGACAAACUAAGUUUUAAAGUAAUCAGUCGCACUCGGCAAAGGUGAAUAAUUAAUUUUCAAAUUAACCAUCAUACAAUCACAUAGUACAAAUUUUUGUUCUCUCUCUCUUUAAAAAAUUUAAUUAUCUAAAUUAACAACAUUCCACUAAACAUGGCUAUAAUGUUAUAAAAUUUCUUUCCAUCUCAUUAAUUAAAUAUUCCGAAUAUCUUAUAUGGAUGAAUAUCUAAUGACAAGGAUUACAAACAUUUUUUUAGAACAUCUGACGGGUAAAUACUCAUUUCGGUCAUCUAGCUAAACCACAAACAUUUUUUUAGAACAUCUGACACAUUUUUUUAAACAUCUGACGGGUAAAUACUUAUUUCGGUCAUCUAGCUAAACCGCUAAAUGACAGAUAAUCAUUUUAUCCAGCAGUUUAAAAACGUUGAAUUUAUUAAAAAAAUGUUAACGGCAUAUGAUCAUUUUACUUCAAAUAGUUUAAAAAAGCUGAACAUAUUUAAAUAUUUAUCCAAUGACCUUUGCAAAUAAUUAUAGUAAUAUUUCCCAGCAAUGAAGUAAAAGUGGAAGACAGUGCCAAAAUAAAAUUUGUUACCAAGUUUAUGGGCAAAAACCAAUACAAUAGUAUACUACAUUCAACAUAAUUUUUUCAACCUCAAUGCAUUUGAAGUUUGAAUUCAACAAAGCACACGGUAAGAGUAGAACUAGUGUUGCACUCCUAAUCAACAUAACCAAAUAAACAUAAAUCGGGCAGCAAUUAAAAGACCAAGAGAGCACAUCUUAUUUUUCAUAUAUCAACACGAAGCUUACAGUUUAGGACACUGCAGACAUACCUUUUCCCAUUCAUAAAAUAAAACUGUAAUGUCUAAUCAAAUACAUAAAACAAAAACCAGAAAGCUUUUCAUUUUCAGAUCCUCAGCAACAAAUCCUAGUACCUCGAAAAACUUUAACUGUAUUCUUCAUAACCAAAAGUGACCCAGACAUAUACAUGUUACUGGAGAUCACACUUUCCUUUGGAUUCCAAGCCUCUCGCGGAAGUCACUUUCCAUGAGAGGAAGGCCAUCACGCAACUUUACCUUUGGUUCCCAACCUAACACUUCCUUUGCCUUUGUUAUGUCUGGCUUUCUCUGGCGAGGAUCAUCAGGCGUGUUCUCCACAGUUAUGAUUUGGACUUCUGGAUUAAUAAGCUGCAAAAUAAUUGAGGCCAAUCAACACUUGUCUAUUGAAUGAAAACGUAACGUCAUAUCUAAUUUUUCUUCAAAACAAUAUAUUCGUCUAACUAUCCUUUGGAUAUUGAGCACAGUUGAACUGACCUCCUUUACAUUUUCAGCAAGCUCCAUCAUUGUGAAUUCACCUAAACAUUAAAAAACAGUCGGGUCAUGUAAACACGAAAUUGGGCAUAACUUUUUAACACGCCUAACAAUAGGUAACACAAGUUAUUUUUCUUAUAACACAGAUUUGUUGCAAUGAAGAUCACAUAAUGCAGAUUCGUUGCACUUCAUAACUAACAUCUACCAAAAAAGGUGAAAACUAGGAUCUGCGACAUUGUUUUUUAAAGUACCUGGGUUCCCAAUAUUAAUUGGUCCAGUAUUAUUUCCUUCCAUAAGUUUAAUAAGGCCAUCAACCUUCAACAGAAGUCAGAAUAACUUGUCAGCAAACAAAUUUAGAUUGAAUUGUAGUGCAGGAAAAAUGCACAAAUAUGUCGCUUACCAUGUCAGAAACAUAACAGAAACUGCGAGUCUGGGUUCCAGGCAACUGAACAGUCAAAGGCUCGUUACUGCAACAUAGAGAGGAAUAUAUUAGGGUGGCAAUUAGGUUCCCAAUCCAUUUAAAUAAACCAAACUUUUGGUUUUGGUUCAGGUUAAAAUCAUAUUUAUAUAUGGGUUGGAUUUUGAGUCUCAUAAUGUAUUAAAAAUUUAAAAUGUGAUCUUUCUAAUUCCAAAUAAUUAGUGCAGAGAAAAUUAAUAUAAAAUAUAAAAAUAGAUAAGUGGUUACAUUUGUCUGUAAAACCUAGAAAAGUAAAGUUACCGAAUCGCUUGAGCAAUGAAAUUACUGACAACACGGCCAUCAUCAAUAUUCAUCCGAGGGCCAUAAGUGUUGAAAAUCCUGGCUAUCCGUAUUUCUGCAGUGACCAGUUUUAGACAUGGAAAAACUGGGUUACAAAUAUUCUUACACAAAAGAUGCUAUUCAUCCUAGAAUUUAGUUGGCAGUUGGUAAAAUAAGAGUCUGUACCAAUUCCAUGCUGCCUAUGAUAAUCAAACAUCAAUGUCUCUGCUACUCUUUUUCCCUCAUCAUAACAACUCCGGACUCCUGUAAAAAAUAUAUUGAAUGAAACUCUUUUCAAGAUACAUACAGACUUCGACAAUAAAUAGACAACCAUUAAAUUACUAAUGAAAAGUCUUAAUCUCUACAUGUUUAUUGCAUGUGUACAGCUGACAAAACUUAGCAAUACAACUUUUCAGGAGUAUGUCACAGGCUUCGCAAUAUUAUAUGGACUAAACAAAACAUUUUCUAGUUCUAAUGAUUAAAUUUUAAUUGAGCAAAUAUCAUGUGUGCAAAAACGUGCAUGCAUGUAUGCAAUUACUACUUGUUUGUGAGCUUUAAACUGCGUCAUAAUAUAUUUGAUCUAAUAAGAAUUCCCUUAUCCCUACAGAAGCUAGCAUUUUUAUUUUAUUUUGUCUACGAAUAAUAGCGAGAAGGCUUAUGAUACAUCACAUAUUCAUCUUCUUAAGUAAGAUUAAGUGGCCAAACUAAUACAAAACAGCGGUAAGAAAGUAAGAUAGUCCAUCUACCUCAUUUCCAAGAAGAUAACUCCUAUACACACACACACACGCACACCACAUAUUGAGAACUAUCAUUCUUGAGAGAUGUCAACUAAGGAAUAAUAAAACUCAAUUUCACAACAAAACCAAAUCAACACACAAGGCGGACAACUUAUGUUAAAUAAUAGGCCAGUUGUAUGUACCUAUGGGGUUGACAUUUCCCCAAUAACUCUCAUCCUGAGGAUGUACAAGGGGAUCUCCAUAAACCUCUGAAGUUGAUGUCAAUAAAAUCCUGUAGUACAGUAGUAAUAUGAGACAACCACAAUUCUACAAAUACUAUGCAGCAUGUGUAAUGGAAAUGUUCAAACCUUGCUCCCACUCUCUUGGCAAGUCCUAACAUGUUUAGUGUCCCAAUGACAUUGGUCUUGAUUGUCUGUCAAGUCAAGUAUCAUAUAAUCAGCAUUUAAUUUUGCCAAAUACAUAAACACAUCAAACCAUCCUAUAUGCUUAGCUAAAGCACCAUAUGUACUUAAAAGAGUCUCUGCUCAAAAGCAGUUAUAGUGUUCUACACAAUUAGCAACAACAUAUAUUGACGUGUAGGGUUUUGCAGAUUAGAUAAAUGACCGGGGUAUCUGAAAACAAUACAGCCUGUAAGGACAACUACUGAUAAAAUUUCCUUGCUGCUGCUGCAAAACAACUGGCAGGUUCAGAAGCAUAGAACACAACAGGUUGAAUCUACACCAGCUUUAGAACAAGUAGAUUAAAUUAUUAAUCAAAAGAGCAAAGUACCUUAACAGGAUUAUAUUUGUAGAAAAUUGGUGAAGCAGGACAGGCAAGAUGAUAUAUUUGAUCAACUUCAACCAACAAUGUUUCUGUUACAUCUGCAGAAAUAUUGAAAUGUAUGUAAAUAACAAAUUGAACUAGAUGUGGGAAAAUAGAUAAAUGAGACACAAGGCCAAGGUUGGGACUUGGAAUUAUUGUGCAAAUAAGACUGCUGACUGCAGUUAAGAUACAUACUGUAUUACAAGCCCUUUUUCAAUUUUGAGAGAGCCCUGAUUUUGAUUUUAAAUCUUUACAGGUAUUGCCUAACAUUACUACUAUAUAAUAUAUCUAUAUCGAUAUAUACACAUAUAUAUUUGUAUUUUUUGAUAUCUCAAUAACAUUUGAUUCAGGGUUAAGCUCCAAAGAGCCUGAGAUGAUCUUUUAUAUACGAAAUAUAAAGUUAAUUUGUGGACACAAUGUUGAAUGAAUGCAUUUACAUUUUGAUUAUAUAUUUCAAUAAGGGUUUAAGUAAAAAUAAAUGAAAUAACUUGGAAGCAACAAUAAACAGUCAAUAUAAAGAACACAUUUCGCAUAGAUAAUUCAAUGAUGUUCAUUAGCAUAUACACAAAUGACGCAACUUGGAUGAUAAAAGAACAAAUACCAUGUCGAAUAAGCUCAAAUCUUGGAUGACCAAUCCACUGUCUUAGGUUGUCCUUUGAGCCAGUAAAGUAGUUAUCAACCACGAUCACCUAGGAGGAACGAGAAAGUUGCAUUAUACUAUUGACCAAUCAUGCAGAAAUUCACCAAGCAGAAUCAUCUGACUACAGUAUCAGACGAAACAGAAGAUUAUGAUAGGAAGUUUAUACCUCAUUCUUCUCAUUUUGCAUCAGUCUGUCAACUAGAUGAGAGCCAAUAAAUCCAGCUCCUCCAGUAACUAAGAUUCUCAUGUUGGCCUGUCAUCAGCAAGCUAUUAAGUAACAGAAGAAGAUAUGCAGAGAGUACCAUAACUCACAUGACUCUAGUCAGUUUGUCACAAAACACUCUCCUUAACCUUAACUAUGAAGGAACAAUCAGCCAACAUAUGUUUUACAUGAAAAAUUACACAAUAAGAGAGUUCUUGACAGCUAUGACACAGAACAGUGGUGGAUAUGAAAACCAGAGAAUGUAUUGAAAAAAAUUAUAUGAUUCGGAAAACUUGCCUGCUUUUACCUAUGUACACCAGAAUUUCCGUAUAGAUAUAUUAAAAUUAUUAGCAAGUUUGGAACAAAUUUUCUGGGCACUGAAGAAAGUAUUAUGGUUAUCACAGCAGAUACUUGAUCUGACUAAUUUUAUAGCAGCAAGUGUUUUCCCAAAAGUAAAUGCGAAGGAACACAAAAAUUACCACUGGGACACCCAAUAUGCAUCUACUCAAAAUUUUGAUUCAAAUGCAGUCUACAUUAAAAUAUAUAUGGAAAACCAAACAAACAUUUAUAAAAGAAAGAGAAGAAAUUUUGUUUGCAAGUCAAUAACUUCUUCAUGUUCCAACAAACAACAUAAGGUAAGUAUAUCAUACAUCAAGCACAUAUAUUCUCCUAACCACAAAUGCAUACAGUUCACAGUUUGUGCUUAAAAAGAACCAUCUUGCUGGUUGCAACCUGAAAAAAUUUGGCAGUGCGCAAUGGAGAAGGUGUUGGAGGGGGUUUCGUGGAUCCAUUAGCAACUUCUUUCGACAUCUUCCCAGAUCCUUCUUCGAUUACUGACACCAAAAAUAUCCAAAUAAAGCACCUAUUAAGAUAAACCAAUCAAAUUCAAUACCACAUUACAAAUCACAAAUUAAUUCACAAUAAAAAAAGCAUCUUUUCCCAUAUGCCUCAUCAAAAUUCAAAAACUCAAUACCUGCAGAAAAAUAAAAUCUUUGCACAAAAAACCCACAAAUUUGCUUGAAAUUGGUAAAGAUCAAAACUUUAUAUACACAUCCAAAUGGGUUGUUGAUAAAAGGGCACAAAUCAUCCAAAAAACAUGUAAUAAUCACACCCAAUUAAAGAAAAAAAAAGAAUAUGAAAGCUUAGAGAACACGAAGAGUAAAGAGUACAAAAAGCUCAAAAGUGGAACCCCACUACAACAAACUCACCAAACAACAAUCAGAUCCAAAUCUCACCCAAAAAUCACAAAACAAAUUUGCAAAUCAAGAAUUAAACAGAGAAUUUAGAACAGUAAAAUUAGGAAAAAAAUCAAAAAAUUGUGAAGAUAGGGAUGAGAGAGAUAAAAUUAGUAGUACCUCUGAAUAAACACAAAGAUUUGUGAUCACUGAUCAAUGUGAAGUAGUGCGUGAAUAUAUGUGGGUUUUAUAUUGUAUAAGUAUAGAUAGAUAGAUAGAUAGAUGCAAUUAACAGGAGACGUGAAUUAUGUAAUUUGUGUCUUCAACAUGACGUGAACUUACUGGAUUCAUCUGCCACGUCAAUUACACAUAGGAACGGUAAUCACAUAAAUUUAUUGCUUAUCCUUUUAAUACGGUUUUGAAAUUUGGAGUUAGCAACAAAUAAUGUGUAAUUUUUGUCAGAUAAUUUUUUAUUUAAAAAUAUCUAUUAGAGGUAUUUUUAUAAUUUAUUUUAAAUAAAAAAAUUAUAGUUUAAUGAGCAUGUAAUAUAUAAUUCACUGAAAUUAUGUAAUUCUUGUCACAUAAUUUUUUCAACUAAAGAUCGCUAUCGGAGAUAUAUUUAAAAUUAAUAUUUAAAAAAUAAUACUACAGUUUUUACCUUUAAGAAGUAACAUAUAACAAUAAGUUUAAACAAGUAACCCAAAAAGUAGAUAUUAGAUAUAUUCUAUAAAUUUUAUUACUUACAUUCAUCCUAAUUCGAUAUACAAUUUGUUUAGGAAAAAUAAAAUUGUAAGUAGUUUUUGGGAAACAGGUCAGUCGCAAAAGUGCUCUGCCAACCGUUUCAACGAAGAGAUAAGCAAGUCGAUCACUAGUAUUUUACACUCACGUAAAACAGUUGACAAUGAGAUGAGUGUUAUAGAAUAGUAAGAAUAGUCAAGCACCAUGUCCAUGUAUGAUUAAAAAGCACAUGACUAUUUAACAUGGUUGGUAUAUAACCAAAAAUCACAUGACUAUUUAACAUGGUGGGUAUAAAUGGGAAUUGAAAUUAAUUAAUUAAACUAUCGGAAUUUAUCAAUUUUUUUGGAAGAAUUAAAGUUCGAGUAAAGGACUUAAAGUUUGUUUUACAAAGCAGGUGUGCCAUUUGAGUUUUGUCAAUCUCAUAAGCAGGAUUCUGUCGACAGACCUUGAUCAGUUGAUCAAGUGCAUCUGUAUUUUCUAAAAUUAUAUCCGACCUCUUCAAUUCCAAUCGCUCACUUAUCAGUUAUCAAGCCUUGUAAUUUCUUCAUCAGAUGAGUAAAAUGACGUGUGUGAUUCUACGUUUUACACCUUGUGCAUCCAGCUUCUUAAGUACAGGAAAGAACUCAGACACAUUAGCCUUACCUAUUUCAGACAAAAUUCCCUAAACCACGACUCUCAACUCCUUAGCGGAAUCCACAUAAGGGUUCACCCGGAAAACACCGUGUUGGAUAUAAAAUUCAGCGAGGUCCUAAAACCAGCUCGACUAAUAUCAACUGCCUCUCCAGUCACCAAGCUCAGUCACCUUCCUAUUACGUACAUUCUGAUUUGCAUUAACCGAAAAUAUGUUAGUAGUCACAAUUUUUCUGAGAUUUUUCCACCUCGGGCCAAUAGGCAAUUAUGCUAACGAGUACCUGGAAUGGUCACAAGCACAAAGAGCAUCUGAACAAACCUGCUAGAAAAAACAAGGUCUUGCUUCUGAAGCACUUCUCGAGCUAUAGUUGAUGAAGAAAUGACUAUUGUAGUUAUGCUCCCGAGUUAUAAACACAUGAUCGGACCAUAAAACUGGGCAAGUUCCGUGAGGGACGGACUGAUGAGGCAGCUUCCCUAUAUCGGCUAAAAUACCAAUGACAGGCCACUGGAGAGGUCCUGGAGGAAGGUUUUUGCCUCUGUUUGAGAACAAAAACAGAGAUUCUAAGAAUGCAAAAGCAAGUAUGAGAUAUACUACACCGAUUAACAAGUCCAUUUUGCUUAAACAAAGUGUUUUUAAGCCUGUGAAGUGAGAAACCUUGAGCAGUUGAGCUAUAUGCAUGAUUCAUGAAGCAACUCAAGGUGCAACUAGUGGAGAAUAAAAAUAGAAAAUUAAAUUAACGUAUUAACUAUUAAGUAGUCCUAUGAAACUUGUUUAAUUAAGGGCUGCUCCCUUAAUUAGCAGCCAUCCAUUGAGCCGCUUAUUUGGCGGUAUGCACGUGGCAUUCAUAUAAUCAUAUUUAACUUUUUUUUUUUUGGUCACAAUAUAAUCAUAUUUAACUUGACGUAGGUAAAAAAGGACCACAGUUUACGAGUCAUUGUUGUACCAAAUAAGUAAAACAAUCACUACUACCCUUUAAUUAUAAAUAACCAGCAUUAGAGUACUCUACCCUUUUUAAAGAUGGUAUUUACACUUUAUUUGACCUUGCAAUAUGUGGAAAAAUGGUGUUUCGUUGCUCUCUUUUUACACUAAAUUUGACUUUUAUUAACAUAAGGAGUGGUAGUGUUUUAUUAUUUUCAGUUUUACACUUAAAUUUACAUUUAAUUUGUAUAAAAUACAGAAAAUUCACAAAAUAAUUAUUCAUGUACGGACUAUUAUCACUUGCACCUGUAGAUUAUAUCAAAUUAAUAUUUGUAUUUGUUCUUAAUGCUGUAUUACUGUACACCGAGCUUUUUAUUAAGACCACAAAUUAAUAGUAGUUAAUCCUGAGUAAAAUCUUUUACCAUAACUGAAUAUAUUUAGCAUAAAAUACUAUACAAACAUAUAAAGUGGCUGUAGUUUAGUGGUUAGAAUUCCACGUUGUGGCCGUGGAGACCUGGGCUCGAAUCCCAGCAGCCACACUUUUUUUCCCAUUUUGCGACCCUUUUAGAAGUGUAGGGUUUUUAAAGAGCCCAAUACUCUUUUCUAUUUGCUUUUGUUUUUUUUGGAAGACGCACAAGUUGAAGAUCAACAAAACCUAGAAAAGGUAUGUAUAGAGGUCCAAUCUUUAGCUCAUAUUAUGUGAUAAUCCUGGCCUUUUUGAUUUGAUUAUAUUUCAAUGUGUUCUUUUCGGUUGUCAAGAAAUGCUGUGAAAUAAUAUGAUCUUUCUUGGGUUUAUGCAUAGUUAGUCAUCUAGAUCUAAGACCCCUUGAUGUGAAAUUUAUGUUUUAAGUAGUGAAGAUCACAAGGAAGUGCUAUAAUAAUGUAAAGGUCCAAUCUUUAGCGUUUAUUAUGUGAUUAUGUUGGCCUGAAUUAUGAGGGUGUGAAGUUGAUCUGGGUGUGUUUGAGGCUUUGCAUAAUUCAUGAUUGUAAGCUGAAGACUGUUUUGUGAGGGUAGUAAUAAAAUUCAAUCUUAUGAUCCGGUGAACAGAAUUCGGUGAUGAUGAGUCUAUGACAUAUAUAACCAAGAAAUGACUGGUUCACAUAAAUCCAAAAUCAUCACCAUCUCUAUGGCCACAUAAUUUGGGUGAGUGGAAAUCUUAGAAUUCUAUUUGAAGGAAAGCUCUGACACACACUCAAGCUUUUAAGAGGUGACUCAUUUCUAGGUCUUUGAGAAGUUUGACAUCAUUGUAUGAACAAGUUACGAUGAUGACACUUAAAAGUGACUUGAAAAGUUUAAUGCUGUUCUUUCUAGGUUUUACAGAUUAUGUUUUUCUAAUUUGCAGCAAAACCGCCUUAAGUAGACUAAAAGCAUGUCUGAUAUAGUUGAAUUGAAUAUUUAGUUCCAUACAUCUGAAAGUAUAGACAAUUAGCUCUGUUUUUGAUUGUCCGUUGUGUUUUUAAGUGCGAAACACGCUAAAAAUAUCUUCAAUCAGAACUCGUAUGGUUCGAGAUGUAGGGUUAAAGGGUUAAAUGAGCAUCUACUGUCUGUAAAGCGAAAAAUUUGAUUCUGGUGUUUUAGUAGCUCAUACAAAGAAAUUUGUCAAGAAUAAGUUUGUUGUAGAUUUCAACUUUACAAGCUCUCAAACAGAGUUUUUUGACAAUGAAAAACAUAACUCAUAUUAAAGAAAAACAAACCACAUAUACUAUGUAUGCCCUGCUUUGUAGACAAGGGUUUGGGGAGAGACGAUGUUCUAUAUGUAAACAUUACCUCUAUAUCUAAGAGUAGAGAAGUUUUUUCUGUAUUACUCAAAACUUUAAUUCAUCCUCUUGCUAUCAAAGCUUCAAUUAGAUGUUAUAUGUAUAUGUCUGUGUAGAUGUAGUAUAUAUGAUAUUACAGUAAAAGUGUGUUUAUUAUUAUGUUAAAAAUGGAGCUUGUUGCUUUUACUAUGAAUUAGAAGAAGUACGUACUGGGUAUUUUAGGUGGUUUUGAUGUUCUGCAGAUUAUAUAACUAGGAAAACUAAACGGGGCAUGUCGCUUUAUAUACAUUAUUGUGGUGUCAUCAGUAUAUCUUUUUUAACUUGUUCAUACAUUGCACGUCAAAGCAUUUGGCUGGCCCAGUAUUUCGAUUAUGUUUAAAUGGUAUAUUAUUUGGACACUCAUUCAGCUUUAAUAAUUGAAGACAAUUAAAAGUACACUUUAAUUAAUAAUUAUAACAAAAACAAAUCUAUUGAUAAAUUGGUUAAAUUUAACUCUUAAGCCAUCAAUGUGACUUUAGUUUAGGGCUUGAAUCCAAGCAGUCACACCUAUUUUUGAUUCUUUUUUUUGCAACCUUCUCUAAAGUAGGGUUUUUAUAUGAGACCAGUUGCUUAUUUUUCUUUCCUUUAUCAUUUUGGAGGGCGCAGAAGUUGAAGAUUGACUAAAGACAGCAAAGGUAAUUGCACAAUCUCAUGCUCUACACACACAGACACACACACACAAACAUCACUUAUUAGAUCACUGUAUCAUAUAUGUGUCAUUUUUUAAUGGAGUUUGACUUGGAUGUGUUCUCGUUGGUUCCUAGAAAUUUUGUAAUAUAGUGUGAUCUUUAUUGGGUUAUAUAUCCUCUAGAUCUAAAACCCCUUAUUGUGAAUUUAGUGAAGGUCAUAAAAAAUGCAAUAAUAAUGUAAAGGUCCAAUCUUUAGCUUAUAUUAUGUGCUUAUUUAGCUUAAAUAUUAAUGGGGUGAAAUUGAUCUAAAGUAUGUUUGAGGUGUUUAUUUUUAUUUACGAGGAUUAGCUAAAGAUGGUUUGUGAGGAUUUUUAAAAAAUUUGAUUCAAUGAUCAGGCGCACAUAAUUUGUUGACUACAUAGGGAAUGCCGCAUAUAUAGAAAAACUCUGAAAUGACUGAUGCACUCAAAUCACAAAUCACUGUACACCAUCUCUUUAGCUGCGUAAUUUGGGUGGAACUCAUCAGAAUUCCAAUCUGUCAAUUCAAGAAAUUCUCUCACACCCUUUGCGCCAUACAGUCUACGUCAGACCCUUUGGGUGACCUAAUAAAUAAAUGAUGGUUAAAAUUUGAGAAACGGGUUGUUAAAAUGAUUCAGGGUGUGCGUGAUAUUCCUUGAGAAGGUGUAGCAAUGGAAUUAUAUGAGUUACACCCGAAUUGCAUGGCUGAAGAGAUGGGUGUAGAAAUGGUAAGAUGGUGUGGUUUGUCGAUUGGAUGAAUUAUUGUUUCUGUCACUUGUAGUGAGUCUUUUCGUCCGUGUUAUGUUUCUCUUUGUGGUCAACAAACUUUGCUUGUAGUCACAUUAAUAAAGGAACACUGAUGGUCAGUAUUUCUUGGUACGAGUAUGAGGUACUGAAGUCUUAACAUUUGGAUCAAAAUUGUAACCUUGCAGAUGAUAGACGAUCAAGACUUGGGUUUCAUAGCCAACUUUCUUGGAAUCUUUAUAUUUGGUUUGGUAAUUGCUUACCAUUAUGUGACAGCUGACCCGAAGUAUGAGGCCAACUAGAUCCAAGAUGCAUGCAACAGUUUAUCUCAGUUACAUGUUUCCUUCAUGUUGAAGUAACAUUAAGUUGGAACAAUGCUGGCAUUUACUAUAUUAAAUGUUAGCAGUUUUUAUGCUAGACAUUUCAUUUACAUUUUGUUAAAGCUUAAUUAAAAAGUUGCACCACAAAUUCUGUCUUUGUUAAUCAAAAUCCCACCUGAAUGCUGUGGAAGACGCAAUCUGUUUUUUGACUAUGAUGCUUUCGAUUUUUAAACACUUUCCAUACAGUUUAGGGGCCUUAUCUUAAGCUGUCUGGAUGAGCUUCAAAAUUUACUUUCAAGCCCAAAGUUCCCCCAACAUGUAUACUUUACCUUGCAAGUAACUUUAAUUUCAUAGUUCAUACCUCAACAUUUUCCUGCUCAACCUGAACGAAGUGGGGAUCUGAUCGGGGUCGAGCGGUACGGGUAAAUGUCCAUCCCUGUUUCAUACCAACACCAUUUUCCUGCGCCUUUGGUUUUAUAAGGAUCAAUGUCAUAUAUCAAAUUCCAAAAGAAUAAUUAUGCGGUAAAUCACUAAACCGGUGAGGAACAUCUCAUCAAAUAUCUCGACUGGAGAUGUAAAUAUUUGUAGCUGAUUCUUACCAUCAAAUUGACUGUUUAUUCUUCAUAUCCGAUUAAGCAAAUUGUCAUUUUUCACAAAUAUGAAACAAUGUUACGCUGUUUCUGUGUGUGGAUGUAUCUGCCAAUUUGCCCUGUCACAUUUAUUUUUAAAGGUAACAGCUGUGAAUUGGUGAUUAUUUACUCUAAGAACUUAAGUAUAGCUUGCAGGCUGCAGCAGCAGUAGCAUAUGAAAACCAGUGCAAAACUACAAAAUAUCGUUACCAACAGCGAAACUUUACCACCACCCAAAAAUGCACUUGCGCAUGUAAACGUAACGAGAUAACAAGUACCUCUCUUUACGCGUUUUAUUGUACAUCAGAAUAACGAUAUUAGUUGUCACUUUUCCGGACUGAGGGAGUAUGUUACAUGAAAAUAGUGCAUAAAUCGGUGAAAACAUGAAAUAAGAAUUAAUCAGAAAUUAGUCUAAAAUUAACUAAAUGAUUAAUUAAAUUAUAAUUAAUCAGAAAUUUAAUAAAUUCAACGUCCUAUAAAUUAAUCACCUACUUUAUGCAUAUUUGUCACAUUUCUGAAUUCAGGAAAUAUGCUAGUUUUCAAGCUACUUUUUCGAGGGUGUUAACGUCGAGUCUCACAAUCUGAAAGAAAAUGUUCCCAAGCACCAAUAUCAGAGAAGACCUUCAUCUAUCAUUUUUCCAUUCAAGACACUAUAUCAUAUAGUUUCCAUCCUCCUUUUUCUUUUUAACAUUCCACGAUCUAACGUUUAAAAAUCCUAGACUCAUUACGACCUAGCAUUAGAAACCCUAGACGCUAAUUUAUGUAACGUUCUACUCCUAAAAUGCUACUCGUUUAGCAUUUUACAGUGAUUUUCAACCCCAAACGCAGUGUUUUCUUACCAAAACUGAAACACAAGAUAGUCAAACGUUACUGAAUGAUAUUUGAGGCCAUUUUUGGGCAUUAGCUAUAAGUUUUAAGACAUAUGGGACCUUUGCUGCAAUUUCGAAAAAGAGGUAGCAUGCUAGAUAUAUUUGCAGGACACGAGAGGGAUGAGGGAGUAUUGGCUGCUUUCCCAGGAAGGAGUACACCAGAAACAUUUGCGGGAUGUAAGGGAGGAGGUGAACUGAGGGAGUACGCUAGAAACAUACACGGGACUGAGGAAGAAUGCCGGAAGCAUUUGCAAAGUAAUUGCACAGCACUAAACCUCUUUUCCAGCUAAAUGGCCCAGUACCAUUAUAUGUAAGAACAGGUACAAUAACAUCUGCAACACCUAGCAUUAACUAAAAACCUAAAAAUAAUAAAACUAAAUACUAACAUCUAUAUUUUAAGUUUAAACCUCCCUCCCAAUAUUACUAUAAACUACCAUGCACAUUUUAAGAUACAGCAACUGAGUCUACAUACAAAAUCCUAUUAAAAGCAACAUCCAUCUGCUUGACUACUACAUCCAUCUACUUGACUGUUGAACUGUUGGGCUUUUGUGUGUGUGUGUGUGGGGUGGGGUUGGNNNNNNNNNNNNNNNNNNNNNNGUGGGUUGUCACGGUGCUGGUUGAGUUGCAUGUUUGGCUGCCCAUAAGUAGGCAAUAAACAUCCACAACACAACCAUACCAAUUAUAGUGGUUCUGACCACUUCUUCCCUGCUCAUGUUAGUACGAAGAUCUGAGUAGUGGGAUGGACCAACAUUCACAUGAUUAUGGUGAUUUGUGCUUGAGCUCGCCCCGGUGAUUUCUUCAUAAGUUUCAUCUCCAAUCUCUGUCGUCGUGAUUAUUUCAUCAGUACUAUCUCCAAGCUCUGUCUCGGCGUUUUCUUCAUUAAUUUCAGUUUCAAGCUCUGCUAUUGGGCUUGUCUGUAUGAUUUCUUCAUUUGUACUUGUUACAUUGCUACUGCCUAAACAGUUAACGCACGAGCACGUACCACCUAGGAAAAGAGGUAGUGUCUGUAGGAAUUCAGUGACGACCUCUUGGUAGUUAUCUCCUAUGAUCCUUACUUUCUGUCUAGUGGCAGGUUUGAGAACCUGACAAAAAUAAUAGUAUAAUACUUAAUACAUGAAAAGAUAUGACAGGCAACUUACAACUGCUCCAAAUGUAAUAUUAUAUUGGCUACCACUUGGUUCUCAUGCACAGAUAGAGUUGAGAGAGAAAACCUGCCUGAAAUAGAGUUUGAAUUAUCAUACGUGCAACCGCAGGAAGCCGUAUGAUAGCCAAGCAAGCAAGACGUGUUGGAUAGUGAUCUUGCAGCAGUGUAGCACACGAUCGCAAUAUUUGCAUCGGAAAACCAAAUGGUGAUAAUCCCUUGCAAUCCAUCAAAACCGUAAUUUGAGGAUGCCUCCUGUCAACGAGGUUCAAAACUCCGUGUUCUAUCUGGGAAACUAAAAGAGCAAACUGUAAUUGAUUAAUCUGCUUAAUAAAACAUUAUGAAUUUAGCUAGGAGAACAAAUAAAAAUAAGAUAGUAGCAUAUCAAUGGACGUAGGUAUGUGAAAUGAAGCAACUCAUCCAGUUAUCAUCUGAUAGUAACCUUUAGUUGACCAGUUAAUAUCAUUCCAGGUUUCACCAACUUACUUCAAACAAUAUAGGGUUAGUUCUCAACCUAAUGAAAGCAAUCAAUCAAGCUAGUACAGGCAAUCAGGUCAAUGAUAAGCGCUUUUACAAUAUAGCUUAAAAAGAGGAAUCAAGACUCGUCGAGCUUUACUUUGACUUGUUACUAAUUGAAACAAGUUACUUAAAUGUACUUAAUAGAGAAUACUCACCAACUGCUUUAGCAAAUACGGGCUUAUUGCUAGAACUCAGGUUGGAGCAAGCGAGCCCAAGACGGAUAAUGAGACAGGGUCUUCUCUUAACAUCAUAGCCAUGCCAGAAUACAAAGCAAUCCCAGUCCUUAAGUUCAUCUGGGGAUAACAUAGUGUAAGUUUGUCUCCAUUGUAUCGUCUUCUUCACUGCUGUAACAAACCUUGAGAAGUCACCAUUCGAAGCAGCAUAAAAUCUACAAAGCUCAUCCUCGUCAAGCCUGGAGAGGCAUAUCAUCCAGUUUAACACAGUUAAGAUACAGAUGACUAAUUUUCAAAUGGUUAAUGUUUCUUAGAUCAAAAUUUUCAGGCUUUGUGGCACAGUAAAGUAUCUAGACAUAUCAUCAAGUUUUAAUCCUUAAAAGUAAAAUUACUUUAACAGAAGCAUCAUAUCUAAGGAGUUGUGUCUGCAGUCCUUACCUUUCAGGUAAAGUCAAACCCUCCUCAUUUAACUUCUCAUGCAAGUCUUGCAACCACUUCCUGGAAACAAGAACUCUCGGAGCUUCAUUGGUGGACCUGGAAAAUCAUAUUGACCAACAAAAUGGAAUUUAUAUACACGCAAACAUCAUAUUAGCAUAUAUAAUGAUAAUCUACAUUAUCCAAAUUGCAAAGGAGUAUUGUUAUACUAGUUUAAUUCGGUGACUGAGAUCAAGAAUAUAAAUAUCAUCAAUGACCGAGACAAAUUUAAUUAAACUGGUGGCAACUCAUAGAACUGAUAUUAAUCUGAGCAGGUUUGGUACAUGUCAUGACAAGUAUACGGCUUUAAAAUUCAUACAAAGACUGGACAAAGCUGUAGCUCUAGAUUACUAGCCUAGGAAACACAAAAAGGCCAAGUGACUGCAAAAGCAAGUUUCUUCAGGGUAGUAAGAGGGCCUGACGCUACCAAACAACCAUACAAAUUUACCAGACCUCCCAAGUAUGAACAAUAUCAAAUGGGGAACACAGUAACACACUACAGCAUAUAUCACAAGAAAAAAAAAAAGCGUUCUUGCCAGAUCACAGGAACUUACUAAGCCAAAAAUAUGAGGAAUUAUUUAGUGCUUGUACUUGCAGUAGAAUUCAAUUUCUUACCUUACGUCUGGACUAGAUAAUUGAGAAGGUGACCCCGACUGUGUUUCGUAACCAUCUGGAGAGGCAUAGGAAUUGUCACAUGAAGAUUCAUCAGAGAAAAUUGUUGCGAUUGACAGAGCUAACAUUGGCUUCGACAACCCCUAGCAGAAAUAAGUAUCAUCAGUACCAUUAAUAUAAUCACAAUUUACAAGAAACAACUAUUAAAAGAAUCCUCGAAUAACGAAAACAAAAUUGUUGGCCAGUCCAUAUGAUAUAUAAUCAAGUGUUGGAUCGGAAAGAAAGUCUAUGGCAGUCCAGUUUCCUACAAAUACUGUGAUUGCGUUUCCAUCUUCUCUCAAGCCACUAAGAUGGAAUACCACAGUAUAGCUUGCUUGCUGUCCAUAAAAUUGGCCUAAUAGGAAAAUCCUAUCAGUAUCAAAUAAUCAAUACACCAAAUACAGGCUCAGAGCCAUUAGUCACCAUGCCAGUAGAGACAGAGGAACUACCUAAUUUGAAGCACUCGGAGUUAAUACCUAGAAAUCAAUGAUAUGGAGAUGCACGAAUUUAACAAAUCUAAAAAUAUUGGGAUCUGGUGCUUACUGCUUGGGGAUGCAGCUUAUCUAAAAAUGUUACAAAUAUACAUCUUGAUGAUGUUAUCGUAUAUUAAAUAUAAAAUCUAUAAGAAUUCAAGGGUAAUACAAUUCAAUAGAACCAGAAACUAUAGAAAAAUUUCACAAAAGAAAAAUCUUUAAUAUGUGACAGUAUACCAGUAGUAAAGAUUAAAGAAUUAUGUCAUUGCCCAGAAACUGCGGUACUUAUGUGGUACACACGCAAGUACAACAUAGUACACAAUGCUAUUACACUUUUAAGACAUCAUUUUUCAUUUGUUGCCUACUCUACUCUACCCACUACUCGACCCUAUAGGUGAAUACAAGACUUUACAUACAUCAUAUAUGACAGCUGACAGGAUAACGGAUAACCGAUAGAGACACAGUGGUCGGUGGACUGAAACUAUGAAAGAAGGCCAGAUUCUUUAAAACCCACUAUCUCUCAUCCUUUGAUUACAAAAUCUGCCAUCCCCGCACCCAACACCCCAACGCGCUCUUGCGGACACGUGUCGUACCCAUGCGUCUUGCCCAUUAAACAACUAAUAAAUAUGAAUAACUUGACUGAUAUAUAUUGAAUUGCUUCCUAAUUCGAAAUGGAGAAGAACUUUGAUUAUGAAAAUGAAUUUGCCUCAUUUUUGAACUCAUAUUGAUUAAAGUUUAAUCCUAUUUUGCUCAAUGCCGUGAUAAAAUAUAUAAUAUAUUUUGAGAUAAUUAAUUGAAAUAUUUUUGAAUUUUAUGACACCAAAAUUCCAAAUAAUGGAACCAAAUGCAACGAGAUCUAGCAUCGAUUUGAGAUACAAAUAGCAUAGUCUUUUAAAACUAGCCUUCUGUCACCAAAAAUUUCUAAGCAGCACAAGCUUGUCAGACUAAUGGACAUUCCCCAACUAUGUGGAGGAAUGCGAGCUAAGAAUAUCAAGGUUACCCGUAAAGGCUCCCUUUGUUUCACAGAGAACAUUUUGCUGGUUUCAGAUAUUCUGGUGUUUGUUAGAAUUCUAUUUUACAGAUUUCAUGUCUUUGUUUAGUUUAGGAAAAAAAGAUAUAUCUAUCAGAGUAUGAAAGUUACUUAAAAAAUGAAAUGCUUUAAACUUUCACAGGAAUUAGUGUCCUCCAUUUUGAGGAUUUUCCCUCCACAUAUUGAACAAUUACUCAACAAAAAUAUAUGCGAAAAUAUAAAACAUAUUUUCACACAUAUUUUUGUUCAGUAAUUGUUCAAAAUGUUAGUUCCAAAAAAAUAAUUAAUCAGCAAACAAAUUGUUCAAAAUGCUAUUUCCAAAAAAAUGUUCAAAAUUUAGGAGAAAUAUGUUUCCACUUUUUUUUUUUGAAAUUUCCGCAAACGAAUAUUAUUCCGGAUUUAUUUUCUCUGAAAAUCAAGUUAAAUUUUGGCAAACAACCGGACACGUACAGAAGUAUAUCAAGAUGCCCAUUUCUAGUAGGUGGAUUGUGAAUGAACUAGAUUACAAUGAUGCGACUCCUGUACAGUCAAUUAAUACGCAACAAAAUGAAAGAGAGCUUAAAGAGUAUUAGGAAAUGCAACUUAGGCACUAGAAACAUGGAAAUUUAAAACGGUAAGACAGUAAUAGUGAUACCAAACCAACCUGCAUAUUCUUAACCAAGCCCUUGAAAGGAGUCCAUCUCUCAAUCCACCUGAACGGUGGAUAGCACAGAAGCUGGAGAGCCUGGAGCCCUUCCCAGACAAUUGGGAACUUCGCAUUUGAGAUCCUCCGCACAACUUCUAGCGCUGCAGUUUUAAGAAGAAACACACCUAUGAUACCCACAACCGGAUGUGCUACUCCCUUUUUUAUAAAAGAAACACAUUGCAAACUCUUCUUAGAGUACGCCUCUGGAACUGAACCAACCAAACCUACUUGGUGUGCCAUUCUAGUAUUAACAUCCCUCGUCUCUAAGUUCUCACUUGAACCAGAUACCGAUACAGAGUUCCCCAUUCAACUUCCUUGCAACGUCAACUGAUACAUGUUAAAAAAAUAGUAAAUCUGCAUGCCUAUAAUAUACAAGGAAACUACACAUAAAAUUCUAAACUGAAAAGAUUCCGUAACAUACCUAUAAAAUACAAUUAAUUCAGAGAAGUCAAGUCUAACGUCAUGCAUUUGUCUUCGUGCAAAAGAGACAGAGAAAUUAUAUGGCGGUAUAAAAUGCGCUCAUAUGAAACCCUAGAUGACUUAAAACAGUAUACUGAGUAUAAUGACUGAACGCACUUAUUCCAAAAAUAUACUUUACUGCGCUUUAACUUUUUCUGGUCUUAUUUUAGAAAUCCAAUUAAAAGAAAUCCCUAGGCUGUAGCGUGAUCAACACGUCUAUUAAGACAUGACAUAUUAGGGUAGUUAUAAAUGGAUAUAUAAACUUUAUUAACAAUAAUCGCUCACCAUUUCUCAAUUGAUAUAUGUCACGAUUCUCUCCAUUUCUCACACAAUAUACGUCACGAUACUCUCCUGAUUAACAUUAUACGCAUCAAAACUUUCUAACGAUGUUCACUCCUAUUUUAAUGAAUCCAACCGUCAACUGAUCUUUCUAUUUUUUACAAUUCAAUACAACUGUCGUUAUAACCGUACUCUCUCAAUACAUUCCAGAACUUUUCCAUCAUGAUAAGAUUUCAUUCUUUCCAUAUCAUGACAACCUUACCCGAAAAUGAAGGUCACCAACAGCUGAGCUAAAUUGAGAUUACAAACACCAUUCUCUUCACAAAAAUAACGACUAAACUACCUCUAACUGAACUAAAAUAAUACUUAAUCAAAGGAAUCACUCCGAAAUCAAACUCCAACUCAAAACACAUUACAAAAUCACAUAAACAAACAUAACAGCUUAGCAAAAUUAAACAAAAACACUACAUACAGAAUCACAAAAACAAACAUAACAACUUAACAACAUCAAACAAAAACACUACAUACACAUACACAGGCUAACAAUAACAGUGAUCACAAUCAAUAAGUCAAUCACAGUGAUAUUAAACAAUCAAAUAAUAUUAAAAUGAGUAAAUUAAAUCUUCUAACAUAGCAAACAAAAAUUAUCCGAAAAAAUAUUCAAAAUAAAUACAAACACAUACACAAUCGCAUAAAAAAUAGAGGCGAAGAUGAUUUUACCUUGUUAAUUAGAGUGUUGAAAAACACAUAAUAUGAAAUGAAGAAUUUGUGACACGGAUAUGGAGGAGGAUGAGUUAGGGUUCGGGGAGAAUUGGAGAAGCUUCGUGAGUUUAUGAGAACUCAGAGUCGGUGAAUUGCGACUACUAAAUUUAUUAUUUAUUAUUUAUUACGUAUUUAAACUGGUUUUUUAUUCUGACAAAAAUUAAAAAAAGUUGGUAUUUUUCAUUUUUUUAUUAGUAUAUUAUAAUAAGAAUAAUAAUAUAAUAUAAUUUAGAACGGCGGAGGNCAGCGGCAUGCUAGGUGAAGGCAGCAGGAGUGAUUAAGUCGAAUCAAGAUGUACAAAUUUAGUUCGGUUUGAUUUUGAUUAUCUGAAAAUUCGGUUUAUGUGAUUCAGAUUUAAUAUAUCGAAACAAAAUUCAUAUUGAUCCGAUUUUUAAAAGAAUAUUCGAUCCGUGUCAAAUAAUAUAUAAUAUAAAUUUAUAUUCAUAUAUUUUUUAUAUAUAUCUUAGAGUACUGAGUAAGUAAUUAUAUUUUGAUAACUUGUACUACUUUAAAUUUACAAUUUUAAGACUGAUUUUUAAGGUCAACAAUUGUGUGGCUGAAGAAAUGUUUUUUUAACAGGUUAAUUAUCAAGUUGGUCACUGAAGUGAGCUUAAUGUAUCAAGUUGGUCACUGAACUCAAAACGGUAUCAAGAUGGUUACUAAAGUCACCAUAAAUAUCAAACAAGUACCUUGAAAUAUGAGUUCAAGUAGUAAAAAUAUUAUUUAUAAAGUUUUACACAUUAAUUUUAAAUGUUACCACAACCAGCUAAAAGGUUAUGACUUCUAGUAUUUAAAAUAAUAGAAGUUCCACCAAGAUUCAUCACAUGGAUACGGGGUUGUGUUUGCACCACUCAGUUUUCUGUCAAACUUAAUGGAGCUAGUGUGGGGUUUUUCAAGGGUGCUAAGGGGCUGCGUCAAGGUGACCCAAUAUCGCCGUAUCUCUUCACUAUUGCUAUGAAUGUGUUCUCCUCCAUUCUCAACCAAGUCCCUAGUGGCUUUCAGUUUCAUUGGAAAUGCAAAGAGCUCAAGCUUACCCAUCUUUUCUUUGCUGAUGAUGUCCUUAUCUUCUCUAGGGGCGACAGGACGUCCAUUGAGCACAUAAUGGCAUCCCUUGCUCUUUUCUCACGGGUUAGUGGUCUCUCUGCCAACCUUUUGAAAAGUACUUGUUUUCUUAACAACUGUGAUACCCUGUUGAAGUCUUGGUUUGAUCACACCUAUGCUAUCCCCCAUGGCACCUUGCCUGUGCGCUUCCUUGGCGUCCCCCUUAUCACAAAGCAGCUUUGUGUUAAUGACUGCAUGCCUUUAAUUGAAAAAUUAACUGCUAGAAUUGAUGAUUGGACAAACAUUCUGCUUUCUAUAGCUGGGAGAGUCCAACUCAUUAAAUCUGUCCUUUUGGCCAUGGUCUCCUUCUGGACGAGGCACUUCAUUCUCCCUAAGGGUAUACAUCACACCAUUCAAUCCAUCUUGACCCGGUUUUUGUGGAAGGGUUCUCUGGCUGUAGGUGGGGCAAAAGUGGCUUGGGUUGAUCUUUGUUUGCCCAAAGAGGAGGGUGGCCUCGGUAUUCCUAACCCGGCUACUUGGAAUGAAGCUCAAAUCCUCUCACACCUUUGGAAAAUUGUAAACAAAGAUUGUACAUCUUUAUGGGUCAAUUGGGUCAUUCGAACUGUCAUCAAGCACAAGUCCUUUUGGAUGCUUCCAAUCCCAACUGAUUGUUCUUGGAUAUGGCGAAAGAUUCUCACCCUUCGUGACUCUGCUCGAGGCCACCUCAAUUUCAGAAUUGGGAAUGGAGCCACGACAUUGCUUUGGUUGGACCCUUGGUUCAAUUCGACCCCUAUUGCCUCUUGUCCCAGGGAUCCUAUUAUUUCUUAUCUUGGCUCCACCCCCCAAGCCAAGGUUUCUGACUGGAUUUCUCAAGGGCAUUGGGCAAUCCCGGAUCCUAUUUCUUCUCAGCGUCGCAGCCGAGCCCGCUUUGAUGACUGGUUGGCGACCUUCACUUUUCCCCCUGUGUCCUCCAAUCCUGAUCUGCUUUUUUGGGACUCUAAUGCAGGAAGCAAUGUUACUGCUCGUCUUAUAUGGGAUACAAUUAGGCACCAUGGCCAUGGUGUGCCUUGGUUUUUUGCUGUGUGGUUCAAACAGGGGAUCCCUCGCUAUCGCUUUCACUCUUGGUUAGUUUGUAAGGAACGCCUUGGCACCCUUGACAGACUCGACCAUUGGGAUCUCACACCUACUUUACAGUGUUAUCUUUGUAUUGGUGGAGUGGAAUCUCACUCCCAUCUAUUCAUGCACUGCCCUUAUACUUCCUAUAUCUUGGAUUUGCUGUUUGCCCCUAUUUACAGGAUUCGGAUCUUACCCCACUGGAAAUGGACGCACCUCCUCGAGCAUCUCAUGACCUGUCCUGAUCCUACCAGGCGAACCAUAUCUCUCAUUGCUGCCCAGGUUACUUCCUACCACUUAUGGCGAGAGAGAAAUGCUAGAAGACACAACAGAGGCUCCUUUGGCCCACGAAAGCUUCUUCAUGGAAUCAUCACUGACUUACAGGCUCGAAUUUUUGGGGAGCCUUGGUUCAUUGCUGCUGUUCGUAGUAAUUGUAUUCUGAGAACUUGUAUAUCACAAUUUGACUAGCUCUUGGGACUGUUUAUUUAUGGGGUUGUUCUGCCCUCUUCUUUCUUUGCUCGACUCUCUAGUUUAAAUCUGUUGUCUUAGAUUUAUCUUAGAGAGUCAUAGAUGGCAGGAUAUUUUGUACAUUCUUUUCUCUUCUAAUACAUAUCUAUUUAGCAAAAAAAAAUAAAAAUAAUAUAUAUAUAUAUAUAUAUUUUAUCAAGUUUAUUUAUAAUUUAUAUUUUAUUAUAUAGUUAUUUUUUUAAUUAAAAAUAAAUAAUAAAUAAACUUGAUAAAAUCUAAAUAUAUUAUCAUAUAUAUUAAAAGUCAUAACCUUUUACUUGGUUUUGGUAACAUUCAAAAAUAAUGUGUAAAAUUUUAUAAAUAAUAUUUUUACUGCUUGAACUUAUAUUUCAAGGUACUUGUUUGAUAUUUAUGAUCACUUCAGUGACCAUCUUGAUACCAUUUUGAGUUUAGUUACCAAUUUGAUACUCCCUCCGUCCCAUUUUAUGUGACCUCAUUUCCUUUUUGGGACGUCCCAAAAAGAAUGAACCUAAAAUACUUACUAUUUUUGAACACUACUUUUUACUAUUGGGAUAAUUAAUUUAUAGGUCCUUGAACUUUGGCCCAUUUUUGGUUCGCGUCCUUGAACUAAGUUUGUCAACGUGCGCAUCCUUAAACUUUGUAAAUUUUCAACUCAGGUCCCUCCGUCAGUUUUUAACUAACGGACGUUAUCUUAAAUUUGGGGGUUUUUGAUUCGUUGAUGGAUUGAUGAAACUGAUGGCAUGGGAAGUUUCGGGAGGUCAAACUGAAGAGAUUCAUGUAGGUUUCGAUGGCGGAAGAUUGCCAAAAUGGUAGCCGGAAUCAAUGGUCAUUUUCCGGCCGCCGGAGAGAUUGUCACCAUUCUGGCAAUCCUCCGCCAUCGAAACCUACAUGAAUGUCUUCGGUUUGACCUCCCGAAGAUUCAUAUACCAUCACUUUCAUCAAUUCAUCAUCGAAUCGAAAACCCCCAAAUUCAAAACCCUAAUUCACUAACUUCCGUUAGUCAAAAACUGACAGAGGGACAUGAAUUGGAAAUUUACAAAGUUUGAGGAUGCGCAUAUUGACAAACUUAGUUCAAGGACGCGAACCAAAAAUGGACCAAAGUUAAAGGACAUAUGAAUUAAUUAUCCCUUUUACUAUUACACCCACUAACUCUAUAUUUUAUACUCUCUUAUUAUUAAAUAAACACUAUUACACCCACUAAUUUUCUCCACUAUCCCAAAUCUAUUAUUAAAUAUUGAUAGGUCCCACCACUUUACCCACUUUUCAACUACAUUUACUACUUUUUUCUUAAUCUCCGUGAAAGUCAAACCCAUUCAUAUAAAAUGGGACGGAGGUAGUACAUAUUAAGCGCACUUCAGUGACCAACCAGAUAAUUAACCUUUUUUUUAAACAUAUUAAGGGCUCUGCUCCAAGUUAUAAGAUGUUGUUGACAGUCUUAAAGACAACAUGGGCAAAAAUGUUUACAAGAGCUCUAUUUUGUAAACGCGAGCUAGCGCGGUUCGAACUCAUUUAACUAGGCUUGGUUAGACUUGUUAAACGAGCCGAAUUUGGGUAAAGGUUUCGGCUCAUUUAAAAACGAGUCGGCUCGACUCGGCUCAUGAAAUUAAACGAGCCGAGUUCGGGUAGAUGUUUAGACUCGAUUAAGUGUAAAAUUAUACGAGCUGACUCGCUCGACUUGUUAAAACCAACUCGUUUAGCUAAAUGAGCCGGGUCGACUCGAUUUGUGAAAUUAAACGAAUCGAGUUCGGACAGAAAAUUAGACUCGUUUAACUAAACGAACUGGUUCGACUCGAUUAAAUUUGACUCGAAUUAGGCCCGGCUUAAAACUCGACAGGCUCGACUUGUAAUACCCUAUCUGUGUAUAUAUGUGUCGACUGUGUGUACUGAACAUAUUCAUCUAAUCUAAAAUUCUCAAUCAAUUUGUUACGCACAAGAUGAAUUAUUAACAAUAUUUGUGUGGAAACUGGGCAGUGGACGACAACCCGACUUUAGUUUUGUAGUUGGAUGGUUAAAAAGAACAUGUACACUUUCUAACAUUGUGUUUUUUGACUUUUACGAACUUUAAUUUCUAUAAUUUAUAAUAUUUUUAUACAAAUAUAGUUUAUAGUCUUUAUUUGCAUACUUACAAAAUAUUUUGAUUAUAUUACUUGUUUAUUCAGAAAUUUUAUUUCUCAUACUUUUUACACAUCGAGAAAUUUGAUUCAGAUUUAACAAAUGACACGAAAUUUUAUUUGUGCAGGAAUUUUACUUCUUCAGAUUUUUUUUUACUCAUCCAUAAAUUUGAUUUAAAUUUAAACAAAUGAUCUCUUAAAUUACGAGAAAUCAAUAAUACUAGGUUUUUCUAAAAUAAAAUUACAAAUUUCAAAACAAAAGUAAAAAUUGAAUCUUGAGUUUCUUUAUGGGGUGAAUCUGCUUUAUAAUUCUAGGCACAUUCACAGAAGCUUGAGGUUUGGAUGUUAAAUUGAUUAGAUCAAGAUGAAAUAAGUCUCUAAGAAAGACCAGCUAAAAAAUGUAAUAAAUAAUUUAAUAACUAACUUAACAGCACGAAGCUUAGAUAGAAGAAAGAGGAGGGAGACAGAUCAAAACUAGUAUGAAUGUGUUGGGUUAAUUUUAUAUGGUAAACUGGUGACUCUUUUCAUUAGAUUUAUGAUCGGAAUAUAGUGGUUACACUAAAAAGUUUCUUUGACGAAGAGUGUUUUCUUUUGUUGAUAUUAUUGUAUCAUUCGACAACUAUGUAUAGUGUAUGCUGACAAGGCCUAAGGCCUACUGAUAUGAAACCACAAGCACAAUAGACAAUUAUACAGUAGGUGAGAUGAAGCGUUUAAAUCUAAACACAUUAGAUUACGGUUGUUAGGGAAUAAGGUGGAAAAAAGUGUUGGACGAGAAAAUAUUAGAAUUUUUUUUUUCGCUUGAUAAUAUUGUAUUUUUCAACAAUUUUUUCCGUCUUAGAAUCCGGAUCCUUGGAUUAAUUAUCUGGUUUCUUAUAAUCUGAACCGUGAUCUUUGUUAUGAGAAAUUUACUUAAAUUUAUUAAAGCGACUUAUAGAGUCUAGUCAGUCAAUGUUGUCAGCUGCUUCCUAGAAGAUAACUGAGUGGAGUUUGUCAAUCAACUUUUUCAGCAACCAGCUCUCUCCUUCCUCCCAAGUCCUGAUGAAUUUCUCAUUCUUUCUCUGAAACAUAUAAGAGCUCCUUACUUCUACUAGACACUCAAUUCUCGCAUUCUCUUUUGUUAUGCAAAAUGGCCAGAGGAGAAGAGCCUGUGAUCGGAAUCGAUCUCGGAACCAUGUACUCAUGUGUUGGAGUUUUUCAAAACGGUCAUGUAAAGAUAAUUGCCAGUGAGCAUGGUGGGAGGAAGACACCAUCUUGUGUGGCUUUCACUGAUACUGAGAGGCUUAUUGGCGAAGCUGUAAUUGACCAGGCUGGGAUGAAUGCUGCUAACACUGUCUUUAGUAAGUAUUCUUGCUAUUUUAUGUCUGUUUUCGGUAAGGAUCGAAUUAGGACAAAUUUAAAUAUUCACGCGCACAUAUUUAAGCAAAGGCCAUCGUCUUAACACGUUCAGGUUUUGGGAGGAUCGAGAACUUAACAUAUCCGUUAGGACUUGGGCCAAAUUUUAUUUAUUCUUCAUAGGCAGUGUGGUGAUACAUUUUUGUAGCGUUUCUCACUUCUUAAUGUUGCAAAAGCAUUAAUUAAGAUUCAAGUUAGCCUAUAACUGACAGAACUAUUGUUUGUAUGAUCCUAACAAGAACUCUGUAGUUUCUUCACUCCUUUACCUCUAAACCAUUUUAUAGCUUAAGAUCUAGACCUCGAAGUUCACGAGUACAACCGGCGCUGAUGUAUUUUUCAAACAAACUACUAAAAAGUUAGAUAAUGUAGCAUUAUUUUUGGAAUAAGUGUUAUUGUAGUGUCUUAAGAUUAGCAGACCUAUUUAAGAUAAUACUCCAUUCCGAUUUCUGUUUAAUCUGUCAUAAUCUCCGCAUUAUCUGUGAGAUCAGUUUCAACCCUAAAUGCUCUCCCUUGCUUACCCAAAAUAAUCAAAAACAUAGGUUGGGAGGGGACUUUUGUUACAUUUUCCGGAUGACUGAGGAAUAAGAUCUGAAGGCGCAUAAAAAAAAAUUAAGUUGAUUACAAGUUAUUCUGCUAAACGUGUCCAUGAUCUGAUGUUGCCUGUCCAAAAAAAGUAAUUCUUAUCCUUGUUACUAAUAUUGUGAUUUAUAAAACAGAUGCUAAACAGCUGAUAGGCAGAAAAUUCAGCGACUUGUCUGUACAGCGCGAUAUAAAAAACUGGCAGUGUAAAGUGUUCUCAGGUCCUUUGGAAAAGCCCAUGAUUUUGGUCAAUUACAAAGGUGAGGAGAAGCAGUUCUCGGCAGAAGAGAUCUGCUCCAUGGUUCUCGUAAGGAUGAAGGAAAUUGCGGAGAAGCAUCUUGGAACAACAGUAAGAAAUGCUGUUAUCACUGUCCCUGCUUACUAUAAUGACUCUCAGCGCCAAGCAAUUAGAGAUGCUGGAACCAUUGCUGGCCUGAAAGUAAUGCGCACAAUUGCUGAGCCAACUGCAGCUGCAGUUGCUUAUGGUUUUGACAAGAAGCUGGCAGGAAUCGUUAGUUCAGACGGGGAAAAGAAUGUGCUCAUCUUUGAUCUUGGUGCUAGUAACUGUAACGUGUCUCUUCUUACAAUGGAAGAUGGUAUAUUCGAAGUGAAGGCUACACAUGGUGCGAGUCAGUUUGGAGGGGAGGAUUUUGUUAAUCGUAUGGUCAAUCACUUUGUUGAGGAGUUCAGAAGGAAAAACAAUAAGGACAUAAGUGGUAAUGCGAAAUGUAUGAGAAGAUUGAAAAAAGAAUGUGAGAAGGCAAAAAGGUUGCUCUCCUCUGUCCCAGUGACCAACAUUUAUUUGGAUUAUUUUUACUACGAUGACAGUUUCUCUGCAAAUAUAACUCGUGAUGAUUUCAAUGAGUUAAACAAAGAUCUGUUUGAAAGUUGUGUGGAGCUGGUCAAGAAGUGUUUGAGGGAUGCGCGGAUUGAUAAAAGACACAUCCAUGAGGUGGUCCCUGUAGGUGGAUCUUCUAGAAUUCCUAAAGUGCAGCAGUUACUGAAAGAGUUUUUCAAUGGGAAGGAGCUGUCCAUGGGUUUAAAUACCGAUGAGGGUGUUGCAUAUGGCGCAACUGUCCAGGCUGCGGUUCUGAGUGGCAGAGGCGACGAGAGGUUUCAAGACUUGAUGCUGUUGGAUGUUAAUCCCUUAUCCCUUGGAAUUGAUAUUAAUGGUGAAAUGUCUGUCAUUAUUCCUAAGAACUAUAACAUUCCCGCUAAAAAGUUUAAGAUUUUUCCAACCACUACUGACAAUCAGGUUGCCGUGUUCAUCCAAGUGUUUGAGGGUGAACACAAAUUGACAAAACAUAACAAACUGUUGGGAAAAUUUGUAUUCUCUGGCAUUCCUCCUGCGCCUAGUGGUGUUUCAAAGUACAUAGUGUACUUUGAUAUCGAUGCAGAUGGAUUGUUCAAUGUUUCUGCAGAAAAUGAGAAUUCAGAGCCGUUGGAGGAGAUAAAAGUGCCAACUUACGAGGAUAGAUUUUCAAAAGAAGAGCUUAAGAAGUUGGUACAAGAAGCUAAGAAGUACAAAGCAGACGAUGAAGAGAACAAAAAGAAGAUGGAGGCAAGAAUUGCUGUAGAGUCUUACUUCUAUAACUUGAAGAACAUCAUCAGUGACGAGAGACUAAGUUCCAGAUUUGGGGUAGCCAGCAGGAAGAAAAUGAAGGAUGCUAUUGAUAUCGAAAACCUGUGGUCAAAUGGGAACCAGUUUGUAAAGUUGGAGAACUUGGAGGAAAUUAUUAAGGAGCUCAAGGGACUCGCAAUAUUUUAACAAUGCUGCACUUCUGGGAAUCUUGAUUUUGCCGUGUUGAUAAGUAAGAAUUGCUCGUUUUCCAGUUGAUCAGCUUGUGCAGAGGGGGUAUUCCUAAAGAUUGAGGAGGGUUCUGUCAAGGUCUUGUACCUGCUUGUGUUUGCUUUGGUUGAAAAUUCUGUUUUAUAUUUUAUCUGGUAUCAUGUUCCAUUAUACAGCUUAUAUUACGUGAAUAUAAUAUAAUUCUGGAAAAUAAUUAUAAAAUGUUACCUGGGUUAUAUGGUGACACAUAUGACAUAAAUAAUAUUCAAAUAUUAGAAAAAAGACCCAACUAUAUAAAAAUAUUAAAAUAUUCAUUAUAAAUGACAAGUAAGAUCUUAAUUCAUAUCCAUACCCAUAUUCCAUAUAUUCCAUAUAUACUUAAUACAUGCUAGUGAAUACAAUGGUACGGAUAUGAAUAGUAUGAAUAGAUAUAAAAUUUUAAUUAUCUAUUUAUUAAGAUUAUCGCAAUAGUAUGAAUAGAUAGUAUUUAUAAUACUAUUUAUUCAAUAGUAUGAAUAGAUAUAAAGUUUAAUUUUUUAUAAAUAAAUUUUUUCUAUAUGAAAUCAACAUGGAUAAUUUGAUAUUAUACGAACUAGGAAGAGUAAUCGUGCUCAUCGUAGUUUAUAUAAUUGUUGUUAAUACUAUUAUAAAUUUGCAUACUUUUUAUCUUUUUUUUUUGAUAAAAAUCGUGAUUUUUUUUUUUGUAUUAAUAAUUAUAAAAUCUUAAUGGGAGCUCACGAAGCGCGGGCAUAAUUGCCUAGUACAAUAAAUAACAUGUAAUAUUUGAAUAACAAAAAGAAAAUAUAUAAUUUCCAUAAAAAUCUACUCCCUCCGUCCAUCAGAUUCUUUACAGUUUUUUUUUGAUGUCCCAUCCAAUUCUUCACAUUUCAAAACUUAACAAAAUUAGUCGAUGGGUCCCACCACUACUCCCUCCGUCCCUUUUACAUGUCCACUUUGGAAAAAAAAUUUGUCCCAAAUUACUUGUCCACUUCUCUUUUCAAAGCAACUUUUUGUAUGAGUUUUCAAAAAGUAACAAUUUUCAAUGUUUAACUAAUAUAUAUAUAGGGGAGGGUUCUGGUACAAACUUACAAACUUUUUUUGUUCAACACAUAUAUAACUUGAGUUCAACGUUUUUUAAGAUAUUUUGUUGAACAUCGAUUAAAAUUGUGUUGGAGAAGUACAUAAACUAAUUUUUUAAUAUAAAAACUAAGUUAAACCUAUUAUAUAACCAAGAGAAAAGUUAUAUGGAGACCACUUUUUUUGGAGACCGUGGAGACCAUUAUAUUCUGCAAGUAAAAUAUUGCAUAAAAACAUUGCAAAACUCAUAAUUUUGCAAAUCAAAACACAUUAUUUUGUGAAAUAUGUACUACAAAUAUCACAAAUUCAUCAAAGUUAUUGAAGAACAUCUAUGUUUAAUAAGUAGAAUGUGUAUGUUCUGCAAAUUGAACAAAUGUUCUGCAAACUAAACAUAUUCCGCAGGACAAAACAUUUUGUAAUAUUCUNAUAUGUACUACAAAUAUCACAAAUUCAUCAAAGUUAUUGAAGAACAUCUAUGUUUAAUAAGUAGAAUGUGUAUGUUCUGCAAAUUGAACAAAUGUUCUGCAAACUAAACAUAUUCCGCAGGACAAAACAUUUUGUAAUAUUCUACAUGCAAAACAUACAUGAUAUUCAAGAUUUUAAAUGAUAUAAGAAUCUUUGCACAACCUGUUUUGCAAAAUUAUGAGUUUUGCAAUAUUUUUAUGCAAUAUUUUACUUGCAGAACAUAAGUGGUCUCUACGGUCUCCAAAAAUAGUGGUCUCCAUAGAACUUAACUUAUUUAUAUUUCUAGACCCUACCCAAACCCCAGAGGUAUAGUUUAAGCAUCUCUAUAAAUGUAUUCAACACAAUGAUAACUAAUGUUCUACACCCAAUGUUGAACCCCAGUUACAAAUGUGUUGAAUGCACGAUUUAUUUAUGCGUUAUUUUUAUAAUUGUGACGUUUUUUCAAUAAUUUUAAAUAUAAAUACUUUCUAUAACUAAGGAUUAACAGGUUGGGAGAAUAAAAAAAAUUCAAAAAAAAAGUUUGUAAGUUUGUAAGUUAAAAAAGUUUUUAUUUGAUCCUAUCCCUAUAUAUAUAUAUAUACACAACUCUAUCUAAUUCAUUACAUUUAUUAGAGAUAUGUAUGAAAACAAGAUAUCCAACUAACAUUUUUUUAAGAUACGUUAUUUUUUCAAAAGGGACAAGUAAAAAGGGACGGAGGGAGUAUCUAAUUUUUCCUCUCUUUUCACGCUAUAUAUAUACACAACUCUAUCUAAUUCAUUACAUUUAUUAGAGAUAUGUAUGAAAACAAGAUAUCCAACUAACAUUUUUUUAAGAUACGUUAUUUUUUCAAAAGGGACAAGUAAAAAGGGACGGAGGGAGUAUCUAAUUUUUCCUCUCUUUUCACGCUACUUUUACUCUCUUUUCACAUUACCUUUACUCCACUAUCUCCUUUUUAUACAUUAAAAAUUAAUGGGUCCCACCACUUCACCCAAUUUUCUUUCUCUUUCACUAUUUUAUACGUAUUUCUUAACCUCUGUGUCCAACUCCAAUGUAAAGAACUCACCGGGACGGAGGGAGUACUUAGAUAUGCAAUAUCUAACAAUUAAUAUCAUUUAAUAUCUAAUUAGCAAAAACAAAACAUGCAAUAUCCAAGAAAAUCCACAAGAUAUGCAAUAUCCCAGAAGAUUUUUAUAGAUUUAAUUUCUAACAAUAUUUAUUACUAGUUAAUACACAACAACUAUAAAUAUCAUGCACAUUUUAUUUCCAAGCAUCAUCCUCACAUCAAAGACAUUAUUCAUUUUGUUGAAUUUAUAAUCAGUUGUUUCUUAAGACCUAGUAUGGAGAAGGCUCGAGUCAACAAAAUUAUUUCUCUUCUUGUAUUUUGGUCAUGGUGUGCGAUAUGUCAUGUAGUUCUACAUAGUUAAUCUAUCAAUAUAUAUUAUAAAUAAUAUAAUUUUGUGCUUCGUGAUCUCUGAUGUCAAUGAAAUAUUAUUAUUUUUGAUAAUUUAUGCAGAUUUAAAAUUAAUGGGAACAAAUGCAUCAGAUACACAAUGCAAAAGUGACAAUGAUUGUGAUUUAGUAUGUACCGAUAAAGCCAAAUGUGCAAAAGGUGAAUGUCAAUGCGUACUUUUUGGUUACGUUCCUGGCCCUAUUCGUGGUCAUGGUUUUGAUGAUAUGUAUGGUAGGUAAACAAGUAUGCAAGAAUGGUGUGUGCAAAUGUGUAGGACAUAUCGGUGACGAGAAUGAAGGACGCGGGGGCAUUUAUUAACAUAUGUAUAAUGAUUAUUUUUUCAGUGAUAUCAACUUAAUGAUUAGUUCAAUUUCUUGCUCGAUUACUUUCUUUGUUUUGACUCGAUUUUUUAUAUUUUCCGACACUAAUUAAGUAUAUAAACUUUUUUCCAACACAAUACAUAUAUUAAGACAAAUGAAAGUAAAACAAACAUCAUUUACCUAAAAUUACUAACCUUCUAAUUUUUUUUAUUUCUUUGGUCACAAACUGACUUCUAAUUUAACCUUGAAUAAUUUUUUAUUUUCAACAAUAUGAAAUAUUCUCAACUAGUGACGCUUCAUAAUUUGUUUUGGGGCCAGUUGAUAGAGGAAUACAAUCGACAGAGUAAAUUAAAUAAGAGGAUGUAAAAUCGUGAUCGGUUACGUGAUUAGAGUAAAACUCAAAUAGACAAAAAAAACUUAAAUUAAUAAACAUCAGUAAAAAAUGAAUUGUAUAGAGUCGAACCAAAAUUAAAAAGUUAGAAACAAUUAAUUUUUUUAAACUUUAUUAAUAAAUUACAACCAAACGGAGAAAAUCAGACUAAUUUGAUUAUUAAGAUAAAAUCCUUUUAAUAAUAUAUAUAUACAUAUAUAUAUAGAGAGAGAAAUCUAUAUAUAUAUUAUAUUAUAAUAUAUUAUAUUAUAUUAUAUAAGUAAUAUAUUUUUAAUAUAUGCAAUUUUUUAAGUUACUAAUCUCUAAAUUAUUAAGCAAUGUGUUGUUAAUUUUCUUAAAUGGCAAGUUGUAGGGGGUGUAUUCCGUUGAGAUUUUAAUGAAUUAUAUAUUGAGUUUGUGAAUUUUAAUGGAUUGUAUUUGAUUUAAAUUUUAUACAGAUUCUUAAUAAAAAAUGACUGAGUUGAUGAGAGUCUUUAGGAUUUAAACACGAUACUUCAAAAUCUCAUAGAUUUUGGUGGAAUUUCAAAUAUCCUAAAAUACACCGAAUAAUCUAAAAUAUCCAUCAUUUUAUGAAGUUCAAAAAGAGCCAUGAGCAAUUGAAUACCAUCAAUGGAUUUUAAAUAAUCCAAAUUGAAUACCAUCGAAUUUUAAAGCAUAAUUUAAAAUCCUGAUUGAAUAUCACCAGAUUUUGUAGCAUAAUUUAAAAUCCUAAUUGAAUAUCCCAUGAUUUGAUCAUUUUUUAAAAUUCGAGUUCAAUACCCUCGAAUUUCAUAAAUAAAAAGAAAUAUUUACAAUUCCAAUUAAAUACACUCUCUAAUUUAGUUUUAUGGAUUUCUUUGAUAAUUUUAACUUGCCACUUGAGUGCUUGAGCAUGGAUUGUCCAUAUAUAUAUAUAUAUAAGGAUAUAUUGUCCUUCUAUGGUCACCUUGAUAUCUCGAUUUAUUCUUACUCAUCCUAUCAUUGGACAAAUAAUUCUGUAGACUUCAGGCCCGCGAUAUUUUCACCCGAGAGUUGCAGGGACUAAGAGCUUUAAGGUUUAUAGUAGAAAUAUUAUUUCAAUUAAAUUUUGUUUAUAUUAUCUCACUAGAUUUUAUAAUUUAAACCAAAUUAAUAGUGAUUAGCCCAUGUUUUUAUUUUAAAACUGUCAAUUACAGCUGCGCUUUCGACGUCAAAUAUCUAAUAUAUCUGCUUUCUUGUAAGAAAUGUGCACCAAUGUGAUUCGAGGAUCAUAUUACAUGUGAUUUAAAACAAGUUUGUGAGAACAAAGAACGGUAAGACAAUCGUCCAUAUCAUGAUAAAAUGCAGAACUAUAUAUCAAGAAUAACAAUAAUAUGAAAUAUGCGAUAUUAGUUUUUGAUUAUGAUCGACAAUUACACAAAGAACAUGCACCAUCGACCUAAUGCGAAAAAUGUUUGACAACAAAUUCUAUAAUAUCUGUUCCUCGAACAAUCGAGUAUGAACGAAAUCAUUGUUACCAGUAUUACAUACACAUACGCCCUUAUCACAAUCCACAAAAUCACAGGCCAUUCGAGGACAGUCCGCUUUAGUUUUGCAUCGGGCAGCAUUUGAAUUUUGUAAAGUGCCUGGAUGAAUAAAUUGAUAUACUUGUUAAAUUAAUUAACAUAUUAUAAAUUAUUCUCUAUGUAGCUCUAUAAUGUAAACAUUGCAACUUGGUGAACAAGAUAGGACAUACCGCAAAUCAUAAGCAAUAAAAUAAAAAACCCGCACGUGUUUAGUGAAAGUUUGAGCAUGUUGUGCAUAAAAGAUACUAGUACUAUUUAUCGAUAUUAUUAGUAAUUGCAACGUACAAGUUUCAUUGUAAUAUUGCAAUUGCUUAUAUAAUUAACAUGGUCCAUAUUGCAUUAAAUAAAUGUAUUAAUGAUAAAUUUAUUGUCUCCAGCUAACAUGUAAUAUGCCAGGUAACGAUAAAUUUAUUGUCUCCAGCUCACAUGUAUAUGCUAGUCUCCCAUCAACGAGUGUGAAGACUAUCAUUCAGUUUUAUACAAACGAAUCAUGAUCUUUAUUUGGGGGCUUGUGAUGGACUUGUAGAUUACUCAAAUCUUUCUUUUUAACAUCAAUCAUCAAUCCCUAACUAUCGUCAAAUUUUCAUUCAACAACAUCUUAUAGCUAUCUAUUUCUUUUUUUUUAACUAACUAAAUCUCGCUCCAACUUGGCUCAUAUUUUUUGAGAAAAUAAUUUUUUCAUAAACGACUUUUUAAAAAUUUCCCGUAUAGGAUUGGACACCUUAUUCCUCUUUACCUAUCGCCCACCUCUUAUUCAUAAGACACCAAUUAUAAGCGCUUCCCCGGAGUUGGUAGCUUGCAAGACUAAGUUUAACUUGAUGAUUUUUUUUUUCCAUCUCUAAACAGGAUGUAAUCAUUUAUCGACUUUUGAAGGUGUUAGGUAGAUUUCUCGAAAGGUUGGGGACUUGCCUUCUCAGGAUCCGUUUUAAGGUGUUGAUGAAAUUUGAUAUACUCUUAGAAAAAAUCCAUUUAAAAAAGUGAUGUAGAAAUCAGAUAACUGUUUUGCAAUUUUUUUGAUAUUUAUAUAUUUUGAGUUAUAAGAUAAAAAAAAUAAUUUUUGGUGAGUUUUAAUAGUAAAAAAAGUUUUUUCCAAAAAUAUAUGGGAACCUGCUUUUCCUAAAUAUAAUUUUUGAGCUAAAAGCCGCUAUUCGAAAAAUCUGCUUUUAAAUAUAACAAACAGUUUUUCACAUGUUUUUCAAUAAGAAAAUUUAUGUUGCUGUUUGUCAUAACAAUGCCAAACGGAGCUUUAAACUAAAGUUGACUUUUUGAUUCAGUUGUUUGUUCCCAACCAAUGUCGUUGAAGUUUCGCCAAUUAAUUCAUCAUAUUUAUAUCUUUGUUAUCAUUGUUAUUACCGUUUCCGCUUUUGUUUCGUUGGUGAGUUAUGACUGCUACAUAAUUCAUUUAUAACUUAAUCAUAGUACAAAUAGCAAACAAUAUUCGAACAAAUAUGCAUGACAAAAUAAACGCAAUGCUUGAAUUUGUACUAGUAAAUUGACUGAAAAAGAUAAUUUUUGACGACUUAUAAGCCUAUAAUAUUGUGUCACUAUGUUUUUGUGAUUUUAAUGAGUUGUAGAUUUAAUUUAUGUAACUUUCAAUUUUUUAUGUGAUACAAUAAUUCUGAUUCUACAAUAACUAUGAAAUUAUAAAAAUAUCAAAUGAGGUGUUUUAUUUGAAUUAUGAAGUUAAAUUUAUUUGUAUAACUCAAUACUUACGAAUUUACACAUAUUUAAGUUAGAAAGUGAGAAAAAUUGACUUAGAUAUAUCUAAAUUAUUAGUAAUUUAUAGAGCUUCAUUUCCUUGCAUAUAUAUUAUAUUAGACUAUAUUUUUCUAUGUUGGUUUCUAGGAAUUCUAUUAUCAUUUUGAAUUUUAUUUCCUAAUUAAUUCAUGAUAUUUCAGGUUUAGUUUUAAUGUUUAAAUGAAAGCUAACUGUCUGAAAAUUUAUAUUAAUACAUUUCAAAUUUAUUUCCGUCAAAAUACAUUUAAAAAAACUAGACAUAUUAUACUAAGUUUAGAAAAAUAGGCUUUCGGCCCAAACCAACAAAUAUUAUGCUCCAAUAACACAAUAUAAAUUGUAAAAUUCUAAUCAAAUUUUGAUUCUGAUAUUUAAACCAUAUAUGUAUGAGUUUAAUUGUAUACAUUUUAUUUGAGAUUUAUCGAGGAAUAUUAAAAUAUUAAUUAUAAAUAACAAGUAAGACCUUAAUACAAUAAAUAAUAUGUAAUAUUUGAAUAGCAAAAGAAAAUAUAUAAUUUUCAUAAAAAUCUACUAGAUAUGCAAUAUCCAACAAGUAAUAUCAUUUAAUAUCUAAUUAGCAAAAACAAAACGUGCAAUAUCCGGAGAAAAUCCAUAAGAUAUGCAAUAUCCCAGAAGAUUUCUAUAGAUUUAAUUUCUAACAAUAUUUAUUACUAGUUAAUACACAACAACUAUAAAUAACAUACACAUUUCAUUUCCAAGCAUCAUCCUCACAUCAAAUACAUUAUUCAUUUUGUUGAAUUUAUAAUCAGUUGUUUCUUAAGACCUAGUAUGGAGAAGGCUCGAGUCAACAAAAUUAUAUCUCUUCUUGUGUUGGUCAUGGUGUGCGGUAUGUCAUGUCUACAUAGUUAAUCUAUCAAUAUUUAUUAUAAAUAAUAUAAUUUUGUGCUUCGUGAUAUCUGAUGCUAAUGAAAUAUUAUUAUUUUUUGAUAAUUUAUGCAGAUUUACAAUUAAUGAGAACAAAUGCAUCAGAUCUACAAUGUAAAAGUGACGGGGAUUGCAAAUAUUAUGCUGAAUGUGUCGAUGGUAAAAUGAGAUGUGUAAAAGGUGAAUGCCGAUGCAUACAUUUUGGUAUCCCUGGCCCUCAACCUAGUCACGGUUUUGAUGAUGAUAAGAAAGUUAACAACGAGGUUAGAUGUAAAACAAUGAGAGAUUGUUUAAAUUAUCUAUGUUUAGUAGGUAAACAAGUAUGCAAGAAUGGUGUGUGCAAAUGUGAAGGACAUGUUGGUCACGAAAAUGAAGGACGUGGAGGAAUUUAUUAAUAUAUAUAUAUGUAAUGAUUAUUUCUUGAGUUUUAUCAACUUAGUGAAUUAGUUCAAUUUCUUGCUCUAAUUACUUUUCUUUGUUUUGGCUCGAUUUUUAAUAUUUUCCAACACUAAUAAAGUACAUAAAUUUCCCCCCCACAUAAUACAUGUGGUAAGACCAAUGAAAGUAAAACAAUCAUCAUUUGACUAAAAUUUCUGACCUUCUAAUUUAUUUAUUUUUGUGUGUCACAAACUGACUUUAUACUUAAACCUCAAAUAAUCUUUUAUUUUCAUUUUCAAGAAUAUGAAAUAUUAUGAACUAGCAACACUUCAAAAUUUGUUUUGAAGUUAUUUGAUAGAGGAAUACAAUCGACAAAAUAAAUAAAAUAAGAGGAUGUGAAAUAGUGGUCAAUUACAUGAUUAAAGUAAAAUAUUGGAUAGAUACAAAACUGAAAUCAAUAAAAAUUAGUAAAAACAAAAUCAUAUAGUUGAACCAAAAUUAAAAAGUUGAAAACAAAUACAAAAAUUAACUUUAUUUAUCAAUUACAAAGAAACAGAAAAAAAUCAGACCAAUUUGAUAAUUAAAAUAGCAUCCUUUUAAUAAUUUAUAUACAUUUUUUAUAUAAAUAAUUAUGUAUUUUUAAUAUUAGCAGUUUCUUAAGUUAUUAAUCUCUAAAAUUAAAAUUGAGCAAUGCAUUGUUAAUUUUUUUAUAGGGGAAAAUUCUAGGGGGUGUAUUCAAUUGAAAUUUUAAAAUUUUUUAUAUGAUCUAUGGAUUUUAAUGGAUUGUAUCUGAUUUUAAUUUUAUACGGAUUCUUGAUAAAAUAUGACAGAGUUGAUGAGAGUCUUUAGGAUUUAAACAGAAUACUUCAAAAUCUCAAGGAUUUUGUUGGAAUCUCAAAUAUAUUCAAAUACACCGAACAAUCUAACAAAAUUCAUCAUUUUAUGAAGUGCUAAAAAAUUCAUGAGCAUUUGAAUACCAUCAAUGAAUUUUAACUAAUCUCAAUUGAAUACUAUCGCAUUUUAAAAUAUACUUAAAAUUCUGAUUGAAUACCACCAAAUUUUGUAGUAUAUUAUAAAAUCCUAAUUAAAUAUCCUAGGAUUUGAUAAAUUUUUUAAAAUUCGAGUUGAAUACCCCUAAAAUUUCAUCAAAAAAACAAAUCUUUUAAUUCAAUUGAAUGCGCUUCAUAAUUUAAUGUUAUGGAUUCCUUUAAUAAUUUUAACUUGCCACUUGGGUGCUUGAGCAUGGAUUGUCCACAUAUAUAAGGAUACAUUGUCCAUCUGAGGUCACCUUGAUAUCUAAAUUUGAUUCUUACUCAUCCUAUCAUUGGACAAAUAACUUUUUAUUUGGAAAUGUUACAAGCACCGUGAUAUUUUCUCCCGAAAGUCGCAAAGACUAAGAGCUUUAAGGUUAAUAAUAGAAAUAUUAUUUAAGUCAAGUUUUGUUUAUAUAUCAUUAGAUUUUAUAAUUUAAACCAAAUUAAUAGUUAUUAGAUCAUGUUUUUAUUUUAAAUCUGUCGAUUACAAUGACGCUUUAAAUAUCAAAUAUCUAAUAUAUUUGCUAUCUUGUCAGAACUUCGCACCAAAGCGAUUCGAGGGUCAUAUCACACAUGAUUUAAAACAACUUUGUGAGAACAGAUAAAUGUAAGACAUGCGUCCAUAUUAUGGUAAAAUUUAAUUUAUUAAGCUUGUUAUAUUAAUUUUUAAAAAUAUGUUGUGAUUAGUUGGAUUUAAAAAAUCGAAUCGGCAAAGUAACUUGCACAAUUAGUCAAUCAAAUUGGCAAUUUCUGUAUUGAUAAGUUGUUCAGUUUCUUAAAUAUAUCUUGCACUCAAGUGAUUUCAUCUGUUGAUAAGAAGACCAGGUGAUUAGGUUACAUAUUAUCUUGUGUUAGUUCUCUAAUUAUUUAAUUUAUUAUGUCGCGGUCUUUAUUUAUGAAUACUAGUUGAUGAUCCGUGCCAAGCACGGGUUUAAAUAAAAUUUUAAUUUUUUUUAUUUAUUGGAAACAUAAUAUUUUUUGAAUUACAUUAUCAUAUUUUUAUUAUAUUUAUUUAAAUUAUUAUUUUUAAAUGUUAUUUAGAUUAUUAUUAAUUCGAUAUAAGACUUUCUAUAUAUUAAAAUUUGAUAUUAUUUUUGUAAAUAAUGAAUUUUAAUUAUAUAACAUAUUUAAGUUAAUUAAAUUAAAAAUUCCUUUAAACUUCGGUAUUAGUUUGUCAUACAAACAACUACUAUUCCUAAGUCUAAAAGAACUCCAACCCACAUUAGAAUUACCCAUUCUAACUCUAAAAUAAUUACGGAUUAAAUAUACAUAACACAUAUCUAUUAUAACUCUAAAUUAAUUACAAAUAUUAGAAGUCUAAAAAAAUUCUUAAGUUAAAUAACUUAAAUAUGUUUUUUAAAUAAAAUUCGCAAUAAAUAAUGAAAUAAAAAUAAAACAAAAUAAUAAUUGAGUUUCUUAGCUUAUUUUUUAUUUUAUGUUCUUAUAUCUACAUAAAAACUCUGUCGACUUAUUAUAUUUAUUUGAUAGGAAUUUUAUUGAGUUGAUUCAUAUUUAUUGGAUAGAAAUUUUACAGAGUUAAUUCCUAUGUUAAAUUGUUCGAUAAAUAUAUAAUUUGUAAUUAAUUUAGAGUUAUAAUAGAUAUGUGUUAUGUAUAUUUAAUCCGUAAUUAUUUUAAAGUUAGAAUAGGUAAUUCUAACGUGGGUUGGAGUUCUUUUAGACUUAGGAAUAGUAGUUGUUUGUAUGACAAACUAAUAGGGUUGGUUCAGCUGGUUAAAGAGAGGACAUAGGUUUACCCAGUGCGCACCCGAAGGGUAGCGGCUGCGGGUUCCUACGUUAAAAAAAAAAAAAAAAAUAUAGAAGUUUAAAGGAAUUUUUAAGUUAAUUAACUUAAAUAUGUUUUAUAAAUAAAAUUCGUUAUUUAAAUAUUUAAUUUAUUUUAUGUUCUCAUAUCUGCACAAAAGCUCUUCUGACUCCCUAUAUUUAUUUGAUAGUAAUUUUAUACAGAAUUCAUAUUUAUGUGAAAAGGAUUUUAUAGAGUUAAUUUCUAAGUUAAAUUGUUUCAGUUCUAAAAAUUACAAUAUUUAGUUAUAUUGGGAUAGAAUUAUAUACUAUGAAUAAUCGUUAUGUAAAAAAGUCAUGAGCAGUAUAAUGACCAAAUUUUGGUACUGAAACGUGAUUUCGCUUAUUAACAAAGGGUAUUGAUUGUUUCCGGAAGUUCUUGCAAAAAUCUAAUAAGAGCAAAUUUUUGUGAUUAAUUUAUGAAAGGUCCUACCAUGCACAAUCAAGCAGACAAAUGGAGAUGAAAAGAAAAGAUUGCCCAAACACGCCCUAUAUAGGAUCCAGCCAUUCAAGAUUAAUGGAUUGGUCUGAAGUCACAUUCUGAACUAUUAGCCAGGGAUUUACUUGUAGUUACCGUUGGUAGAAUUCUGGAACAUCGGUUUCGUUGGUGAAAGUGAUCACAAUGAGGUUACUCUGCUCUGAAUUAUUGCGGCCUGCAGCGGCUAAAAUUUGAGUUGGCUUGAAAAAUGAUGUGUAUGAACACAUUGAAAUUAGCCUUUUGCUGUCUGAAUUGUUCAUAGUCAACUUUAUAGCAUCCUACAUCGUCCUAUUGAUUUUUUUUUUCUAUGCAGAUUAGUUAUUUCAGCAGAAGAACUUUAUGUAUUUUUAUUGACUUUAUAUUUGCACUUUUUUUUAGGGUUUUGGAGAAUGGCUGGUGAAGCAGAAGGGCCUGCAGUUAGGAUUGAUCAUGUGCUCAUGUGUUCCAUGUACAAAUUUCAACUGUUUAUACCAAUAAAAUUACAGACCAUGGCCACACAAUAUGAUCACAAUUUUACGCCUUGUAAACCUAUAUGUUAUGCUAUCAUAUCGAAAAAUGAAUAAAUUUAACCACUUCAGAAAGAACUUAUGCGUCAAUUCUCAUCCAGAUUGCAGAAUUACUGGAUUUGAAGAAACUAAUGAAACUCAUUCAGAAAUUUGCAGUUGACUAAAAAAUGCAGUACAGUAUAUUAAGCCUUUUGUUCUCUUAAGCUGCUCAAAAGUGCGAAUGCAGAUUUUAUUUUGAAGCUGAGAAGGCAGAUUAUAUUAAGCUUCUUGUACUAAUAUUUUAAUUAGUCUUUGUUUUGAUGUUGUAUUCCCGUUUAAAAGUGUUUCAGUUCUAAAUUGGCUUAAUGACCUUUUAGCCCUCGAAGUAUGUAUGAAUGUUCCGAUGCGGCCUCGAUGUUUAAAACCGUACCUUUCGACCCUCAAAGUAUCCGAUACGUACCUUUUAGUCCUUUUCCUAAAAAACGGUAUAAAUCGGGGGGUAAAGUAGAGAAUUCCUAAUUUGGGUUAAGUUUAUGCGUACCCUUUAAACCCUAAAGAAUACAAAAAAUAGAAAACACAGUGAAGAAGCUCGAGCUGCUGCGGAUAGAAGAAACAAGGCGCGAUUGGGUGUGGAUUGAAGUCUUAGAUCGUGAUGGCUAGCAUAAGCGACAGCUCCGCUGGUAAUUUCUUAACCCUUUUCUCAAUUGAAUAUGAUGAUUAACCCCCCCCCCCCCUUGUAUCUGCAUCAUUUUCAUAGGGUUUUUGUUUUUCUGUAUGAUUAUUUUCCAAUGUUCAUCUCGUGAUUUUGUGAUUAAAAGGUGAUGAUGCUAUAAUGUUGAGUAUGUUUCAUGGUGGGUCUUUGAAUUGGGUCCCCGUUACCGAAUAUGUUGGGGGUAGAGUCACCGUGUACAAUUUUAGAGACCAGGACGAAAUUAACAUGGAGAGUCUGAGAGCAUGGAGUAAAGCUCUGGGUUAUGGGGGUUUGAGCUGUCUCUAUUAUAGGAUUCCUGAUAGAGAUCUUGAUGGAGGGUUGGUUUUAUUGAAAGAUGAGAAAGAUGUAGGAGAUAUGUUGUCAUUUGCUAUGGAAAAUGACAACAAAAUAGAUGUUUAUGUGCAACAUUCUAAUCAGGAGUUUGAAGAAAAUUUUGGAGGGGUGAAUGAUGCAGCUGAAGAACGCAUGAGUGUGGAUGAACUUGAGGACUCUGAUUUUGCUGAAUCAGAUUAUUCGAUGACUGAUGAUGACUUGCUCUUUAAUGAUAAAGUUGAUGCUGGAGUUGAAUGGGUUGGUGUAUUGAGGGCUGGACUGGGAUUAGCAGAAGAAGUGCCGUUGGAGCCAGAAGAUGAAGAACAGAGUGAGUAUGACAGUGAUGAUCUUGAAAGCUUGGAUGGCAAUGAUUUAGAGGAGGGUGAAGGCAGUAGUAGAAGGAAAACAUUUCCAAUCUACAAGGACACAGAAGAUCCAAAGUGGACAGUUGGGAUGGUUUUCACUGAUCACAAACAAUGCAGAGAAGCUAUAAUGAAACAUUCAGCUAGUGAAGGUAGAGUGAUAAGGUUUGUCAAGAGUGACAGAACAAGGGUGAAGGCUGUGUGUAAAGCUCCAUGCCAGUGGUCUCUUUUUGCCUCUCUCAACUUCAACAAAACCAUGCAGUUAAAGAAAGUGGGCCCAGGUACAUUUUGAGGUUAUUUGUGUCUUUUUACAAUGCCAACUGGGUGAAUGCAUAUUGUAUUUAUGUCUUCUUUUUCUGACAGAGCACACAUGUGCUAGAGAGCAGAGGGGGUUACCUCUGAUAAAUUCAGGAUUCUUGGCAAGGAAAUAUCUGGCAGAAUUCAGAAUCAACCCCUCUUGGCCAGUGAAAGCAUUCCACAACACAGUUUUAAGAGAUCUGCAGCUGGAUAUCAAGCCUCACAUCUUGAGAAAAGCAAGGAGAAAGUGUAUGAGAAUUAUGAAUGGGACACUUGAAGAGCAGUUCCAGAAGCUGUGGGACUACAGGACAGAGCUUCUCAAAAGGAACCCCAACUCAACAGUUGAGAUUGACAUAGAGCCAGGUAUUGUAUCUAAUUAUUUCACUUUAAAAUGCUUUAUGUGUACUUUUUUUUUAAAUUCCAGAUCUGUGCUUGUAGGGGCUGUUGGAGUCUUUAGAAGGAUGUACAUCUGUCUAGGAGGGCUCAAGCAUGGCUUUAAGCUUGGUUGCAGGAAGUUCAUAGGUUUGGAUGGCUGUCACCUGAAAAGUGCUUACAAAGGUCAGUUACUCUGUGCUGUGGGUUUAGAUGGCAAUAAUUGUAUGUUUCCUAUAGCAUAUGCAGUAGUUGAGGCUGAGAAACUUGAUUCCUGGAGAUGGUUUGUGGCUUAUCUUGUUCAAGAUUUUGAUAUAGGCCUAGGUGAUGGUUGGUCCUUCAUUAGUGAUAGGCAGAAGGGGCUUUUGAAUGUAGUUCAAGAGAUGUUACCCAUGGCUGAGCAUAGGUAUUGUGUUAGACACUUACACAAUAAUUUUAAGGGUAAGUAUGGGGGUAGGUCUUUGAAGGACAAGCUUUGGGCUUGUGCUAGGGCAUCAAAUAUUGAGGCAUUUCAGGUUGCUAUGACCAACAUUAAAGAGGAGAAUGAGGGUGCUUGGAAAUGGUUGACAGAGGUUCCAUUCCAUCAUUGGACUAGAUCUCAUUUCAAAACAGAGUCAAGAUGUGAUCUUCUUUUGAACAAUAUGUGUGAGAGUUUUAAUAGGUGUAUUUUGGGGGCUAGGGAGCAAGGAGUUCUAUUGAUGUUAGAAAUGAUUAGAGAAUACCUGAUGAGGAGGCUGCAGACAAAAAGAGAUGAAAUGGUUUCUUGGGAGGACAAAAAAUUUACUCCAAAAAUCUACAAGAUUAUUGAGAAAAACAAGAAACUGAGUGGAUCUUGCUACUCCACAUAUGCUGGUUAUGAUGAAUUUGAAGUUACUACAUUCACUGGUUCCAAGUAUGCUGUCCAUCUAGGAAACAGGACCUGUGGGUGUAUGAGAUGGGACUUGUGUGGCAUACCUUGCCAACAUGUCAUAAGUUGCUUGAAUAGGAUGGGGUACAGUGUAGAGGACUAUGUUGACAAGGUCUACACCACAGCCAACUACAAAAAAGCUUACUCUGGAAUAAUCUAUCCCAUGAAUGGUCACAAUUUGUGGGAGAAGAGUGGUUUAGUAAUGAAACCACCAACUGUUGAGAGGCAACCAGGAAGGCCCAAAAAAAGGAGAAGACCAGAGAUGCCAGACUUAGUUGAAAAGGAGAUUGAAGGUGUGAAGACUUUAAGCAAGAAAACUCAAUUAACUGUGAGGUAGUAAUUUCCUAUAUUUUCUUUAUUUUUUGCCUUUUUUGCCUUUUUCUAUGCUUUAUAAGAUUUUCUUACAUUUAUGCAGGUGUGGGAAGUGCAAGGAAUUUGGCCAUAACAAAAGGACUUGCCCUUCACUUCAUCCAGUUGAGGCAAAUGCUGAGGCAGAAGCUGCAAAUGCUGAGGCAGAAGCUGCAAAUGCUGAGGCAGAAGCUGCAGAUGAAGGAGAUAGUGCUGAACUGCAAGAAACUGCAAUUGAUUAUCCUGACCAAGGUCCACCCUUGACUCAACAAAGUCAAGAGUUUGAGGGACCUCUUGUUGAAGAAGAGGGGGACAGUGAGGGUGAAGCUGCAAGUGAGGACAAUGAGGGUGAAGCUGCAAGUGAUGCAAGUGAGGAGAGUGAGGAUGAUGAAACCCCUCUAGCAAUUGCAGCAAAGAAGAUUAGGCAAAUGAGGAUCCAAAAAAUGGGGUUGACAACAACCAAAGAUUCACCUAUCAUGGUUGCAGCUGGAAAACUGAAGACCCUUAAAGAGAUAAUGGAUUCAGAAAAGAAGAAGGAAACAAGUGUUGCAGAGGCUCAAGCUGUUGAAAUGGAGGAUGCUAGGAGGAAGACUGUGAAACAGGAAAUGCAACAGAGGAUUGACAAAGGCAAAAAUCCAAUGAAAGUCUCUGAGAUUGAACCUAGGAGAAGCUACAGAUUGUUUAGGAAAACAGCUCUUAACAAAUUCACAAACACAGUGGAUACCCCAGUUGUCAUUGAUGAGGCUGGGGAGGAGGAUAAACAACCUCCACGGGUGCAGAUAAAUUCUUACACAGGCCCUAUGAAACUAGGGAAGAAACAACCUCCACCAGUGAAGCAGUAUAAGGCCAUUGUUGGUCAAACAGAGGUAAAGUCUGCACCAUUCUUAUCACAUGGCAGAACUGUAAUCACAAAGGGUACAUUGGCCAAAGCUCUCGGUGCUUUGAAAAAGAGUUAUCUCCCAGGUUCUACAGCAAAGGGGAAGGAUAGCCAACAGCCUUGAUUUUAGCAGUUUUUCUCUAUUAUUUUGUAAUGCUAUGACAUUGGUACUUUGCCUACUUUCUGGACUUAAUUUUAUUUCAGUUGUAAUGCUUUUGGGGAUGUUUUGUAACUUGAUCUUUUGCAAAGAAUUUAAUGUAAGCUAAUGAUUUCCAUUCCAAAACAUCUACUUUCAUUUCAUUACAAUAGAUGCUAGUACAUACUGCAUAGUACAACUAGGGUAGUUCUAACACACUAGGUGAAGCAUUUUUGUUUGCCCUUACAAACACCCAUACUAUUAACAACACAAACAACAAAACCAGUAUGGACUUUUUUCUCUUCACGGGUCUGUUCACACCAGCUGCAGCCUCAUUUUUCUUUGCAUCAUCUUCGAGAUUUCGAAUGCGCCGCAACAGUCCUGGGAUUAUUGCUUUUGAUCUUGCACACAUGGGUGGAUCAAACCAUUGGUGAAAGUUACAAGCAUUGCUUCUGUUAUCCUGCAGUUAAAUUAGAUAUAGUUAGAUUACAUUUAAGAACAAAAAUGAGAGAUUAGAAUCUGCUUACCUUGAAUCUCAUACAUCCCCAGAAUUGCCUCCCCGGAUUAGAAUCAGUCCACGAUGUCUUCAAAGCAGCAGCUGUUCCACACCUACAGUUAGGCUCCAUCUAGACAACUUGUUCUGUUUUACACAAGAAAAUGACAACACACACAACUAUGAUACAUAUAUAUAUACACAAGAAACAUCAAGGGCAAAAGGGGAUGGCGGGAGACCUCCAGAUUUUUGGAGGGAAACUGAGGGUUAAAUGUCUUGUUUGUCCCCCCCCGAUUUAUACUGUUUUUUUGGAAAAGGGCUAAAAGGUACGUAUCGGAUACUUUAAGGGUCGAAAGGUACGCUUUUAAACAUCGAGGCCGCAUCGGAACAUUCAUACAUACUUCGAGGGCUAAAAGGUCAUUAAGCCUUCUAAAUUUUUAUGGUCUGCACUGUUUACUAGAAUUAUUAUCUGGGAAUUGUAGCACUGUUUGUUAGAAAAUGGUAAGUUUAAGACAUGGAAUUACCUUAAUCUAAUUGUUGGAGGUUGUUCCUUGUAAUGAGGACUUAAACUUUCAUGUUUGGAUCUAAGACAUUUUCUUAGUGUAAUCCAUAAAUAAAUUGAGUUGAAGUUAGUAGCUUGAAAGUGGUAAAAUAUGUUAUGUGGGUUAGUCCCACAUUGAUAUUGGAAAGUGAGGUUGGUGGCUUUAUAUAGUACAUGUGCAAGUGUAGUGUUCAACUACUAAGGCAUGUGGGUGUGCAAGGUUGUAGUGAGCGCCCGCCGCCGCCGCCCCGGGUCGGGUCGAAGGGCGAUUUGGGCAAGCUAAGUGAUUUCUGUCUUUUCUUGUCGAUUUAAGGUACCUGAUAUAUAACUGCCUCAUUGUUGCGCUAAUAUAUAUAGUUUAAUAUUUCCAACACUGUUCACAUAGACUCUUUUCAUCAACAUGUAGCUCAUAUGGGAGGAUCAUGUUUAACUUUGAAUGCAGGUAAGCAGUUCAAUAUUAAUAUAAUAAGGAAUAUAAUUUCUGCGAUGAAGAUAAAAUGCUUAUGGAGCAAAUAUAACUUGGUCAAAAUGAAAUUACUCUCUGAGAGGAGACUUUAGAUCUGAUCAGAGUAUCAAACAGACAGACCUUAUUAGACAAUUUGACUAAUUUAGAUUAGGAUGAAGUGCAUGUGUAUACUAUAAGUUGGUAGGGAAUUUGCGAGUCAGUUUCUCAACCUCUAACUUCAUCUUCCGGAUUUUCUAUUUUAUUUAUUUAUUUAUUUUAAACGUAGGAACCGCAGCCACUACCCUUCGGGUGCGCACCGGUUCUUUCUCUGCAAAUUAGUUUUCUAAACAGAACAUCUCUUUAUUUUUAUUCUACUUUCUAUUUUCAGUUCUGCAUUCUGCUUCUCCAAAAUGGCUGGAAGAGGAGAAGGACCUGCAAUUGGAAUCGAUCUCGGAACUAUGUACUCAUGUGUUGGAGUUUAGCAAGGCAUGUUGGAUUUUAUAUAAUCUUAAACCACGCUAGUUAAUUAUCAUUAUUGUUUUUGAUUUCAUUUGCUGUAAUAACGAGUGGCUUGAUAUAAGUCAGCUACUAGCAUCUAGGACCGUGAUUGUCUGGCAGUAGAGUUGGUUUAGGAAUUUUGUUGGACUCAUGUCCUUAUUUCUGGCUUUCCAGUUUUUGAGUCUGUAAUCUAUUUAUGCAUUUUUCAGAAUAAAGAAAAAAGCAAGACUUUGACGAGCAAAACAAAAGCUUUUCGAUCUCUCUCAGUUAUAUCAGAUUGUUGAUAUAUGUUUAUUAACAACACUUGGUAUCAGAGCUGAAGUUCUCUAUGAAUGUCAAAGACGCCAACAAUGGAGAUGAACAAAGACAAAGGCGGUUCAAUCGAUUUGAGUUACCCAAAGGCACCGGUAGAAGAGAAAUUGGCAUGGCUAUGAUUUCCAGUUUUAUACUCCUAUCAAAUGUUGAUUUACAGCUUCUUCUUUUUUUUUGGUAAGGAAUGUUGAUUUACAGCUUUAUAUUCAAAGCAUACAUGAUUUAUAUACUCUUUCUCUUAUAAACUGUUUUACAAUUAUAUCUUUCUUUUAUUCAUAUUGAUACUGCUGUUUAUUCAUAUUGAUACUGCUAUUUAUAGCUCACCCUUGCAAACUAUGUUCAUACAUGUUCCAGAUGCCUAGGACUUGAGCGUUAGCUAGGAGACCUGUAGCAGGGGCUCUAUCCAUGCCCCAACUUUGGAUCUUUUGAGGUAGAGUAAGUCAGUCUUCUAGUUCUGAUUUCAAUACUAGAGCCGAUCCUGGUUGAAAUUGAUUUUUAAUUUAAAUCAUUUUUAAAAUAUGCAAGUUUUGAAAUAUAUGUUUUUACUUUCUUUUAAAAUUAGAGGUUUUAAAUUGUUUUUCUUUUAAUGACACCAAAUUCAAAUUAUUUUUAUUGACUCCGGAGAGAUGUCACUAUGGUAGAGUUAUAUAUUAUAAUAAAAGAUUUAGAGAGCUUCAUUAUCUUGCAUUUAGAUUAUAUUAGACUAUAUUUUUUAUGUUGGUUUCUAGGAAUUCCAUUAUUAUUUAUAAAAAAAAUCUAAUUAAUUCAUGAAAUUUCAGGUUUAGUUUUAAUCUUUAAAUGAAAGUUAAUCAUCUAAAAUGCUAGGCCUUUAUAAUUUAGAUUUAUGUCUAUUAAAAUUCAUUUAAAAAUAAUUAGACAUAUUAAAUUAAGUUUAGAGUAAUAGACGUAUGGCCCAAACCAACUAGAAUUUAUCCUCCAAUAAUACAAUAUAAAUUGCAAAUUUUAGUAAUUAACUAAUAAGUAAUUUUGAUUUUGAUAUAUGUAAUUUUGAUUGUGAUAUUUAAAACUCAAAAUGACACAUAUCCAAGUAUAUAAUAUUUUUUGAGCUUAAAUACAUUAAUUUUAUUUGAGGAUCAGGGUGGAAAUAUUAAAGUUCUCAUUAUAAAUGACAAGUAAGAAUUUAAUACCAUAAACAACAUGUAAUAUCUAAUUAGUAAAGAGAAAAUAUAUAAUAUGUAGAAAAAUCCACUAAAUAUGUAAAAUUUAGGUUGUGGAAAUAUCAAAGUUUUUAUUAUAAAUGACAAGAUAGAUCUUAUCUAUUGCAAUAAGUAACAUAAAUAAUUAGCAAAAAUAAAACGUGCAAUAUUCAGAGAAAAUCCACUAGAUAUGCAUAUCGAGGAAAAUCUCUAGAGAUUUAAUUUCUAACAACAUUUAUUAAUAGUUAAUACAAAACAACUAUAAAUAACAAACAUAUAUCAUUUACAACCCAUCAUCCUCACAACAAGGACACAAUCAUUUUUGCACAACUUAUAACCAGGUGUUUGUUAUGACCUAGUAUGGAGAAGGCUCUAAUCAACAAAAAUAUUUUUCUUCUUGUAUUGGUCAUGGUGUUUGGUAUGUCAUACAACUCUACAUAAUUAAUCUAUCAAUAUAUAUUACAUAUAAUAUAAUUUUGCUUAAUGAUAUGUGAUACUAAUGAAAUAUUAUUGUUUUUUUAUCAUUUGUGCAGAUUUACCAUUAGUUAGAUUAAAUGCAUCAAAUAAAAUAUGUAAAAUAGAUAAUGAUUGCGGAAUUUCGGCAUGUUCCAGUGGUGUAAUGAGAUGUGUAAAUGGUGAAUGCAAAUGUGAACCAUUUUAUUUUGACCCUGCCCCUGUCCCAAGUCAAGUACCUAAUGAUGAUAAAAAAGUUAGCAGUGAGAUUAGAUGCAAAACAGUGCACGAUUGUGAAAAAACUGUUAUAUGUAUGAUAGGUAAGCAGUAUGAAAGAAUGGUAUGUGCAAAUGUGUAGGAUAUAUUGGUCACUAAAAUUGAAGGUCGUCAGGGCAUUUAUUGAUAUAUGUAUGAUGUUCGGUGCUUUAAUAUUAUCAAGUUAAUGAAUUAGUACAAUUCGUGUUUGAUUACGUUUCCUUGUUUCAACUUGAUUUUUUAUCCGACGCUAUAAACACACACACACACACAUACAUAAUAUAUAUAUAUAUAUACACACACAUAUAUAUACAUAUAUAUAUAUAUAUGUAUAUGUAUAUAUGUAUGUUAAUGAUCAAAUACAAACUACAAACUAAUCUAAGCCAUUAAAUCAAGCUAAUGUAAUUGCCGUCCACUCUACCCUCUCACACAUAUUCCACAGAUUCCCUCCAUUUUUAAUUUGAUUUUUCACGUCAAUCAAAUCACUUUUUUUGAAAUCCGACUUCACUGUAUUUUUCUUCAUCUCCCAGCAAUCAAUUUCCAUACCAUAUUUGAUAUAUUUCGAUGCGAUUUAUAAAUUUUUUAUUUUGGUUUUUAGUUUUUAUUCUAAGAAAUGUUUGUAGUGGAGGAGCAUCCUAUAUUAUAUAUAUCUAUAUAAAAGAAGGCUCAAUGGAGACCAAAUAUUUUGGAGUCCUUAGAGCAUCUCCAAUGGGAGGUGCCAAGAGGGGUGCCAAUGCCAUGUGGCAUGACAUGGACCGGCACUCUCGUUGGCACCCCCAUUGGAGAUGUUGGAGUGCUAUUGGGGUGCCAGGUGAGUUGGCUUUAGGGUGCCAAAAGUUGGCAACCGAUAAAGUAGGGUGCCAACUUCAUUUGUGGUCCCAAUAAUACAUAAAAUAUAGAUUUGUGGUCUCAAUAAUACAUAAAAUAUUAUUUCUCUAUUAAUAAAGUUGGCAUCUUUGGAGUGCCAACCAUUGGAGUGUAUUUUUAAAAAAGGGUGCUAAAAAUGAUUUGGAAGAGUGUGAAUAUAAAAAAUAAUAUUUUGAGUUAUGUGUUAAAAUUGGCACCCCUUGAAGGGUGCCAGCCAUUGGAGAUGCUCUUGGAGACUACAAGAUCUACCGUUAAUAUAAUCUGGCAAUUAACGAACAUGAUUAAAUAUUUUUGUCCUGCAUUUCUAGUAAUAUUCUUGUCCUGCAUUUCUAGUAAACAACAAUUGCAGAACAUUGUAAUUUGAAGAAUAGAUUCUUGAGAUAUCAUAGCUUCAGUUGCUUCAAGAUCAUCAACAUGAGUUUUAGUUUUAAUUCAAAAUUAUCUUUAUAAUUUACUGUAUUCUUGUCGUAAUGUAGUAUUAAUAAUUUGUCCCGCAUAUUUGUGAUAUAUCUAAGUGUUAUUUUGUCUCGCAACAAAUUCAAUUCGUUGCAGGACAAUAACGAUGAGUUCAGUGCCAAUCAUAGCAAUGUCCAACUACAUCUUUGUUUUGUAUCCAAUUAUUAUUUUUAUUUUAUUAGGAUUUCGGUGAUUGAACACCAAUAUCAUGGAAUUAUUAUUUUAUGUUCUGCAGGAUUUAGAAAUUCUGCAUGUUGUUCACUGAUUUAGAAGUGCUGGACAGGAGGACCUGCAGUUAGGAUUGAUCUUGGGACCAUAUGUACUCAUGUGUUGGAUUUUGGAGAUGACACCAUCUCAUGUGGUUAUUGCGAGUGUUUUUAAUGAAGCUUAGCAAGGACAUUAAUUCUGAUGAGGCAGUUGCACUGGAUGUCGCUGCCAUAGCUGACACGAUGAUUAGUGACGAAGGUGGUGGAAUGAUUAAUGUGAUGCCACUGGAUAUUACUUCUGAAGACCUUAGUAGUGGGAAUUAGACUGUUCUAUCUCCAAAAAAUACAAGCUGUCCUUGACUUGGUAUUGAUCCAAGUGUUUCAGAUUAGGGUGCUGGUCCCUGGCAUAUGAUUGCCAGGGAGGGGUUAAGUAACACAUGGUUUUCUGGCUGUCGGAUGCAUAUCUAGCGCCCAGGAUUAUAACAUUUUUCUUCAGACUUCUAGCAGUUUUUAACCGCUAGACGCUAGACAGAUUUUCCCCUUCUAGCGGUUAAAAACCGCUAGACGUGUUAAAAUUUUGUUAUAAUCCUGGCCGCUGGAUAUGCAUNUGUCGGAUGCAUAUCUAGCGGCCAGGAUUAUAACAUUUUUCUUAAGACGUCUAGCAGUUUUUAACCGCUAGACGCUAGACAGAUUUUCCCCUUCUAGCGGUUAAAAACCGCUAGACGUGUUAAAAUUUUGUUAUAAUCCUGGCCGCUGGAUAUGCAUCCAACGGCCAGAAAACCAUAUGCCAGUUAAUCAGUCCACAGCCAUCGAUGGCUGUGGACCAGGACCCUUCAGAUUAUGCCUUGUUACAAUAUGAAUGNCAUGGUUUUCUGGCUGUCGGAUGCAUAUCUAGCGGCCAGGAUUAUAACAUUUUUCUUAAGACGUCUAGCAGUUUUUAACCGCUAGACGCUAGACAGAUUUUCCCCUUCUAGCGGUUAAAAACCGCUAGACGUGUUAAAAUUUUGUUAUAAUCCUGGCCGCUGGAUAUGCAUCCAACGGCCAGAAAACCAUAUGCCAGUUAAUCAGUCCACAGCCAUCGAUGGCUGUGGACCAGGACCCUUCAGAUUAUGCCUUGUUACAAUAUGAAUGUGUAUUAUAUCGAAAAUAUAAUUACAGAUUAUGGCCACACAAUAUGAUCAACAAUUUUAUGCCUUGUUAACCUAUAUGAUUAGUGUAUAAUGUAUUAUAUCGAAAAAUGAAUAAGUUCAAUCACUUCAGAUAGUACAUAUGCAUUGGUUUUCAUCCAGAUUGCAGAAUUACUGGAUUUGAAGAAACUAAUGAAACUCAUUUAGAAAUUUUCAGUUGACUAAAAAAUGCAGAACAGUAGUAUAUCAAGCUUUUUGUCCUCUUAAGCUGCUCAAAAGUGGGAUAGUAUAUCAAGCUUUUUGUUUUCUUAAGCUGCUCAAAAUUGGGAAUGCAGAUUUUGUUUUGAAGGUGACAAGGGAGAUUAUAUUAAGCUUCUUGUUCUAUUUUUGUUAGUAUUAAUUUGUUUUGAUGUUAUAUACCCAUUUAAAAGUGUUUCAGUUCUAAAUGUGUAUGGUCUGCUGUGAUGUUUUUAGAUGGAUCUUCACUAACAAAAUACCAAUUCAAAGGAAAACAAGCACCAGCACUUAAUAAUAAGAUCCAGAACCAAGUUGCUUACAAUGAAAAGAAACUAGAACAGAUAAACUGGACAAUUCGAGAAGCCAGAGUCUCCUUACUAAAUUGAUUAAACUAAAAUGAUAUUCUCCAUAAGCCCCUCCUCUCAACCCUAAUUCCUCUUAUCCCCUCGCUUCCUCUUGCUGUUCAGUUCCCUUUCUACCCUUGGGCUUCCUUCUGUUGAAUACUAGUAGCUUAGUGGGCUGGGCCUGAUCUGUAGGCUGGGCCUGAUCUGUUACAUUACUCCCCGCCAGAUCCUGAACCUUGUCCUCAAGGUUGAAAGCUGGGAAACGUUGGUCCAACAAAGCAGCUUGUUCCCAAGUAGCAUCAAAUGAGGGCAGUCCUUUCCACUUAAUCAGUGUGACAGCCCGAGAAUCCGGGGGUCUGGAUUCUGACGUCACCACAUAAAGCCAUUUUAAAACACUUUUGAAAACCUGUAUUUAUUUGAAAAGAUAAUAAAAUCAAAGGAUUUAAAACUUGAAGACUUUAAUAAAAGAUUUAAAAGAAAACACUUUAACCCCCUAAAAACAGGAUCGCAUCCAGGUCACAGUAUUGAAAUUAGAAUCAACCGCUAUAAAUAAACAAUGUCUUACAACCUCAGAUCAUCUUCGAUGAGAAGAAUCACUGCCAAUCUAUUUAAAUUAUGAUUACAACUGAAUCUCAACAAUUCUAUCUAGAACCAACCUUGACAAUCUCCCUGAACAUUUCCACUUGUCCUCUGUAUACUCUAUACUCUGACUCCUCGCCUAGCCUUAGCCAUACUCGCAACCUCAAUCAUGCAAUUCAUCGUUAAGCUUUUCUGAAAUGGUUAAAAAGGAAUAGCAAGGGUGAGCAACAAUGCUCAGCAAGUGUAUAUAAGCAACAAUAGUCCUGAAAUAUCUUAUCAGGGUUCACAAGUUCAGGAUAUGCAAUUGAAAACUUCACAAUUCUUAUCAGCAAUUGAAAUCAGAAUUCAAACUUACAGAAGAAUUGUCGAAUUGGAUUCAUCACAUUUUUACUUAAAAACCAAAGGUUAGGCUGCUGAUCAGUCACGCACUAACCCCGAACAUGGCACACAGCCCUGUUCUCUAUACUGGAUCCAAGGCACACAUUGGCCUAUAAUUGACCACGAAUCUGGUCUGACCACGAAUCUGGUCCACAUAUUUUAUAAAAACUAAUCCAAUUCUAACAAUUUAAAUCAACAGACAAUUGAAACAACAGAACAAAAUCAUAAUCAUUAUCAGCAACAGAAAUAUUUCAAAUCAACUUUUGGGAAUCAACAUUUCAUAAACCACAGUCUGUCUUUUGAUAAAUCAUAGUUCAGGAAAUUCCUAACUAUUCAGUAUCCUCCAUUAUCGGCUAAGCAACUGAAUUUAGCCUGCUAAACCAGCAUGACAAUGGCGGGUUGAAUAAUCAAGAAGAUCCCAAUUCAUUCUAGGUUCUAACUAUCACUGAGCAACACAUGCUUCAAUGACGGUCUGAACUUCGAAUUAAUUUGUAGAACUGGUAUUUUUAAAAUCUUGAGGAUUGGAAAGAAUGGAUCAAAAUAGAAAGUUGAGAGUAAUUAGGUGUUUGGCUUUUCAAAACUUGGAAGAAGAAAACAAUCAUGGGAUUCAUUCUCAGAAGUAAGAGUUUGUUUGAGAAGGGUCUCAGCAUAAACAAUAUCAUAAUCUUGACAGAAUAAUCAGAACAUGCAAUAUAUAUAUGAGGAAGGAUUUAGGAAUACUUGCCUUAAAUCCGCCUCCACACCCAUAGCUUAAUCUCAUCUUUCCAAUUCACAAUCUAUGCAUAUCAUAACCUCCAGACCAUCUCUGUAUAUACUCUAUUCGCAAUACGACUUCGCUUUCUCGACUCGUUCCUUAUUCGCUUUGCAACAUCGUUUGACCUUCUGUACGUCUUCAAUCGUAUACGCCUCGUCCAAAUCCUUUACGAGAAUAAAAUACUACCAUAAUUACUAAAUAAUCUAUUGAUUCUUAUCUUACUUAUCAAACUCGGUAUCAUAACCUAUCGCAUAUACAUAUCACGUAUAUCGAUAGCAUUUAACACAUAAUCACAUAUCACCCUAUAUAAUCUCUAUGCACUUAUCAGAUAUCACUUAACAUAUAAUCAUGCUUUGACUCUAUCAUAUAGUCACAUCAUACUCCAUGUAGCAUACUACAACUCAAUAACCAUAUAUAUCCUAUUGAAAAUCUGACAGCGUCUUGUCUAUUUAUAGGACUAUCCAUCUGUUAAUCUAUUUCAACCAACAACCAAUCAAUCAACUCAAAUUCCUGUAAUCUACAUAUUCUUAUCCAACAUUAAUCAAGAUAAGAUGCUAUGUCUCCCAAAUCAUUUAUCAAAUCAAAUGGACACGUAUUUCAUAUAAUCAUCACUAUAUAGCAAAUAGAUCACGUAUAGUCACAUUAUGCAUUUUCAACAAUCUUUAUACACAUUGGAAACUCAAUCAUAUUGUUACAUUAUAUUAAACUAGAGUUUCUAAGCUUUAACCUCUUUUUCGUUUCACUCGAUUCUGAAUUACGGAUCAAAAGUUAUUAACAAAACAGUUUUCUAACUCCCUAUCGACAUAUAACAUAUCACACAGACAACAGAAAACACAUUGCACAUAAGGUUUCCCAUCCCAAUCGAUAUCCAAUCAAGUCUCAGGUUAAAAAUGAUUUUUCGAGAAUUUUCUGGAAUUUUCUAAACAUUUUUCGGAAUUAAAACAGGUAAAAGAAUCCAUUUUUGAAUAAAUAAUCAAAUCCGAUUGCUCAAGAUCGGAUCCGAAAUCAUUUGAAAUCAAUUAACGAGCCUCAAACAUAUUUUAGAAAAAUAAUCCAAAGCUCGAAACUAUUUCUCGGAAUUUUUAAAUCAAAAGAAAUCAUUAAAUCUAAUUAAUUAAUCAAUUAAAAUCAAUUAAUAAUUUAUUAAAAUAAUUAAUCAAUUAAUAUUAAAAUUAAUUGACCAAUUAAAAUAAUUAUUACUAAUUAAAUUUAAUUAAUAAUCUAAUUUCAGAUUUAUUUUUGAAUAAAGAAGUAAUUAAAAAGCAUUUUUGAAAUUAAAAUAAUUAAAUAAAACAAUUUUUGAAAAUUAAAAUCAAAAGGUUUAUUUUGUAAACUUUUGAAAGUUUUCGGCCAGGGUUCAAAAUGCAACUUUUCAAAGUUACAGGGGGUGUUUUGUAAGAUUCAAAACUUGGAUACGAUGACUUCAUCAUCUUUAUAAGUUGGGUGGCCAAACGGCAAUUUGCCGCCGGCCACCACUAACUUCGCCGGACACGGCGCUGCCGCCCCCCAACAUGCAUCAGAAACUCCAGAAACAAUGUAUACACUACCAGGAUCAUGUUCAAGUCGUUAAAAUCAGUAACAAAUCGAAGGGUUGGCCGUAAAAUCUUAAUAAACAACCGCCGCCGGCGGACCCAUUUCCAGACUCCGGCGACUCCAUUCGAAUUCCAACAUAUAAACUAAUUACACGAACAAAUUCAUCUCCUCAUGCUCUAUCCAGUGAUAUAAGCCAUAACAGCCCAGAUUUAGCGAAUUAAAAACCCCCAAUUUCCGAUUGAAAAUAUUCAUAAUCCUUCAAGAACAUUCAAGAACACAACCCAAUAAUCAAACCCAAUUUUAUAUAUGAUACGGAAGUCAAAAAUCGAUAUAUAAUAUACCAAAACGACGAGAAAAACACGCUCUACAACAUGGAAUCAUCAAAUCAAUCAAACAAUCACGUUUGCAAAAAUUCACUAUUUAAAUCAUAAUAAUUCGAAUUUUAUAAAAAUAAAAUAAAAUCACCUGUUCAAUCUGCAUAUAAACGGAUGAUUAUACUAGAUUCUACUCGUCAAGAGCUUCGUUUUGACUAUUUAUACGCCUCUAUCCGAUUCCAAUAACGCCUUCAAAUCCUCGUUUGAUUAUGAAGAACACGAAGAACACCCGUUCGUUUUCUCUCGGUAUUCGUGCAGAGAAACUGACGAAAUGAUUAUACGCGCGAAAUAAACUGGUAAAGGAUAUUUAUAGAAGAAGAUAAGAGAAUAUUCCUUGAAUAUGCUUUGGAAUAUUCCUGGAAUAUGCUUCACGCAUUACGAGAUAACCAGAUAAUUAUUAACUUUAAAAAUAUUAAUAAAACCGUACCGGAUCAUUUACGGGACAAACCGUACUCCGGAUCGAAAAAGUUAAAACACGAGAAAUGCUCAGAAUGUCCCAAAUAGCUUAAUGGCGAAAUUUUCCCGAACGCCCGCGGGGUUUAAAAUGCUAAAUAACUAUUUUAAUAUAAUUAAUAAUCAAACGAGAUUAAAUUCACAAAUCGAUUCUAAAAUCACGUAGCAAUCCAAAAAUCGAUAUGAACAUAUCUAAAUAAACUAUAUUUUAUCCUGAUCAUAUAGAAAUUGAAAUAUCUCAAAUCCGAACACAUAUGGGCAGUCAAUUCAAUAAACCAGAUAACACAACUCUUACAACAAUUUAUAUAAAUAUCACAUACUAUUCAUAAAUUAUCAGGAAAAUACCCAAAUGUUUUAUAUUUUAUUUUGAGAAUAUAAAAAUUGAAAACUCGUGAUUGCAACAUAUAUAAGCAAUCAAAAUAGAAAACUAGUCCUCAUAUGAUUUACCAAAUAUUCAUAUAAUAUUCAGAAAUAACCAUAACUAGUUACACGACCAUUACACACGUAACACUUAAUCAAGUAAUGCAUAUAUUCAAAUAUUAACCAUCUAACUUUCAUGACCAAUCUCUGUAUUUUCAGAAAUAAUUUUUGAAAUGAGUUUUGAAAGGACACUCAUAUAUCCAUAUAUAAAUCAUUUGAAAAUAUCUAAAUAACAUAUGACUCAUUCUGAUAAUAUCAAUAAUUAAACCCACAGUUCUAGCACAUAUAAAUAACGUUUACAGAAAUUCAAUUUGCACCAAAAUUCAUACAAUAUUCACAUUAAAUUAUCAUAACUAACUAAACUCACAAUUCCACAUGCAACACUUAGCCAUAUAACAAUAGCAAUCUUUUAAAUCUUUAAAAUCAAUUAUAUAAAAUAUAAUUUUGAAAAGACAACCCUGUAUUGAUAAAACAAUAACCCGGAAUUUAAAUAUAAAGUUUUGAAGACACAUUAAACUGGAAUAAAAUAUUGAACUUUAUUCCUUUCUCUCUAAGAAAAUUACUUUCAUAACAAUAAACAAUUUUUGAAAAAUCCGGGUCGUUCAAAUAUACGAAAUUCCAGAAGAAGAGUGCACAAUCUGUUUAAACCUUAUAAUUUUACAUCACAAUUAUACUCAUACUACACAGACUAUUCAUCUUUUCAGAUAAAAGUCAAUUAAAGCCAAUAAUAAUAUUCAAAAACUUAUCUCGAUUUUAAUAAACUAAUUCUUAAAAUCUGGGAUGUUACAAUCAGUAUCUCAACUUGCUGGUCUGGGGUCUGUCUUACUGCUAACAGCUGCUCCGGUUCCACACACAACUCCAUAUCUGCUGUUAGCUGCUCAGGGAUCGUUGCUCGCACUACUUCUGUUCCAACAUGUCUUUUGAGAUGAGAUACAUGAAAGACUGGGUGAAUUUUACAGCCCUCCGGUAGUUCCAGUUUGUAAGCAACUUCCCCCACUCGCUGUAUUAUGCGAAACGGCCCAAAGAAUCUGGGUGAUAACUUCUCACAAGGACGACGAGCCAACGAACUUUGUCGAUAUGGCUGAAGCUUAAGAAAAACCAAAUCCCCAAUAGUAAACACUAAAUCCCUGCGUUUAGUAUCAGCUGAACUUUUCAUAUGGUGCUGGGCUUUAAGCAAGUUGGCCUGCAGUUCAUCUAACACAGCGUCUCGGACGCGCAGCAUCUCGGACGCGCAGCAUCUCGGACGCGCAGCAUCUCAUCAAUGGAGUCGACUGGGGAUUGUCAUCUUCCCAACCUGUACAAUGACGGUGGUUCACGCCCAUAGACUACUUGAAACGGCCUAAACUUUGUUGACAGGUGUGGGGCUGUGUUAUAGGAGAACUCAGCCCAAGGCAACCAUUCCGCCCAAUUCUUCGGUUUGCCCUGGAUAAAACACCUGAGAUACGUUUCAAGCCCCUUAUUUACAUUCUCAGUUUGACCAUCCGUUUGGGGAUGGUACGCGGUGCUCUUCUUAAGCACUGUCCCCUGUAAGCGAAAUAAUUCAGACCAAAAAUUGCUGAGAAAAAUACGAUCACGGUCGGACACGAUAGCAGAAGGGAACCCAUGCAAACGCACAAUCUCUUUAACAAAAACUCCUGCCACUGUCACAGCACUAUAGGGAUGGCGCAAACCCAGGAAAUGAGCGUAAUUGGACAAGCGGUCCACAACAACCAAUAUCGAGUUAUACCCCUUUGGUGACGGUAAUCCAUCGAUGAAGUCAAGAGAUACCUCUUCCCACACUAAAUCUGGCAAGGGCAAUGGUUGUAACAACCCCGCUGGGGACUGUUGUAAGGCCUUUUGUUGCUGACAGGUCUUGCACUUCUGCACAUACAACCCGACAUCUUUCCUCAUACUUUCCCAAAACCAAUCUCCUGCCAAUCUCAAAUAAGUCUUCAACUUCCCCGCGUGACCUCCCAUCAUAGAGUCAUGAUACUCGUGCAACAACCCAGGAAUGAACGCUGACUUCUUAGGAAUCACAACUCUCCCUUUGAACAUGAGAGUGUCAUCAACCACUGUUGUACCCUUUGUGAGUUGUGCUCCCCUGAGUGAGCUCUGUUUUUACCAGCUGUAGCUACGAAUCCGCCGCUAUCUCUUGGCGUAGCUUGCUCCAAUCUAACACUGGGCGACAUACUAACGCCCUCAACAGAACUUCACCUGCCUGUUUACGCGACAGGGCGUCUGCCACGCGAUUGGCUACCCCAGGUUUGAACUGCACUUCAAAAUCGUACCCCAUCAGUUUUCAUACCCACUUCUGAUACUCCAACCCAAUUUCACGCUGCUAGGUGAUGAAUUUAAUACUCUGCUGGUCAGUUCUAAUUACGAAAUGUCGGCCUAGGAGAUAACUCCUCCAUUUCUGUACGGCUAAACACACAGCCAUCAACUCCUUCUCGUACACGCACUUCUGCUGAGCCUGAGGACCUAAAAGCUUGCUGAAAAAUGCCAAUGGCCGUUGGUCUUGCAUUAGUAUUGCACUAAUACCAAACCCGGAUGCGUCGGUCUCCACCACGAAGCUUUUCUGCCAAUCUGGCAUGGCCAGUACCGGGGGUUGUGUCAUCGCACUUUUCAAUCUGUUAAAUGCAGCUGUUGCCUCUUCCGUCCAUCCAAACUUAUCUUUCCGCAACUGUUCAGUAAGCGGUUGAGCAAUUUGCGCGUAAUGCUUGACAAACUUACGGUAGUACCCCGUGAGCCCGAGGAAACCCCGUAAGGCACGCAAAUUUGCAGGCACGGGACAAUCCAUGAUUGCUUGCACCUUCUCCAUAUCAACCUCCACCCCUUUCUCUGAAAUAACAUGUCCCAAGUACGAAACUACCCGCUGUCCAAACUCACAUUUCUUCUCAUUUGCGUAAAGCUGGUGUUCGGCUAAUUUACUCAACACCUGGCUGACAUGAUAAACAUGUUCACUAUCAGACUUGCUGUAUACGAGGAUAUCGUCAAAAAAAACCAGCACAAAUCUGCAUAAGUAUGGACGAAACACAUCGUUCAUUAGAGACUGAAAUGUUGCGGGCGCAUUCGUCAAGCCAAAAGGCAUGACCAGAAAUUCGUAGUGGCCGGCGUGUGUAUGAAAAGCAGUCUUAUGCACAUCCUCAGGGCGUACCAAAAUCUGGUGGUACCCGGCUUUCAAGUCGAGCUUUGUGAAAACCUUUGCACCGUAUAGCUCAUCAAGUAACUCUUCAAUGAUCGGAAUAGGGUAUUUGUCCGGUAUUGUCUCCUUGUUCAAAGCCCUAUAAUCAACGCAAAACCGCCAUGACCCAUCUUUUUUCUUAACUAGUAGUACUGGACUAGAAAACGGACUAGUAGAUGGGCGGAUCACCCCAGCUGCUAACAUAUCUUGAAUGAGGCGCUCAAUCUCAUCCUUCUAUGAUUGCGGGUAGCGGUAAGGUCUUACUCCCACCGGAUUACUCCCCUCCCGCAAUGUGAUAGAGUGGCCAUGGCUUCGCUGUGGAGGUAAGCCCGGAGGCUGCUGGAACACGGUGUGGAAGUCAUGUACCACAGACUACAAGAAUUCAGGCACCUCACCCCCCCCCCCCCCCCUUGCUCCACACCCACCCCCCCCUGUNNNNNNNNNNNNNNNNNNNNNNNNNNNNNNNNNNNNNNNNNNNNNNNNNNNNNNNNNNNNNNNNNNNNNNNNNNNNNNNNNNNNNNNNNNNNNNNNNNNNNNNNNNNNNNNNNNNNNNNNNNNNNNNNNNNNNNNNNNNNNNNNNNNNNNNNNNNNNNNNNNNNNNNNNNNNNNNNNNNNNNNNNNNNNNNNNNNNNNNNNNNNNNNNNNNNNNNNNNNNNNNNNNNNNNNNNNNNNNNNNNNNNNNNNNNNNNNNNNNNNNNNNNNNNNNNNNNNNNNNNNNNNNNNNNNNNNNNNNNNNNNNNNNNNNNNNNNNNNNNNNNNNNNNNNNNNNNNNNNNNNNNNNNNNNNNNNNNNNNNNNNNNNNNNNNNNNNNNNNNNNNNNNNNNNNNNNNNNNNNNNNNNNNNNNNNNNNNNNNNNNNNNNNNNNNNNNNNNNNNNNNNNNNNNNNNNNNNNNNNNNNNNNNNNNNNNNNNNNNNNNNNNNNNNNNNNNNNNNNNNNNNNNNNNNNNNNNNNNNNNNNNNNNNNNNNNNNNNNNNNNNNNNNNNNNNNNNNNNNNNNNNNNNNNNNNNNNNNNNNNNNNNNNNNNNNNNNNNNNNNNNNNNNNNNNNNNNNNNNNNNNNNNNNNNNNNNNNNNNNNNNNNNNNNNNNNCUUGUAGCUACACAUCCAUCCAUCUGGUUACAUUCCAUGAGAUACCCACCCCCUUCCUUCCUUAAAGUUCUGAUCAUAGCCUUCAACGACAGCUGAGCCCGGACCAAAGACGGAUCCCCAACCAACUUCACCGGCUGUCCAUUCAUAUCAAAGAUCAUCACCUGAGUUUUCCAAUUGGUAAUAACCGUUCCCAGUCUCUCUAACCACUGGACACCGAGUAUAAUAUCAGAAUUGCCAAGCUCCAAAGGCAAAAAAUCAGUCACGACCUCCACCCCUCCAUCUAAGUGUAGCUUGACCCCUUCACAGAUGCCCUUACCUCGUAUAGCCUCUCCGUUUCCCAAAUGUACCCCGAAACUGCCCGAGUCCGUCACCACAAGGCCGAGUUCCUUUACUACCCCAAGUGCGAUGAAGUUGUGCGUCGCACCCGGGUCAAUCAUGACUACCACUGAUCGAUCCUUAACCAAACCCCGCAACUUCAUUGUUUUGGGACUAGACAACCCAAUAACUGAGUUCAAUGAGACCUCAAGAGUGGGUUCCUCCACCGUGGUUACGACUUGCUCCUCCUCAUUUGGGCCCUCCAUAUCCUCCCCGCCAUCCAUCCACAACAUGCUCAACUCCUUUUUAGUGCAACAAUGGCCCAUGCUCCAUUUACCAUCACACUUGAAACACAGACCCUUAGCCCUCUUUUCCUGAAAUUCCUUGUCGGAGAGCCGACGUACUUCACCUAACAGCUUGGGCAUUGCUACAGUACUGGUCUUAGCCCCAGAAACAAUCGAAGUUGAGUUGGAAUUGUUAUUUUACACCAACUAUGAGAAAGAUUGUAGAAGGGGGGGUUGAAUACAAUCUUUUACAAAUUUAAAAGAUUCAAGAACAAUACACUAAGAACACAAUAAACAGAAAAACACCAAGUAUUAAAAAUACGGGUGGAUUGAAUGAUCCACCCGUGAGAUUUUAUAUAGAAGAAUCUGUGGAUUGUUUUACAAUUCGCACAGCUGCUGGUUCAUCACUCAAAACAAGUUCUAACUCUCAGAUUUUUCUCUCAAGUAAUUGAACAAGUUCAACUGAUGCUACUAACUUGGUUAUAUACUCCAAGUUUUACAAAGCUUUUAGCUAGAUUACAAAAUGCACUCUAAUCUAAAAACAAUGCUGCACAACUUUGUCUUAUGCAUGCUUUCUGAGAUGUCUUCAUCUUUGACCAUCAUCUUGAUUUGAUCCAGAUUGCGCUGCAUGAGAUAAGUAUGUUUCUGCUUCUUCUUUAUUUUCCUAAUUAGGCUUCCAUGUCUAUUUUAGUGUAAUUCGAUCCAUGUGAUUUGUCAGACUUAAGCUCUAGUCACUUUCAACUGCUCUUUGCUUCAUCAGUUGAAAGUUCUGGUUGCUUUCUNNNNNNNNNNNNNNNNNNNNNNNNNNNNNNNNNNNNNNNNNNNNNNNNNNNNNNNNNNNNNNNNNNNNNNNNNNNNNNNNNNNNNNNNNNNNNNNNNNNNNNNNNNNNNNNNNNNNNNNNNNNNNNNNNNNNNNNNNNNNNNNNNNNNNNNNNNNNNNNNNNNNNNNNNNNNNNNNNNNNNNNNNNNNNNNNNNNNNNNNNNNNNNNNNNNNNNNNNNNNNNNNNNNNNNNNNNNNNNNNNNNNNNNNNNNNNNNNNNNNNNNNNNNNNNNNNNNNNNNNNNNNNNNNNNNNNNNNNNNNNNNNNNNNNUAAAAAUGUUUAUGUUAUCAUCAAGUGUAAUCACCCUGAGAAUUGUGGUUGUGGUUGGAAAAAUUAUUGAUUCCUAACAAUCUCCCCCAAUUUAUGACUGGAGAAGAUGCAGACAUAAAUUCUACACUUGAUGAUAACAAAACAUUAAUAAAAUAAAAUGCAGAAUUUAAAUACAAGAGUUAGAAAAGAUUACAGAUGAUUAUGCUCCUCUAGACUGAGCAGUUACUUGUUCCUAGAAGAUCUUCUUCUUCUGGACUUAAGUUUUUCUUCAAGAAUAUUAAUCUGCUUCUGAAAGAUCCUGUAGAACCAUUCUUCAUCACUAUCUUGUCUGUUGAGCUUGGAUUGGAGAGUCUUCAGAGUAUUCAAGCUAGCAACCUUGAGUUGAUCUUUAGGUCUGAAAAAUCUCCUAACACCUUGAUUGUCCCUAAAUUCCAUGACUGGAGUAGGUUCAUGAUGAAUUUUCUUUCCAGUGUAGGGAAUUUUCAGCCUUCUUUGUAGACUAGCAUCUGAGUUCCAUUCCUUCCUGAUCUCAAGGAUUCUCUUUAGUACCAUUUGCUUUGCAGGUGGUGUAAAUCCUCCAGUCCUCUUCAUAGAUCCAUAUAUUUUUGUUAGAGAACUGAAUCCCUCAGAAUUCAGAACUCUGUGAAGAGGCCAGAUGACAUCACCCUUGUUUUUGUAAGAGAAUACCAAUCUUUCAGGUAACUUUGAAGUUGCCUCUAUUCCUCUUACUUCUUGAAGAUCAUCCAGCUCCAGAUCCAACUCAGAAAUUUCUUCAAUGUUAGCAAUGAUGAGAUAGUCAUCAAGGUUCUCAGGUUCUUUUGGAGGUUUAGGAGGGUUAGCCAUCCUUUUAGCCACAGACUUGACUUUCUUCUUUGGCUUGGAAGAUUCUUGGACAAGAAAAGCUGGAAUUGGAAUAUCUUCCAAGUCAAUUGGCUCCUCCUUUGGCAUUAUUGGCUCAUCAUGGAAGUUGACAUCUGGAUGUACUACUGUGGUAUCCUUGAUUGGAGAAGAAGGCUUUGAGAUAGGCUUUUCUGGCACUUCUUCUCUUCUCUUGGCUGCCUCAGGCAUCUUAGUUUUAGAUUUGACUCUCUUUUUCUUUGGAGAAGAUUCAAGAGGCAAUCCUUUCUCAUUUAAAAGCUCAGCUGCCAACUCCUCUUCCAGCUCAAUAGCAUACCUUUCAUCCACCUCUAUUUGGUUCAAAGAGAGUUGGGAUUCAAACUCCUCUUUUUCACAUUCUCUGGCCACCUCUUCAGCUUUUGCAAAUGAGUAGUGAGGAUGGCCAGUUCCAAUAAACAGCUUCUGGCCUUCUCUGUAGAUGAUGGCAAAAUGAGCCUUUAAGGCCACAUCUGCACAAUCUUUAUAACUUUUGAUUUCUUGGCCCAAAAGCUUGUAUUCAUUUUUGUCAGGCCUGGCUAGUGGAAAGUAGAUUGAGCUUGAGUCUUUUCCAGGCCUGGAGUAACCACAAUUGUUUGGAAACAGAAUUGGCUUGAACUCAUUCAGAAAUGAUGGCUCACCCUUUUCUGUCUUGGAGGGAAUAACAAUCUCAGGUGUAAUUACCCUGAGAAUUGUGGUUGUGGUUGGAAAAGAGAUUUGAGCUGUGGUGGCUGUAGAAGAUGUAGACGAUUUCUUGCCCAGUUGAGCCACUCUCUUUGCAAUGGAGUCCAAUUCUUUCAUCCUUGCAAUCUUCUGCUUUUCCCUUUCAGUGUGGAAAGGGGGUAGAANNNNNNNNNNNNNNNNNNNNNNNNNNNNNNNNNNNNNNNNNNNNNNNNNNNNNNNNNNNNNNNNNNNNNNNNNNNNNNNNNNNNNNNNNNNNNNNNNNNNNNNNNNNNNNNNNNNNNNNNNNNNNNNNNNNNNNNNNNNNNNNNNNNNNNNNNNNNNNNNNNNNNNNNNNNNNNNNNNNNNNNNNNNNNNNNNNNNNNNNNNNNNNNNNNNNNNNNNNNNNNNNNNNNNNNNNNNNNNNNNNNNNNNNNNNNNNNNNNNNNNNNNNNNNNNNNNNNNNNNNNNNNNNNNNNNNNNNNNNNNNNNNNNNNNNNNNNNNNNNNNNNNNNNNNNNNNNNNNNNNNNNNNNNNNNNNNNNNNNNNNNNNNNNNNNNNNNNNNNNNNNNNNNNNNNNNNNNNNNNNNNNNNNNNNNNNNNNNNNNNNNNNNNNNNNNNNNNNNNNNNNNNNNNNNNNNNNNNNNNNNNNNNNNNNNNNNNNNNNNNNNNNNNNNNNNNNNNNNNNNNNNNNNNNNNNNNNNNNNNNNNNNNNNNNNNNNNNNNUGCACACACGGGCACUCCGCACUUGUAAAUAGAAGAGUAAUUGACUUAGUAGCGAGAGAGAUGAAAUUCGAGAACAUUAGCACAAUCUGAGGUAUUAUAAUUGGCAAGGCAAUUACUUCAUAGUUCACUCAUUCAUCACGUAGUUGCAUUCAUGCAUUGCAUUGUAUUAUUGUAUAGUGUCGUUGACGCUUGAGGACAAGCAUCAGUUUAAGUUUGGGGGUGUGAUAAGUGGUAUUUAUACACACUUAUAGGCCUUCAUUUCCACUUAAAUUGGUUGGUUGUACUUAAGUGUUUAGUGUCUUUUGAUGUGUUUUUAUUGUUUUUCUGUGCAGGUCACGAGUUGAGGUGAUGAAGUGAUUUUCUAUCAUUUUAGGUUGGUUUUGGUGCAUUAUUUGCAAGAAUAGAGAAUUGUGGAUUCAUCGCGACUUGGGAUUUUGUGGGUAUAUCUUCUACAAACCCUCACGAGAGCACACUCGUCCACUAGAGCUAUCUAGGGGUUUAAAGGGCUUGUUGCAUGUGCUAAAUGCAACCGUGAUCACCUACGGAAGUGGUACUAGAAGCGAGGAAGGACAUGCACGCGAGAACGAGCGAGAAACGAAGAAACGGAGCUGCCAGUGCAGACACUAGCGCGCCCGCGCUAAGUGGUAGCGCGCCCGCGCUACUAACUGCAUCACUAGCGCGCCCGCGCUAGAGUAGCGCGGUGGCGCCCCACUGAAGCUUCCCGGGCCGAUUUUUACAGCUUUUCUGAUGGAUUUUCGCAGCGGCCGAGGCCCGGUUGACUUAGUCAAUGCAUUUUAUUUCUCGUGUGUAAAAACCCUAGCCUCAUAGUAGUUAGAAUAUCGAAACAAUAUCAUAGCUAGUUUUCUUUUGUAAUCGAACACAUUAUCAGUUGUAUUAGAUCGUUCUUCGCGAGGAAGUGACAGUUUCGAGCAAGAUCGUGAACUUCAAUCUGUAACGUGUGAUCUUUAUUAUUAAUUCAAGCAUUUUUAUUCCAAUUAAGUCUUGUCUUUUCUUUAUCAUGUUUUCAUUAGAACCCAUGAUGUCGAUUAGUUCGAUUAUGAACUAACCGCCUUCAUGGGAUUCUAAUGGAUUUAUCGAUGUAGUCUAGUAAAGAAUAUUAAUUACUCGAUUUUGUGACAUAUGUUGAUUUCUUUGCAUGAGCCGUGCUUAUUCUUCUUAGGAGCGUAGCUAACUUCUAAGUUGUUUGUUAAUUCUUUCUGAAGCGAGAGUGGAUGAUUGAAUUUAGAACUAUGCCAUGUAAACAUAGGAUUAUGUGAAUGAAACAUAAUUUGUGGUAGACUUGAACUAUUUUUAUCACCCUGUGUAAUCACGAUAGACGACUUGCUAUUAAACCUCUCUGCUUACACUACCGCUAUAGAGAUAUAGGGUCUGAGCUUUGUUGGUGUCCAUGAGAUUUCUAUCUUAAUUGUGGAUUUCGAUUGGUAUGAUAUGUGUGCAACGAGAGUUGGCAUGUAUUACUUUCGUGUUGUCUGAUUAGGAUCAACAGUCGCAUAUUAAUCAGUAAUUUCAAUUCUAGAUGAAUUCGAUAAUGAAGUUAGAAUCCCAUGUGUUUUCCUAUUCUGAAUUUGAUUAGUAAUUUUAGUUAUUAGUAUAAAAGAAACCAUCCUUGUUAAUUGUCUUGGCAGUGAAAAUUGAUCAUACAUUGUUGCAUAGGUGCGUAUUCUUAAUUCACCAGUCUCUGUGGGAUCGAACUUAAUAUAUUACUUGUGAUCACGUGCGCUUGCGUGUAGAUUUUUUGCGAACAAGUUUUUGGCGCCGCUGCCGGGGACUCGGUGUUAAUUAAUUAGUUUAUGUACUUGUCAUCAGUGUGCAUUAAAAUUCACUGACUAGGAUUCUAUUCUCUUCUCACUUUUCUUCUUUUCUUUAUUUCAGGUACUUGGAUCGCGUUUUUACUAACACGUUCUCAAGCUCGUAAAAAAGCAAUUGAUUCAUCUUCAUCUUCUUCUUCUGAUUCUGAAAAAAUGACAGAACCUGAAGCACAAACAGACAGUAAGGCAUUGAAGGAUUUCUCUAUGCCAAAGAUCGAUGAUAUCCAGUCAAGCAUUGUCAGGCCUGCAAUCGCAGCCAAUGCCUUUGAAAUCAAACCAGGAACUAUUCAAAUGGUCCAGAACUCGGUACAGUUUGGGGGUUCUCCUACUGAAGACCCUAAUAUGCAUAUACGUAAUUUUAUAGAGAUCUGUGACACUUUCAAAUUCAAUGAUGUCUCUGAUGAAGCUGUGAAGCUAAGGCUUUUCCCAUUUUCACUGAGAGAUAAGGCUAAGGGAUGGUUGCAUUCUUUACCAUCUGGCCCUAUUACUACAUGGGAAGAUCUAUCUCAGAAAUUUCUCACUAAAUUCUUCCCCAUGGCAAAGACUGCUGCACUACGAAAUGCUCUAUCUCAAUUCUCUCAACAAUCAGGAGAAACAUUCUGUGAAGCCUGGGAGCGAUAUAAGGAGAUGCUAAGGAAGUGUCCCCAUCAUGGCAUGCCGGAUUGGAUGCAAAUAAACUGUUUCUAUAAUGGUCUUGGACCUCAAUCCAGACCUAUGCUUGAUGCUGCUUCUGGAGGUGCGCUAUGGGCUAAGAGUUAUGAAGAAGCUUAUGAUCUUAUUGAAAAUGNNNNNNNNNNNNNNNNNNNNNNNNNNNNNNNNNNNNNNNNNNNNNNNNNNNNNNNNNNNNNNNNNNNNNNNNNNNNNNNNNNNNNNNNNNNNNNNNNNNNNNNNNNNNNNNNNNNNNNNNNNNNNNNNNNNNNNNNNNNNNNNNNNNNNNNNNNNNNNNNNNNNNNNNNNNNNNNNNNNNNNNNNNNNNNNNNNNNNNNNNNNNNNNNNNNNNNNNNNNNNNNNNNNNNNNNNNNNNNNNNNNNNNNNNNNNNNNNNNNNNNNNNNNNNNNNNNNNNNNNNNNNNNNNNNNNNNNNNNNNNNNNNNNNNNNNNNNNNNNNNNNNNNNNNNNNNNNNNNUUUUUUUCUAUUUUUCUCAAUUUUUUUUAUUUUACAUGUUUAGUAGUAAUUGUCGUAGUCAGUAUCACGAGCAUUUGCAUGAAUUAUGAAGUUAAGCCAAGUUAAUUGCCUAUGAUGAGUUAUGUGCGUAGUUCUUGAUUAGUAGUUUCAAUUGCAAUGCUAGGUUAGUACUUGGAAAUUGCUUGUGUUGGAAAUUGUAAUUCACAUAUGUUCUUGAGAUAGGAUUUAGACGAAAUUCCAUGAAUUCUAGGAUUGAAUUGAGCAUCCUUCAGCUUAGGUCUGUAAAUCUUAAGUUUGGGGGAACUGAGGAGUAGAUAUGCCUUUCUAAAAAAAAAAAAGAAAAAGAAAAAAAAAAGAAAAAAUAGUAGUAAAUAAAUUCACUAAAAAAAUAAGUGGUAGAAUUAACUAGGUUGAGCUCAUUAGUACUCGAGUAAUUAAGUCUGAGGGGACUUUGUGCCUAACAACCUAAAGCCCUUCGUGGUUUGGGAUUGUUGACCCAACGCUCGCUACAUGGGUACUAGUGCAUAAAUCUUUAGGGAUCUCAACCAUUGCACGGUUAAAUAAACCACUAGAAUAAAGUGAAUAAUUGGUGUGUGAAGUCUUGUGGUGUUCGUAACGCAUUUACACUGCGAAGCGCUCUGACCUUAGACCAAGCAAUUAAUCACCAAUAAAAAAAAGAAAAAAAAAAAAAUAAUAUAGUGAAUAAAAUAGAAGGGUGUGGACAUUCUUUGGGACCUUGGCUUUUAGUUGGACUUGAGUGACGGGGUGUUAGUUUAGACUUUUACGAUUCUUGAUUGGGAUUCUGUGGGAGUAGUAGUUUUUGUCUUGUCUCAAUAAAAGAGCAUGCUUGCACACACGGGCACUCCGCACUUGUAAAUAGAAGAGUGAUUGACUUGGUAGCGAGAGAGAUGAAAGUCGAGAACAUUAGCACAAUCUGAGGUAUUAAAAAUUUGCAAGGCAAUUACUUCAUAGUUCACUCAUUCAUCACGUAGUUGCAUUCAUGCAUUGCAUUGUAUUAUUGUAUAGUGUCGUUGACGCUUGAGGACAAGCAUCAGUUUAAGUUUGGGGGUGUGAUAAGUGGUAUUUAUACACACUUAUAGGCCUUCAUUUCCACUUAAAUUGGUUGGUUGUACUUAAGUGUUUAGUGUCUUUUGAUGUGUUUUUAGUGUUUUUCUGUGCAGGUCACGAGUUGAGGUGAUGAAGUGAUUUUCUAUCAUUUUAGGUUGUUUUUGGUGCAUUAUUUGCAAGAAUAGAGAAUUGUGGAUUCAUCACGACUUGGGAUUUUGUGGGUACAUCUUCUACAAACCCUCACGAGAACACACUCGUCCACUAGAGCUAUCUAGGGGUUUAAAGGGCUUGUUGCAUGUGCUAAAUGCAACCGUGAUCACCUACGGAAGUGGUACUAGAGCGUGAUUGAUUUUAAAGGAAAAUCCACAGAACACACUGUCACAGAGGAAGGAAAUGGAAGAGAAAGAUCCAACAAAUCAUCAAAAUGAUGAUGAUCAAUCUCAGAUGGGGGCUUCUCCAUGAAAUCCAAAGAUGGAGAAUUUACAAGUGUGGUGUGAAUUAAUUCCACAUCCACAGAAGAGGUUGGGGAUUGUGUUUGAGUAGUAGAGAUGGUAAGAUCAUAAAUAUGGGUGAUUUGUUGAGAUGAAGAAGGGGGCUGUGACUCCACAUUUAUUGGAGUCACAUCAAUCUGACUUUGAGAAGUUACAGGCAUAAAAUCCAGAAUGGAUGCCUGUGUGUGUGCAGAGUGCUUAAGUUUGUCACUUCUCAUCUUCUUUCUCCCAUAAGCUUUGAUUGGUGAAGAAGUGGUGUCCCUCCCCCUUUUUAUCUGUGUCCCUGGUUGGGGACUAUUUUCAAUAGCAACAUCCUUUUGGGAGGAUGCUGCUAGGGAUGUGUUUAAUUCCAUAUUAACAUCUACAGUCUUUUGGGAGACUGCAGAGUGGCCAGGCUGGUCAACACACACCUCUCCAUCCUUAUUCUUAGGGCUUCUUUUAUGUUCACCCUUUCCCUCCCCCUCACAACCUCCAAUCACACUCCCCUCAGGUUUGUGUUUCUUGGAUUUUACAACAGAUGUCUUUUGGGAGGCAUCUGAGGUUGGUUUAGAAGACUUGUUUUUAGAAGGUUUUGCCACUUGUGUGGACUGUUGAUGGGCCUCUUCAACAGCCCUGAUGGCAGAAAGCAAAGAAGGUGAGGGUUGAGAAAGAGUAGUAGGAAAGCCAUGUACCUCUUUGUGCUUUCCAGCCUCCAUUGUUGGCAGGUACACCACCUCCAAGGAGGGAUAUAAAUUCAUCCUAAAGAGGUCUUUAAAGACUCUCUUUUCCUGCACAAAACUGGGAAGCUUGGCUUCCUUGUUAGUAAUAACUAGCUUUUUGUUGAGAUGAUUAGCUAGCAUCAUGAGAAAUCUGACAUAAUAAAUAUUCCUAGGUCUACCAGUUUUAUCACCUAGUUUCUCCCCAAUUUCUUGGAUCAUCAAACCACCAAAGUUGAAAUAUUCAUUAGUCAGGUACAUGUAAAGCAUUUGUAAAAUCUGGGAAGUAAGAGCAUUGAAAUUACUAAUUUUACCAGAAAAUGCCUUAAUAAAAGCAUCACAUAAAUAACUCCAUUCUCUCCUAAGACCCCUUCUUUCUAUUUUACCUAAGGCAUCAGUUGGCAAAACAUAAUUCAUGGCAUAAAGUAAAUUAACCAACUGAUUAUCACUAGGCAAAGAUAAAACAGUAUCUUCAGGAAUCUUAAAGCAUGCUUUCAUAACAUCAGCAUUGACAGAAUGAAUUUCAUUAUUGACAGAGAAAGUUAGAGUUUCAUGCUCACUAUUAAACUCUGCAGAGGUCCACAUCUCCUCCACUAUUUCAUGGUAGAUGGUAGGAGCUUCAAGCAUAGCAUAAGAGAGCUGGCUUGACUUGAUGAACUCCAUCAUCCUGUGAUACUCCUUCUCCUCCACAGCCUUGGUAUCCACAAAUGACGCGAAGUUGUUCUUCUCAUAAAUAAACCCACUUGGUGCAGUAUACUUCUUCAUUGGUGCCAUUGUAGUUACAGAGAAAGCUUGAGGAAAAAUUAGAGUUUGCUUUUGCACAGAGAGAGAAGAGAACUUGAAGAAUUCGAAAGAGUGAGAUGAAAAGAAAUGAAAAUAAAUUAAAACACUUAAAUACUUUCUCAGAAAAUUGCUGUGAUUGGCUGAGAAAUUACCGUUGAGAAGAAAUUACUCUUAUUUAACUCUACAAAAAUUACACACACGAUCGUGUGUAUAAAGUAGGAGAGAGACAAAAGAAAUUUCAACGGCUCAGAUCUGAUAAUACUUUCAACGGAUGAAAUAAGCGCCUCUUUAAACUUCCUAUUCAACUGAUGAAGAUCAGUUGAAGGCGUCUUCAACUGGUGUCAUCAGUUGAAUGAAAAACAACGCAAGAGGAUAUUGUUUCAAGCAUCAGUUGAAACAAUUUCACUAGUUCAUCAGUUGAAAUAUUAUAGACUUUAUCCAGAAUUAUAAUUAAUUCAAUUUUGAUAAAUCAAAAUUAAUCAAAUUCUGGCUGCCAAAUUACAGAAAAAUUCACUCUAAAUUAGGAGAAAUUUAACAUACCUAAUUUACUUACCAACCUUGUGAAUGUGGAUUCAUCAAGAGGCUUUGUGAAAAUAUCUGCAAUCUGUUCUUCACUUGGAACAAAAUGCAUUUCAACAGUACCAGCCAUCACAUGUUCUCUUAUGAAGUGGUAUUUGAUGUCAAUGUGCUUGGUUCUUGAGUGUUGUACUGGAUUUUCAGUUAUAGCAAUAGCACUGGUGUUGUCACAAAAUAUUGGGAUUUUUGAGAGAUUUAAUCCAUAAUCAAGUAAUUGAUUUCUCAUCCACAAUAAUUGUGCACAACAGCUUCCAGCUGCAAUGUACUCAGCCUCAGCUGUAGAGGUUGAUACAGAAUUUUGCUUUUUGCUAAACCAAGAAAUCAAUCUGUCACCAAGAAAUUGACAGGUGCCUGUUGUACUUUUUCUAUCAAUUUUGCAUCCUGCAAAAUCAGCAUCUGAAUAUCCAAUUAGAUCAAAUCCAGAGUCUUUAGGGUACCAAAUACCAAGAUUUGGUGUUCCCUUAAGAUAUCUGAAUAUUCUUUUUAUAGCAAUAAGAUGUGAUUCUUUAGGAUCAGAUUGAAAUCUAGCACAGAGGCAUGUAGAAAACAUAAUAUCUGGUCUACUAGCUGUCAAAUAUAAAAGAGAACCAACCAUGCCUCUAUAAUUAGAGAUGUCCACAGAUUUCUCAUUAGGACUUAACUCUAAUUUGGUGGCUGUUGGCAUGGGAGUCUUAGCUUCUUUGCAAUCCAAUAAAUCAAACUUUUUAAGUAGAUCAUAGAUGUACUUAGUUUGAUUUAUGAAUAUACCUUCCUUUACUUGUUUAACUUGUAAACCAAGAAAGUAGGUGAGCUCUCCCAUCAUGCUCAUUUCAUACUGACUUUUCAUUAGAUUAGCAAACUUCUUGCAAAGUUUCUCAUCUGUAGAACCAAAAAUUAUAUCAUCUACAUAAAUUUGAACCAGAAUAAAGGCACCAUUUACAUUUCUGUAAAAUAGUGUUUUAUCCACAGUUCCUCUGGAAAAAUGAUUAUCUAACAAGAAUUGAGACAGAGUGUCAUACCAUGCCCUUGGUGCUUGCUUUAGUCCAUAGAGUGCUUUUAAUAAAAAGUAAACAUACUCUGGAAAUUCUGGAUCUUCAAAACCAGGAGGCUGACUGACAUAUACCUCCUCUUCCAGUUCACCAUUUAGAAAAGCACUCUUGACAUCCAUUUGAUAAACUUUAAAGUUUGCAUGAGCAGCAUAGGCCAGGAAGAUUCUUAUUGCUUCCAGUCUUGCAACUGGUGCAAAGGUCUCAUCAAAAUCAAUUCCUUCAGAUUGAGAGUAUCCUUUAGCAACAAGCCUUGCCUUGUUUCUGGUGACAACUCCAUUCUCAUCCACCUUGUUUCUGAAUACCCACCUUGUUCCUACAAUUGUUCUGUUUUUAGGUUUGGGUACCAGCUUCCAUACAUUGUUUCUCUCAAAUUGAUUUAAUUCUUCUUGCAUAGCAAGAACCCAAUCAGCAUCUUUGAGAGCAUCUUCUAUGACUUUAGGUUCAUCCUGUGAAAGGAAUGCACUGUACAAACACUCAUCUUGAGUUGCUCUUCUUGUUUGUACAGAUGCAUUUGCAUCUCCAAUAAUUAGCUCAAAAGGAUGAUCCCUUGUCCACUUUCUUUGUGGUGGAAGUGAUUGUCUUGAUGAUGUGGCUUCAUUAUUGAAGUUCAGGUUUCCAUGUUGGAAAGCUCCCCCUAAAUUUGACAUCUCAUUAUUUCUAGACUGAUUGAAACUUUGAGACAUUCUUUCAACUGAUGAUCCUUGAGGUGUUUCAACUGAUCCCUCCAAUGUAGUUUCAACUGAUGCUUCAGUUGAAUUUCCAAUUGCAGUUGUUUCUUGCACCAGAGAGUCAUCAGUUGGAAUAUUAAUUCCAGGAUUAAUUCCAACAUUUUGAAUAAUGUCAUCAUCAUCAUCACUGUCAUACAGAUCACCUUCACCUUCAUUUUCAAAUCUGAGAUUAUCAUGAAAUCCUUCAUCUGAGAAUCCUUGAAUCUUCUUAUCAUCAAAAACCACAUGGAUUGAUUCCAUAACAAUGUUGGUUCUCAGAUUAUAUACUCUAAAUGAUUUUCCAUCAGAGUAUCCAACAAAAAUAGCUUCAUCUGCCUUGGCCUCAAAUUUUCCAAGAUUUUCACCUUGAUUUCUUAGAACAUAACACUUGCAUCCAAAUACAUGAAGAAAGCUAAUUGUUGGCUUCUUUCCUUUGAAGAGUUGAAAGGGAGUUAGAUUAUGAGGUUUGGUAAUUAGUGAAAUGUUUUGAGUGAAGCAAGCAGUGUUCACAGCUUCAGCCCAAAAAUAGGUUGGAAGUUGAGCUUCAUUAAUCAUGGUUCUUGCAGCCUCAAUAAGAGUUCUAUUCUUCCUUUCAACAACACCAUUUUGUUGUGGAGUUCUUGGUGCAGAGAACUCAUGAAUAAUUCCCUCUUCUUCACAAAAUUCUUUCAUCACAGAGUUCUUGAAUUCUGUUCCAUUGUCACUUCUUAUCCUUCCAACUUUGACAUCUGGAUUGUUGUUUAAUGCCUUGAUAUGAUUGAUGAUGAUUUUCCCAGCUUCAUCCUUAGAAUGCAGGAAGAAAGUCCAAGUGAAUUUUGAAAAAUCAUCAACAAUCACUAGGCAAUAUUUCUUCUUUGAAAUAGACAUGAUGUUGACUGGUCCAAACAAAUCCAUAUGCAAGAGCUGAAGGGGCUUCACAAUUGAUGAAAGAGUUUUGCUUUUGAAAGAGCUUCUCUUUUGCUUUCCUAGCUGACAAGCUCCACAAAGUCCAUCUUUGGAGAAUUCCAGCUUAGGUAGACCUCUUACCAAGUCCUUCUUUACUAACUCAUUCAGGGUUUUGAAAUUUAGAUGAGACAAUCUCUUAUGCCAUAGCCAACUGUCAUCUGAGCUUGCUUUGCUGAGAAGGCAAGUGAUAGAUUCAGACUUUACAGAAUUGAAGUCAGCUACAUACACAUUUCCUUUCCUUUGUCCAAUCAGAACCACAUUGUUGUCAUCUCCUUUGGUGACAACACAGGCUGCAGGAGUGAAAUUAACUUUGUAACCUUUGUCACAGAGCUGACUGAUGCUAAGCAAGUUGUGCUUAAGACCAGACACCAAUGCAACUUCAUCAAUGAUGACAUUCUCUUUUGCAAUCAAGCCAUAUCCCAUAGUAUAUCCUUUGCUGUCAUCUCCAAAGGUAAUGCUAGGGCCAGCUUUCUCCACAAACUUUGUGAGCAGGGAGGAAUCACCAGUCAUGUGCCUGGAGCAUCCACUAUCCAAGUACCACAAAUUCUUCUUGUGGUUUCCCUGCACACAUUUCACAAACAGAUCAAGUUGAUUUUGGUACCCAAAUUGCUUUGGGUCCAGAUUUGUUAGUCUUAGCAGCCUUUUCCACUUUCUCAACCUUUUCCUUGGAUUGAAUUGGUUCAAUCUUUGGUUUUGGUUGAGAAAUUGGAAUAUCAACUCUGUUUUCAAACACAGGCCUUUGAGACAUGCAUAAAUUGUUCAUUCCAUGCAAAUUUGAAUGAAAUUGAGGCAUGUUAAAGGCAUUGAAAUAAGGAUUGAACAUAUAUGGCAUGUUAGGCUGAGAAUAAGGAUUGUGAGGCAAUAAACCAGGCAUCAUAUUCAUAGCAGAUAAAUUCAUGUGAGGAACAGAUGUCAUAGGAAUAGGCAAAGAUAAAUUAGGAGCAAUCACAGUUUUACAAUUAGCAGAUAAAUGAUUUACACUACCACACUUACUGCAGGUUUUCCUAAGAGCACUAGCAUUGGGAGUGUAAUUGGUGUGCUUGUUAACUCCUAUUUUGCCAUUUCUAUUUCCUUUCUUCUUUUUAGUCUCCUCAGAUUUAUGCUCACUAGUAUCCAACUUCUUCUUGUUCUUGUUACUGGAAUUAAGAGUGUUAUUAACACUAUCACUGGUCUCAGAAGAACUAUUCUCACCUUUAACAAAAUUCUUUUUAACAGGACCAUAUUUCUUGUUAAGCUUCUUGAGAACACUCUUGUCAACUGAUGAGUUUUUGUUCAACUGAUGACUCUCAUCAGUUGAGACUUUGCUCUUCAACUGAUGAUCAUCAUCAGUAUUCUCAUCACCUGAACUGUUCUCAGAUAUCUCAAGCACUUUCUUAUUCCUCUUCCACUCAUUCUCUACAAAGGUCUCUCUACCUUGCAUGUUGAUGAUAUUGGUGGAAACAUCCCUACCAGAUUUCCAUUUGGCAAUAAUCUCUUGUUCCUUAUCAAGCUGCUUUCUUAUGAUCUCUUCUCUUUUCAGAACAACCAAGAGAUCAUCCUUGGCUGUCUGACACUCAAUUUUCAGCUUCUCAAACUCAAUAAAUUGAGCUUCUAAGACACUGUUUCUAUCACUAAGAAAGGUGUUAGCUUCCUUAAUCCUACUAUUUUCCUUAGUGAGAGAUUUUAAAGAAACAUACAAGUGAUACAAUUCUGUAGACAUUUCAUUAAUAGUAGCAUUGCAUUCAUCUUUAGUUAACUCAACUAGGUUUGUAGUGAAUACCUGACUACUGCUUCCAGUGUUUUCUUCUUGAUCUGUGGAGUUGGCCAUUAGAGCUAGAUUGACAAACUCCUCCUCUUCAUCAGAAUCAUCUCCAGCUGCCCAAUCAUCCUUUGUGAUGAAUGCUCUUUCCUUUUGUUUGAGAAGUUCAUAAUAUUUCUUUUUGUAGUCAAUGUUUUCACUUGACUUCUUCUCAACUUUAGGCUUUCUGCACUCAUUUGCAAAGUGACCUGCAUUCCCACAGUUGAAGCACUUGAAUUUUGAUCUGUCUACCAUGCUUCUAUCAGACUUGGGAUUGCCUUUAAAAGAUUUUGCAGAAUUAAAAUUCUUUUUGAAUUUCAGUUUGGAGAAUCUUCUUGACAGGAAGGCUAGAUGUUCAUCAAUUCCAUCACUUUCUUCACCAGAAUCAGCUACUUCUUUCUCCUUUCUUCUUCCUUUGCUUGACUCUGAGCUCUCCUCUUUGACCAACUUCUCAGUUUCUUCAACUUGAGACUUUCCCUUGUCCUUGACAGUAUCCUCCAGAGAUGCAACUAGAGCCACAGAUGAAUGCCCUUUCUUUUGGCUUUUCUCAAUCUCUUCAUCUUGUUCCAUUUCAAGCUCAUAAGUCUUUAAGGUUCCAUACAGUCUCUCUAGAGUAUAGUCUUUAAACUCUUGUGUAUUUCUGAGAGAGACUGUCAUGGGUUUCCAUUCUUUGGGAAGAGCUCUUAAGAAUUUCAAGUUUGAAUCCUUAACUUGAUAUACUCUUCCAAAGAGCUUUAGACCAUUUAACAGUUUUUGAAAUCUGUUAAAUGUAUCACUCAAACUUUCACCAGCCCUGAAAUGGAAUGACUCAUAUUGUUGAAUAAGAAGCUGCAUUUUGUUCUCUCUUACUUGCUCAUUCCCUUCACAGAUGGUCCUGAUGGUGUCCCAAACUUCUUUGGCACUUGUGCAGCUAAUAACACUAUCAAUCAUUUCUUGAUCCAAACCAUUGAACAGAAGGUUCAUGGUUUUCUUGUCCUUGUGCACUUCUUCAGUAUCUUCUUGAGAAUAUUCAUGGAUAGGUUUUGGAAUCAUCUUACCUACCAUGUCUUCACCAUCAGCUCCCAUACUUGUGCAGACCUUCAUGGGGACAUGAGGUCCUUUUUCAAUGCAGUUCACAUAGCUUUCAUCAAUGGACAACAGAUGCAGAUGCAUUCUCACUUUCCAGUGAAAAUAGUUGUCUUUGUCAAGAACAGGAAUCUUCACUCCAGCAUCCUUCUUUCCCAUCUUUCUCUAGCAGUGUUGAUCUUUUUCCCUGUUUGUUGGGAACCUCGCUCUGAUACCAAUUGUUAUUUUACACCAACUAUGAGAAAGAUUGUAGAAGGGGGGGGUUGAAUACAAUCUUUUACAAAUUUAAAAGAUUCAAGAAUAAUACACUAAGAACACAGUAAACAGAAAAACACCAAGUAUUAAAAAUACGGGUGGAUUGAAUGAUCCACCCGUGAGAUUUUAUAUAGAAGAAUCUGUGGAUUGUUUACAAUUCGCACAGCUGCUGGUUCAUCACUCAAAAAAGUUCUAACUCUCAGAUUUUUCUCUCAAGUAAUUUGAACAAGUUCAACUGAUGCUACUAACUUGGUUAUAUACUCCAAGUUUUACAAAGCUUUUAGCUAGAUUACAAAAUGCACUCUAAUCUAAAAACAAUGCUGCACAACUUUGUCUUAUGCAUGCUUUCUGAGAUGUCUUCAUCUUUGACCAUCAUCUUGAUUUGAUCCAGAUUGCACUGCAUGAGAUAAGUAUGUUUCUGCUUCUUCUUUAUUUUCCUAAUUAGGCUUCCAUGUCUAUUUUAGUGUAAUUCGAUCCAUGUGAUUUGUCAGACUUAAGCUCUAGUCACUUUCAACUGCUCUUUGCUUCAUCAGUUGAAAGUUCUGGUUGCUUUCAACUGCUCUUGACUUUAUCAGUUGAAUGCCCGGCUCAUCAGUUGAAUGAAUUACAAACUCCAUCAGUUGAAUGCUGUUCCAGUCUCAUCAGUUGAAUUCCUCAGCAUCAUCCGUUGAACACUUUGUCUUCAGUUGAAUGCUUGAUUUUCAUCAGUUGAAACAUCAUCCAGUCUUCAUCAGUUGAAUAGUUACAUCUCAUCAGUUGAAUAUCCUUCACUUAGAUAAAAUUACAUGGCAUUGGAUAUUUACAAUUAGCCAUCCUAUUCUACCCAUCCGUUGAUAAUUCCCAAAGACAAGAAGUGUAACAAUUACAACUGAAAUUUGAUAAAGAUUCUAAGUAAGACAUGUUACAAAAAUGUUUAUGUUAUCAUCAAAAAUUAUUGAUUCCUAACAGGAAUCACUUACCCCAGAGAUGGUAUUGUGACGAGUGAACGGGCUAGUUACAAACCCUGAACUGGUAAAUCCUGUGGCAGAACUCUUCUGCCCUGUAGUUGCCUGCCCCCCUUUAAUACACACAGACCCAUUCUUGGAGUUGCCUACUGCCUUAUAUUUUUCCUCGACUCGCAAAGCCAUCUCCAUUGCCUGUUCGAGAUGUAUCGGGUUCAGGAGUCGUACUUCCGCCCGAAUGUCCUCCUUUAAACCAAUCAGAAAUUGCCAAAAACAAAAUGCUCUCAGGGAUGCGAUCCAAAGGAGCUGCCGUCUCAAUAUAACUACGCUUAUACUCCAAAACCGUAGAGGUCUGUUAAGUGGCCAACCAUUGUUCAUACAACGAGCCCCCAUCCGCAACCCGGAACUGCUUUAGUAUGAAAUCAUUAAGAUCACUCCAAAGCCGAAUUGGCCGCCUCUUAUUCUCCCAUUGAUACCAUCGCAGAGCGUCCCCUUCCAUAGCCACAACCACCGCCUCUAGCAUCUCCUCCUUCGAUAAGCGAUAAAAACUGAAAUAACGCUCAACCCGGAGUAUCCACCCAUCCGGAUCUGACCCAUCAAAGACCGGCAUGUCCAACUUACGAUAACGCCAGUGGCCGGGACCACCACCCGACCCACCGCCCCCAAACCCAUGACCUUCCCCAGUAGGUGGAGCAAAUCCGCGGUGGCCCUGACCGCCUCCACCAAAAGGCAUGCCGAGGUGAGUGGGGUGAGAGGAGCUUCCUUCACCACGAUCGACGCCCACAAAAUUAGUGGAAGUGAGACCUGUGAGAGCAGAUCUGAGUUCAGCCUGAAACUUGAGUUGGUCAUUGCGCAUGAGAUUAAUCAUCUGCUCAUGGCUCUCACGAGAUCUAUUAAUUCGCCCUUCCAAUCGAACAGCCAAGGCAUCGAUAUCCUCCCCCUAUUUGCGCGCUGUGGCGUUCUGCCCUUGAACUAACAACUCGGUGAGCGACGCGCGCACCGCCCCCAUCGCAGACUCAACUGCUUUCGCAACGAGCUCGGCCAUAGACUCCUCGAGCUCCGUCGCCUUCUCUUCAAGCUGAUCAAUACGCUGAGUGACUGUUGGCGGCCCCAUGGAUGCAAACGCUUUGAUACCACUUGUGAUGUUUUUAGAUGGAUCUUCACCAACAAAAUACCAAUUAAAAGGAAAACAAGCACCAGCACUUAAUAAUAAGAUCCAAAACCAAGUUGCUUACAAUGAAGAAAAACUAGAACAGAUAAACUGGACAAUUCGAGAAGCCAGAGUCUUCUUACUAAAUUGAUUAAACUAAAAUGAUAUUCUCCAUAAGCCCCUCCUCUCAACCCUAAUUCCUCUUAUCCCCUCUCUUCCUUUUGCUAUUCAGUUCCCUUUCUACCCUUGGGCUUCCUUCUGUUGAAUACUAGUAGCUUAGUGGGCUGGGCCUGAUCUGUAGGUUGGACCUGAUCUGUUACAUCUGCGCUAUGUGUAUGAUCUACAGAAUACACAAGGCGAUACUCGUUUACUAGAAUUAUCAAAUAUAAACUCGUCAAAAUGAAAUUACUUUUCAAGAGGAGACUUUAGAUCUGAUCAGAGUACCAGACAGACAGACCUUAUUAGACAAUUUGACUUUAUUUAGAUUAGUUGUUAGGGAAUUUGUGAGUCUGUGAUUGCCAGUCCAUAUGAUUCUGUUUGUGAAAUUAAAUACUGAUUUGUCCCAUCCACUUCCAUCACUGGUGUUGCUGUUCCCGGAAAUGCACUAACCUCUCUCAGCCACUUUGCGCCGAUCGUAUGAUUUUUCCUACGGGGUUCAGCUCGCAUCCAUGUACCAUAACCAUAAGGUUUUUCAAUCAGUUCUAUUGGAGUCUUGAACAAUCUUCAGCAAAAUUUCUCACUAUGCUUAAUCAUGCCGCGUAUGAAACAAAAAUAAUAUUAUUUUGAAAUUCCCUAGAUUUGAUCAAUUCUAAAUGUCCUCGUAUUAUAUUAAAUUAAAUAUAGUAUGAGGGAAUGUAAUUCCUACUCCUAAUUUCGGAACCUAAUUAAGAUCUGAAAAAUCUAUAUGUGGUUUCAUUCUGAUUUUUGAAACUAGAUGUGGUUUCAUUCUGAUUUCUGAAUUUGCACCAUCUAGUAUUUAAUGGUUUUUACACCGUUCGAACAGAAAUAAAGAUUCUCACAAGAAUUUGUGAAAAAUCCGAAAUACUUUUAAAAUAAUUACUACUUAAUAAAUUACUCAAAUAUGAAUCAAUAUAUAAUCAUGGUAUAAUUAAAAAUAAACAUAAAUUAUUAUUAAUAAAAUCAUAUAACAAUAUGAAAUAAUAAAAGUACAUAUAAUAUAUAUGAGAAUUGAGGAGCGAGAUAAAAUAUAGAAAAGAUAGCGGGGUUCUGAAUUAAAGGGUCAUAAAAUUUUCAAUUCUCCGUUCGGAAUAAAGCGAUUAAGAGCAGUCGGUGAUAAAUUAAAAUAAUAAAUAUUAAUUACUGAUCGAAGUAUAAAUUAACUUAAAUUAAAAUAAAUAAAUAUUGAUUAGUGAUAUAAAAAAAUAUAUUUACAUAAAAAUUAUACAAACAUAUUUCAUGUAAAAUUGGGAGGUGAUUUUUUUUUUCUUUUGUAACCUGAAAAUAUGACAGGGGAGCGAAAAUCAACGCAAGUCAUAAGACACGGCACAACGUUAGCAAACCAGAAUUUAAAAUAGAAUCCCAACAUAAUAUUCUUCUAUCCCCUUUUACGUAUGUUCAUUUUGAUUUUAAUUUUUAAUUAAACAUAACAAAUUAUCUAUUCAUUAUUUUUAAAAUCUUAAAAUUGCAUAUACAAAAAUAUACAAAAUAUAUUUUCUAAUGAUAUAAUUUUUAUUAUUUUUUCAAUUAUAUAAUAUGUAAAUUUCUGCAAAGUAUAGUCAAUUUAACUGAUAAAAGUCAAAAUGGACACAUAAAAGGAGACGGAGGGAGUAAUUGUCUUCCUAGUUAAAGUUGCGAAGCAAAAGAAGAUAUGCAAUCUUUCUUUCCGACAUCGACCAUCAAUCCCUAACUAUCAUCAAAAUUUUGUUUAACAUCUAAUAACUAUUUAGUUCGAAUGCAAUCUCAUGUCUCUUGACAGUCCUUCCUCAAACUGAUGCGCCUACUAACCUCCUCCUUUCUAAUCAAAGUUACAUCAUACUAACCCAUAAUGAAAAGUCAACUUCAUGCUCGGAAAUAAUUUGUUUCUCUCUUUUUUCCAAACUAAUUAAAUCUCGCUCCAACUUAGCUCAUAUUUUUUGAGAAAAUUAUUUUUUUAUAAACACCUCUUUAAAAAUUUCCCGUAUAAGAUUGGACAGCUUGCUCCUCGUUACCUUUCACCCACCUCUUAUUCAUGAAACACCAAUUAUAAGCGCUUUUGAGUUGGUAGCUUGAAAUACUAAUUUUUAACUUGCCGAAUUUUUUUCCAUCUCUCAACAGGAUAUAAUCACUAAUCGACUUUUGAAGGUGGUAGGUAGAUUUCUCUUAAGUUUGGGGACUUGCCUUCUCAGAAUCCAUUUGAAAGUGCUGUUGAAAAUUGAUAUACUCUUAAGAAAAGUAAAGAUAAAAAAAAUAAUGUUGUGCAAAUUAGAUUAAUGUUUGACAAUUUUUUUUUAUAUUUCCAUAUUUUGAGUUAUAACAUAAUUUUUUUGGGUGAAGUUUAAAAGUGAAAUCUGUAACAGCUUCCUACAAAAUUGAAAAAUCAGCUUUUUUUCAAAAAUAUAUGGGAACAUGCUUUUCUGAAAAAUUAUUUUUUAGCUAAAAACUGCUAUAUAUAAAAUAGUUUUUCACCUGUUUUAUAAUAAAAUGUUGGCAUUGUUGUUUAUAAUAACAAUGCCAAACGAAGCUUUAAACUAAAUUGUUAGGCUUUUUGGUUCCCUUGUUUUUUCCCAACUAAUAUCGUUGAAGUUUUGGCCCAAGUAAUUCGUCAUAUUUAUAUAUUUGUUUGUUGUCAUUGUUAUUGUUGUUUUCACUUUUGUGGCGUUGGUGAAUUAUGACCGCUACAUAAUGCAAUUGUAACUUAAUAUCAUAGUACAAAUAGAAAUAAUAUUGGGAGAAAUAUGCAUGACAAAAUUAAAAGCAAUGCUUGAAAUUUUACUGGUAAAAAAAUUUAAAAAUUAAUUCUUCACGACUUAUAAGCCUAUAACAUUGUGUUAUUAUGUUUUUGUGAUUUUAAUGAGUUGUGUAUUUAACUUAUGUAACUUUCAAUUUUUAUUGUGAUACAAUACUCUGACUCCACAAUAAUUAUGAAAUCAUAUAAGAUAGUAAUUGAAUGUGGUGUUUUAUUUGAAUUAUUAAGUUAAAUAUAUUUGUAUAACUCAAUACUAAUGAAUCUAAAGCAGUGUUCUAAAAGUCGGCGAUUAAUCGCGGAUUAAUCGCUGUUCGGUCGGCCACCGUCUCGAUUAAGCGUUAAUCGGUGAAAAAAAUCGUUUUUUCUGAAAAUCGGGAUUAAUCGGUCAAAAGUCGGGAUUAAUCGGAAAAAGUCGGUCAAAAAUCGGCGAAUUUAAAAAAAUUUAAAAUAAAACGUAAAAAAAUUUUAAAAUUAAUUUAAAAUAAAACAAAAGGCAUGGAAAUGACAAAACACAGAAAUUAAAGUUGUUUUUUAUUACCUUUCACUCUUUCAAUAUUAGCCUCUAAAUUCUAAUUACAUAAAUUUGCAAUAUCUUCCUUCGCAGAUUGAAUCAAAUUCAAGUUUAUAUAUGAGAUGACUAGACUUGUAUAUGUAUAUAAAGGCAUGUUUUGUAUUAUAGAAAAUCAUUAAUCUUUUGAUUUUAUAUGUCUAUAAAUUUAUACUAUAUAUAAUUUUAUUAAUAUAUAUAUAAUUUUAAAAAUAAUAUUAAAUUGAUCACGAUUAAUAAUCUGAUUAAUCACUCCGAUUAAUCUCCGAUUAUCCGAUUAAUCGUUGGACGGUGUCUUCACCGACUAAGUCCGAUUCCCNUAUUAUAGAAAAUCAUUAAUCUUUUGAUUUUAUAUGUCUAUAAAUUUAUACUAUAUAUAAUUUUAUUAAUAUAUAUAUAAUUUUAAAAAUAAUAUUAAAUUGAUCACGAUUAAUAAUCUGAUUAAUCACUCCGAUUAAUCUCCGAUUAUCCGAUUAAUCGUUGGACGGUGUCUUCACCGACUAAGUCCGAUUCCCGCUUUUUACAACACUGAUCUAAAAGUAUAUCUAAAGUUUGAAAGUGAGAAAAAUUAACUUAGAUACACCUAAAGUUUUAGUAAUUUAUAUAGCUUCUAUCCUUGCAUAUAGAAUAUAUAUGUUACACUAUAUUUUUCUAUUUUGGUUUCUAGAAACUUUGUUAUCAAUUUGAAUAUUAUUUUUUCUCUUAUUAAUUCAUGAUAUUUCAAGUUUAGUUUUAAUCUUUAAGUGAAAGCUAACCGUCUGAAAAGCUAUAUUAAUACAAUUCAAUUUAUAUCCAUUAAAAUACAUUAAAAAAUUGAGAUACAUUAACUUAAGCUUAAAAAAAUUAGCUUCGCGCCCACACCAAUAAAAAUUAUGCUUCAGCAAUACAAUAUGAAUUGUAAAUUUUAAUAAUUAUUAGUAAAUCUUGAUUUUGAUGCAGGCUAUUACGUGAGCUCGUGGGUUUAUCCAGUGCGCAUCCGAAGGGUAGCGGCUGCGGGUUCCUACGUUAAAAAAAAUAAAUAAAUUUGAUUUUAAUAUUUAUAACUCAAAUACAUUUACAAGUAUGUAAUAUAUAUNNNNNNNNNNNNNNNNNNNNNNNNNNNNNNNNNNNNNNNNNNNNNNNNNNNNNNNNNNNNNNNNNNNNNNNNNNNNNNNNNNNNNNNNNNNNNNNNNNNNNNNNNNNNNNNNNNNNNNNNNNNNNNNNNNNNNNNNNNNNNNNNNNNNNNNNNNNNNNNNNNNNNNNNNNNNNNNNNNNNNNNNNNNNNNNNNNNNNNNNNNNNNNNNNNNNNNNNNNNNNNNNNNNNNNNNNNNNNNNNNNNNNNNNNNNNNNNNNNNNNNNNNNNNNNNNNNNNNNNNNNNNNNNNNNNNNNNNNNNNNNNNNNNNNNNNNNNNNNNNNNNNNNNNNNNNNNNNNNNNNNNNNNNNNNNNNNNNNNNNNNNNNNNNNNNNNNNNNNNNNNNNNNNNNNNNNNNNNNNNNNNNNNNNNNNNNNNNNNNNNNNNNNNNNNNNNNNNNNNNNNNNNNNNNNNNNNNNNNNNNNNNNNNNNNNNNNNNNNNNNNNNNNNNNNNNNNNNNNNNNNNNNNNNNNNNNNNNNNNNNNNNNNNNNNNNNNNNNNNNNNNNNNNNNNNNNNNNNNNNNNNNNNNNNNNNNNNNNNNNNNNNNNNNNNNNNNNNNNNNNNNNNNNNNNNNNNNNNNNNNNNNNNNNNNNNNNNNNNNNNNNNNNNNNNNNNNNNNNNNNNNNNNNNNNNNNNNNNNNNNNNNNNNNNNNNNNNNNNNNNNNNNNNNNNNNNNNNNNNNNNNNNNNNNNNNNNNNNNNNNNNNNNNNNNNNNNNNNNNNNNNNNNAUAUAUAUAUAUUUGAGUGUAAUUAUAUUUAUUUUAUUUGAGAUUUAUAGUGAAAAUAUUAAAAUUUUCAUUAUACAUGACAAGUAAGAUAUUACUACAAUAAAUAACAUGUAAUAUCUAAUUAGCAAGAAAAAAAUAUAAUAUCUAGAAAAUCUACCAGAUAUGCAAUAUCUAACAAGUAACAUCAUGUAAUUACUAAUUAGUAAGAACAAAACGUGCAAUAUCCCGGGAAAAUCCACAAGAUAUGCAAUAUCCGAGAAGAUUUGUGUAGAUUUAAUUUCUAACAAAAUUUAUUAUUAGUUAAUACCCAACAACUAUAAAUAACAAGCACAUUUCAUUCCCAACCCAUCAUCCUCACAUCAAAGACAUAAUUCUCUGUGUUAUAUUAAUAAUCAGUUAUUUCUUAAGACCUAUUAUAUAUGGAGAAGGCUCUGGUCAACAAAAUUAUUUCUCUUCUUGUGUUGGUCAUGCUGUGUGGUAUGUCAUGUAAUUCUACAUAGUUAAUCUUUCAAUAUAUAUAUAUUAUAAAUAAUAUAAUUUUGUUCUUCAUGAUCUCUGAUACUAAUGAAAUAUUAUUAUUUUUUGAUAAUUUAUGCAGAUUUACAAUUAAUGAGAACAAAUGCAUCAAAUAUACAAUGUCAAAGUGACACUGAUUGCAAAUAUUUUCCUGAAUGUGUCGAUGGUAAAAUGAGAUGUGUAAACGGUGAAUGCAGAUGCAUACCAUUUGGUGUCCCCGGCCCUCAAGCUAGUCACGGUUUUGGUGAUGAUAAGAAAGUUAACAACGAGAUUAGAUGUAAAACAGUAAGCGAUUGUGCAAAUACUUUUCUAUGUUUGGUAGGUAAACAAGUAUGCAAGAAUGGUGUGUGCAAAUGUGAAGGACAUAUUGGUCACGAAAAUGAAGAACGUGGAGGCAUUUAUUAAUAUAUAUGUAAUGAUUUUUUCUUGAGUUUUAUUAACUUAAUGAGUUAGUUCAAUUUCUUGCUCUAAUUACUUCUUUGUUUUGGCUCGAUUUUAAUAUUUUCCGACACUAAUAAAGUAUAUGAAUUUUUUUCCGACAUAAUACAUAUGUUAGGACCAAUGAAAGUAAAACAAUCAUCAUUUGACUAAAAACUUCCGACCUUCUCAACUUUCUACUUAAAUCUCAAAUAAUCUUUUAUUUUCAUUUUCAAGAAUAUGAAAUACUCUCAACUAGCAACACUUCAAAAUUUGUUUUUGGGUUAAUUGAUAGAGGAAUACAGGCAAAAGAAAUAAAAUAAGAGGAUGUAAAAUAAUGAUGAAUUACAUGAUUAAAGUAAAAUACUGUAAUAGAUACAAAACUAAAAUCAAUAAAUAUCAGUAAAAACAAUAUCGUAUAGAGUCGAACCAAAAUUAAAAAGUAAAAAAAAAUAAAAAAAAAAUAACUUUAUAUAUAAAUUACAACAAAACAGGAAAAGAUCAAACCAAUUUGAUCAUUAAAAUAGCAUCCUUUUAAUAAUUUAUAUACAUUUUUAUAUAAAUAAUUAUGUAUUUUUAAUAUAAGUAGUUUCUUAGGUUACUAAUCUCUAAAAUUAAAAUUAAGCAAUGUAUUGUUAAUUUUCUUAAAUGAGAGAAUUCUAGGUGCUGUAUUCAAUUGAAAUAUUAAUAAACUUUAUCUAUGAAGUUUAAUGGAUUGUAUCUGAUUUUAAUUGUAUACGAAUUCUUAAUAAAUUAUGACGGAGUUGAUGAGAUUUUUUAGGAUUUAAACACAUAGUUCAAAAUCUCAUGAAUUUUGUUGGAAUUUCAAAUAUAUUAAAAUACACCGAACAAUCUCACAAAAUUCAUCAUUUUAUGAAGUUCAAAAAAAUCUGUGAGCAUUUGAAUACCAUCAAUGAAUUUGAAAUAAUCCCAAUUGAAUACUAUCGCAUUUUAAAGCAUACUUAAAAUUGUUAUUGAAUACCACCAAAUUUUGUAGUAUAGUAUAAAAUCCUAAUUGUAUAACCUAGGAUUUGAUACAUUUUUUAAAAUUCAAUUGAGUACUCUUAAAUUUCAUUAACAAAAAGACAAAUCUUUUAAAAUUUCAAUUGAAUGCACUUCGUAAUUUAGUGUUAUGGAUUUCUUUAAUAAUUUCAACUUGCCACUUGGGUGCUUAAGCACUUAUUGUCCACAUAUAUUAUAAGGAUACAUUCUCCUUCUGUGGUCACGUUGAUAUGUAAGUUUGAUUCUUACUCAUCAGAUCAUUGGACAAAUAACUUUUUAUUCGGAAUUGUUACUAAGCACUGUGAUAUUUUCUCCCGAGAGUCAGCACAGACUAAGAGCUUUAAGGUUAAUGAUAGAAAUAUUAUUUCAGUUAAGUUUUGCUUAUAUUAUCAUCAGAUUUUAUAAUUUAAACCAAAUUAAUAGUAAUUAGACCACGUUUUUAGUUUAAAUCUGUCGAUUACAAUGGCGCUUUAAAUAUCAAAUAUCUAAUAUAUUUGCUUUUUUUUUUGUCAGAAAUUCGCACCAAAACGAUUCGAGGAUCAUAUUACACGUGAUUUAAAACAACUUUGUGAGGAUAGAGAAAUGUAAGACAUGCAUCCAUAUUAUGGUAAAAUUUAAUUUAUUAAGCCUGUUAUAUUAAUUUUCAAAAAUCUAUUGUGAUUAGUUGGAUUUAAAAAAUUGAAUCGGCAAAGUAAUUAAUUUGUACGAUUAGUCGGUCAAAUUGGCAAUUUCUGUAUUGAUAAGUUGUUCAGUUUCUUAAAUAUAUCUUGCGUUCAAGUGAUUUCGUCAGUUGUUAAGACUUAAGAAGACCAGGUGACUGCGUUACAUAUUAUCUUGUGUUAGUUGUCUAAACUUUAUUUAUUAUGUUGCGGUCUUUGAUUUAUGAAUAUUGUUUGCCGAAGUUCUUGCAAAAAUCUAAUUUUUGUGAUUAAUCUAUUAAAGAUCCUACCAUGCACAAUCAAGCACAUGCACAAUCAAGCAGGCAAAUGGAUCGACGCCAUUCAAGAUUACAAAUGGAUUAGUCUGAAGUCACAUUCUGAACUCUUGGCCAGGGAUUUACUUGUAGUUACCAUUGGUAGAAUUCUGGAACAUCGGUUUCGUCGGUGAAAGUGAUCACAGUGAGGUUACUCUGCUCUGAAGUAUUGUGGCCUGCAGCGGCUAAAAUUUGAGUUAGCUUGAAAAAUGAUGUGUAUGAACACAUUGAAAUUAGCCUUUUGCUGUCUGAAUUGUUCAUAGUCAACUUUAUAGCAUCCUACAUCGUCCUAUUGAUUUUUUUUGAGUAUAUUGCAAAACGCACCCCCUGAUUUUUGCGAAAAGCACUUUUUACCUUAGACUUUCCAAAAUUGCACUAUCCACCCCCAUCAUUUGAAAAGCCUGGCAGUAUGCACCUGGUUUGACCACAACCGUUAGUCUCUCCCGUUAACGUUAAACUUUAAGGGUAAAGCUGUAAUUUCACCGAAGGCUUUACAGUCCACUUCUAUUUUUCUACUAAUUGUUUACCCUAAAUAUCUAAUUCCCUCCCAAAUUGAGACCCUAGAAUUGAUAUACUUGCACUAAACUUUUUGAAGCUUUGUAAUUAACAGCAAUGAGAGGGCGUUUAAGGAUCGGCGUUCAAGCCCGAAAUGAUGGUGACCUUUGGAAAGAGGAUAAAGAGAAGAAGAUUCAGUAAGCCAUGAUUCAGUAAGCCGAUUUGAAGAAGAAAAAAAAACGAAGAGAAAAGAGAAGAAGAUGCUGUGGGGUUGUAUGUAGUGUGCGUAUAUAAAGCCAACAUGAAUAAGACCGUUGCUCAGCAUUUAAUUAAAAAGAAACUGAAAUACCAAGCAUACCCUCAGCAUUAACUAACGGUAACGGAUAUAUUUAGCGGAAGGGUCUAAAAUGUCGCGCCAAAAAAAUUAUCGGGCUGGAUAGUGCAAUUUUGGAAAGUCUAGAGUAAAAAGUGCUUUUCGCAAAAACCAGGGAUGUGCGUUUUGCAAUAUACUCAUUUUUUUUCUAUGCAGAUUAGUCAUUUAAGCAGAAAAACCUUUUAUAUUUUUAUUGACUUUAUAUUUGCACUUUUUUUUAGGGUUUUGGAGAAUGGCUGGUGAAGCAGAAGGGCCUGCAGUUAGGAUUGAUCUUGGGACCAUGUGCUCAUGUGUUGGAGUUUAGCAGCGGGAUUGUGCUGAAAUUAUCUCCAAUGAUGAUAAUAAGAGGAUGACAUGUCUCAUGCUGUUAUUGCGAGUGUUUUUAAUGAAGUUUAGCAAGGACAUUAAUUCUGAUGAGGCAGUUGCACUGGAUGCCGCUGCCAUAGCUGACACGAUGAUUAGUGAUGAAGGUGGGGGAAUGAUUGAUGAGAUGCCACUGGAUAUAUAUUACUUCUGAAGACCUUGGUAUUGAAACUAUUAGUGAAAUAAUGACUGUCCUAUCUCCAAAGAAUACAAGUGUUUGAGGGACGAGGGUGACAAUAAUAUGACAAAAUAUAACUAGUGUUCCAUGUACAAAUUUCAACUAUUUAUACCAAUAAAACUACAGACCAUGGCCACACAAUAUGAUCACAAAUUUAUGCCUUGUCAACCUAUAUGGUAUGCUAUCAUAUCAAAAAAAAAAAAUUCAACCACUUCAGAAAGAACUUAUGCGUCAAUUUUCAUCCAUAUUGCAGAAUUACUGGAUUUGAAGAAACUAAUGAAACUCAUUUAGAAAUUUGCAGUCGACUAAAAAAUGCAGUCCAGUAUAUUAAGCCUUUUGUUCUCUUAAGCUGCUCAAAAGUGGGAAUGCAGAUUUUAUUUUGAAGCUGAGAAGGCUGAUUAUACUAAGCUUCUUGUACUACUAUUUUUAUUAGUCUUUGUUUUGUUGUUGUAUUCCCAUUUAAAAGCGUUUCAGUUCUAAAUGUUUAUGGUCUGCACUGUGAUGAUCUACAGAAUACACAAGGCGAUACUCGUUUACUUCUCAUAGACUCUUUUCAUCAACAUGUAGCUCAAAUGGGAGGAUCAUGUCUAACAUUGAAUGCAGGUAAGCAGUUUAAUAUUCAUAUAAUAAGGAAUAUAAUUUCUGCGAUGAAGACAAAAUGCUUAUGCAGCAAAUAUAAGUUGGUCAAAGUGAAAUUACUCUCUGAGAGGAGACUUUAGAUCUGAUCAGAGUAUCAGACAGACAGACCUUAUUAGACAAUUUGACUUGGUCAUUCUUUUUGCAAGUUGACUAAUUUAGAUUAGGAUGAAGUGCAUGUGUAUACUAUAAGUUGGUAGGGAAUUUGUGAGUCAGCAGUCAGUUUCCUCAACCUCUAACUUCAUCUUAGAGAUUUCUUUCUCUGCAAAUUAGUUAUCUAAACAGAACAUCUUUCAUUUUUAUUUCACUUUCUAUUUUCACUUCUGUAUUCUGCUUUUGCAAAAUGGCUGGAAGAAGAGAAGGACCAGCAGUGGGAAUUGAUCUGGGAACCAUGUACUCAUGUGUUGGAGUUUGGCAAGGCAGCCAUGUCGAAAUCAUUGCCAAUGAUCAUGGUAGCAGGACGACGCCAUCUUGUGUGGCUUUUUCUGAUACAGAAAUUCUGAUUGGUGAUGCUGCACGCAACCAGGGUGGAAUGAAUCCUGAUAACACCGUCUUCAGUAAGUACAUUAUGGCUUAUGCUAUGUUUUGUCCCAUUUCUACAAUUAUUAUUCAAUUUUUAUUCAAGCAAGCAUAGCGACUCAGAUGUGAAAUCACCCAGACAGUGUUUUUCUUUGUUCAUUUGUAUAUAGUUUUGCAUAAUGACAUGUGUAAUACAAGUAGAUUUUUGUUUCUCUAUUGUUAAACUUGCUCAGAAAAUGUCAUGACCUAAGGAGUAAUGAUUUUGGCUAGUGUUUGACAGUGUAUCCCAUUGCCUAUAGAAUUUUUUAUGAACCUGAUGUUUCUUUCGUAUUAUUUUUGUUGCAUAAAGGCGUUAAACGGUUAAUAGGCAGAAAAUUCAGCGACUUGAGUGUACAGAAUGACAUGAAAUUUUGGCCCUUUAAAGUCAUUUCUAAUCAUGGCGGAAAACCUAUGGUCUUGGUCACCUAUAAGGGGCAGGAGAAGAGGUUUUACGCGGAGGAACUCUCCUCAAUGAUUCUAAUAAAGAUGAAAGAAAUUGUUGAGAAGUGUCUUGGAUCAACUGUAAGAAAUGCUGUUAUUACUGUCCCAGCUUACUUUAAUGACUCUCAGCGGAAUGCAAUUAUAGAUGCUGGAGUUAUUUCUGGCAUUAAUGUAAUACGCGUAAUUUCUGAGCCAAGUGCAGCAGCAAUUACAUAUGGUCUUGAAAAGAGGAAGGCGGAUAGUAGUACAGGCGGUGAGAAAAAUGUGCUUGUCUUCGAUCUAGGUGGUAGUAAUUGUAAUGUUUCUCUUGUUGUAAUUGAAGAGGGAAUUUUUGAAGUAAGGGCUACCACUGGUGCCAGUCACCUUGGAGGAGAGGAUUUUGUCCAUCGGAUGGUGAAUCAUUUUAUUCGGGAGAUCAUGAGGAAGAACAAAAAGGACAUAACUGGUAAUGCUAAAUCUAUUAGAAGAUUGAAAAAUGCUUGUGAAAGGGCAAAGAGGACACUCUCUUCGGCUGCAAUGACAUCAAUUGAGUUAGAAUUUUUGUAUGAUGGUGUUAGUUUCUCUGAAAAUAUUUCUCGUGACAAAUUUGAAGAGUUGAACAUGGACCUCUUUAAAAGUUGUUUGGAGCUGGUCGAGAAGUGUUUGAGGGGUGGCAAUAUUGAUAAGAGAAACAUCCAUGAUGUGGUCCUUGUUGGUGGAUCUACUCGAAUUCCAAAAGUACAGCAGCUAUUGAAAAACUUUUUUAACGGGAAGGAGCUCUGCAUGAGUUUGAAUCCUGAUGAGGCUGUUGCAAAUGGUGCAGCUGUGCUAGCUGCAAUCCUUAGUGGCGAAGGCCACGAAGCUGUUCAGGACUUAAUGCUGUUAGAUGUCACUCCUCUAUCCCUUGGGAUCGGAACUAGUGGUGAAACAAUGUCUGUCCUUAUUCCAAAGAAUACAACUAUCCCCACUAAGAGGGAGCAAAUUUUCUCAACCUCCAUAGACAAUCAGCUUGAUGUGCUGAUCGAAGUCUUUGAAGGCGAAAACCCAAAUACCAAGGAUAACAACUUGCUGGGAAAAUUUGUACUCUCUGGCAUUUCCCCUGCACCUAAGGGCGUCCCUCAGUUCACCGUUUGCUUUGACAUUGAUGCAUAUGGGAGGCUAAAUGUGUCUGCCGAGGAUAAGACUACAGGGAAGAAGAUCAAGAUAAAAGUAACCAAUAACGAGGAGAGAUUGUCGAAGGAAGAGCUUGAGAAGAUGGUAAAAGAAGCUGAGAAGUACAGAGCAGAAGCUAAAGUGAACAAGAAAGCGACAGAGAAAAGGUAUGCUUUUAUUUCCCCGGGAUUUUUUCCUUUCUGCAAAUUAAUUACUUUGACAGAAAAACUCUAUAUCUUUAUAUGAGUUUUUAUUUACACUAUUAUGCUUGAUUUUAUAGAAUGGCUGGAAAAGGAGGACCUGCAAUAGGACUUGAUCUUGGAACCAUGUACUCAUGUGUUGGAGUUUGGGAAGGUAACCAUGUCGAAAUCAUUGCCAAUGAUCAUGGUAGCAGGAUUACUCCUUCUUGUGUGGCUUUCUCUGAUACUGAGGUUCUAAUUGGUGAUGCUGCAUACAGCCAGGGUGGGAUGAAUCCUAAUAAUACUGUCUUUAGUAAGUACCAAGUGCACUAUGCUAUCAUGCUAUGCUUUGUAUAUGCCUAAUCCAGGAUCUGGUUUGUGUUUCAUAAUUGUGCAUUUUAAGAUAGUCAAAACAAUAGAAAAACACGACGUAAGAGCAUCUUCAACGGGGUGUUAAUAUUUGGGUGUCAAUAUUAUCAAAUUAUUACGCUAAUAUUUUAUCCUCUCUCUUCGAUAGUACUUUUAGAACCUUUCUUACCAAAACUUACUUCAAUGAUUGGCACUCAAAGUUGCCAAUCAUUUAGACAAAUAUAUUAAUAAUAGAUAUUAAGAUACAUUUAUCUAUUUUGAAAGGGCGUCAAAAGUUGACAACUUUACUUGGCACCACUUCAACGAAGAACCAACAAGAGUGUCAUGCCACAUCAUGUCACAUGUCACAAUAGCACUCUUCUUAAAACUCUCAUCCGACUCAUUCUAAAUAUACAUAUUUCUUAACAUUUGUCUUUUCACUUUGGAAUCUAGUUUCACUGCUUCGAAUAUGUAUAUAAUUUGUUACUGUUGCAUACAUAGAUCAGGAUACCAAUAUACAAGCUGUUCAAGCAUAGUGCAGCUACCUAAAGUAAAAUCACCCAUUAAUUUUUUUGUGAAAUUUGUUAGUUAAUAUAUAGUUCUGUGCAAUGUAACAGAGAAUCACAUUAUAGCAGCAGUAGUAGUAAAGCUUGCUCGAACAAAAAUCAGAACUAAAAUAAAUGACUACUGAAGAUGAUCCUAUUUUAGACUAUACAGCACAAGACUUUUUUAAGGUCUCUCACUGGUGUUUAUGAGCUCCGGUGUAAAAGAUGUGAAGUAGAUGUAAAGAGAAUAGAUUAUAGAAGGGCUGUUAAAUGUCUUCGCCUCCCCUUCCCCGCUCCCAGUAAGAUUCAAAGAAACACAGAGAUCAUAGUGGUUAUGUUUGGGAACUUAAAUUUCAUUUAUAAUUUUGGUUUUGAUCAAAUAACGUGUUUGGAUAUAUGGUAAAAAAAAUAAUUAGAUUUGGAUUUCAGUUAAAUACAAGGCAUUGAAAUACUAGUAUAAAUUUAAGGAUCUGAAAUGACAACUCAAAUCAUUUCAUUUGAAAUCCAACGUUCGGAAUAAAAUACAUGUUCCCGAUAGCAAUUAUUUAUUCACUGAUGUUGGUCUUUUCUUUUCUUUUCCUUUUUUUGCUUCAAAGGUGUUAAACGCUUGAUUGGCAGAAAAUUCAGCGACUCAAAAGUACUGGGUGAUAUAACAUUUUGGCCAUUUAAAGUAAUCUCCGGUCCCCGUGAAAAGCCUGUGAUCUUGGUCACCUAUAAAGGUCAGCAGAAGCAGUUUCAUGUAGAGGAAAUAUCCUCUAUGAUAUUAAUGAAGAUGAAAGAAAUUGCAGAGAAUUAUCUUGGAUCAGUUGUUAGGGAUGCUGUUAUUACUGUCCCCGCUUACUUCAAUGACUCUCAGCGCAAUGCAACUGUAGAUGCUGGAGUCAUUGCAGGCCUUAAUGUAAUGCGUAUUGUUGCUGAGCCGAGUGCAGCUGCAGUAGCAUACGGCCUUGAGAAGAAGAUGGCAGGUAGUAGUACAGAAGGCGGAAAAAACGUGAUAAUCUUUGAUCUUGGUGGUAGUAAUUGUAGCGUCUCACUUGUCGUAAUUGAAGAGGGUAUUUUUGAAGUAAGGGCUACAACUGGUGCUACUCACCUCGGAGGAGAGGAUUUUGUCAAUCGGAUGGUGAGUUAUUUUGUUAAGGAUUUCAUGAGGAUGUAUAGAAAGGACAUAAGUGGUAAUGCUAAAUCUGUUAGAAGAUUGAGAAAUGCUUGUGAAAGGGCAAAGAGGACACUCUCUUCUGCUGCAAUGACUACCAUUGAACUUGAGUAUCUGUAUGAUGGUGCCGAUUUCUCUUCAAAUAUUACCCGUGACAGAUUCGAAGACUUAAAUAUGGACCUAUUUAACGGUUGUUUAGAGUUGGUCGAGAAGUGUUUGACAGAAGCCAGUAUAGAUAAGAGAAACAUUGAUGAUGUGGUCCUUGUUGGUGGAUCAACUCGAAUUCCAAAAGUGCAGCAGCUAUUGAAACACUUUUUCAAUGGGAAAGAGCUCUGCUUGAGUAUGAAUCCUGAUGAGGCUGUUGCAAAUGGUGCAGCUGUGCUGGCUGCAAUCCUGAGUGGUGAAGGAAACGACACGGUUCAGGACCUAAUGCUGUUGGAUGUCACUUCUCUAUCCCUUGGGAUUGGAACUAGUGGCGAAACAAUGUCUGUCAUGAUCCCAAAGAAUACAACUAUCCCCACUAAGAGGGAGCAAAUUUUCUCAACCUCCAUAGAUAAUCAGCUUGACGUUUUGAUCGAAGUCUUUGAGGGUGAAAACAGAAAUACCAAGGAUAACAACUUGCUGGGAAAAUUUGUGCUCUCUGGCAUUCCUCCUGCCCCUAGGGGUGUUCCUCAGUUCAUCGUAUGCUUUGACAUUGAUGCAUAUGGGAUGUUAAAUGUGUCUGCCGAGGAUAAGACUACCGGGAAGAAGAUCAAGAUAAAAGUAACCAAUAACGAGGAGAGAUUGUCAAAGGAAGAGCUUGAGAAGAUGGUAAAAGAAGCUGAGAAGUUCAAAGCAGAAAAUUCAGAAAAUAAGAAGGCAGCAGAGGGGAGAAAUGCUCUGGAGGAUUACAUCUUUAAGAUGAAGAACGUCAUGAGUGACGAAAAAUUUAGCUCCAAACUUCCAUUUGCGAGCAGAAAGAAAGUAGAGAAUGCUAUGAAGUUGGCAACACAGUGGUUGGAUAGGAAUCAGACCGCAAAGGUAGAAGAGUUGGAGGGAAUAAUGAAAGGGCUGAAGGGGUUUGCAAUUGCUUGAAUGUAUACCUUGUUUGAGAUAAAGUCCCUUUGGCCGCUGGCCGGUGCAAGAGGUGAAGGCCGGAGACGGUAAAAGCGGAUUUCCCAAGUUGUUGUAAUUUCUAGAUAAAAUUGAUUUGUUUCUAAUAUGAUUUGAUUACAUUUUCUUAGUGUUAGGGAGAAGGAUGUCCGCUAGGGACUACAGGACGGAUAAAUUUGGAACUUCAGUUCAUGUUCACAAUCAUAAGUCUGAAAGGAAGCUCGGCAAGAAUCAAAGAAAAUAUGGAAGGGCGUUGUAGAUAAUAGUCGAAUUCAAAUUAACAUUGAGAUUCUCAACUAAUCGGUUAAUUUAUUGAUCAUUUGGGAUUCACAAUUAUAAGUUUGAAAGGGAGCUCACCCAGAUAAGAAUUAAAGAAAAUAUGGAAGGGAAUUGAAGACUAUAGUCAGAAUACAAACACUUAAAACAUACUUGAAACAUAACAUAAAUUGAAAAGUGAAAAAUACUACUUAAAACAUAAUAUAAAUUGUAUAGAAGAAAAAGGCAAGAUGAUAAAGUUGAAAAAUUCAUUUAAUUUUAGUUUAUGGAAUAAAAUUAGUAAACAAAAGAAGCAGCAUGCUGUUUUAAUAUUCUUAAACCUAUCACACUAAUGCUUCUGUCAAAUCGACAUAUGCACGCUGCUCACGCCAGGGAGAAGGGCGAAGGCAUACAUGAACCUCAUGUUCUUCUGGUCCAACACGAUGUUUGGGAACCUCGAUCUCAAGCAUUGUACCUGUCUCAUCCCCAUAAGCUUCAAGUUUUGCAUCUUCUGGAAUGCGUGCUGGAAGGGUAAUUUCCCUAACAAAUUCCCCUGGUGGGCAGUGUUCCGGUGUCGGAUCUGUUAACUUGAAUGUUCUAUCUUGCCUUUUAAUGAUUGGCAUACACCCAGUGCUCACACAAGAUAUCUUCACAAUUCCAUGCGAGGGAGUGUUUCGCCAAGUGACUUUCACCCGCUGCAAAUCAGCACAAGGUAAGCUGACAAUAAUCAAAAAACCCUUAUCAUCCUCAUAAAUUGUUUUCGCAGCUGUUACUGGCCCGUAUGUGCUCCUCAUUACCCCAGUAAAUUCAUUAACCCAGUGUGGCUCAAUGGAGUGUGCGUCCACAACCCCAUCUGAAUGUGAACUGUUAUUAGCCAACGUACAAUCAUAAUCAUUUUCGGGUGCAAAAUAAUUUUUCGGCCGUUUGUUACAAUUAGCCAGAAGGUCCAUCCCUUCACCAUUUACAUGGUUUGGUUGCUGAGUUGAUAAUUUCAAACCACACCCGUUAAGCAAUCGUUUUGGUUGCUGAUUAACAUUGUUCUUUAAUGGAGGCAGUCGCUCAAUCUCAAGUUCUGUGACAGGAAGUGUCCUCCAUGAGCUGAAAUCACUAGCCUCAAGAGGAAUUGAGAAAUUCAAAUCUCUUCCAGUAAGCUCCAUCCACUUCUUGCAUUCUCCCUCGUCUAGGCCAGCAAAAUUGGGUGAAGGAACAACUUCUAUUCCAUGAACACAUUGGGGAUUAGACAGACCCCUAUAGUGUUUCCUCUGCAUUCUAUGAGAUCGAACAAACCCCUUAUCAGCACUGAAUGGAAAUGGACGUUCUCCUUGGCGUGAAUGACCAUUCAUGUAACUCCUUAGCUGCAUUUUGCCUAAUGCGUUAUCAGGCCUAUCCUUGAAAACCCACAUAUACAUAUUCUCCAUAUCAUGCUGAACCAAAAAGACAUCCAGCUUCAAAUCAGUUUUAUCAUACCCGGAAACUCCAUUAGUGUCCCGCACAGCAAUCUUAGACUUAGACUUCUCAUUUAAAGCUGGCUUAAAGUAAAAAUUAAAGAAAAACCAAGCACCCCACACACUGUCAAGCCGUUUAGCACACUUCUUUCCAACUUUAGUCAAAUUAAUAUGUGUCUCCGCCUCAUAAUGCUGAGGAGCAUGGCUAACAUCUAAGAUAUCACAAGCAUCAUUCCAAGAAGGCGGCGGCGGACUCGGUUCCGCUGACAAAGGGAGAUUAAUAUCUGGAGGACUCGAGACAUUAAUUGCACGAUUCAAUUCUCUCUCAAUUUCCUCAUGAGACGACAAACUCGAAUCCAUGGACAACAAAGUACACAAAUGACUAUCCAUAGAUAAUGUAGUAAUUACAGCUCCCCCCAUCUUUUCUUUCGUUGGCAUAAUUGUCGCUACUUCGGUGGAAUCAAUAGUCCCACCACAGUCAACACUCAAAAGCAUGAGCACCUCACACACAUAUUCACCCUCUAAUUCUAACCAAUCAAGAAACUUCCAAAGACGACCCUAAUCAAUUGACAACAUACCGAAACACCAUAACCACCUCAAAGCCAUUCUAAACUAAACCCUAAGAGAGAGAAAAACCAAAAAACAAACCAACCAAUUCAGAGAAAACCCAUCAAACCCCAAAACCUAUAAAACCAAUCAAACCCCUUAAAAACCAAAAAAACACCAAGAACUGAUUAGAUUGAACUAAAAUAUAGAAUUAUUCUAAGCAAUCAAUCAAUCCACAGCAUACCCAAAAUCCCAAAAACACUUCAUAGCCAUUCUAACCCAAUCUAAGCUCAAACCCAACAGAUCAAAUCAAUAAAAACUAGCCUAAACCCAAUAAAGAUCCAAUCUUUAAGAUUCAAACAACCCAAUAAAGAUCCAAUCUUUAACACUCAAGAUAUCAAACUAACCUAUAAAACACACAGAUUUCAAAGAUUUCUUAAAUUAGCAACAGGGCGUCCAAUCUUUAUCUUUAGCAAAAGUAAGAUAAAGAGAAGAAAUCAAAGAAAGAAUAGAACGGUACCUUUGAAGACAACGCAUUGAUCCACAAAAUGAGGGAGAUUGAGAGAGAUGAUUGAAAGAGAAACAAAGAGAGAGGAGAGAAAGAGGAGAAGAUGGGGUUAACGGAGUUAGUUUAUAGAGAGAUGGAGUUGGGACCUGCACCAGUUAGAACCGGUGAGGAAGAUAACGGAGGGGCGUUAAAAUAGACGGUGGGAAUGAUGAGAUAGAGAAAUGUAAUUAUUACUAUUAUAUGCAUGUAUGUUAAUGUUGUUGAGAUAAGAGAAGUGUCAAACUAGGCGUCUGUCUGAGUGUGUGAUUGGUUGUAUAAUGUAUGCAAGACUUUUGUGUAAUGUAGGUAACCCUAAACGGGAGUUAUGUUGUGUAUACGUAUACAAGGUUAUCUCUAUUAUGUUGUGUGGCUUUCACUUUUGCCGACUGUGGUAAGGUUAGUUGUGAUGAUAAGUCAUGUAUACGAUUUAUUGCAAAUACAAGUAGUGCGAUUUCGUUUUUUUUUACAAAGAUAAGAAGAUUUCAUUAACUUGAAUAUAAUACAGCUGGAAUAAACCCUCAACUCUUGAUAGUAUAAUGGAUCAAAAUUUAUUAAUAUCGUAAAAGAAUAAUAUUAUAUAUCAAAUUAGAUAUAAAAUUUGUUAUAGAAUAAGAUGACGUGACAUUGAUAAUGUGAUAUUUCCGAAUGACUUAAUCAGAAUAUUCAAAUAUACAUGAACAUAUCAUUUAAGUUAUAAUUAAUAAAAAUAUAAUAUGUGUCAUUUUGUACAUGUUUUUUUAAUUUAAUUUAAUAUUUUUAACAUUUUCUAUUAUAAAAUAUUGAAAUUUGAUAUUAUGUGUCACUAAGCGAUAUUUUGUGUGUAUUCAAUAUACAUGUCAUCUUAACUAAAUGACGUUGAUGAUGAUAAUUAACUGAACUAAAAUAAAAAAAAAUUGAUUAACUAAUUAUCCAAUAAAAUAAUAUUGUGACGAGCAAUUUGAAGUGACUGUAUAUGAUAUAUAAAAUGAUAUAUGUUAACUGCUUCAGCAAUAUCGAGGUUGCGUGAGACAUAAUCAGCCUCUUAUUAAUAGAUAUGAGAAGUGUGGAAAAUAUAAAUGAAUGAUGUUAGAUAAGGGAGAAGGAUAUUAGUAAAGUCUAUAUCUAUAACUUAUAUGACGGUAAUUUUGAUAAUAUUCAUGAUUGGAAUCAAGAGUCUCGAUGAUUUUUUUUGCCGAAAUGUGCUAGUUGUGUGUUAUUUUAGACGGAGAUUAGACUUUUGAGUUGUCUCCUUGUGAUCUUAUGAUCUCUACUCAUGAUUUCCUCAUUUGCUUAUAUACGCAUAUAGGGACGGAUCUAGGGAUUUUAGUCAAGUGGGGGGGGGGGGGGGGNNNNNNNNNNNNNNNNNNNNNNNNNNNNNNNNNNNNNNNNNNNNNNNNNNNNNNNNNNNNNNNNNGGGGGGGGGGGGGGGGAAUCACUUUUUAGAGACAAAACGAGACAAAUUUUCAUUUAACCAAAAUGGUUUGAGUUGAUUGAUGAGUUAAAAUAUAAAUUUAUGAUAAGAAAUAUACAAAAUAUGAACAGAAAUACUGAUAUUAGCCCAGCCUUAUGGGACUGCUGAGAGCAUGAGACAAGUAAAUAUUAGAACAGAAGGGGUUGAGACACGAGAGAUAUUAGCCCAGCCUUAUGGAGCUGUUGAGAGCCUGAGACAAGCAAAUAAGAUAUUAGCCCAGCCGAAAUUCAGAUCGAACCGAAAUUCUAAUAUUUUCCGGACCGUACCGGACCGAAAUUCUAUUAUGAACCGAAACGAAAUAAUUCGGUACGGUCCGGCCAAAAGAACUGAAAACUAAAAUAAAAAUUACAUUAUAAAUAAAUUUAAAUUUUAUGAAUUAUUUUAAAAAAUAAUAUUUAUUUAUCACCAACACUUCAUAAAAAAUAGAUUUAAUUAAAUUUACAAAUUACAUAUUAUUAUUAUAGUAUAUAAGAUAUAUAUAAAAUAUAAAUAUAUAUUAUAUAUUGUUUGGACUAUUCUAUCUAUUCAGUCUGGACCAAAAUAUUUAUUUAAGGACCGGAUCGAACCGAAUUUUUAUUUUGGUCAAUUCGACCCGAACCGAAUAGACCGAAUUUUCAGAAAAUCAAAACACUUCAGUUCGGUUUUCCGCUUCCACUUUAAUUUUGCUCACCCCUAUUAACAAUUACUCUAUUUUUUAGUUCGAUGUUGGAUCUCUAUUCGCUCUCAUCUCAUUAAUAAUGAUGAAUUGAUGAUCUUUCUGCAUGCAAAAGCUCCACACUAGAAAGACCUUUGUUAUUUUGAGCAUGAAUAUUUCAACUUUUUAUUUAAUUCGAUUCGAUACGAUACGAAACUUUUUAUGGCCCGGUUGACAUCAUCAUCACAUACUUAUAUAAUUAGUUAGAGAUGCAACAGUGAGUUUAUAUAUCUAUAUCAAUAAUUGGCUAAUUCUGCUGUCAAAUUAUAGUUUUAGUCAUCCAUAAUCUUCUGACGCGGUGUUUAGAUUUCUAAUCACCUCUUUGUAAGGCCAGUUAUCCGACACACCCACACUCCAUGUUUGUUUUUUCGUAUAUUUUAGUUGGGUGACCUAUUAUGGCACCUAACUUAUCUUUAACAUAUUGUUUAUGUAAUUAUAUAUUUUGUUGUCUACAUGAAAAUGCGGAUAUUCCUUUAAUAUAUUUAUGAAUAUCCGAUUUGGGUCUUAAGAUAAUUAUUUAAAAAAAUAAUCUUUAUUGUUUUGUAAGAUUUAGUCAAUAUGAUUGCAUUUAUCAACAAACUAUACAUAGCUUAGCAGCAUACUAUAUGCUAUCCUUCUUCUCAGUUUUCGGAUUUUUCAUGGUUGUUACUCUCAUCUCAAAUAUUAAUGAUCAUACUGAUUAAACUUUAUUUGAAAAAAUAUUAUGAUAUAUAUAAUAUAAAGAAAUUAAAAAGUAUAACUAAAUAUCUUGAUAUUAAUUUUUUCAGAUUAUAUACUUCUCGUCCUUCUGAUUACUUUACGGUUCUUUUACAUUUCUUUACAUUUAUUUUAAAGUGCAUAUAGUUUCAUAAUUUUUUAAAAUUUUAUAUAAAUAUUUAAACAUUAAUUUUUUAUUCAGAUAACAAAAAAAUUAAAAUAAUUUAUAAAACUAUAUCUUUUAUAAAAAUAUUAAAAUACCUGUCAAGCUCCCAUUACACAUAUUAUGAUAAAAAGUAUAUGGUCAAAGAGAGUAGUAUAUAGAAUCCGUAAAAAAAAAAAAAAAAUAAACACAAUAAUCAUAUUGAUUUUUCUCUUUUUAAGAGUAAGUUUUGAGAGAGAAAAUGAAAUUUUAAAAUAUUUUAAAAUCAUCAUAUAAGAAAUAUUAAAAGCAACAUAUAAAUCAGAACUAUAUAAUUUUGAUUAAAAAGAGUAUUUUACUAGUUAUCUACGAAAAUAUAGAUUGCGGUUAACCUAUUUGAAUGCGUCAUCUAACAAGUGUUUAGUUACUUAAACACUCAACAUGCUAAAAGUGGACAUAUCAUCAAAUAGUAUAAGGGUAGACUUUUCCCUUAUAUAUUUUUGUAUUAUACACACAAUGUAUAAAUUUACGUAUAGGCUAGUGGUUUCCAGAGUAGUUUUUUUUUUUUUGAUAAGCAGCAUUAAUAUUAAUAUCUCGGAAAGUCUUACAGCAAGUGUACUAAGCCACCAAAAGGAUGCACACAUGCAUCUGCCACCUAACCUUGCAGCAAAACAACUAAAGAACCUAGAGAACCUACAUAGCCAACAUGACUUCCAUAAUCUUAGCAAGAGGGUCCGAGACCUAACAUAGAACUGAACAGUUAAUAAACCGAAAAGCUAAUAAAAGCGACAAAAGAUAUGAAAGGCUAGAAGUGGUCAGAUGCUCGCGCUCCUACGCAGCUUUCUAACCCUUAACCCAGCAAGUGUAGCAUGAGAGACAUCGCGCUUUCGUUUGAGUGUUGGGGCAGGGGGAGGACCAUCCUCAACUUCUCCCAGGCCAAAGUUAGGAGCCACUUCAUCGAUCGGAGCCUGCAGCACCAUCCCCAUAUCGCGAUCCACAUGAUAUUUCAGGUCACCAAACCAGCCCGGGGUUUCAGCGAAAACAGAGAGAUGCUGUAACCCAUAGUCUGCUAGAUACCGAGCAGUUGAGUUCAUUUCAGUGGGAAUCCAUAUGAUCUUCCUAUUUGUGGUGUUCACCUUGAAGUGGUUGGCAUGCACUGUGUUGAAUAGCCUGAAAGGUUCCAGUUGGUCAUCACGCAAGAAAACAUGCUCUUGAGUUGAGAUAGUUUCAAAAGUGUUAUGGUUGGACGUUUCUAUAAGCGUCUUUUCCCAUUUUUUGUGCACAGAUUCCACACACGCCGCUUGAAUGCCAGCCAUGAUCGCCUGCUCUUCAUUCAGCCCAUUCAUUGGACCUGAGGCAGUCCACACAUUUGCACCAGCAUCAUCACGGGCAAUCACACCCACCCCUAUUGAGUUUCCAUUAGCGAGAGGCUCAGGAAGAACUUCACAAUGGACAUUAAUUUUAAUGUAACCCUCGUCAGGAAGCUCCCAAGUGACAUCCAUUAAAAACAAAGUGAAAGGAGAGUGAAAAUAGAGAAGGAAAGAGGUGAGUGAGAGAAGAUUAGAAGGAGAGAUGAAUAUAUAGUCAACUUGGGGCAGAGAAAAGGAAAGCAAAUAUACAGGUAAUUGCUACAACCCCUGGACACGGAGAAGAGACCGAUGGACAAUGCACUGGCUCGACUGCAGAAGUUAACGUUGGAAAAGCCAGCAAAUCUGAGAUUAGCCGCCAAUUUUAGAGGAAAUCUUUCAUUGGUUCCCUAAAAUCAGAGACCCCCUCUAAAAAAGCUGGCAUGAACAGUAACAUUGAAAAUGUCAAUACUAAUAGAGCUGUUCCAUGCAUUUGAAAUAGGUUAACUAGCAGAACAACAAAGAAAUGCCCGGGAAAGUGAGAUGGCAAAAUCCAGGGGUCAAGUGUCAAUGUGACUUGAGGCCCAAUAGCAAUGAAAGUUAGGCCUGUUAAGCCCAUCUUUGGCCAACUGGUCUGCAGAAUGAUUAAAAGUACUGGGGACAAAUUGGAUGCUAACUAGUCCUGCCAGCAGUUGGAGAAUGUCAAAGUCCGGUUGUAGUAGUGGGAAUGAAUCGGAUAAUCCUCUGUAUAUAGCAUUUAUAGCUCCAGUAGAGUCAGAGCAUACAACCACCCUUUUGUUAACUAAUUUACUGGAUUGAAUGUAGUUAAGGACAUGUAGAAUGGCCAUAACUUCUGCCUCCAGCACAGAGAAGGCUGGAACCUGGCCAGAGAAGCAGUAAAGAGUUUGUUUGCUGCUAUUUUUGAUACAACCUCCCACCGCACAACAUAACUUUCCCCAAGCAUUAACAUUUUUUGCACCAUCAACCAUGCAGAUGUAAUCAUAAUUUUGGUAUUUAAAAUCCCAGAACGACAUUGAAAUGGUGUGGUGAUGUAUAUUAAUUGCACCAAUUGGGUUCACCUUCCACAGAGGAUCAUCCCCAAAAUUCAUUAGAUUCGAAGCAAGUCCCCAUUUAGAUGAACGAAUGAAAAUAAUCUCUUUCAUGGCUGCUCUCGAAGUUCUCUUAGAUUGGAAAAUAAGCUCAUUUCGCGUCAGCCAAAUUGUCCACAAAGUAGCUGCAAUCACCAUUCGCCAAAUUGGAGAGACAUGUUUCUUGUGAAUUAGGCUAAAUAAUGAGUGUAGAGAAAAUUUGGGCACUCUGGCUAGUUGUGGCUUGAGGCUCCACCACUGUCCAACAUAAUCCCAAGCCCAUAUGGCUGGAGUGCAUUCCCAAAACACAUGGUUUACAGAUUCUACUUCAGAGUCACACCAAGGACAAAGUGCAGACAAAUUCUUUAGCCGGACACUGAGAAAAGACUUGGUUGGGAGAAUGGCCCAAGCAAGUUUCCAUAGGAAAGCGGUAAUUCUUGGGGGUACUUUUAUAGCCCAAAUGCAGUUCCAAUGCUUGGAUGAAGUGGAGGACGAGUGAUUAAUCCCCAGUUGAAAGAAACCCUCUCUAGAGGAAUAUGAGCCCUGGUUGGGUAUCCACUUGAGAACAUCCUCCAUGUCAUCUAACAAGAUUGCCUGCAGGUGAAAAGUGAUAUAAGAAAUAGAUUCCAGAUCACUGCUAGAGAGCUGUUCUGCCCAAAGUUUCACCCCGGUUUCUCCUUGUAGCCAGAUACCAACUACUGAGCGAACAAUUGUUAAACGCAUUGCUGAUUUUUUAUAUAGGCAGGGAAAAAGGACUGAGAGUGGUUCAUCUCGAAGCCAGCUGUCUUCCCAGAAAAGUACUCUCCUGCCGGAUCUAACUCUCCAUUUAAAAUUCCUCCUUUGUACUAGUGGUCCAACUCUCGAAGUGUUAAAAACCGAGAGCAUACUUUUUAUGACUGGAGAGGUCUUAGACAUUUCAACCUUGGAGAGGUCAUAGUUCCACUCCUUACCAUAACGCUGGACGAAGAAGUUGUUCCAAAAACAACCACGUUCCUUGUAGGCUCGCCAAACCCAUUUCGCCAACAGGAGAUUGUUUUUUAAAGAUAUAGGAACUAAACCUUGGCCUCCAGCACUCUUUAAUUGACAAAUACUCUCCCAAUUUAAUAGGUGCAUCUUUUUUUCUGAGUCCUUAAAUUGACCCCAGAAGAAAUUUCGACGCAUUUGUUCGAUAAUGUUGACAAUUUGAGAAGGCAUUUUAUACAAGCUGAACCAGAAAAGGGGCACGCUAUCAAUUACUGCUUUGAGAAGCACCACUCUCCCGGCAAUGGAAACUUUCGAAGCAUCAAAGGACUGCAACUUCCUUCGAAGUUUGUCAAUCAGAGGGGUCCAGAAGGAGAUAGAAUGUGGAGACGAACCAAUCAUUGCUCCAAGAUAUUUGAAAGGUAGGGACCCAACUUGACACCCCAGAACUCCAGCCGAAUUUGUUAAACGUGAAGUCGUUGUAUGAAAACCGAAGAGCUGACUUUUUGAGAAGUUUAUUUUUAACCCCGACAAUAGUUGAAAACAUUGUAGUAUCCUCUUGAUCCCAUACACUGAGCCUUCAUCUCCUUCAAGAAACAGAAUGACAUCAUCCGCAAAUUGCAGAUGAGUUAAAGAUUCAGAACAGCCCAGAAGAGAUAUUCCUUUGAAAAUUUUUUGAGCCUCGCCUCUGCAAAUCAAUUGAGAUAGUACUUCCCCCACCAGAUUGAAGAUUAGAGGGGAUAAGGGAUCCCCUUGGCGGAGGCCGCAUUUAGGACUAAACUCAGCUGUAGGUGAUCCAUUUACGAGGAUCGAAAUUUGAGAGGAAUCAAAAAUUUGUUGAAUCCAGUUGAUCCAUAGAGAGCUAAAAUUCAUCUUGGCUAAAACCUCAUAAACAAAAUCCCAAUUAACACGAUCAAACGCUUUCUCGAAAUCAAUUUUGAAAAUCAUUCCGGAUGCAAUCUUCUUUUGUAGCAUGAAUACAAUUUCAUUGGUGAGAAGUAUACUAUCCGAAAUUUGUCGUCCCCGAAUGAAACCUGAUUGUUGCGGGCCAACCAGAAGGUUCAUAAAUUUACUAAGCCUGAUCGACAAGACCUUCGUAAGGAGUUUCACUAAAGCAUUCAUGAGACUGAUUGGUCGAUAUUCCGAACAUUUCAUCGGCUGUAGUACUUUAGGAAUUAGAGCUAUGAAAGAGGAGUUGCAUCCUUGAGGAAGUGAACCAGUAGAAUGAAAAUUUUGAAAAAACAGCAGGACCUCAUGCUUUAUCUCAGGCCAUAGAAGAGAUAGAACGCCAGCAUUUAUUCCAUCAGGCCCCGGAGCCUUGGUCUUUUCCGUAGAAGACAGAGCAAAUUCUAUUUCGGUUAAUGUGAAUUUGGCAUCUAGAAAGCUACACUGGCUCGGGGACAGAGUAGACAAAGAGCACGAGCCCAGAUUGAAGACCAUCCUUGGAGGCUCCUUUGCUAACAAAUUGGAGAAGUGAGAGUAGAAAGCUUGCUUGAUUUCAACCGCCCUGGUAAGAGUUACUUGCUCAUACUCGAUUUUUCGAAUAGUGUUGUGAGCCCUGCGUUUAGCUAUAGCCCGAUGGAAGAAACGAGUAUUCUUUUCCCCAUAAAGCUGCCAGCUCGUUUUGGACCGUUGACAUAACAUACGAGACCUUAUCCUGUAUAACUUAUCAAGAUCGAACUGGCAUUUGGUUGAUGAUUUCGGGUUUGAAAGUCCAUUGUCUUCCCUAUCCCGAGCUGUCUCUGCUUCCUUUAUUUUGAUAUCUAUAUUACCCAUCUUGGUAGAAUUCCACCUCUUAACAGCCUCUCUUAACGACCUGAAUUUAUGAUGAAUAUUGGAGGACUGCGAGUUCUUCCAUGAAUUUCGUAAAGUAUGAGCGAGUGUGUCAUCUUCCAGCCAGCAAUUAAAGAACUUGAAAGGGCGCGGACCCCAAUCCUGAGUAGAAGUUUUGAGUAAAAGCGGCUUGUGAUCAGAUAAUUUCCGACAAAGAGCCUGAAUGCCCCAGUCUCCAGACAUAAACCACGCAGGAGAUACUAAUGCCCUGUCAAGACGACCUUUCUUAGGAGAGGGACCAAACCAAGUGAACGUGGAAUUGAGUAUUGGGAUAUCAGCUAACCCACAGGAAUUUAGGAAAGAGUUAAAAGCAUCCGAGAGCGCAUGUGAAUGAUUACAACCAAACCUUUCAUCUGCAGAACGAACCACAUUGAAGUCUCCAAGUAAACAGACGUAGGAUUCAUCUAGUAGUCCUAAUGCAGUACUAAGAUCAGCCCAAAGUUGCAGUUUAUCUCGAGCACCUUGAGGUGCGUAGAUAUUAAAACACGCAAAGCGGGUGGAAUUAGAAAUCAUGGUGCCUCUAAUUAAUAACCAAUGACGGGAAACUUCAGACGAGCUAAUGUUUACCUCUGCUGUGUUCCACACUGUAAGAAGGCCCCCCGAAAGGCCUCGAGCCGGAAAUUCAGCCCAUCCUGGAUCGUGGCCCAUACCUAAUCUUUUCACUGUAUUUGAGUCCCACAGAGUACAUUUUGUUUCCUGCAGACAACAAAUGACUGCCUUUGAAGAUUCGUUUAGUAAUCUGACAAAUUGACGACUAUCAGAGCUGCAAGCACCCCUGACAUUCCAGCUUAAGAAAGAGUGUGUAUUCAUAAAAACUUAAACAAUGAAGUAGAGAGAAACGAGAGAGAUUAAGCAGCCAGAUUCUGCCGGAUGAGUUCCAGUGAUUCUUGCCUCGAAUUAUUAGGGAGUAAUCCCAUCAGUAGUCCAGUUUCCAAAAUGGAUUCUGCCUCAUCAGUUGAGUUGUUAAGAAAGAAAUGUGAAAUCUGUUGAAGACCUUCCCCUUUUUUCCUUCUACGUUUCGGAAGUUUGAAAGAUUUGUUAAUCUUGUUUGAGUUGAGUUUACGAGGGCGUCCUCUCCUCCCUUUCACUUUCAGUUUAUCCAGAUCUUGCAAGAUGUCCAUACUCCUAUCCUGAAUUGAGAUAAAUUCAUCCAAGGAUUCCUCAUCCACAACUGAUCCAUUGGAAUCCGAAGCAUUUAAUGGGUCUGAGGGUGAGGUAUCUCUAUCACGGGGAAGCCAAUUUGUUGUGACCAAUGUGAUAGGAGACUCUUCUGAAAAGGGUGUUAGGGGGUUUAUGUCAGAGUUGGAAACUUCCCCUGCUAAGUUUUCUUCUUCAGGAAUAGUGAUAUCGCCACACCCCUCAUCCGUCAAGGUGUGGGUCUCAAUCUCUGAAUCAAUUAGAACUACAUUCCCAGUUCUAUUUUCCUCCAAGAUUACCUCUUCAUCUAAGAUCUCUUCCUCAUCUUCAGCAAGUAUUUCCUGAACUUCCUCUUCAUCAUCAACUAGUUCAUGAUCAUUGAAGUGAUUAUGCUCGGGAAGGGCAGUUGAUCCUGCUGGGUUACUUGAGAUUGACAUACAUUCCCCCUCAGAUUUCUUAGUGGAUUCGCAAGACCUCCUUGACUGAAUGAAGUCAUUAGCAGGAGAAUCCCGGGAAUAACUAAAAAAAUCAUUUGGAAUAGCAUCAUUUAGUUGAGACAAGGCCCCGGUUGUUUCCAGAAAACGUACCUUCCAGAUUUUUCCCAUGAGAUUAAUGUAUUUGAUUUCAUCGAUCUCAGAAACGCUCUGUGUUUCUAACAGGAAUUUUGGGGUUUGGUAGAAAUCCUCCUCAUCACGAGUUUUACCGAACUGAAGAAUGGUUCCAAAGCUACUAAGAAUAUUCUUGAAAUUAUCUUCCUUCCAACCAACAAUAGGCAAACCUCUAACUUCGACCCAUGUUUUCCGUGAUGGGAGGAGAUCAUCCAAAUGCAGGUCACGAACCUCAGCAAACCCAAUCUUUAGGAACUCUCGAUCAGUAUCUUGCAGAUCCAUGUAGUGCGGGAAAUAAGCAAUGAACCUAUCCCCAGAUAAACCUCUGAUUAGAGCAUUGACCGCACCUAGUCCCUCCGCAAUCAUACCCACAGUGUCUGUUGUUUCAUGUUUGACUGUCCUCAGGAAUAAGCUAUUUUCCAUGAUAUGAAUAAAAUCUUCGUCCGGCAAGAGCUCUACUGAGGCAGGGGGGGAAGGGAGAUCCCGAGGCAAUGAGUGACUUACAGAUUUAGGGGACUCAGGUGGGGUAAUAUGUACCUUUGGAGCCCGCGUAGAACUAGCAGAUUUAGGGGGCUGAGAGGGAGGCUUUUGAGCACCCUUAGCUUUAGCCAGAUAUAAUUUCCUUGAGCCAAUAAGUUUGCCAUUAAGAGCGGAAAUGAUGUUGUCAGCCUGUUUCUCAUCGGACACCAACAAGAACCCAAAUCUAUUGCCAAAUUUGUCUCUUUUCCGAGGCAGAAUAAUAUCCCUAAUUUUCCCUUCCUUUUUAAAGAGAGACCAUAGAUCUUUCAUAUGGAGGCUAUCAUCCAAUUCUGUAAAGAAAAUGGAUGAUUUAGGCGCCAUAUCACCCUUCUUUCGGGAAGAUUGGGAUUUUGGGGGAGGGGAUCGUUUAACAGUAGGGGACGGCCUUGCUGAAUUCUUAAGCAGAGCCUCUCUGAAAGUUUGUGAGGGAGACUGAGGAAGGGGUUUCGUUGAAGCGUGAUCACCCGUCAGCGAGUGAUGGUGGAUCUGUCCUAGAGCUAGGGAGAGGGCCUUGUCAUUACCACCUAAUGCGUCUUUAAGUACACCAGGCUCCACCAUAGAAGCAUGAACUUUGAGAAAAUCAUAAGUGAUGAUCUUUUGUUCUUCCACCAUGUAAUCCUUUUUAUUGGGCGAAAUAAACUUUGGUUUCUUUUGUAUUGGCCUAGCGCUGAGAGAGCCAAAAUGAAUCUGAUGGAGGGCCAUACGGACUCCUUCUUGGUCUCCAUUGCUAGCUUUAGCGAUUGUAUUUGGAUGUACCAAAUCCGCAUUCGCCCUUAUAAAGUUUAAAAGAGUAGUGUCAUUAUUAGCUUCAGAAUACUGACCUUGAGAUAGUUGCCGGAAACCAUUGAUGUAGAGGGCUGAGUCUUGAGAAUGUGGCUGAGAUUGCUGAAGGUUGACCGGGCGGACCCUAGAUCCCUGUUUCCCCCUUUUCGCCAUAACUCCUGCUUGUGCUUGAAGCUCUGAAACAUUUGCUCCUUUGUUAUCUGCUCUCUCGCCUUUCGUCAUUGAAAUCCCCUUUUGCUCCUGCCUUGCUAAUUCUAUAGAUCCAUAAUGAAUUUGAUUUAGAGCCAUUCGCACUGCCUCUCUCUGCCCUUGUAAUGCCUCUAUCCUUGUAUUUGGGUGAAUUAGAUGCUCAUAAGCUGAUAAGAAAAGGAGGAGAGGAUCCAUAGUAGCAGAAUCUCCUUCCUUGUCAUUCCUUUCAAUUUCUAGGUUUGAAGCCUUCUCCCACCACCCAUUAUUGUAGAGGAAUUCAUGUAUACUCCACAACGCCUCCUCAUCUCCCUUGACUCCUUCUUCUAACAACUCUCUUGAAACCACUCCCAAGAGAAAGUCCACCUUUGCCUCUGCCAUGGGUAGCAGAGCAUGAUUCCCUUUGUUAACUGCUGCCACUAAUUCAUGAUCAAGCAAGAACCAGAAUUUAUUGAUUGUUUCCAGCUGCUGUUGCUUUUUAAUUUCCUGUUCCGAGUUAUUUCCAAGCUGUGCUUCCUUAAAACCAGAUGAAAAGCUUCCAUUCCCUAGGUUGGUUGCUCCCUUACUCUGAAUCUCACUUCCUUUACUACUCUUCUCGCCGGAGGUGCCCUUGGAGUUGUUAUUACCUAGCGGUCCGUUGUUGGGUUUUGUGACCGUUGAAGCCAUAUUUAUAUCCAUGUGCAACUUUCCUUUUUCGGUUUCCAGAGUAGUUGAGGGAGUAGAGGAUGGCGAGUUGAUAUGAUAAUUGGAGCUUUUGAUGAAGAAAGUGGGCAUGUAACGAUAUUUGCGAGUAGAUUCUCCAGAUAUUUCGUAACAUGGGUUGGUUAUUUAUUUUCAUUAUUUUAUUUUAUUUGUUGUGGAAAUGAGAGAGCACGUGGCUUCUUAGUGGUGGUAGCCUGCCUUAUCAACAUUGUAACCUCAGUUAUCACCUUUCUCAACUUGGUAUUAUUUUAUUGUCGAGAGAAAAUGAAGGCCUUUUUCUUUGGUUAGCCAAACUUUAGUUUUAUGCAUGUGACUAUGUGAGUUAAUAUACUUGUACUUUCUCACUUUUUAGUAGAGCGAGACUUGUUGUUUACAACUUUAUUAUGAAUAUAAAUGAAUUUAGAAUGUGGAAAACAAGUGUAGAAAUAUGGGAAAGCUUGCCCAAGUUGGCAAGUAAUGCAAUCAACUACCCACUUGAAGUUGAAUAACCUAUAUUAAUGAUUUGAAUUAGAUCUUCGAUAUUUUGAAAAUAUAUGUUUCUCAAAUAUGUAUAUUAAAAUAUAAUAUGCUGUGAACUCGAUUUUAAUUUUAAUUUUUAAAAACACAAGUAAGGAAUCAUAGUUUCAUUCUCACAUCCCUAUGUACUCCCUCAGUGCCGUUGAGUUGUUAAUGUUCACCGUUUACACGUAUUUUGAGAUUCUUAUAAAGUAUAGUUCUACAAAAAAAUUUUAAUUUAUUUUUUUUGAAUAAAAAUUUAAAUAUUCAGAUUUUUUUUUGGGAAAAAAAACAUCAUGAAACUAUAUUUUAAAGAGAUCUUAAAAAACAUGCCAAAAAGUAGGGCUGGCAAUUUCGGGUUUCGGGUCGGGUUCGGGUCGGGUUGACAGUCGCGGGUCAAAAAAUUUACCCAACCCGAACCCGACCCGAAAAUUUAAUGGGUCAGAAUACUCAACCCGAACCCGACCCGCAUUACCCGCGGGUAACCCGAACCCGACCCGAAAAUUAAUAUUUAUUAAUAAAAAUAUUUUUUAAAUAAUAAAUAAAUAUUAUUUUAAUCCAAAUAAAUUAAUUUUUAUUAAAUUAAAUAAUUUUAUAUUAAAUUUAACUAAUAAAUUUUAUAAAAAUAAUAUAAAUAAUAUAAAUAUAUAUAAUAUUUAUAUUAUAUAUUAAUUUUCGGGUAAUUUCGGGUCAAUUUCGGGUAACCCGAAUUCAACCCGAAAAUGACCCGAUUUUUCUGGGUUGAUUUUGGGUCAACCCGAAUUAGACCCGAACCCGAAAACCCCCAACCCGAAUUCGUAUUUUGCGGGUCGAAUUCGUGUCGGGUUGUCGGGUCGGGUCCAAUAUUGCCACCCCUACCAAAAAGUGAUGUUAACAAUCCAACGAGACGGAGGGAGCUACGAGUUUUGAAAGAAGUCCCGAAGCUCCCUAAAAUUAUGACUCAAUGUGAUUUAUCAACGAGUAGUGCUACAUGCACAAAAUUAGGUACAUAAUUUUAUACAAAAUGAUAUGACAAUCUAGGUGAGAAAUUUUAAUGGGUGCUAUUAAUACAUAUGUAGGGGCAUUCCAAUCACAAGUUAACACAUACUCAUUCUGUGAAUGUUUUUGUCCCUAAUUCUGAGUAUGUAGCAUUUUCCUUUAACAAUUAUCGUGAUUUAAUGUGAUAAGUGGGAAAUUUAAAAUAUCUAUUUGGAUAAUUUUUGAUUUAUUAAUGACAUUAUGAGUUAUUAAAAAUAUAAUACUAGAAAUAAAGAUGAUUUAUGGGUAACUUAUGUUUUAUGAGUAAUUUUUAUCUAAAAAAUUGUUUUUAAAAAAUAAAUCAAAUAUCUCAAACUAACUUCUGUCUUUAAAUCAGUUUCUGAUUUGUUUUUAAUUUUAAGCAGACUUCUAACUUAUUACCCAAAUAAAUAUUUUGUACGCGCCAAUAAGAUCAACAAAGGCAUUCGUGACACUGGUGGGACACGGAAGUCAUGGGAAGUCAUUGGUCUGAGGCUUCGGGUGAAACCAAUAAUUAGCUCAAAAUGGAAAAUGACUUAAAUCCUGAAUUUUAAGUCGAGAUAAAUAGCAUUUUAAUAUCUUUUUUCCGGUCUAAUUUUUUAUGAACAAAAAUACAUUACACCGUGAUCAAAUAGUUUUUUUGUAUGAACGAAAAUGCAUUAUAAUGUGAUCAACUCAUAAUUGGAUGAACAAAAGCACAGUACAAUGUGAUCACCUGACGUUGGAUGAACGAAAACACGUUAGAAUGUGCUUAGUUUUGAUUAUUGUUUAUACAUCGUAUUCCAUUUCCCUAAAGAAUUGAUUAACCUUGAAAAGGGCCGGCAGCUUUUUUGAAUUGUGUUUUGGUUGAUAGUUUAAUAAUCCAGGAGGUUGCCCACUAACUUAGAACUCCAAGUCUCCCACCAGUUCGUUAUAAGUUUCAAAUGUGUUAAAUUUCCGUAGCCCAUUUCAAACACGGCCCAAAAACUAUUGCAACAAGAUCUUUCAAAAAUAAAUAAUUGACCUUGUCUGAAUGUCUGAUAUCAGAAGUCCAGAUUCCAAUUGCCAAAUGGGGUCCCAGAAAACGCCAAUUUUUCUUAAACAACAAACAUGUCCAAACUAUGAGAGCAAAUCCAAGAUGAGACAAACGUUACAUUUAAAAUAUCUGUCAAACAUUAUUUAAGGGUCUUUUGAUGUCAAUGAACAACUAUUUUUUUGGUAGUAGAGAUUUUUGAGCAUGCAAAAAACAUCAUUAUUAAUGAGAUUGAAAUCGACACAAAUAUGUCAACUAACUAAAAAUUGGUUGUCAGGGUGUGUCCUAGAAAACCGAACAUUUAAUAAUGUUCCAUAUUUUCCCCUAGCUGCAGGCCAACACACUCAGUUUCCAACUCCUCUGCAUCAUGGCACAAGACAAUGAAGGCAGCUCUAGUUCCAUCGUGCCCAAACUAGUCAUCCUCUUAGUCGCCAUAGCUUGUGCUGGCUUCAUAAUUGCGUUGUACCAUUGCAUCCGUGUCGGUUGGUGCACACAAUACCAGCAACGUCCCCCUCUGCAACCGCGAAAUAGGCCUUUUCCUUUCAGACGCGAGGAGCAGCAGAGCAGCGUUGAAAAUUCUAUUGCAGAGCUCAUUCCUGUACGUAAAUUUAGCAAGACUAAUUUGGACUUGGAGGGCGGGGAUAACCAUACGUGCUCCAUUUGCUUGUGUGAAUUCGAAGAAGGGGAGGAGCUACGUACAUUGCCCGAAUGUGUUCACUCUUUUCAUGUAAGUUGCAUUGAUAUGUGGUUUUAUUCGCAUACUAGUUGUCCGUUGUGCAGAACUGAUGCUACGCCAUCUCCACGGGGACUCAUACAUUAUUUGGAGUUGAAUUCGGAAAGGCCAGCUCCAAGGCAAGGUUUAGAAUCCAGUGAAGUUUGAGUUUGUUUUAUUGCCUAUAUUCUGAACUUGUGUCAGCCUUCUUGAACUAAAUUUUAUUUUAUCAAUGAGAUCGUCUCCUCAAUUGGGACUUUGGGGAAGUGAAAUCGUAGUGUUUUUUUUUUCGAACUUGAAAGUAGAAAUGUAAAAGUAGGGGAAGGUUCAAAUGGAAAAUUUGGUCUCUGGAAACUUGUAUAUUCUGUAUAAAAAGUGGCAUCUGCUUAAAAUUUUGUAGCUAAACUUUAUUUCGAAGAAAUUAUAUUUUUUUCUCAUAAUAGUGCUUUUAACUAUUGAACCCAUGUUUUUUUCAUAUUACAAAAUUAUAAUGUUUAAAGUGUUUUUCGAGUUCUCCAUAGAAUCCACAGUUAGUUUAACAGAUCACUGGCAAAUUACUAACUGCAAGAUUUAUGUUCACGAGACAGUAACUAAUAAGCGACAAACUAACUAACUAAAACACUGAACUGAGUAAUGUGUGAAGUACAUAUCACAGAACAACGGGAAAAGAAUUAAGAGUAUAAGUCUAUAAUGGGGAGGGUGAUCCUUGAAACAACAAUUCUGAAAACAAAGAGAUUUUCCUCCCUUAUGAAAUCUGAACUGAAAAUAUGACAAUUAAGACCAUUCUUACUUGAAACAAAAAUUCUGAAAACGAAGAGAUUUUCUUCCCCUUUUUUUCCCACUUAAAAUAUGAGAAUUAAGACCGUUCUAAUGAUCACAGGAGACCAAACUGUAAACACUGCAAAUUCACAGGAGUCCCCUUCCUCGCAAACCCCCUUAUUUCAUCCAUGCACAUGAAUACGGAGUAUACUGAACCAAGACCAGACGUCAUAGUAUUGCAGCAGUACUGUUUUCUAUUCCCAGUACUUGAUGAAUGAUGAUAAAAUUUUAUUGCCAGUUCUGCAUGUGGAUGAACUGGGAACUAGUAACUGUACAUUUUGUAUUCCAGAUAAACCUUUCGUUCUGAUUGCUGUCAUAAACAAGUUAUCCCAGAUCUCUAGUAAGAGAUUUCUUGUAAUGAUAACAUCAUAUUAUAAGUCCAUCUCUUGCAGGAUACCUCUUAAUCUAGAGGAAGAAAGCUUGUCACAUCAUAUGGAAAGCUAAUAUGUAAAAUAAAGAAUAUUUCGACACAUCUGUUAAUUACUUCAUAAAAUUCAAAUUCCCGCUCUGGAAUUGAAAAUUGACUUCCUGUACAGACUAAAUUCCAAGCGGAAUCGCCAAAAUUGUUGUCGUCAUUUUGUGAAAGAGCAGACAUAUUAAAACUAUGAAAGCAUACAGAGGCUUUACAUAGUAAGACAAACACUACAUAAUAAUUAUCAACCCAACAAUGACUAUUUGAUAUGCACUCAUUUCCAACCAUUCCUCUACCAUGGCACAAGACAACUCUAAUUCCCUCAUACCAAAAUUAGUCAUCGUCUUGGUCGCUGCAGCCUGCAUGGCCCUCGUUAUUGCAUUGUACCAUUGCAUCCGUGUUGGCUGGACCACGCGAUACCACCACAAUGAAACACCGCAGCAACAUCAUCUUGGGCAAGAGGAGCAACAGAGCUUUGAGAAUUCAAUUGCAGAGCUCAUCCCCAUACACAAGUUUAAGAAGUCCUGUUUGGAUUUGGAAGGCCGAAAUGAUCAUACAUGCUCAAUUUGCUUGAGUGAAUUCGAGGAAGGGGAGGAGUUACGUACCUUGCCUGAAUGUUCACACUCUUUUCAUGUAAGUUGUAUAGACAUGUGGUUCCAUUCACAUACUAGUUGUCCGAUGUGCAGAAUCGAUGCUACGCCAUCAUGGCACGGACUGAUGCAUUAUUUAGAGUCAGACUCAGAGAGGCCGGCAACAAGGCAAGGUCUGGGAUCCAGAGAGAUCAGAGUGUAAUUUUUUUAUUCUGCAUUUGUCGCAGAUUGGAUUAAAUUUUAUUUUAUCUCUUUGUCGCAUAUUUGGCCAAAGCAGCCGUAUCACAUCAAUACUGAUUUAAUUAUUUUUUAAGAUCAGACCAUAUGCUGAUCAGUUGAUAUAACAAUGCAGAAUGCCGGUUUAAUUAUUGUUCCAUAUCCCUCUAAUGAAAGCCAAGGCAAAGCUCAUUGGAUAUAUAAGUUUCAAAAUAAAAUAUUACACUAAAGCUGUUCAUAGUAUUUAGCUCUAAAGAGAGAUUCGGUUCAUGAGAGUGUGCUAAUAAUUCUUAAAAGUUACAAAGUCGAGUUAAAAGUAUCCUUAAAUUUCGCCUAAAGGAUACCCCUCUCUUAGUCGUUCAAUGUCAAUGAUCGAGUAUUUAUAGAAGUAUGAACUUGUGUGUACUAAACUAUUAUAAAAUCCAACUUCGAUUACAAAAAUUAUACAUGACACUGGCAAACGGACCAAGGAAAUUUUGCCCUUCCCUAAAAAAGAUCAAAAUAUUAUCACUUGGCAAGACAAAUUUUGACUCAUUCACAUUAAACAACUACAAUUAUCUUGUAAUAACCGUCAUGGCUACAUAGAUUUUGAAAUGGCCUUUCUAUCUAGCUAGUAAUUCUCUCCUAAGCAACUGAAAGAAGGUCUUCACUUGUCUUCACAAUGUCUAGCCUCAAUUUUCUGAGUCAUUUUUAUAUCCUCUUUCUUGUAGUUGCAUCCAUGGCCUUCUUCGUUACAAUUUAUCACUGUAUUAUGGUGAGUUGCCAAAAUAGAAUUGAGCGUCACAAUUCUGAUCAAGUGUCACAGUCCACUGUCAUCAGAAUACAGAACUUCUUACUUUGGCGCAAUGGACAAGAACUUAACAGUGCUCAAGAUCGUGGUGCCACGGUCCUGGGGCUUGAGAACUCGAAGAUUGAGCUAAUUCCAAGACAUAAAUUUGAAAAAGGUAAAGGGAUUCUUGAUGCAGAGUGCGCUGUUUGCUUGAGCGAGUUUGCAGAGGAUGAAGAAAUACGAACUUUGCCAGAAUGUUUGCAUUCUUUUCAUGUAGAGUGCAUUGACAUGUGGCUUCAUUCACAUCCUAAUUGUCCAACAUGUCGGGCCAAUGCUUCACCACCAUCCUCCUCCUUGCUAUUACAUCCUUGCCCAAAGUGAUACCGUGGUUAUGGCAUAGCAUAUUAGGAGAGAUGAAGAAUUGAAGAAAGGGACCGUGCAGUUAGCUUGGUUACAUGCAAAUGAAAGGACAGCGCAGGGCCGGCCCUUCAUAAGGCGAUCAAGGCGAAUGGCUAGGACAGCCCUUCAUAAGGCGAUCAAGGCGAAUGGCUAGGACAUCACUGUCCCACGGGCACCAAAAAAAUCUAUGCAUAUGUAAUAAAUAAUGAUAAAUUUAUGCAUUUAUAGACAUACAUUUAAAUUGAUUGUGUUGUUAAUUUUAAAAUAACGUUUUUAUUAAAUCAUUGUAUAUUGAUUUGAAUGUAUGUAAAAUUUUCAUUUACUAUCUUGAAAAAUAGGGACAUCAAUCACAUCAUUAUCAAAAUUCGUCUAGGACACUCAAAUCUGUGGGACGGCCUGGGUCAGUGCGUCUUUCUUUAAUGUAGCAGAACUUGCAUUACAUGAAAACUGAAAGACUUGUUACCAGUUCCUUAUGUCAAAAUUAGAAGAAGAAUUUAAUUCGGUUAUAUUGCAAGCUGCUGCAGCUGUUAGCUGUUACCCUAUCUUUUCUAAUUUCUGUAGACAAUGGUAUUAGAUUUUUACACGCCUAACUAAAAAUUAUUACAAUUCUAAAUCAAUAGAACAAGAAGCACAUCUGUCAUCGUUUGGCCAUUAGUCUGUGACCUUCAGAUGAAUAAAAUCAUGAACUCGAAAUCUUGCUUUAUUUUAGCAACGCAGAAAACAAAGCACAAAUGUAUUGAUGUAUAUAAGAUUUAAUUUCCAUUACACUUUAUUGAGAAUGAAUAAGAAGGAUGGUCAAGACUUGGAUAUUACUAAGUGCAGUUACAUGCCUAAGGUUUCAUACCCCUAAGACCACGUCUGUGAAUUUGAUCUUGUUUCCCAGUACAAACGCAAAGACCAUCGACACACUUGCCUCCAAACGGACACACGUUCGAACAUCCAGUAUCAAUGCAUUUUGAAAUUUGAUCUUGUUUCCCGGUACAGACGCAAAGACCAUCGACACACUUGCCUCCAAACGGACACACGUUCGUACAUCCAGUAUCAAAGCAUUUUGAAAUUUGAUCUUGUUUCCCGGUACAGACGCAAAGACCAUCGACACACUUGCCUCCAAACGGACACACGUUCGUACAUCCAGUAUCAAAGCAUUUUGAAAUUUGAUCUUGUUUCCCGGUACAGACGCAAAGACCAUCGACACACUUGCCUCCAAACGGACACACGUUCGUACAUCCAGUAUCAAAGCAUUUUGAAAUUUGAUCUUGUUUCCCGGUACAGACGCAAAGACCAUCGACACACUUGCCUCCAAACGGACACACGUUCGUACAUCCAGUAUCAAAGCAUUUUGAAAUUUGAUCUUGUUUCCCUGUACAGACGCAAUGACCAUCGACACACUUGCCUCCAAAAGGACACUCUGUCAAACAAUUAGUAGUGCAUCCAUGUACAUGCACCAAUGACACAGUAAACACCAGGACUAGUGUUAAGACUAUAGAAAACUGCUUCAUAUCUGAUGGUUUUUCUGGAGAAUAUAUAUCUGAAAGAUUUAAAAGAGAAAAUGUUUUCUCCUCUCCUUGCGAGUGUUUUAUUUCCGAUGAAGAUCCUCCACAAUAUAUACAGACAUAUUAUACAAUCACUCCAUCCGAAAGACAUAACUGUUGGAUUUCAUAAUAAAUUCAUAUUAAUUGUCAUUAAUAUGAUAAUUAACUUAUGUAACUUGCAACUAUUCACUUAAGUAUAUAUUUUAGGAUGUAUCAAUGGAGAUUUUCAACUGUUCGGUAGGAAUGAAAAAUGAAACCAUCUGGUGGUAUAUCACAGUUAAACUAGCAUAAAAACCCGUGCGAGGCACGGGCCUCUAGUUUGUGUUUCUGUUUUAAAUAAUAUUCAUGUCUCGUCAUAUUAUUUCGAGCGUAACUAUCACGUUUUAUUCAUUGACAAAGUAUGUAAAUAUGAAAAUGUAAUAUUUGCAACCUAGCAUUAAUAGUAAUAAUAAGUAUUAUAUUUUUAAAAAAAAUUAUGGAUCAGAAACUACAUUUGAACAGAUUUUUCUAUAUUCAAAGUCGUUAGGAUAUAGAGGCCACUACCGUACAAUCUACAUGUUCAAAAUUAUAUUCGAAAUUAAUAUUGAAACUUUUAAAUUUUAAAUAUAUUAUACAUCAUUAAAAGUAUCUGUAAUUAAAUUAUUUCAUCUAAUAUAACAUGAUUUUGAUUUAAACUUGUUCUUGAUAUGUGAAUUACGAUAUCUUAAAUCAUGAUUAAAUGAAGAUGUGUGGUCCGUAUUGUUUUAUAUUUAUUUCUUCUUUUUUAAGUGUAAGUUUGCGUAAUAAUUAAGUGAUACAUGAUGUGGCAUAUCAUCAACACAUUUUUUUUUAGCAUUGUUGCACACACCUUGUAUAAGUAGAAAUUGAACUAUGUAAAAAGACUCAUACCCUAUUUUAUUAUAAAAGUGUCUAUUGAAUUACUAACCUUAUAGUUGUACCCAAAAAAAUUCUGACACCUUUGAUAUGGCUUACCCUUUUAAUUUUCAUCUCAAUUAUAUGGUAUUUCAAUGUCUUAGAUUUUUAUUGUUAAUAUGUUAUAAUACUGUCUCGUUAUAAAAAUUUUAUUUUUAUCAUUAGUUAUCUAAGCUUGUUGAUUAGUACUUUUAAUGAUUUUCCAUUUAAUUGUUAUAAACCAGAUCUCAAAAUAAUUUUCUGGAAUUUCAAAUAGCAAAACGAGAGUAUAUAUGAGUUAGGCCUCAAGUUCAUAAAAACAUGAAAUGUAAUUACUUUUUGUAGUUUUGUACAAACUCACAUUUUUUAAAUAUUUUUAUACUCGUAUUUCUUGGGGGUGAGCAAUGUAGCAUAUCAUUUUCAAUUGUUAAAGAUCAGAUCAGGUAUUCGAUAUUCUGGAUUAUGGAAAAACUAUCCUUGUUCUAGUCCCGUUUAGUAAGAUAUUAGUUUUCAUCAUAUCGCGUCGGAUUAUCCGGCUCAGAAUUAAUUAUAUUUUAUUAGUUUAAUUUGUAGAUGAUUAAUUAAUUUAAUUGUAGUUUGAAUCAAUUUAUUUAACUGGUAUGUUAUAUAUUGAUUGAUGGCAUGUUAAAAUUAUAGCUUUAAGAUUUUAAUAUAUAUGACUUAUUUCUCUGUGUUAUUUUAUUUUAACCAAGUAAAAUUUAUAACUCAAUUCUUUUAGUUGGUCUCAUAAACAUUUAUUAUUAUUAUUAGUUGACUUUUGAUUAACAAUAUAGUGGGGCUGUUUGGGAACCGGAAGCAAUUUCUGCUUCUGGCUUCUGCUUUUCUUGACCCGUUUGUGUAAAGAAGUAGAAGCACUUUUAAGAAGCUGAGAAUGCUAACUUCUCUUUCACAGAUUCUGCUUCUUUUCCAAACACUUUAUUAACUUAUUUAUUUCUCACUUCUACUCCACUUCUUUACUUUAAACAUAGAAUCACUUUUUUUAAGCUUGGCGAAACGGCGAAACGGCCCCAGAAUUUUUCUAAAUUCACCUUCAUAUCACAAAUUACUAUAUUUCAAAUUCAUUUAUCAUCAAAAUUACAUCAUUUAGAUAUAUUUUCUAACACCAAAUUUGAUAUCUUUGUCAUUGUUCUUAUAUUUAUAAUUUUCUCAAAAAAAAAUUUAGUUACACGCCGAAUUCUGAAUUCAUAAGUUUAACAUAAAAAAUAUUUUAAGUAAGAAUAUUCUUUCAUUUACAUUAUUUCGUGUUAUUCAAAAUAUUGUAAUCUCUUUAUAAAUCGCCUUUUAUAAAAAAUAAAUAAAUUAAUAUGACAUUGUCCAUGUUGAAAGUCCAUCAAUUAUUUCUUUCAAAGAUGCUAACUAAAUCCUUAGUUUUUGUGCUUAUUUCUCACAUUUAUGACUUAAAAUUUCUGUAAUAUUGUAUUCGUACUCGUUUAGAGUAUUAAGUUGGAUUUGAAUUCUUUCAUUUUUAUUCGAAUAUGAAUUAUAUCUAUUUUUAGAAAUCUGAAUCAUGAUUCGAGCCCGAUCAUUCAGAUUCUUUUUCUAUUCUAAAUUUAUUUACGUAAAUAAUUGAUUUAUAAAUAUUAAUUAAUCAUGUAAGCAAUAUAUGAGACUUAUCUGAAAUAAUAACUUGUCUCAAAGAAAUAAGAAAUUGAAGAGAAUGUAAAUACAACAGUUUUAAUGCACGUGGUUAAUGCUUUUGAAUAACAAAACUAAUUGCUUAUGUAGCUCAAGUGGUUUGAGUGAUGUAUUUGUAUUGGAGAGAUCUUAGGUCCAAGUCUUAUGAAAAACAAUUUUUUUAUAUAUAUGAGGAGGAGGCAGGUUCGGAGUUAGGCUCGGGUUCGGAGCUAGGUAAUUUAUUUGCUCAGGAGGGAGGCUUAACACGAACCUGUUGUGCUAUUAUAUAUAUAAGUAGAAGUCCCCUGCAUUGUCAAUUUAUCAUAGUAACUUUCACUCAUUUGCCGUAAAUUCAAAUUUCCAUAAUUAUGCGUAAUUAAAACAAGUACAUUAUUUUAUUUCCUACCUAUUUUUGAUAUAUAUACUCUCUUGUUUUUGCUUUUUAUUAGAUUUACUAUCAUUUUUACAUUAAUUAAAAUCUAUAAACAUAUAUGUGUGUGUGAUUUUGUUGUAUAUUGAUUUAUAUUUUGUUUGUUUGUUUUUUCUCCGUAUAUCAUGGAAGCGAGCUGUUAUGUGACUUAUGGGUAUUAUUUUCUCAUUCAUUUAUGCUCUGUUGUCUAAACGUCCGGAACUAUACUUGCAUGACUUUAGUUAGAUGAUAAACUUUCUUUGAAAGAAAGAAAUCUGGAGACGGUUUAUUGUAUACCGUUCAUCAGCCGGAACAUAGACUAAAAUUAUCUUAUAAUGACCGUCACGACUACAUAGAUUUUGAAAUGGCCUUUCUAUCUAGCUAGUAAUUCUCUCCUAAGCAACUGAAAGAAGGUCUUCACUUGUUUUCACAAUGUCUAACCUUAAUUUUCUGAGUCAUUUUUAUAUCCUUUUUCUUGUAGUUGCAUCCAUGGCCUUCUUCGUUACAAUUUAUCACUGUAUUGUGGUGAGUUUCCAAAAUAGAAUUGAGCGUCACAAUUCUGAUCAAGUGUCACAGUCCACUGUCCUCAGAAUACAGAACUUUUUACUUUGGCGCAAUGGAGUAAUGGACAAGAACGUAACAGUGCUCAAGAUCGUGGUGCCACGGUGCUGGGGCUUGAGAACUCGAAGAUUGAGCUUAUUCCAAGACAUAUAUUUGAAAAGGGUAAGGGGAUUCUUGAUGCAGAGUGUGCUGUUUGCUUGAGCGAGUUUGCAGAGGAUGAAGAAAUACGAACUUUGCCAGAAUGUUUGCAUUCUUUUCAUGUAGAGUGUAUUGACAUGUGGGCUGUGGCUUCAUUCGCAUCCUAAUUGUCCAACAUGUCGGGCCAAUGCUUCACCACCAUCCUCCUUCUUGCUAUUACAUCCUUGCCCGAAGUGAUACUAUGGUCGUGGCAUGGCAAGGCCAUGUGGUUAAUCUAGCAUAUUAGGAGAGAUGAAGAAUUGAAGCAAGGGACCGUAAAAUACAGGAUUUUAGUGCAGUCUGAUGCUUGGUUACGUUACGUGCAAAUGAAAGGUCAGCACUGGGCCAGCCCUUGCUAAGGCGAUCAAGGCGAACGCCUAGGACACCACUGUCCCACGAGCACCAAAAAAUCUAUGCAUAUGUAAUAUAUACAGUAAUAUAUAAUGAUAAAUUUAUGCAUUUAUAUAUAUAUACAUGCAUAUAAAUAUACAUGCAUAUAAAUUGAUUGUGUUGUUAAUCUUAAAAUAAUGUUUUUCUUAAAUCAUUGUCUAUUGACUUAAAUGUAUGUAAAAUUUUCCUUUACUAUCUUGAAAAAUAGGGGCAUCAUUUUCAAAAUUCGUCUAGGACACCCAAAUAUGUGAGACGGUCCUGGGUCACUGCGUCUUUCUUUUAUGUAGCAGAACUUGCAUUACAUGAAAACUGAAAGACUUGUUACCAGUUUCUUAUGUCAAAAGUAGAAGAAGAAUUUAAUUUGGUUAUUUUGCAAGCUACUGCAGCUGUUACCCUAUCUUUUCUGUAGAAAAUGGUUAUAGUUUUUUACACGCCUAACUAAAAAUUAUUACAACUCUAAAUCAAUAGAACAAGAAGCACAUUUGUUAUCGUUUGGCGAUUAGUUUGUAACCUUUAGAUGAAUAAAAUGAUGAACUCGAAAUCUUGCUUCAUAACAACGCAGAAAACAAAGCGGAAAUGUAUUGAUGUUUAUAAGAUUUAAUUACCAUUACAUUUUAUUGAGAAUGAAUAAGAGGGAUUGUCAAGACAUUGGCAAUCACAAGUGCAAUUACAUGCCUAAGGUUUCAUACCCCUAACCAUGUCUGUGAAUUUGAUCUUGCUUCCCAGUACAAACGCAAACACCAUCGACACACUUGCCUCCAUACGGACACACGUUCGUACAUCCAGUAUCAAAGCAUUUUGAAAUUUGAUCUUGUUUUCCGGUACAGACGCAAAGACCAUCGACACACUUGCCUCCAUGCGGACACACGUUCGUACAUCCAGUAUCAAAGCAUUUUGAAAUUUGAUCUUGUUUCCCGGUACAGACGCAAAGACCAUCGACACACUUGCCUCCAAACGGACACACGUUCGUACAUCCAGUAUCAAAGCAUUUUGAAAUUUGAUCUUGUUUCCCUGUACAGACGCAAUGACCAUCGACACACUUGCCUCCAAAAGGACACUCUUUCAAACAAUUAGUAGUGCAUCCAUGUACAUGCACCAAUGACACAGUAAACACCAGGACUAGUGUUAAGACUAUAGAAAACUGCUUCAUAUCUGAUGGUUUUUCUGGAGAAUAUAUAUCUGAAAGAUAUUAAAGAGAAAAUGUUUUCUCCUCUUCUUGCGAUUGUUUUAUUUCCAAUCGAUGAAGAUCCUCCACUAUAUAUACAGACAUAUUAUACAAUCACUCGGAGUGAUUGAUAUUUACACGAGUGAAUCACUCCAUCUCAAAGACAUAACGGUGGGAUUUCAUAAUAAAUACAUAUUAAUUGUGAUUGAUAUGAUAAUUAGAGUAUAUGUGUUGGUAAAUCAUACAUUCUUUGUUUUAAAAAAUUUGAUUACAAUCAUAGUCGACUUGAUUAUUCCGUGAAAAUCUCAGAGAAAUUGGGUUCUUUUUAAAAAUAUCCAUCUGUAAAAUUACUUUUCUAAAAAUACUACCAUCUUUAUCAUUGUUUUUAAGAAUAUCUUUUCAUAAAUUGUUUUUUUCAAAAAUACGAUUUGCAACUCCAGGCGGCGCCAGCCGUGUUGCAACUUCAUUUGCAACCUCAUUUGCAACUUUUGCAACCUCAUUUGCAACUAUAUAUAGUUUUCAGUUGCAUUUAGUUGCAACUGAGGUUGCAAAUGAAGUUGCAACUGCAGUUGCUUGCAACCUCAUUUGCAGAAUUUGCAACUUACAGUUUUCAGUUGAAUUAGUUGCAAUUACAAUUGCAAGAGUUGAAACUUUCUAUUUUUAUUUGCAACUUUUGCAACCUCAUUUGCGACUUUUGCAGCCUCAUUUGCAACUGAAAUGGUUGCGCCGCCCAAGGUUGCAAAUGAGGUUGCAAACCGUAUUUUUGAAAAAAAAAAAUUUAUGAAAAUGUAAUUUUAAAAAUAAUUCUGAAAGGUAGUAUUUUUGAAAACAAUAAAAGAAAAGGUAGUUAGUUUUGUAGACUUCCCAUAGAAAUUCCAUUUAACUAGGGUAGGAUAAGUGUUAAUUAACUAAUCCUACUAAAAUAUUGAUAGUAAUAUUUACAUGAUCAUAUAAUAUUUUAACAUUUUUCUUAUUUAAUCCAAUUUUAUAUCGAGCUUGAAUUGUGGGUGUACAUAAGUUUGCUUUAGUCUCCACAAGUCUAAACUCAUAUUACUCACUCCGCUCAAUUUAUAAGUCCUUUUGUUUAAGUUUCUUUUACUUUUCCAAGAGUCUUAACUAAUUUUGGAUCAACUAUUACAAAAUAUUAUUUGUUGUUUUAGAAAAUAAAAAGUUACAUAUUAAAAUUGAUUUGAUUUAUCUUUUGAUGAUUUUUUUUGCCAGAGAAAACUCAAGUAUGAAGAAAAGCGAGAAAAUCUGUGUUAAUUACGUACAAUGUAUAGUAUUCUUUUCUUAAUUGCAAUCAUAAAUAUAAGGGCAAUUUUGGACAGAAUCUUGUGAAUAAUUACAUAUCUUUUAUUUAUGGUAUUUCCAAAAUUCAAUUUCUGCCACAAUUAAUGUGAAUUACAUUUCCAAAAUUCAAUCAAUUAAAUUAAUUUUGAAUAUAUCUUAAUAAAUAUAUUAACUCCUAAUAAAACACUUAGUGGAAUCAACCAAAUAAUAAAUUUAGCAGACAUAAGAUUUUACAAAAAAUCGUACUAAUAAAUACAUUAUGAUUCUAUUAAGAAUUUUAUUAAUAUGUUACAAAAAAUGUCAUAUCAAUAUUAUUAAGAUUUUACUAAGUAAUUCACUAAUGACAUCGGAUUUCUACUAUUUUAAUAUUCGAUAAAUUUAUUCCAUAUUAUUAAGUUCUAUCAUUUGAUUCCCUAACUAUAUCAAGAAUUUAUUAAAAAAUUGUUUCGUCCGUUAGUCAUAUAUUGACAUUAUUUAUUAUGUAUUCUUUUUAAACAAUGUAGAAUUUAAUAUAAUAAAUUUUAAUGAUACAUUAAUUAAUAUUCUAAUAAUUAAUGCAUUAAAUUUUCGAAUCUUAAUAAAAUAAAAUACUUAAGAGAAUUUUAACAAAAUAUUUUGUGUUGUAGAUUAAUUAGUAUUAGUAAUAUGUAAUAAAACAUUUUUAAGUGUCUUCAAAUAGAAAUUUUUAUUAUUUAUUUUAAAAGAACAUAUAAUAUAUUUUUAUAUAUUAUUAUUGUCUAUUCUAGAUAUUUAACAAUAUUAUUAAAUUUGUAAUAAGAUUUCACUAACAAUAUAAAAUUAUUAUAAAUUUCUAAAUCAUGUGAAUAAGUGUAUUUUAUAAAUACGUUAAGAUUCUAAUAAAAAGUUUUAUCAGGUUAUUCGUUAGAACAAUUAUUAGAGAUUCGUUAGAAACACGAGUAGAAAACAUUAGAAUUUUUUUAUAUUAUAUAUAAUCAAAUUAUCAAAAUACAUAAUAAAACUUUUCGAAGAAUCUUAGUUUAUUUAUUAAAUAAGUUUAAUAAUAAAAUUAAUAAUAAAAUUUAAUUUAAUAAUAAAAUUAAUAUAUAUAGAAGAUUCUCUAAAAUAUUCUAUUAUUUAUAAGUAAUAAAUAUUUGUAUCAUGCAAGAUUCUUUUAGAAUAUUUAAUUUUUUUUAUAUAUUAUUCACUCUAUAAUAUUCUUUUGACUCUUCAAAUAUUUUUAAAUUAAUAUUAUUUUGAAAAAUUUCAAACUAAUUAAUAUUUAAGAAUUCUAAUUUAAAAUUAUAAUAAUAUUUAAAGGAACACUUUAAGAAACCUUCAAAUGUUAAAUGUUAGAGGUGAAACACUUAACAGAAUCUUAAUAUUAUUAAUAUAUAUAGAAAAUUCUCUAAAAUAUUUUAUUAUUUCUACUAAUAAAUAUUUGUAUCGUGCAAGAUUCUUUUGAAAUAUUUAAAAUAUUUUUGUAUAAAUUAUACAUCCUAUAAUAUUUUUUUGACUCUUCAAAUAUAUUAUUAAAUUAUUAUUAUUUUGAAGAAUUUCAAACUAAUUAAUAUCAAAGAAUCUAAAUUAAAAAUUAUAAUAAUAUUUAAAAGAACACUUCAAGAAUCUUUCAAAUGUUGAAAGUUAUAGGUGAAACACCUAAUAGAAUCUAUACAUAUUAUUAACAUAUAUAGAAGAUUCUCUAACAUAUUUUAUUAUUUCUAGUAAUAAAUAUUUAUAUCGUGCAAGAUUUCUUUAGAAUAUUCAAUGUUUUUUAAGAAAAUAUUCACCCUAUAAUAUUCUUUUGACUUUUCAAAUGAUUUUAAAUUAGUAUUAAAUUAAUAUACAAGAUUCUCUAAGAUAUUUUAUUAUAAAUAUUAUAUGUUAAAUGUAAAAUGUAAAAUAGUAGUUUUCAAAUCUUUUCAAAGUGAAUCUUUUAAAAUUUGAAAUUUGAAAUUCAAACUGAAUAUACAUUAAAUGAUUGAUUGAUUGAUUGAGAUAUGAAGAAUCUAUUUAAAUAUGAUAUUAAUGUGCGAUUGAUUUUAUAUAUAUUUAUGUUACAAAAUUACCCUAUAUACUCUAGAGUUGAUUGACAUAAUUAAUAUGUACAAUACAUAGUAUUAUUAAACAAGUAUACGUGAUCAACGGUGAUUAACAGGGUUCCUCAGUUUUCUUAAUAACAGCAUCUCCAACGGGGUUGGCUAUAAUCGUUGGCUAAAUUGAACCUGUAAGACAAUAUGUAAAAUUUGCCGAACCUGUAAGACAUUGUACUUCAAUGGUGUUGGCUAUAUUGGUUGGCUAUAAUUUAAAAAUAGGAUGUUAUUAAUAUUUUAGAUUUUUAAAAUAGAAUAUAUCAAUUUAAUAUGGUACUAAAUGAUGUGUAAUCUUCCUACAGAUCUCUUACAAGCCUGUAGAGGUUCGACAAAUAUAGCCAUCUAUAGAAGGUUGACUAAAAUUAUUGAUAACAGAUUAACAUGGUUGGAGGGAGACCUUUUCAACAGAUUGGCUAUAUUUUUUAUAUUUGGCAAGACAACUCAUCAUUUAACUAAGAGGUUUGUAUGGUUGGAAAUGCUCUAAGUGGGUUUUCUUAGGAUCUUCCUCAUGAUAAUUAACUUAGGCAUCGAACCCACAAAUCCGUCCAUACUCCCUAUAAAAGACAUAGGCAUCCUCAAUAGUAGCGAAUUGCUGAUUCGCAUAGGGUGUCUUACUGACGCAUUUAGGAGUAUAAUAUUUUAUCCCAUUUGCUUCAACACAUGUCAUUUCAGGUUCCUCAAUACUGUUAAAUUCAACAUUACUUGACUGUGUUGACAAAUGUUCAAUUUCAUCAUCCGAAUAUGAACUACCAAUGUCUGGAACAUCAGAUUCAUGAUCAGAUCUCUCUGAGUCUGAGCUCUCAAUAUGUGGGGCAGACACGGAACCUACAUCGCAGAAGUAUAUCGUUAAACGUACUUCGGAACAUACACGCUAGGAAAAACAAACUCAAAAAACAAUGUAAUUAAAAGAUGUUCUGCAGUAUACAAAAAAUCAGAUACAAGUACAAUGUAAUGCUUUGUAUGUCAAACACUAUUGAAGAACAUAUAUAUAUAUAAUCUGUUCUGCAUUAUAACGCGAAAUACUAACAAAAGCCAGAUUAUAAAUCAGAAAGAGGAAAAAACGAAAAAAAAGAACCAUUCCCAUCAGACACGAUUAAAACAAACGAACACACAAAUCACAUCAAAUCAAAUCAUCAAACCUAGGAAGAAACACAAUAACGUACUUGGUUCUUCAUAUUGAGAAGCCAUGUCAAGCACAGAACACAAAAAUCGAAAAAAUAUUUACUCGUGAAUCUUUGGUUAAAAAAUUGUAUCAAAAACAGAACACAGAUUGCAAGCCCAAUAAGGUGUGACUUAUCAAGCGUAAUUGUUUCCCCAUAAUUCUGCACUGCACUUACGUGAUGUUAACAGCGUUAAAACUAACGGAUUAGAUAAAAGAAACUGUAAAACUAUUUUUUUAUAUUUUACUUAAAAUAAAAGAGACAUAAAAUAAUGACCAUCAGAUUAAAAUGUAAUGGAUGGCCAGGAUCUUGGACUCCUAAGACUCCAAAAAAUGUGUGAACUCCAUAGAACUUACUUCAUAAUAUAUAUAUAUAUAUAUAUAUAUAUAUAUAUAUAUAUAUAUAUAUAUAUAUAUAUAUAUAUAUAUAUAUANNNNNNNNNNNNNNNNNNNNNNNNNNNNNNNNNNNNNNNNNNNNNNNNNNNNNNNNNNNNNNNNNNNNNNNNNNNNNNNNNNNNNNNNNNNNNNNNNNNNNNNNNNNNNNNNNNNNNNNNNNNNNNNNNNNNNNAUAUAUAUAUGCCCAACAUUCAAAAAGAGGGACUCCUUAUAUGGAGUUACAUAGUGCGCCACUAUAAAUCAUCAAUUUUAUUAUAAAUUCUGUUAUAGAAUACAUAUAAAACGUGAUUCUAAUAUAGAAUACUAUAAAAUAAAUCCAUUUUAAGUAAUUUAACACUUAAAAUUUGAUUAAAAAAAGUAUAUUUUCGAAACUGUUCUACAACAGAAUAAUUCUGGAUGAUUAUUAUUCUGUUAUAGAAUCAUGUUGAGAUAUUGCAUAAUUGUAGAUGAUCUUUGGAAUAAAAAAAAUGUAUAACUUCGUUUUCAGUUUAAUAAUCAAAAUUUGUAAUUAUAUUUCAUAAAAAAUAUAACAUAAUAUAUAUUAUGUAUAUAUUUAUAAUGAUGUGCUACGUAACUCCAUAUAAGAGGGUAUGCUAUGUAGUGCUACCCUAUAUAUAUAUAUAGGGAGCUAUUCUAGUACAAACUCAACUAAUCUAAAAACCUACAAACCUGGUCCGAUCCAAUAGCAAAGCCCAGUCCAAUAAACAUAUUAUAACACCGCCCAGUCCAUCAUACAAAACAUCCGCCAGUCAGACAAAUUUAAUAUUAUAGUCAGAUAUACCUAUACAUACAUUACAGUGACGCUGCUUUUGCUCUCGCACUGUUCAUCUUCCUCAAAACAAAAGGUACGAAUAACAUUUUCUUUCAAUUACUCACUGAUUUCUUCGUGUAUUUGAUACAACGGUUCAAUUUCAUAGCGAAAUCGAGCACUGAAGUCGAGCAAUGAAUUAAGCAAAAUCAGUUUCAAAAAUCUUCAAAAGGUACAUUCCUAUGCUUUUUUAGUGAUUUAAGUGAAUAAAUCUUUCGUAGUGAUUGCAUGUCAGUAUAAUGAUGAUUCCCAGGGUUUAUUUUUGAUUUUUGACAAAAGCUAACUGUUCAUUUUAAUGUUUCUCUAUGACAGCAGGUAAAUCUUAUUUAUUUCAUAGUGAAGGCAUAAUUUAAUGGCUAGAACUAAAGGAGGUAUGAUUUUGAAAAUUUUCUAUGAUUGCAUACUUUUUUUUUUAUGAUUUGACUGUUAUUGAAUAUCAAACUGCUAGUGAUUGUAUUUCUCAGCACAUUAUGUGUUAGUGAUUGUAUUUAUCAUAAAAAAUUUUGUUAUUGCAUACUUGUUUUUUAUGAUUGUAAGUUUCAGCACAUUAUGUGUUAAUCACUAUCUUCUGACUCAAAUUAAGUUAGUAAUUAUUUGUUUAUAUUUUAGUGAUUGUAAUGCUGAUUGUGAUAACAAAUUGAAUGUAUUAAGUUCUCCUAUUGAAACUCCAGUGAUUGUAGAGCUAUAUUAGUGAUUGAACAGCCCAAGCUAAUGACAUUUCAAUAAUUAAAUAACAUUGUUGUUAAUUGCUAGUAAAUUUGUAGCCAAAUGUAUACAUACAUUAAUGUCCCUUAAGACUGGAUAAUUGUAACUUUAAAAAAUCUAUAUCUACAUAUAUAAGAAACUACUAAGAGUCAUGUGAUUAAUUUAGUACCUUAGGCUUGUAUUAUAGUGACUGAUUAACUUAUAAUUGUCAUUGUAGUCAUUCUAGACUUGUUUUGUAGUGAUUGCACGCUCUUAUGAUAAAACACAGAGUAUACCUUCACCUUAGUGCUAGCAUAUAUAGUAUUAUCACCAUAUAUGUUGUUGAUAAUUUUGUUAGUGUCAAAAUAUUUGGUGCCAUUCACUAUGUUAUUAGAUUCAAAAUUGUUGUUAUGAACUUGAAAUUACUUUUUUAAUGUGAUAUAAUAUUAUAUCUGCAUAAACUUAAAUGGCAUACACUUGUGCAAUAUUAUGUUGAUUAGUGCAUAAACUACAAAAUUUUUAUGUCACUGAAUAUUUAUGACUUUUAGAGCGGGGGAUGAUUACUUUUAGAGGACGGGUGAUGACUUUUAGGAGGGAUGAUGAAUUUUACAGGGCGGGUGAUGAAUUCUGGGGGGGGAGGGAUGAUGAAUUUUAUAGGGCGGGUGAUGACUUCUGGGGGUGGGGGGUUUAACUAAUUUAGUUUUUAUUUUGUGGUUUUUGUUGGAGUUGUUUAUAGUGGUUUUUGCAAUACCAAUUUGUUUAAAAACAGCAUGAUAUUGUGGUCUGUCUGUUUUAGUUGAUUGUAGAGUUAUAUAUUUUAGUGAUUCUGAUAAGAGUCCUCUGAUUCUUUUUUUAAUUUAGGCAUGAAUAAUAGUGAUUGUAGGCUUAUUUUAUAGUGAUUGUUUACAUUACAUAGAGUACUGUUAAGAUACAAUGUUAAUGUUAAAUAUAGUGAUUAAUCCACUAAAUAAGCUGAAAAACUUAGUGAUUCUAGUCUUGUUUUUCAAUGAUUAUAGGCUUUAUUAUGGAAAGACCAUUAUUGUCAUAUAAACUACUAAAAUACAGAGUGAUUGUAGGCCUAUGAUGAAUUGAUUGUAGCCCCUAGGGGCAUCAUGACAUAUGGGGGGGGGGGGGGGGGGAGCUUCUGGAGUUCUACAUGUCAAAAAAUGGCAUGUAUGUUUAAUCCCUUUCCGAGAUUCAUGUUUGCAGGACAUAGACCACAGCUUAGAAGAAGCUCCAAAAUAAGACAACAAAGUUUCCCCAAAAGUACAAGCACGGAAGCAAUAUAUCUUGUACAAUCAAGCAGUGCUUCAGAGCCUGACGAUAAUAUGGACCGCCAAACAAAGAUAUAUCGUAAGUCGGGAAAUAAGGCUAAAGUCACAGCAGGAAGACCAGUUGAAGAUCCUCAUCACACCACUGUAUAUCUUUGUUAUUGUUCUCAUAUACUUAAUGUUAACAUUUUACAAAAUUGUAUACUACUAAAAUAUUUAUUCUGUAUCUAUUUACCAGGAAUCAAGCGGACGUAACUACACACUAGCAAAUUUGCAAAAAAACUCACCACCAGUACUCUUAAAGAAGCCGCCCACCACAACCAAUGAUUGUUUCAACAACUACUUUUGAUGAAAUCCAUGACGACAACUUGACAAACAAUGAUUGUUUAAGAACUAGUUAGCUUAUUUUUGUGAAUACUCGACAAGCAAUUAUUGUAUGGCAAAUUAUCUGUCGUAUUCUAUCUUAAUUAUUCACUUUUUCAUGAUGCUAUUGUACAAGAGAUUCUAAACUGUUCUACAAGUAUCAAUUUUACUUUUAACUUCUUCAGAGGUUGCAAAUUCAGUUCAGUAAUAUGAGUAAUUUAAUUUAUGCUAUUAACAUGUUCCAAAUUUGUAGUAUGUGCUUCAAAUUUUACUAUAAUAUGUACAAAUCUCAAUCCAUUGAACUGCAAAUACAAAAAUAACGACUAAAAAACAUAACUACUGUUUUUAAAAUACAGCUAAACUUCAGUGAUUGGAACUCACAUUCUAGUGAUUACAACAUCACAUUUUAGUAGUUGGACCAUAAAAAAUUAAUGAUUGGAAAAUAUAUUUACUAUAUAAUCCACAAUAUAUUCAUUCAAAUGAACAUAAACUGUCAAAAACUAAGUAAUAUCAAAUUCAUACUAACUACUGUACAUUUUAAACAAAAUAUGACCACUUUUACAACAACUUUUCUUCAAUCUACACUUUCUUCAAUCUGUGCUUUCUUCUUCUUCUUAUCACAUGUCCUGGAGUCAUGAGUAGUUGCACCACACUCUUUGCAUUUUCUUACUCUUUUUUUGGCUUUCUUCUGUUCCCUUACGAACAUCAAAACCUCCUAAAUGACCAUAAUUCUUGUAAAAUAAAAACGCUUUUUCCAAGCUGUCAUGAACUUGAUUAACAGCUGGCACACAACUAAGAUCAACAACAGAUGGUAAAUAAUAUUUCCGUCCACCAGGAGACAAAACAUAGCUUGAUACUGAACCAUCAUUUUCACUAGAAGAAGGAUCACAACUCGCAUUUGAACUACUAAUAUGAGAUAAGUCACCACAACUAGAACCUGCAUCCGCACAUGAAUAACAAUUAAAAGCAAAAACUACACACACUACUAAUCAACUGCAUAACAAUUAUAAACCUAUAUUAUAUUGUAGUGAUUUACAUCAUCAAACUAUAGUGAUUGUAGAUUUAUAUUAUAGUGAAUAUGGAGUUACAUUGAACAGAUAACUUUGAUACACUACAAUAAACCACAAAAUUAGAUUAAGUUCAGCCAUAACAAAACAACAAUAUCUCACUGAACAAAACAAAUUUAUAUGUGACCAAAACACAGAACAAGUUGAAUAAUAAACCAAAACAUAAACAUGAAAUUAUCACUGAAUACCUAUAUUACUAAUUAAACUCAUCUGAUUUACUAGUUAACAUCAUAUAUUAUUAAAAACUACUAGACAUUCAUACAUAUGCAAAUUGAAAACAAGAAACUACAACUUUCAAACAAAACAUCUAGUACAUCAUCAUCUCCAUAUCUCCAUAUAAUCAUUCACAAUGAGAAACUACAAAUGUAAUAAAAAAAACUGUUAAUCAGCAUCAUUUGGCAAAAGAAAAAACAGUACAAUCACUAAACAACAUAUACACUACCAUCAUAUCACAAACAUUACACACAAGAACAAAAAACUGAAUUUACGGGGAAAAUACAUACUUGACCUCAAAAAAACAAAAAACCACACAGGAUAAGCUAAUUUCAACAUCAAAACAACACAUUUUUUAACACUAAAAAUACUAAACCGAAUUGCAAUAACAACAUUAUUAAAAGCGACAAUUGCAAAUAGUAAAUUAAACACAAAUUUCAUAUAAUCGAGGACAUGAAAGCAAAAAAGUAACUCUUGCCUUGAUUAUCACUGAUUUUGAUAAGAUCUCUUGUAAUCAUCGUGUACAACUUCAAUCACCGACUCCGACAAAAGCUUCAACACGAUAAUGAACGCCUCCAGUACGAUACUACCUCAAUUGAGCAUAAGAGCAAGCAUACGAAAAUCUCUCCAGAAGCUCGAAGAGAACGAGAUGAAAAUCUGAAGACAACAGUAACGAUAAAACAUGAGAGAGAAAGAGAGAUAGUAGAGAGAGAAGCAGCAACGCGUUAAAUGACACGUAAUCCAUAUCUUUUGUUCUUAUUUUAAAGCAAAUAAACGGAUGGCUACGAUUAAAACUAGCUACACAUAUAUCAAGGGCCCAGAUUAGUUCCUAGUUUUUAUUAAAAAAUAGGUUUGUAUUUGAACAAAAGCCUAUAUAUAUAUAUAAUAAUUUUUACCUAAGAGCUCGGUAGGAAGAAAAUUGAAACCCUCUGGUAUGUCACAGACAAAGUCCCCUGCAUCGUCAAUUUAUCAUAGUAACUUCCCCUCGUGUGCCGUAAAAUUCAAAUUUCCAUAACUAUUCGUAAAAAAAACAAGAGGAUAUUUGUGUAAAUAGAGGACAUCCACGUAUACAAACUGAAUGACACAUCACUUUUUUAUAUUACCUGAUCCCAUGUGAGCAUUUCUUGGACAACGUGACAUCUUUAGUCUCAACAUUAAUUUAGACAAGGAUAUGUUAUGCCCACCCUUUUUCCCACUCUUUACUUACCCCCUCCAGCUGUGAUUUUAUUAUUAUUUUUUUCUGCCCAAGUUUUUAGAGUUUUGAGAUUAAAAACUAUUAUUAAACUCAUGGUUAGCACAAAGUCAUAUUCCAUUUGUUGUUCAUUUUUCUGUUUAGUAAUCAUGUGAUUAUCCCCAUUUUAUAGAUUGUCUUUUUUGGUUUUAAUAAAGUUGCAAAGAUAGAGAGAUAAGUUUUUUGUAAUCAUACUUCAUGAUUCAAUAAUGUGAUUUUGUGUAAAAAGGGUCUUUGGUCAAAAGUGUUAUUCACUCUUGGAUUCUUGUUUUUGUGUUGUGUCUUGGUGAAAUGAGACUACUCAUUUAUAGUACCUAAAAAGACUUCAACUCUCUUUCUUGUGUUUUUUUUUGUACUAGUUUUGUGGUGUAAACAAUCUGCUUGCAGUUGAGGAAUCAGGAUUUUGGAUUAGUGGGAGCUGAAGUAGACUAGAUUGAGAUCAGAUGCAAAGAUGAAAUCUUUAAAUACAGUAGGGCUAGCUCUGAGUGUUGUGUUUGGGUGUCUUUUGCUAGCUCUUGUUGCUGAAAUUUACUACUUGUUAUGGUGGAAGAGAAGGUUUAGAAGUAGAGAUUUAGAAGAUGGUUAUAACAGCAGCCCAGCUACAAGAGAGUUCUUUUACAUGUUUUGUUGGAAAAAGCCAUCAUCUUUGAGCUCAACAGCUUUAAAUCCAGGGGAACUCACAGAAACUAGCAGCACCCAUGUUCAAGAAUCACUGUCAAAUGGUCAAUCUAGCAAGGACUUUUGGUUCAGACCAUUUGGUGAAGAUAGUGUAGAAGCUGAGCUCUUGGGCCUGCAGAAUCUCUCUGGCCCACCAAGAUUUCUGUUCACUAUCAAGGAGGAAACUAAAGAGGAUUUGGAAUCUGAAGAAGGUGGUGGCAAGUCAAGAAAGAGCUCAAGAACCAGGAGUUUGAGUGAUUUGGUUCUUAAUCCAGAGACUCCAUUUUUGACACCUCUUACUUCACCAUCUUAUUUUACACCUCCUAGAACACCUAUGGAUACUUUGUACAAUCACAAUGGAUUCAACCCUCUCUAUGAAUCAACAAGUGAUGCUGAGUUCAAUAAGAUAAAGUCAUCCCCACCUCCAACUUUUAAGUUCUUGAGAGAUGCAGAAGAUAAAUUGCAGAAGAAAAAGUUACUUGAAGAAGCUGAGAAUUGCUCUCAUAAGAAAGAAAGAUUUGUGACAGAAGAUGAAGAUUCUUCUUUUAUCACACUCAUUGUGCCUAGACAAAACAAAGAAAGAGACACAUUUUACUCUUCUAGCUCCUCACAGGUUCUUCCUCUGUCUGCUUCACCUCCCUCCUACAAACACUCAUCUAACAAGAAACCAUCUUUACAUUAUAAUUAGAGACAUUUUUGUUGUAUUUGUAAGAUUUCUCAUCUUAUUUUGUAUGAAUCUUUAAUUUUUCAGUAAAAAAAGUGGUAUUUAUUCUAGAUAAGUUUAAGAAUGAGCGAGAAUCGAACUCAGAACCGCAAUCAGAUAAACCAUGGCAACUUGGCUAUGCCAUUCUUUAGUUUUUAGAAAUCCUUACUGCUAGACUUUUUUAGUUAGUUUGUUUUUUGUUACAUGAGUGAUGAAGUUGAUGAUGCAAAUGCCUAGUGCUAGAGAAUUGCAUCCUGAAUUUUCAGAAGGAGACAGCAUUUCCUUAGAGACUUUAACUGAUUGUAAGUUUGGUGAAAUGAUGCCAUUGGAGGGGCUAGUGAGAAUGAUUUGUUUUUAUUCAAUCUAUGUGUCCCUUCAGCUGUGUAAUGAUUCAACACAUGUUAUCAUUCUUGUGGAUGAUGAUGCUAGUUUAGAACUCAUUGUAUGAUAUUGUCAAAAAGGUCAUUGUAUAUUCUUAUCAAAAUUUAAUGUAAAAUCAACUUUUUGUUGUCCAAUAAAUCUCUGUAAGCUGGGACUUAUCUAUUGUGACCAACUCAUUCAUCCAUAUCGUAAGUUUCAUUGGAGGCACUUGCUCCAUUUCCCGGAUGCUAGUGGUCCUGUCUCAGUUCUCAACCAGAAACUGCCUUAUAAUGUUAAUCGAUCAUCAGAACUAACCGAUUGACCUUUUAUCAGAAAUUUAUCAUCAAUUUUUUCGAUAAAUCAGAGAUUUUAGUCUGAUCGAAGUAUGAUCAGUAAAUCGGUAAAAUAUUUUUUAAUGAUCAAUCAGAUAUUAAUCGAGAAUCUUCAAAAUAUUCCUAAAACUUACGGAUAACUUUUACAACCGACAUGAGAUAACCCGUAAAUUUCGACGAAAUUUCUAACUUAUAAUGUUAACCAAUUUAUAUUCGAACAAAGUCCUUUCUUCAAAAUUUAAGAUUCUGCACCUUGCACUGAAGCUGAAGCAUGAGUGGUCUGCGAGCACUGGGGAUAAGGAAACCUCAUAGAAAAAGUGCAUGAGUUUGAUUGUUUGCAUAAAUUAUUAAUAUUCUAUAUUCUCUCGUUCUAAUAAAGUAUUGAAUCUUAUAGCACUAUAUUGUAGAAAAAUGUGAUAGUUUUGGUCAUUUACCUAAACAACAAGGAACGAGAAGCAAGCGUUCGUGACAAUAUCUGGUUUGGUAAGGCCGAAAGGCAAUGCACACACUGAAGAAUCAUUACAGAGUUUACUUUGACAGAGCACUUGUAUAUAAAUAUAUGUUGUUGAAUUUUGUGGGUGAAAUUUACAGGCUUUAGAAUAGGCGCCAAUCAUACACAUGGGUCUGUCUAAUGUAAAAUUAUUACAUACGAGACCGUAAGAUUAAAAAUAAAAGUUAAUUUGUCCAGUUUCUCAUGUCACGUUGCAGGAUUUUUCCAACUGUUAAAACCUGAUUUGUGAGGUUAAAAAAUGCAAGGUACAGAGUUACAGGUGAACUUUUUUUUCAUGAAGGUAAAUAUAAAAAGUAAGAGCCUGUUUGUCCCGACUUAAAGCCGGGAUUUAAAGUUUAUCCAAAUUUAAACUGAAAAAUGUCAGUUUGUGUAAUAAAUUAGAAGUCAGUUUAAAGUCAAAAAUAAGUCAGGAAGUUGACUUAAAGUGAGAAGUCAGUUUGAGGUAUUUUUUUUCAGGGACUUAAUUUUUUUGAACUUUUUUUUGAUAAAAUUUACCCCUAAGUCAUAAGCUACCAAUAAAUCAAUUUUAUUUUUAUUUUUAUAUUUUUAAUAACUUUUAAGUCAUUAGUAAGUCAAAAUUACCCAAACAUACAUUUAAAACUUUUAGUUUAUCACAUAAAUUUCGUUAAGUCAUAAGUCAUAAUUCCAGUCGAACGGGCUCUAAACCUAAAAGGCUUUUAAAGUUAUGUAUUACUCCCUCCGUUUCAAUUUACAUGUCCACUUUUAAGAAAAAUUUUUGUUUCAAAUUACUUGUCCACAUCAACUUUCAAUGCAAAUGUAUAUUUCCAAAGUCAAUUCUACUCCACAUAUCUUUUAUUUAUAUUUCCUAGAUCAAUCUCACUCCACAUAUUUUGAUCAUUUAAUGCAAUUAAUUUGUGAAUAUUCACUUUUCUUAAAUUGUGUGAUUUUUUAAAGUGGACAUCUAAUUUGAAACAGAGGGAAUAUCUAAUAUAUACACCGUCAUAUGAAUAAACAUGAUUAUAAAUUGUUUAUUUGUAAAGGAGGAAGAACAGAUAAAAGUCGCAAGGGACAUGAAAGAACACAUGUGGCCUGUUUGAUUUCUAAUUUAGUAUUUUAUGUACUCAUAUUAUAAUAUUUACUAACAUGCAAGUUCUACUGGGGGAGUGGACUGGUGAAAUAUACACGAUCACUUGAUUUUGGUUUGUGGACGGUUCAUUGAGAUUUGUUAAUUUAUAGAUUGGAAUUUCCCGACUUUAACUCUUUUAAAAGCUUUGAGAUUUAAGAAAAUUUUGAAUCUGAAGCUUUGAUUUUGGUAUGUAUUAUUUGUAUAUAUAAUUUGCAUGUAAUUAUUGGCCAACAUGUUUUCCGAGUAAUAUCAUUGAAAAAAAUUUAUGAACAUUUUGUUGGAUCAGACUUUUAUGCUUUUCAAUAUUUUUCAACAUAUCUGGCUGUGAUAAUGAAUUAUGAACCAAACCAACAUAUUCGUUAUAUCCCGUUUUAAAUCGGGCCUGAAGUGGGUAAAAUAUACCUCCUACCCUUUAACUUAACUAGAGAGGUGCUUUCUUUUAUCUCUCGUUUUGAGAGUCGACUCCCGUAUUAGGGUUUCAGCCGUCACUUCUCCGUCUUCCAGAUUUUCAUCUUCACACCAAUUAACCAAUUCGCUCUCUCAUCCCUUUUAUUAUUUUACUAGUUUUUUAAUAAAAACAAGAUCUAAUCUUGUUUGAGUACCUUGUUAUCAAGGUUGUGUGCCCAUCUUUUUGGGAUGUCAGUGUUAUGUUUUCGUAUUUUUAUGUGUCUUGAUGUGUCGUUCGAUUAUCAAUCUGAAAAGGAUUUAUACGGUAUUUUGGGAGAUCGGUAAGACUCGCAUCGAUUUCGGAACGAUGGUGGAUAUCGCAAGAGCUCACCUUUCACAACAAAUAAUUGUUCAUGUUUUGGAGACGUUUGGUGCUCCAAGAUCAGUUGAUUUGACUGAUAGUUCUGAACAUUGGGCUACAGGUGAUGCUUAUGUGAAGGUCAAUUGCGAUACUACUAGUUUCAUAACUGAUGUAGGUUGGAUUGCUCGAGAUAUCAUUAUAAUACUUUUUAGAUCAAAGAAUAUGAAUAUUCUAUUUGUUAAGCGAUCUGAAAACAAAACGACUAUUUGUUUAGUUCGUUCUUUGUUUCACAAUCAGAUUGUAAUUGACAGUUCGGGGGUUUGUCCUGGCUGGUUUUAUGCUUCGUAUUAAAAAAUCCUUUGUUUGUCAAAAAAAAACUAGAGAGGUGCUUUCCGUGAAAACUCCGACUUAGUGCAUAAUAAAUAAAACAGUGUGAUAUAAUAUUAAUAUAAUACAUUGACACAUGACCUUUUUCACAUGGGACUUACUUAAAUAGUUUCGAUUGUCGAUGAUGGGCGACAAUGAUUUGGAACCAAGAUAUCAGAACUGUCAUUGCACACUUUCUUAAAUUAACUUGAUUCCUUUUUGUGUAAUUCAUUAUUCUCCAUUAUCUACGUUGCUAAAGCAACAACCGCCAAUACACUAACUGCCAUCAUUCCAACGGAGCCUAUUUCUUUCAUGCCCUCACUCCCAUUCCCAUGUAAUACUAUUGUAGAUGCCGACACGAAUUCUGACGCUUCCACCACAAAAAUACGGUUGUCAAAUUUAGAAACAGCGUGAAACCUUGCCAAAUCCUUCAACAAACCAACAUCAGUAAUGAUUCAUUGGUAUGCGCGGGUUAAUAUAAAUGAUUCUAAACUAUGAACGUUGAUCCUAUUUUGAUAUAUAUAAAUCUAUGUAAAUGAAGAAAUUAUAAUAGUAUAUUGAUUUUUUUUCCUUUAAGGAAUGAUGAAAUCAAGUUGCAACCAUAAUUUCUUGAAACAAAGAAGAUAAUUGGUAUCAUAUAAAAUUUACUACCUCUUUCAUAAAAAUUCUUAAUAUUUAUCACUCAUUUUAAUAUAUGUAAAAGAGAUCUAUAUAUACUAUUUAAUAUGUAUUGUAAUUUUAUCAAAUAUAAAAUUUAUAUAGUCUUAAAAUAUUGUUUCUCGUAUCGUAUAUAUUCUAAUAUGUUAAACCUGUAAAUAAAUAGGUCGUAUAUAUUUUUUUGAUAAAUAUUUAAAUAUAUAUAAUUAGAGUUAAGUUCUAUGGAGUACACAAAAACAUUGGAGUAUUCGAGUACAAGUCUUAAUUUUUUAGUUUAAUCAUAAAUAAUAUAUUUGAUUAUACAAAUUUAUAUACAAUCUAUCAUUCAUAAGUUGUCUUGCACAUAAUUGUCUAUCAAUCUUUAAUAUCUUUCAACUUUAACAAGUAUUAACAUUAUUGUUCUGCUUAUUAGUUAUAUUGCAGAACAUAGAGUCCUGUAAUUUAUAAAAGUCAUUAUUCUACCUUUUGUUUACAAUGUUUAUGUUGUGUAGAACAUAAUGUGCAGGUUAUUAAAUGUUUACGAAUAUUAUUGAACAAAAAAAUUGAAAUUUAGAUGAAUAGAUUAUAUUUUAUCCAACUUUGUACUCCAAUACUCCAAUAUAUUGUGUACUCCAUUGAACUUUACCAUAUAAUUAUAAUAAAAAGUAUAUAUAUAUGUGUCAAAAUAAUGAAGAAAUCUAUAAAUGGACAUAUAUCGAUCAAAAUAGUUAUUAAUGCAAUAAUAUAAUUCAGUAUAAAUUAGUUACUCCCUCCGUGCCUCUCAUUUCUUUACACUUUUUUUUGCAUUGUUCGAUGAGCAUUUUAAGAUAGAAUAUAAUUUUAUAACCUUUUUCUGAAAAUUUUCUUUUCUUAUAAAAAUUUAGAUAAUAACUAUUUAUUCUGAAAAAAAAUUGAAAUAUAUUUUCAAACUAUAUUUUUCCCUUCCCCCGACGUAAACGGAGGGACGGAGGAAGCAGCUGAUUUGAGGUCGUUUACGUGAGCUCUCAGGCCCAUGUUACGGCAUGCUCUUUCUGAUCCGUCCAUGGAUUUCCAACUUUGGGUUAUCUACACGGGCCUGUUCAGCGAGUUUACUAUUCGAGAGUCAGAUAUGCCCACAUAUCGUAGUCAUAGUACCACUGUACUAGUAUGCAAGGUCGGAGCCCAUUCCAUAAUAUUUAAACUUCUGAGCUUCAUAUAUAAUGCCAAUGUCUAUACCAUUACUAGCCUCAAAUUAUAUUUUAAUAUUAUUUAAUAUAAAAUGUUCAAUUAUGUUGUGAAUUAUCAUAAUUACUUUGUUUAGUAUGGAAAGUGAAAACCAUCGUAAUUAUUUAGCCAAACACAAUAUAUUUCAAUUUUCCUAAACUUGUAAGAAACAGUACAUAGCAGUAUUCUUUGCGGAAGACUUGGUAAACCUUUGCUUGAUAAAAUGAAAAAAAAGUAAUUUUUCUAAAGUUUCCGCAUGUUUUUUAAAAUAUUACUUUAAAAUUUAUGAGAAGCAAAUCUCUAUAUAAAAUCUUAUAAAAGUUAAUUAACUUCGUGCAUUCUGCUUGCACGGUUUCAAAACUUUUAUCACAUUGUUGUUAGAUUUCUACAGCAACCGAACUUUUUCGCUAGCACUGUUUUGAGGGACACACCUUUUGAACAGGAUUCUAAAAUCAUUACUUACUCCGUCUCAUUUUACCAAUUUCAUGUAUUUUAAGUUGUUAAAAAAUUCACAUCUAAAUAUAAUUUUUAAAAAAAAAAUUAUAAAAAUCUAAAAUUAAAUUUAUAUAAGAAUUGAUUUUUUUUAUUGUGUGUAGAUAUUUUUUUUUACACCUCAAUGUAUUCAAUAUAGGUGUGAAACAGUCAUGGGAAUAACAAAUAUUUGAAACUUUAGUGAUAAUAUAUAAAAUAUUACAUAUUCCCUCAAUUAUGGCGGUAUCGUACACAAACCCUGUUGAGUAAACUGUAAACCAUCAAGACCCCCGCUAUCAUAAGUCAUAACAGCACUUUUAAGCUCUCUGAGCUAAUUUCACAAACACCUGGUGUGCGUUUUGCUGAUCAUCCAUGAAAGGAAGCAAAACAGCUGUAUCUGUCGUUGAAAAAUGCAAGGUAGCAUCCCUUUAUCCCCCUCUAAUAUCUACUUGCGCAUAUAUGUGUGUAUAUAUUUUUGAUAAUUUAAUUUUUAUUUGCUUAUAAUGUAUUAUGUUCAUUUUGUAGACUAUAUUGACAUCAAAUUGGCAAGGGAAUCUCAAUACCAUCAUGGCUGACGCUCAAGGAAGGUAUUCACUGUGCCCCCAUCACGCUGAAAAUAAAUUAUUUUGAAUGUUUGAUCAGUUACAUUUCUAAUGCAGCAAAGGGGAGAUUUAUACGUCGAAAGUUAAUUACUUCAUUAAGAAAGGGAAGCCGUACUUAUGGGUACCCGAAGAGGACUUGCACAAUGUGGUAUGCAACUUGUUUUUGAUUGGUUUAUUUUUGUGGAUUAUAUUAUGUGAAAUUUUUGCAAGCAUGUGUGUUGCUUGUGUUUAUUCGUAAUUAUAUUGGUGUGUUUUGUUAAGCUCCUGAGAAGUGAAGCAGUUCAUUGAAGUGUUUUUGUAGAUCGUUGUUUCUGUUAUAUUGUAUCAUAAACAUGAUAAUUUUAACUAUGUUGUUAUUACUGUAACUGUUAUUUUUGUUGUUAUCGGUGCUGCUUUUGAAUUUGGUUUGGGGGUACUAUAGCCUUGAAUCUCUAGUGCAUUUUGGCUUGCACGGAGAGAGAAAGUUUCGAAACAAUUUUUUCUGGCAGUGUAAGUGUGUAACCAAAAAGACGUGCCAGAUAACGGAAAACCGGUGAGUGGUGGCUAUCGAGAAGUAUGUGUAACAACCAAAAUAACUUAAACCCAAUUGUUUGAUUAAUGUAGAGUAAACCUCAGAGUUGUGGCCAAAGUUUACAUCGAUUUUCAAAACGUUGGCUAUAGUUCCAAAUUCUCAAAAAGAUGGCCAAACUUUGGCUUCGCUUUUUAAAAGUGUGGCUCUCGUUAAAUGUCACUAACGGGAGCCCAACGGGAGCUCAUUUUUAUCCUUUUGUUUAUUCCAAAUUCUCAGAAAAGUGGCCAAAUUUUGGUCCGCUUUUCAAAAAUGUGGCUCCCGUUAAUACAUUUAACGGGAGCCACACUUUUAAAAAUCGGAGCCAAAGUUUGGCCAUCUUUUUGAGAGUUUGAAACUCUGGCCAACUUUUUGAAAAUCGGUGUAAACUUUGGCCACAAUUUUGAAGUUUACUCUUAUAGUUGUGUGUAAGAAGGUGAGACAGGGUGAGACAUAACUUGGAAUUUGAGAUGAAUGUAUGUCUUUAAAUGGCAAGACUGAGUGUAAGAUAUCAUUAAUUGAAUGACUGAAGUACUGCAUGGGCAACUGUUUUCAUUUCUUGUUGUGUUGAAUAUUUAAAAAGUUAUUGAUGUCAAGUAAUUUGGCUUUUCAACCAAUUUUAGUGGAUUAGAGAGAAUCACUAAAUGAGUGAUCACAGUUCUCCAAUAACACAAUGAAAUAACUUUGCAUUUCAUCUAUAAAUAGCUAGAUUAGUCUAGUUUUAGGAUAUUUUACUACCAUUAGCAGUAGUGCUCUUCACUCCUGCUAGCACUGGAAUGCAAAUGUGCACAUUACUUAGCUGUACGACAUUUUUGAUACUAAUCGGAACCAAUUCCUGGUAAUGGCGUGUUAGUAUAGUAACUAACUCCAAGAAUCUUCUGACUAGUCAUCAAUCCAGACGGUGAAUGUAUCUGCAUAUCUUUCUCAAAAGAAAUUAAUAUUUGUGACUCCCGCCAGAUCAUCACCAGCCGCGAACCUAAACUUGGAUAAUAAUUUCAGAAGUAUGAAAUGUCGUUGUGCUUGAGCUUCGUCCAAAAGUAAUUGUUCUUGUGCAUCGAAAGUGAUUUUUAUAAGUUCUGUUUUUUUAAUUUUUUUGUUACAUAUAUAGUACUUGUGAUAUAAUUGACAGUGAAAUCAAAUCAAAUUUGUAAUUUUUGCAACAUGAAUACUGGUUAUUAUUUUUUCUUGUACACCUUAGUUGUUACCGAUCUUCUAUUUAAGCUUCUCCUUGACGAAUUUACAAACAUGUUAUUGGUUUGCUGCAUGGUUCAAAGUCGUGGACAAAAUUAACUGCUCAAUUUGACUUCUCUUACUUUUCUAGUAACAGUGUGUAGCUAAGUAAUUGAACUCGUCUUUGUGUCUUUUUAUUAUGUAGAAUACUAUCAUCGACGAACGCGGAUCAUUUGCUGUGGCCACACCUUUUCCAGGCCCGCUUUUAAACAUACUCCGGUCAAUGAAAAAGGUUUCUUGUAUAUAAUUCUAUUUCAUUCCAUUUCUUCAAUUGAAAUUAUCUCUUUUUUAUUGCAUAUAUAUAUACAGUAGCUGGCCAAUCAUAUAUGAACUUUGUAAAAUAGGAUCUUGGAUUCUUCAGACAAGUGACUUAAGACACAAUGACACUUUUAAUAUAACAUAUUAGAUGGUCUGUUAAAAAUAUUCUUGGUUAAUAUAUAAACUGGAAUUAGAGAAAAAUAUGACUUUUGGAAAAUAAUUUCCUAAAUAGCAUACAUGUGCAUCAGACAUGUAUCACUUAUCUAUAUUAUCAUUUUUUUAUUUUAUUGAUCACUCACUCAAACAAAUUUCUAAUUGUAAACACGGGCUCUGCAAUAGCACAUUUAUUAUAAUUUCAUGUAAUAUUGUGCAGUUACCACCUCGAGUUGCUCUAAUGGGAGACAUUGUUCCUCUUAAAGAUGAAAAGGUAUGAUAUCUAUUAAAUCCAUCAGAUUCAUAUAUAAAACUUCUUUCGAAUGACUUCGAAAAUUUUCUUAACUGUUUCCCUAGAACUGUUUUCUUUUGAGGUGAUAGGUCUGUACUCUGUAGCAUGACAUAGGAUUUGUCACAUUAACUGUUCUGAUAUUCUUCCAAGUUGGUGAUUCUUAUUCCUUUGGGGUUUUCGUCAUCUUAGAGUUUCUUGCUGUUUCAAGUGUUGGUUUUGUGGCUGCAGUGAAAUUUUAAUGGGAAAUUGCUUAAAUAAUUAUUCAGGGUACUUGUGUCGCACAACCUACAGUUACGCCCCAUUAAGUUCGAAGGAAAGAUCAGGGGGACAAUGGAAUGAAAUAUUUACUAUUCAUCAUAAGUUUAUUCCUUUCCUCAUUUUGCUCGAGCAAAUUUUGCAAAUCACACUAUAGCUCAAUUCUGCCAAUCAAGGGACCGAUGCUUGUUCCCAUGUUCCUACCUCCUGCUUACAUCCUUUACAACCCUUAUUUGUAGAUUAUUGGUGCCUGUUCUUGUUCACUUAUUUCUACUGUAACCUUUUAAUCCAAUCUUGAUUUCCUUGCAAUUUCUAAUUCCAUUCCUCCUAGCCGAAUGAAACAUAAGCAUUUAACAUGGUUGCUUGUACACAAGGGAUAACUGACGGGGACCUAAUUCUUUGGGAAUUUUUGUAUUGAGUUUAUUGCAAGUAGUUAUAGACUUUCUGAUGUAUUAUGCAACUUCUAAUUAUCGCAGGUAAAACUUGUAUUUUCAUGAAAUAUAAUUUAAUUUGUUGGAUUUGAAACUCCACCAUUUGAUUAGUCGCUACUCUGUGAAGCACCCCUAUACAUGUGAUGUAGGUUUAGCUUUUUAGGUUAACUGCUAGUAUUAACUCCGUAAUUUCUAUUUUCUUUCCGUCAUGUCGCAGGUUCAGUUAGCUACAGAAUGCCUUAGAGAAACCAUAACUUCUGAACAGAAAGCAUUUAAGGAAUCUAGCUAUUCAGUUUCUGGUGUAUUAAGCACUGCCAAUCUGGAGUCCACUUCAAGAAGCCAAAAUCUUCAGGAUCUCCUUGAUAGCAAUAAAAGCUACACAGUAUAUAAGUUGGAUUUAAGGUAGCAAAUUUUAUUAUUAUAUCGUUUACUUUAUACAAUAUUUCAUCAAAAUGUUGUUUUGUAUGGAACAUAGAAAGUUAGAGAAAAGUACUUGAAGUAUAAGACAAACACACAUCGAAGAGGAUAAACUAUUAAGCAAAGCAAAUUUAUCUGUUAUAUUUCGCUCGUAGAGCAUGAGUCUGGAGUGUAAGAUGUUUGCAGACCCUACCUUGACUAGUUGACUCAUGAAAGGAUAGGCUGUUUAUGCAAAGACCCUCAUCCCUAAGCCUUGACAACGCAAUUACAAUAAUAAAACACAUACAUAAAAGCAGUAUAGACACGAACACAAUACAGUAGGAGCCCUCUAAGUUAAUACGUUCUAAACCUAUAACUCUCUAAAUUGAUAAGAGGUCCCUGUCCCAAGUUGGGACCAAUAUUAAAAUUUAAUAACCCUUCUGUUGUGAUAACUAAUAUAUUUUAAGAUAAUCCCAGUGUUAAAUAUCGGUCCCAACUUUUGCAUAAAGUGAUGUUCUCGACUAUAUACAAUUUUGUAUACACUUUGUGAUCGUGAUUUUUUUUUUUUUUAAAUAUUUAUCGGUGCAAUUUUUUCUUGUUAAACAUCCACACCAUGUAUUAUUAUCUAAAUUACUUUUAAUUCAUCUUUAUGAUAUCUUUUAUGUCAUAUUGAUGAUUUUUUUUUCAAUUUAGGGAAUGUUAUUUAAAUUUAUAUGUGUUAUUUUGACCCCGGAAGCAUGGUUGUCAUGUCGGUCGACUAGUCGCGACUAGUCGGCGACUAGUCGAUUAAGCGAUGAAGGGAUGUCGACUCAACAUUUCGACUAGCUGAAUGUCGAUAUUUCGGUCGCCUGGUCGACUAGUCAGUCGACUAGUCGACUAAGCGGUCGACUAGUCGACUAUUUCAGCUACAGAUUGAGCAUUUUGACUUUUUUUAUUGCCGACUUCUUAUUGUUUCCACUUUCCAGCAGAAUGUGUUUACUGAUAUGUUAAUGGUUUCUGGUUAUGUGUUUCUUGCAUUCUGUAUUUCUAAUUUCUGCACUCCGCAGUUUGAUUUCUGUUACUGUUUGUUCUGCACUUAUGCAGAUUUCUGCUCUUUAUUCUACAGAUUAUUGCUUUUGCUCUGUUUAUUUGUAAUCUGCAUUGUGCAUAAAUAAUUCUGUACAUAUUAUUUCUGUAUAAUUUUGUUGUGCACUGCACUACCAGUACCAUACUUAAUUACAAAUUACAACACAUCACAGUAUCACACAAUUGUUAAUUUGUUAAUUGUUACAUAUUUUACAUGAUCAGAAGUACUUUGCUUUGUUGUUAUUUGUUAACUCUUUCCACUUUUCCGUCAUUCUCUUCACGUGUUCGAUCUUUAAUUCCUUAGAUUCUGGAAUAUAAUAUUGUGAAGGUGUCAGAACUUGGGAAACCUGAAUUACAUAAUGUAUAUAUAUUAUAUUCAAUAUAUAAUAAUAUAUUAUUUUUUGCCGACUAGUCUGCGACUAGUCUACGACUAAUCGACUAGUCAACUAGCCGAAGGUCCAUCGACUCGCUUCGACUUACCGACGUGACAACCAUGCCCGGAAGUGUUAAUGCAUAUAAAUAUAAGUAAAUCACUUGAAAAUAAUGGAUAUGAUAUGUAUUAGUAGGUAGAAUAUUUAUUAUAAUUAUUUUUAUCAAAAAAUAGAAACCUCUCUUAUAUGAUAAGUUGAUAACCUCUCUUAAGUGAUAAACUUCUCUAGUCCCAAAAAUAUAACUUUACAGGAUUUCUACUUAUAGAACUCUAUAAAGUGAAUACCAAGAGGUAAAAUGUCAAGCACUAAAUGGACGGAGAACAAACGGGAAGCAUAUUACACCAAAAGAAAUUAACCAUUAAGCACUCCCGUCCGCACACCCACCCACACUCCUAUACUACAUUACUACCAUCCCCUUUACCCCCAAUUACAGGAACUUUCAACCCUUUAGGAAUGUCAGCUGUUAUGUCCUCAAAUAAGGUUCAACUUUAGAUGUUGAUGUAAUGAAUUUUAGUAUUAACUGCUCCAUUCACCACGAUGAACUAUGUUAACCUUAACAAAUCUGCUUUUUUGUAAUUCUGAAAAUUCGAAUACCACAAAAUACAAUUAGUGUUGAAAUAUAAUGUAGUAAAUGGUUAAUUUUGCCAUUUGUUUUGUCUUUGCUUUUCUGUCUUUCGUGUUCCAAUUCUUACCACCUUAUUCUGAGUUCUUAUAUACAGUAUAUCUUAUUGCUUGUUUCACCCAUGUACUGUUUAUUGCUUGGCUGAGACUAGGGGUGAAUAAUCAUCUUAUCUUCUUAGUAUUUGUUGUCUGUUUUGAAAUUACAAAUUGAUUACCAGUACUGAAAGCUACUUUUUCACCUCCCUUUACUUUACAUGGUAAAUUAUUUAUCUAUGGUCAAAAUGGUAUCACCCUUUUAUUUCUUAAGUAUCUUUUUGCACAUUAAAGAUAUAUUAAUAAAAAGUUUGAGUUUCAGUUGAAACUCUGAUUGGAGUAAUCUAUGUGGGUGAGGUAACAAGGCAGAUAAUAGUUGUAAAGUGUUAAACACACUGUUCACAAAGUUUAAAACUUUCAUAGCAUGAAGCUUAAAGCUAAUCACCGUUGCUAUCCGAGGUACAAUUUUAGAGAUUUGAGACAAUGUAGGCCUGUAGGGCUCAAUUUUAUAUCUACCACUUAAUUUACUAUAAUUAAAGUAUGUACUAGCCAUGUGAUUAGCUAUUACUUAUCUACCAACUUUUAACAUUUUAAAGUCCUGGUUAUCUUCUUAGUCCUGGUUUGUCCGAUUUUUGGCCCUGGUUUGGUGUUUAUCAAGGCAAAGCCUUGAAUUUGAUAAUACUAGUACCUUGUUUGGGAUACAAGAUUCUGAUUAACAAAAAACAUAUAAUUGCUAUAUUUACAGUAUCAUAUGUAUGUACCUGAAACUCUCACAGUUAACCCAAGGGUCAUGUGUUCAUAUCUGAAAUUCCUCUACCGCUGUUGCGAUUCCGAUGAUGAUUCCAAAAUAAUCCCUACCCUAACUGCUUCCCCAACAUCACAGUUUUCAGUUACUGUCCAUUCAACUCGUGUCACCAAUUUUCAUCCCAAUAUUAACAUUUUUAUACUCUGGAACUCACUGCAAAGGAUUGAAGCAGUGGAGUUCCUAAAUAACAUUAGAUCUGUAGCAGUUCCUCAGACAUAUGUCAUUUCUAAAAAGCGAUAUGUUGUAAUAUUGUGAAACCUGAUUAUUUGUAAACCAUAUACUCGAAAGACAAUGUAAUGGGACUCAAACAGAUUGGUAAGUUUUGAGAUUUAUUCUUUCGGUAUAUAAAAUUAAUAUCAACAUUGAAGGAAAAUUUAUUCAUGAAGUCACAAGGUAAAAUACGUUCAAGCUGGAAAAAACAAUCAUGCGUCUGGCGUAAAAAUGAAAUCAGACCAAUUUUCCAAUGGAUUCUUACUUGGGAUACUAGGAUGACAUUGUUCAGUAUGCUUACUCCUGGUAGCGAAAUUAAGACUUUCAUGCAAAAGAGUUUUAUUCAUCCCGUAUUGACAUUACAAAAGGACCCUUGUAGAGAUGGCAGAAAAAACCGAUCCGAAUGGAUACUCGACCGUUUCGACCCGAAUGGAUAUUACCGAACCCGAUAUUUUGGAUUUGGAUUUGGAUACUAGGUUUUCCUUAUCGAAACCCGACCCGAAAUCCAAACCCGAUCCAAACCCGAAGCCCCAAAAAAAAUCAAAUAUAUAUAUAUAUAUAUAUAUAUAUAUAUGUGUGUGUAUGUAUACUAAUAUACUUUUUUUCAAUUUUAAAUCUACUAAAUUUUGUUUAUAUAUAUAUAGGUAGAGUGUGAAUGUGUAUAUUCUUGGGUUAUAGUGACUUUUUUUGUUUAACUAAUGAGUUACUUUAAAAUUUCAUACUCCAUAUAGCGAAGAUUUGUGUUUAGAAAUUAUUAAAUACUGUUCAAGAUUUUAUUAAUGUGUAAUAAUUUAUUAUUAAAGUAGUUUAGUUUUAAAUAUAAUGAAAUUUAAGGGCGAAAAAUCAAAAAUAAUAUUUUUACAAUAUUAUAUAAAUUUCGGGAUUCAGGUUUUGGAUAAACCCGAACAAACCCGAACCCAAUCCGAAACCAAUCCGACCCGUUGCCAUCUCUAGACCCUUAGUAUGUAAAUAAAUAGAUUUUAGUCGAAUCAGUAAAGGUUAAGUUAUUGAUACCACUUUCUUGAUCUGAAAACUUUUCUGCUAUGUGUAUCUCUCCGCAGCUCAUGUACUUACAUAGACAGCAACGGAAGUACCCAUGAAGUAGAUUUGGAGACAAUUAGAAAAACUAAAGCAGACGCUCUAUGUAAGUUCAUAAAAUUCUUGUCUUCCCUCCCCCCAUCUAAGCGAGUCACUCAUGAGCAGUAAUACCGUGUGUGUGUGUGUGUGUGUGUGUAAUAGUUGCUGGUAACUAUAAUAUUUUAGUUUAAUCCUUCUUAGUCCUUACGCUACGAAAUUGUCUUCUGUAGCACCUUUCUCUAUGAGUUUAAUCGAUGGAAUUAAUCAAAGUGAAGCAAGGAGGAGAGCACUGAUCUUUUUCUGCAUCACAUAUUUAAAUAAGAAUGUCAAGGUAAGUCAUUAAUCAUCAAAUUUCUGUGAACACCAAGGAACCAUGUAUAGUAUGCAGUGAGAUAUAGGAGAAAUCAAAUAGGGCUUACUUAAGGCUUUUCUCUGCACAUUUGAGUAAAUAAUACUUCCUCCACUUUCGAUGAAUUGAUAUAUGAAGUUUGGAAACAAUGAGAAAUUGGUUUGCUGAUAUUAUAAUAAUUUAGAAAAUUCACUAAUUAAAAAAGCAUGAGUUUUGUAGUUCAUGUGUAUACAGACAACUGGAAACUUGGGUAAAAGCCGCUAAAUAAUCUUUACAUUUUAUUUCUGGAGAGAAUAAGUUGAGAUAAAUGAUAAUUUGUGUGGUUAGUCAAUAAGUCAGAUAGUUGUAGUAACUGAUAACUCUAAUAUGAACACAUAUUUACAUAUUCUACGGCAAGGUUGCUAUCUUAAUGGGAAUGAGGAUACUAAUAUGUGUUCAAAGGCGUAGCUUGUGACUCACUCGAGUCUAGCAGAAUCAAAUAAGAAUUUCAAAUAAAUGAACUUGAGCCAUAUCUGAUUGAGGCAAAACAAAAAUUAAUUGGAAUCUGAGCGAGUUAUAUGAAUUCGAGUAGAAUCUGACAAUGUAAGUAUUCGUAGGCAUUUUAUUUGGUUUCACCCCUCUCCUAGUAAUUAAUAUGUGUGGAAUAUUAAAAAUUUGGUGCGUUCACUUGCCUAAAUAAAUUGAGGUUUGAGGUUGUAAUUUGAACACUUUACUUGCUGGAAAAUAAAUAUUGGAAAAUAUUACUAGUUCUACUUUGAAUCACAUGAUAACAGACUUGUACCUGUACUGUAAUUUAUGUAGUAAAAUAAUAAAUUGUGGCAACAUAUACUUCCUAGAAGGCUGAAACUUAUUGUAAAUUCUAGCACUGAUAAUUUGUAAUCCAUCAUGCAAGCUACAGAGAACUAAAAUGUUAUACUAUUAUCUCUGAUGGAAUAUACUUGAUCGACCAUGAACUUUCACGUUCUAGUUCAAAGCUAUGUGAUGUUAAGUGCAUUGCUAAAGUCUUGGACUAUCAAUCCAUAAUAAACUAUUGUCAGCAGUUUCCUAGAACCUGUUAUUCUUUCACCCAAGUUCUUUCCCUUGUAUCAUACGGAUUCCUUCUUCAAGUAACCUUUACGUUUCCUGAACAGGACGCGUUAAUGCUCUCUGCCGAUAGGAAAGGCUUUGACGUUCUAGGCAAGACUCUUGGGCCAGUGAUGAAUGAUGGUUCCCGUCAGUACCUGUGGGAAGAACUCAGAUUUGAGCUCAAUGAAGAAGCAAAAGAUAUUGAAUCAUUCUGUCAACAGCUUGUCUCAAUGGAAGUGGAGGCCCUUAAAACUGUCUCCAAGUUCAGUGGUAUAUGAUGCGCAUAGCCAUAUUCAUACCAGUAGUGGCCUAUGAGAAUGAGACAUGAUGUCUGCAAAAUUGAGGUAAGACUGGAGAAUUAGAUUAAUUUUGCCAAAAUAGUUGUAUGCUUCUGUCUUUGUAUACUACAUUUAUGAUUGUGUUUUUUUGAAAAAAACUUCCGAUCCUUGAAAUUUCUAAUCAAUUCGUCCAAGCCAGUUUUCUUAGGUUCAGCUCUCACAGAUAUACACGGUCAUGGACCUUUGGAUAUAUGAUUUGGUGGAAUUGGCUUGGGUUGUGAAACUGGUGUACCAUAAAUUUUACAGUUUAAGAUUUUCUAUUCACUUCAUUGUGCUAAGUCUGCAAAUUUGUCUGGUGGCUGCAAUACUCCAGAGAGAUUUACAAGUAUAGGAAAGGAUUCAAAGUGAUGAUCAGUACACAAUAAAAGCUAUGAUCUUGUACCACUAUUUUUUUAAAGCCGGAUUUCAACACAAUAUCAUAUUCUCAUGCAUGAUUCGUAAAUACGCAGUAAUAUGUAUAAUUUCGAGUAAAAUGCAUGACUGCUAUUGGGUUGGCUUCGGAACUUAAAACUUGUCAGUUCUGUGCAGAAAUAUCAUUUUGAACAAUGCAUGUAACAAAGAUUUGUCCUCGCUUGUUCAAAAUGUUGUUUUUUAUUUGAAAUUAGUUAAAAUCCAUAUAUUUUUUUGUAUUUCGUGUUCCCGUGUCACGUGUCAAAUCGUCGGGUCUAGAAAUAAGUCAUGCGACAUAAACCCUCAAAGAAAGACUUCAAGACUAUAAAGUCCGUUAACCACAAGAAAUGGAUUACUAUCAAAUAUAGAAAAAAAUGGGGGUUUACUAUGAGCAAACUCGUGCGUUUACCAGCUUCUUUUAUACAUAUAAGAGCCAGGCAAGAAAUGAAGAAGAUGAAUGGGGAGACCAUUCAGAAGUGACGUGGCACGUGAAGAAAAGCAGUAGGAGACUACCAAGUCCGACCAUAAGCAUCUUCUGCUUGCGGUAGAGCCUCCUCAGCUCAAACUAUAUACUUUAUAUAUCUUACUUUAUCAUAUGUGUCCAGUGGUGAUAUCAGACACGACUCGAACCCGACCCGAACUUGUAACCCAUUUACUGAAACAAAACUCGAAAGUGACUCGAAAAUUACCUUCAAUUUUCGAAAUUUUCAAUUUUCAGUUUUAUUUAAUUUUAGAUGAUUUUACCUUGACCCGAAAUCGACCUAAUUGCUGACAUGAACACGACUCGUUAUCCGAAAUUGCCACCCUUGCCUCUAGUAAAGUUCAUACUGCCCCAUAAUUUCGUUGUUAUUUUAUUUUCCGCAAGGCUCAUGUAAAUUGUUUCUGAUGACCCCCCGCCCCGCCCCACAUUUCUUGUUCAUGAAUGUAGAUGUAUUGCCGGUGGCAAAAUCGACCAGGAGAUUCCAGCCUAAUGUUUGUACAAUUUGACUUUAUUAUUUAAGUAGUUUUUAUGGUCUUGAUUCAGUUAUAAGGAUUUUAUGGUAAUGUAUUUCUUCUCGAUUGUUCAAAAAAAUAGUUGUAAUACUAUAAUAUGUAUGAGUAAUGUUAAGUACAUCAAAAUCUUUUCCCAAAUUUAAUAAUAUUUUCGCAAUAUGUGAAAUAAUAAUAUUUAAAUUUGCGGGACGAGAUUGGAAUUAAGAUGAACAUGAUCACAACAUCCAGCAGUCCCUUAUUGCAGCUCGAUCUUUAAAAAUUCCGUGCCUUGUAAGAGUGAGAUUCUCUCCCAAACACGUCACAUUCAGAUCUCUUUGUAGCAAAAGCAUAAAUCACGAACAUCAAGCUCAUAGCAAAAUGUUGUGGAGCCUUACAUAAUAUAUAUAUUCAUGCAUAUGUUCGUUUGCAUGUGUAUCAUGUCUUGAGGGUCGCAUCAGUCGGCUGCACAUAUUUUCAUCCCCUUUCGUCACCGGAAAACUUGGAGCUUCAUAGUUGAGACCUGAAUGUGUUUUCAAAUUUUGGUCACGACUAGGGUACUCCUGUGUUUAGAAUUUUAAAUAAAGUGAUGUGACACUUUUUAUGUUUAGACGCUUUUUUGAUUUGGUCUCAAACAAUUGUUUUCUGCAGUAUGCAUUUUAAAGUUCGAAAAACGCUUCGCUUUGCACCCCAUGACCAUUCUCCGUUUAAUUGACCGUUAAAGUUAACAGAUUUCAGAUUUUCAUCAGAUUUUCAUUUUGCACCCACAAGUAUAAUUUUUUUUCAUGAGCAUUUUGAUUUUUUUUUCAUGAAUCAAAAAUUUGUUUAUCAUUUUCGUCUGCUAGGAUAUUAAUAAUCCAAAUUAUCCGAAACUUAAUGUGGAAAACGAUACAUGCAGAUGGAUAAGCCCUCUAUACUCGGGGAUGCUGCCCUAUUGUUCUUAUCGUAAGAUGAAAAACAAUCAACAUCACCGCAAAUGACAAGAACAUUUUGCAUUCAUGAAAAAAAUAUAUUUCAAAAUACUCAUAAAAAAAUUAAAAUUGUGGGGUGCAAAGUGAAAACCUGAAAUAUGUUAACUUUAACGGUCAAUUAAACGGAGAGUGGUCAAAAAAGUGCAAAGCGAAACGGUUUUCAAAUUUUAGGGUGCAUACUACCAAAAAAUUUGUUUGAGACAAAAUCAAAAAUGCGUUUAAAUAUAAGGAAUGCAAAGUGUCAAUCACUCUUUUAAAUAUAUAAAUGAAAUUUAGAGAGCUAGCUAGGCUGUAUAUGAACUUAAAUGUAAACCCGAUUCAUUCGUUUUCAUGUCUUAACUAGGAAAAUUUAAAGUGCAUGAGUAUCAACUUAUAAACCCCAUCCAUUUAUAUAUAUAGUCUUUCUCUGUGUCCUAAUUUAUUAGAAAAAUCUAGUGCAUAUUUGGCAUAGUCUGCUUCUAACUUUUUUCAAUAAGAAACCUGCUUCUACUUUCCAUCACCCGUUUGUGUAAAAAAUCAGAAGCACUUAUAAAAAACUAAGAAUACUAACUUUUGUUUCGGACUUCUACUUCUUUCCAAAAUAGUUUAAUCAUUUAUAAGUCUUAAUUUACUUCUCACUUAUAAUCCACUUCUUUAUUUUAAGUAAGUAAGAAGCAUUUUUUUUAAAUUUAUCCAAGCGGGCUUACUCUAGUUCCCCCACCCCAGAGAUCGACAGAUCAACUUUCUCAAAUGUUAUACUCUAACAUUGCGUUAACUUAGAUGGAAUAAAAUGGAAAGAGAAUGUAAUGAAAUUUAUGCUGGGGUAAUCGAAAAAAAGUCUAUAAGAUCAAUUUCUUCUAUCAUUACAUUCCAAAAUAUUUAAAUAAGAAAUUUCAUGUGUUUUAGAAGGAAUGCUCAUUUCACUUCUUCACUAUAAUUUUUUAUUAAUAGAAAAUUAAACUUACCUAUAUUUAGUUAAUUACUACAUUCUCCUUCUUUUCUUUUUCUUCAUAAUACUUCUUUGAUGUUUCUCAUAUUUCAUUUCAUCCAAGUUCAUUUCAUCCAAGUGAAUACAACCUAACUGUGCUGUGAUCAUUACAACUUUAAUCCCUAUCAUAUAUAAUGUUAUAUGUGUGACCACUACAACUUUUGGUAACCGUAUAAAAUCACAUAAGAAAUCUUCCUCAAAACCCUAACAAAAUUUAUAACUAAAGUGAGAGUGGGCUAUAUAUAUAGGUAGCCAUCAAGAAAUAAAUAAACAGACACACACUUCUUCCUUUAUCUUUUCAUCCUCCACUUCUUGCUUUCUCUCUCUCAGCUUUAGUGACGCAAAUUUCCACCAUAAACCACCCAAACUUUAUCAAAAGAAAGAAAAGAAAGAUUAAAAGAUCAAAGCACUAUGGUUUUCUCAUCUGUUCCAGCCUUUCAAGUACUGGAUCCUCUCAAUUGGCAAUACCAAGUAAGUUUUUACAUUUAUCUCUUCAUCAUGAUUAACUUUAUAUCUACUUCUUGGAAAAAUUUGGAAUCUAGUAGCUAGUUGUAAGAUGUGUAUAUACUCUUAGACAUGUUACAAGAAAGAAUUCCGCACUUUCACAUGGACUUUUGACACCAAAUUUGUCGGAUUGACUUUAAAUUUAAGUAUGAUAUAUAUAUAUACAGAGAAGUGCUCAAAUACAAACUAUAAUCGAUUGGUUUUGGCUUUAAAUUUACAGCCACCAGGAGGAUCAGUAUCGGAUAACAAUAACGAUGAUAGCAAUCACAACCACCUCACACUACCACCUAUGCCUCCGUCUCACGGCCUUCCAAUCGGGCCUAAUUCAAUGGCAGAGAGACCUAAGUUAACAAAGCUUCCACCUCAAGAAACAGCCUAUAAAUGCCCGCGUUGUGCAUCCACCAACACGAAAUUUUGCUACUACAACAACUACAGUCUCUCACAGCCAAGGCACUUUUGCAAGGCCUGUCGUCGCUAUUGGACUAGGGGCGGUGCACUGAGAAAUGUACCUGUCGGUGGUGGCUUCCGGAGGAACAAGAAAAGUAAAAGAAUUAGGUCAAAGUCUCCGAUUACAUGUAAUAGCUCAGCAAGUGGAGUUUCUUCUGGUAGCUGUACCACGAACAAUAUUUUAGGUCAUUCAGCCCCUUCAAUUUUACCACAAUUUCCUUUGUUGCCCUCGAUGAAAUUCACUGAGAUUCUUGGAGCUGAGGAUAUUAACAGCUUGAUUUUCCGGGGAAUUCAGUCCCCAGCUGCCGCGUCUGGUGAGUAUAGUGAUCAAUGGAGAUUGCAGAAAUCCGCUGUUGCGCCUGGAGUACUGGAACCAUUAUCAACAGGAGUGACGUAUCAGUUUCGAGGUGAAGGUCUAGGGGAAGCUACCACCAGUCAGCAUGAUUUUAAGACAGCAGACUAUUCUAGUGGCCCUUCUCAAGCUGAGUUGAUAAAAUUUGGAGAAGAUCAAGGAUUCAUGAGUUUGCCGAAGAACGUUUUGGAUUUUCCGGGGAAUGAACAACAAGAGUAUUGGAGUUCUGUCUAUGCAUGGAAUGAGCCAAAUGGUUUAAAUCCUUCUACAGGUCAUCUCUUGUGAUUUAAAUAAUUUUUUGUUUCCUUCGAAACCCUAUUUUAUCCAGCGCUGGACUAUAUAUUAUUUUUGUUUGAUUAAUCUCGUGUGUUUGAUGUAUAUUGAAUAUAAAUCUCUCUGCUAUCUUAUACAUGAAGACUACCGUAAUUUAAGAAUUUGUACUCAGAUCAAGGGUGAAAGAAGCAUUGGCCGAGUGAAUGAACGUGUUCUGUUAUUUCUACGACUGAAAACCCUAAUGAAGAAGAAUGGAUUAGUAUGUUUGUUUUGAAUUUUGAUAUGUAUUGAUCUUCUCUAUAAGAAAGAUAUUCUUGUGUAACUACAAUUUAAGAUCAACAUAUCAAGGGGAUGAAUAUAUGUUUAUUUAUAUAUAGUAGAUAACCUUUGAGCACUGAUAAUUGGUUCCUGCAUGCGUACUUUUAUGUUGUGUCUGGUUAAAGUGAAUGAAUUAGGAGAAACGGAAUGAAAUUUUAAAUAUGUUAUGGACAAUAUAAUUGUUUAUAAUUUUCAUUCCUUCCCCCAUUCUAUUCCUCCUUAGCUAGUAAGUACUUUUUACGAGUAUAGGCUCGUAAAAAUGUUUCAUUUCCACAGAUGUGUAGGCAGUUGCCAGUCACUCCCCAUGCAUGUUUGUUCAAGCAAAUAUAGUAGUACGUCUAGUAGUCCUAGCUCGAUGAGCAUCAACUCAUAAAGAACGUACUGAUGAAUUAAAUUUUGUACUUCUCUCCCAUGCCCUAAAACAACCCUCUUUCUUGGACAGUUCAAUUCCCAAUGUUGAAUAGUAAGAUGAUCACUUCAGAUUCAUCAGCUUUUUAUGGUGGGAGAUAGGUGUCGUCAAAGUGGAGUAUUCGAGUAAUUAAUGAGGUUCGGCCAUGCUUGAAUACUACUCUACUCUCCCUUAAUUUCCUUUCUCAAAGCUAGCUUCUGGUAAUUAUAAAGAUCGACAAUAAAAGCCUAUUCUCCAGUACACGCACUCUCCUUUAGAUUCAGCACUUCUGUGCAGGGUAAUAACAUAAAUUGGGACCUCAAUGUAUCCCAUGUUUUAGUGUUCGAUUAAUUUGCAUUUUAGCUUUCCUAAGUGAGAACUGAGAACCUCAUAUUCAUCAAGUCGUAGGUAAAUAAUUUACAAUACAUCUCUUUUUGUGAUACAAUAGCGUUUCCAUUCUUAUUUACCUCAACCUCAUAUUCAUCAAGUAGGUAAAUAAUCUACGAUACAUCCCUUUUUGUGAUGCAAUAGCGUUUCCAUUCUUACUUACCUCAAUUCGACUAUUCUCAUACUCUUCAUUCCAUUUUCAUUAUCAUCCGCCAUCGGACAAUGCCCUUAGUCUAGAGAAGCACAUGAAUGUCAGUGUGAUGGGAAAUAAUUUUGUAAGAAUGAUACAACAAUGAUCCAUAUAUAUGAUUGAGACAUAAUUAAAGUGGUGGCAAAAGAGUAAUACAUAAAGAAGAGCCGCUGAGUGUAACAACUACAAAUUAUUUAGUAACAGAAUCUGUACUUAAAGUUUGUUGGGGCUGCCAAUUGCUUUUGUGAUAACCAGGACAAGGCAAAGGCAAAGCAAAACCUCGCCCCCCUCCCCCUCUGUCAAAAAGCUUCUGCGCAUAUAUUACACGCACGCACUCGCUUUCUAUCAAUGUGUGCAUGAUUUGUGAAAUAAUUUAGCGAUGGUUGUAGUGGUUGUGUCCAUUUGCUGAAGAUAAAAAAAUGUGGGGCGCGACUGCCACACAAUCACUUCCUACACCGUAUUUUUUAUCUUUAAAAAACACGAUACUUAAUAUGAUUAUCAGCGAAUUCUAUGAAUAUACCAGAUAUUGAGAUUAUAUAUCGAAUAUUAUUUUUCAAUGUCUUUUAAUAUUGAGUCUAUUUUAAAAAUAAGGGUGAGUGUACAAGUCCGGACAUGUUUUGUAUAAAUAUAAUUCAGUCUCGGUUAGAAGAAUUGAACACAUAUCGGAGCAAGAAAAAAAGAUGUCAGCCUUAUCGGAUAUAGGCUGAUUAAUUAAAUGUAUACAUGAUAGUUUUAAAUCUUGCAGGUGAUAUAACAUUAAAUAAGAAAAAUGGAGGACGGCGUAUUAAAGUUGUUGAGUCUUGAUCCAUGGUUUAGAGAGUAAGUUCACUUUGAAAAAAUCUUGACUUUGGUCUCAUGGCUUACAGUGGGUCACUUCAUUUUGAAGAAUUUCAUAGGCUAUGUCGACUUCAAUCUGAAGUGUUAUGUCAUUUUGGUUUGAAAAAAAGGCUCGUAUCAUUCGAUGACAGAGAAUUUCAUGACAAAAGCGAGUAUCAUGUUUAGAAAAUUAUAGAUCAAGAUACUAUUUAGUAUUUACAUAUAUAUAUAUAUAUAUUACACUCACACACACACACACACACACACACACAUAUAUAUAUAUAUAUAUAUAUAUAUAUAUAUAUGAGGUCGAAAAUGACAUUUGAAAACUGAAACUUGAAAUCAGGAAUUCAGUGGNNNNNNNNNNNNNNNNNNNNNNNNNNNNNNNNNUCCCUACACUUUUAUAAUAAAGACAUGGUUUUCGUAUACAUUUUACCCUUCCCACACCUUAAUCUAAGUGGGAUAUAGUUUGUAUGUUUAGUCUGGUUUAGUUUAUCUUUCAGUAAAUAUAAACACAUUUACGAGUUACGACUCAUUCUUGAUUUUUUUUUUUUUAAAUUCGCUCACCUAAUCCUAAAAAGAAUUAUCUAUUAAUUUACUGAUUAUAUUUCGAUUUAGCUAAAAAUUCCUAUUUAUCCAAUUUUUUUUAAUAAAUUCUAAAUUAAUAGAUCAAUCGAUUAAUUUCGAUACUAAUUUUUACGAAUAAUUAUAUAUGUUGUCACAUCGGAGCUUUUAUUUGUGUUGCAUGUUCUGCUCCGCCCAUACCAUGGUCGAUGUACCCUCCUUACUUCUGAUGAUAAACAUACUAAUUAAAUGUAGUGUAUGUAUGUUUCUCUUUUGCUAGCCUAUUGUUUCUUUAAACAUUCAACCGGUAGUCAUUCCAAUUGUUCAAUUUUAAGCAAUAAUAAUUAAAUUAUUCGAGGACUCUCAACACUACAAAAAAAAAAGGACAAAAUCGACCGGAUAAAAUCGACUGCCUAAAAAAAAUGUCAACUUAAAAUCGACUGGCAGCAAUCGGUCGGUCAUGAGACAGCACGACAUCGUUUUGCCUUGCUGACAAGUUCCAAGAACUCUCGUGAAUCGGAGAUAUGCUCUUUCUAGCUCGCUCGUCCGCUGAGAGAUAUAGCAAAAGAUAACGUGCAUGAGAUCAGGUAGAUUAGUCCAACACAUUCGUUUUAUAAUAUUAACACUUGUGUCUUGGUAAUUAUAUAUCUAGCAAUUUUACAUACGCUACGCGUUUGAUUGUGAAGCGAGAAGCAGUUGACUAGGCUGGUAUAUCAUCCAGCGACUCCUUGCGAGUUUCCGUCUCACAUUACUAAAUUACUGUAUUUUCCUAUCACGAAAAAGACGCGAAGAACUCAUAUAUUAUUCUACACUUAAUUUUUUAAAUUUUGUUUAAAGUAAACUUCAGAGUUGUGGCAAUGUUUACAUCGAUUUUCAAAACGUUGACUAGAAUUCCAAAUUCUCAAAAAGAUGGUCAAACUUUGAUUUCGCUUUUCAAAAGUGUGGAGUCUAAUGAGAGCCACAUCUUUGAAAAACGGACCAAAAUUUGGCCACUUUUCUAAGAAUUUGGAAUUCAUUUUUACCUUUUUGUUACAUUCCAAAUUCUCAAAAAAAUGGUCAAAGGUUUUCUUACAUAACAGCGUGGUCUAGGAACAAAUGAUGCAAGUCGACUUGUUCAUUUGGAGUUUUAUGCAGCUUCUGCUAUUAUCCGAUAGUGAUCUCAUUUUAGCCUUUAAGCUCAAGAGAAAUUUCUGUUCGCUACUUCUUCAAGCAAGUUGCAAAUAUUUAGCUCACAACCACAUCACUAGUCAACCAGAGCAGCUGUCAUAUAUGUUUAAUUUAUCUUCAAAAAUGUAUUCAUAUUUGUUAAGAACUUUCUUUUUAUUUUUUUUAUUUUUAAUCAUCGGUCAACGUACGUACGAGGCAGUUGACCACAAGCCUGGCUAAACAUUCAAAGUAAACCCUACAAGCUGGAAGAUGCCCAGUACUUAUAAAUCCAUCAUUUUUCUCAAACUCAAACGCUGACUUUACACUAUAAUUCUAUAAAUAUAACAAGAACAAGUGUACAUAAUUCACAAAACAAAAAACACACAAAUUUUCUACACUAAAGAGAUUAUACAGUUGACAUAUAUAGCUGAGGAUAUAUGGCACCACCUCCAACGCCGCCCGUCGUAGCGCCGCUAGUAAAACUAGUGGUGAGAGUGCUUACUUUCAUUUGCUUGCUCAUAGGACUCAUCAUCCUCACCACCAACACCGCCUCCAUUUUCAUCAACUUUGCGGAAUUUAAGAUCCGUUUCCAGGAUGUUAAAGCCUAUAGGUAUAAAUCUUCAUACUUUUUUUUUUUGCUAAAUAUAAAUCUUCAUACUUGUGUUUAGUAUUUUCGGAUGGAUCCUAGCUAGUUUAAAUAAAAUAACACACAACAAAUUAAUACGUAAUUAUUUAAAUACAUUGUCAUCCAAAAAAAGUCUGUGACAGCGGGUACAAUCCUAGUUUUACGUAUUUAGUGAUGAAUUAUAUAUAUUGAUCAGGUACAUGCUUGCGACUAUUGUAAUUGGCAUCGCGUAUACUCUCAUGCAAACUGCACUCACCGUCUAUGAAGCAACCAGAGGAAACCGCAUUGGUGGCCAAGGCUUCCUUCUCUUCGACUUUUACGGUGACAAGGUAUUCACACCGAGAACUUCAGAUUUCAGCACAAAAAGAUAAAUAUAUCCAAAAUUAAUUAAUUGAGAAUUAAUGCAAACAUAAUUAAUUCAAAUCUGUGCAAAUGUGCAGUUUAUAUCGCUGUUGCUGGCAACGGGCACCGGUGCAGGGUUCGGCGUGACAGUAGACUUGAAAGAUCAGUAUGGCGCAAUAACUUCGGGCUACGACAAGUUUUUUGACAAGGGUUAUGCUGUUUCUAGCAUGCUUCUCAUUGCAGUUCUCUUCUCGGCUGUUUCUUCUAUUUUCUCAUCUUUAUCGCUGCCUAAGAGAGCUUAGUUCCGUUAGUGAGUCUUGUGUUAAUUCAUCGUUGUAUUUAGAUUUGAAUACGAUAAGUUUCUGUAAUUUAGAUCAUUUGCAGUUGUUGUACUUCCAAGAUUAUUCAUUGUAGUAUUUUAUAUUCAUUGUAUUCAUUGUAAUUGUUGUAUUAUGUUGUCAUGCAGCAAGAGUUCAUAAUCUCGAAUAAAUAUAUCUUCACGCAAGACUAGCUAUUAUGGUAGUUUAUAUGAAAACUGAAAUGAAAUUCCCUUGGUAAAUAAUGUUCAUGCGAUUCAUCUCACUAUUACAAUUUACAAAGGUCACAAUUACUAAAAAUUUGGAGAAAUUAAGGAUUCUCUGAUUUGAUGAUAUCGGUCCUCACAAAAUGGGUGAUCUUCUGUAUAUCCAUGCCGAGAACUGAAUCCAGAAUCAGUUUUUUCCCUUGCAUAGUCCGGUAUGAAUCUGUAACCUUCGGAAAAUUCUGGUAAAUUUUGUACUCUUUCGUCGAAAAAAUAUCUGUUGUUUGGGUCGUCCUUGUUGUUUUGGGAAGUAUUGUAAUGUGAAUUGCAUCUUCCGUAUUGUUUAGAGUUUGAAUCUGCGGAAAUAGAACGCUGGCAAAAACUUCCUGAACCUUUUAUCCCACUUGUUAUCUUUCGAGCUUUAUCCCUCUCUUGUUUAAGAUAUGACUCGUCUUUAAGCAGCUUCAGUAUUCUCUCAGAUUUGUUUCGGACACUUAAUCCCCAGUUGAACCUGCAUCACAAGUUAACAUGCAUUACUGCCACAAGAAUACUGCAUAUAUGCGUUGACCAUGUUGACGGGACCAUCAUGAUGUGGUGGCCUGGUGGGCCCCACAAAGCUGACUUGUCAAUGAUGCAUGUGUGAGUCUCGACCCACGUGUCAUUAACAUAUGAUGACUUCUUGAUAGAUAAUAUUUUUAAUAAAUAAGUAUAUGUGGUUGUACUGAGACUCUAAACUCAACCUCUUAUUACCGAGAGAAAAGAGAUAUCCAGCAAAAUACAGUGCUAGAAACUCAACCUCUUGUUAUCGAGAGAAGGAAAGUAUUUAUUAGAAUAUAAGACUUGAACUGAAUAACCUCUUGUUAUCGAGAGAAGAGAGGUAUCCACUAAAAUACGCUAGUUGAAACUCAACCUCUUGUUACCGAGAGAAGAGAGGUAUCCACUAGAAUACACCGUAAUGGAUCAUCUAUGAAAUAAUCGCAAUUUGUGACAUUAGCUAAUAGAAAUACUCACCCUUUCUCAUCAACAAAUUUGAGGCUUCCCAUCUCCCAAAUAAUGUCUUUAUCCUGCUGAAAAUCCUCUGCAACUCUCUUGGGACCAUGCGUUAGAAGUCCCUCCAGCAAAAUAAGCGCCUUAUAUGAACACUGCCACUGCUUUUUGUCGUACAUCCACAGCCUGCUAGCACAAAAAAAAUUCAAUCAACUUUUGUGAUCCUUCUCUAAAUUAAUUAUUCUUUUCACAAGCUAAAAAGCAGCAUAAACCUCUUAUGCAGAACGUCCACAAUUCUCCAGUACUCAUCAACUUCAAACGCUGCACGCGACAAGAAUCUGACAGUUCUACUAUCCAAUGUCAUCAAACUUCCAUCCGUAGCCUCUUCCGUCAGACUUCAACAGAACAUGCACAUGUUAACAGAAAUAAAAAUUGAUAAAAUUCGAUACAGAAAAAAGAAUUUAACAUACAUUUCUGCAGGUGUAACAUCAGUGAAGGCGAGCCUGGCGACCUUGAUCUGUUCUUUGAAGAAGAAAGAAGUCUUUCUCUUGAAUUCAUGUAAGGAAGGACUAGCCAUUGCUUGAAUUCUUGUAGAACUUCAGAGAAAUACUUAUGAGAACGUAUAAGAAGCUAUGAUCUGUUAAGAAUGCAUGUUAAGUAAAUAUGGAUGCUUAAUUAUGUAUAAAUUUAAUAAUAAUCAGAUAAUGCAAGUUCAACUGCUCCAUUACCUUUAGGCUUUAACUAAUUUUACCAACUACAUUCUCUAAGUGGAUUUGCAUAUGCAAUGAGCUAGACGCGACCUGAUAGAGACAAAUUAAUGGUUAUUGCAUUCUUUUCCUUAUCAAACAAUUUUUUUAAUUAAAUUCGAUGAUCAAUUUCUAACUUCUGGUCUGCAUUUUCCAUUUAGUACUAUAUAUGAAAUGCAUACAAGUAGAGGUUGACAAAUAGUAGAAGUUAAGAUACUGACUAGCAUUUGAACAAAUUAAAAACUAAACAAAAUUACAUCAGACACUUUGUGUAUAUUCAUGAGAUAAAUCUAAUAAUUUUGUGAUGGAUUCUUGUGGAUACAGAUCAAAUGGCAACACAACUGACAAAUGGAGGUCGAAAGCCACUUUGAAGUGCAUUGGGAACUUGUUUUUGUUUAAUUUCAAAACAGGUACCAAAUUUUGAAGUCCAAAAAUACCAAACAGGACCAAGAUUUUUUGGCUUUCAAUAGAAUUUCGCCGUGCCUAAAUUCUGAUCAAUCCUGUUGUGAUCUUGUAACAUUCUAGCCCUCUCAUCUCACAUGCUUGCAAGAGUCUCCUUUCUUUUCUCCAAAGCUUGAGAGUUCAUAUACCAAAACACCCACAUCGAAAACAAGGUUCCAAUCAGCACCCAUGUCACCAAAAGAUUCCUCCACCAGCUUUUUCGAAAUCUCUUUAGACUAAAAUACUCAAAAUAGAAAUUAUAAAUCUUAUAAGCCCUGAUCUUAGUGCCUACGUUCAUUGUUAUAAGAAAAUGUUAAUUAGCUUCUUAACAUCCGCACUGUAGAGCCAGCUAGACCUGUCAAUUCGUUCAUAUGGUAUACUUAUAUGUCGUGUACUCAAAGACCAAAUAUAAAACCGACCCAUUUAGGGUUCGUGUACUUUCGUGUCAUAUUCGUGCGUGUUUCGUGCCGUUCUCGGGCGUGUUUCGUGUAAAAUUGAAUAUAAAUAUAAAUAAAUAUUCGUGUGUCGUAUACUUUUUCGUGUCGUGUAUUCAAAUACCAAAUAUAAAACCGAUCCAUUUAGGGUUCGUGUACUUUCAUGUUGUUCUCGUGCGUGCAUGUUUCGUGCCGUUCUCGUGCGUGUUUCGUGUAAAAUUGAAUAUAAAUACAGAUAAAUAUAUUGACUUAAAUCUAAGAUUGAGAUCAAUUUGCAUGUUUUAAAUUUGAGGAUAUGCAUCCAUUUGAAAGACCAAAUGUCUAUAUAUAGUGUGAAAUGAUUGUCGGAGCCUGUCAAACAAUGGCCUAAUUAAAUGGGCUAUUUGCUUUUGGGUCAUUAUCAUAAUCUAAGACGGUUGCCAGAGCAAUUGGGUGAUAUGAAAUGGCUAAAGGAGCUUGAUUCACGCCGCAAUUGAGGAACUGCCAGAUUCAAUUACUCAGCUCAAGGAGUUGGUUCCAAUGAAUUUGGAUGGUUGCAAGAUGCUUAGAAAGCUACCACAGCAGAUUGGAAAUAUGAAAGGCUUAAUUAAGGACAUUUCUUGCGAGUUGUAGUGCAGUUGAACAACUUCCAGAUUCGUUUGUAGGCCUCGUUAAUUUGGAGAGACUGGAACUGAGCUGCCGCAGAAACCUUGGGAAUCUUCCAAAUAUCAUAUGGAAGCUCCAGUUGCUUCAAGUACUAAAUCUGGGGCACUGUUCAAAGCUGGAGCGAUUGCCUGAGCAAUUGGAGAUGAUGCAAUGCUUAGAAAAGCUUAAAGCAAAUGGAACGGCAAUUGAAGAAGUACUAGAUUCUAUUGGGCUACUUAAUUAGUAGGUUAAGGCUGUUGAAUUUGUCUUAUUGCCGUAAGCUAAAAUAACUGCCAAGUAAUGUGUGGAAUGGUGCAUCACUUGAAAAAUUAAUUCUUCCCCGAGAGGACAUCGAUAGAAUUAAUUUGCCUGAUGCAGUGAAAGAUACAAAGUUGGUUUCGUUAACUUUGAACUGUAAUAUAAGAUUAUGGUUGCCUACGAUUCUAAGUUUUCCUUCGUUGAAAAAGUUAUUCAUCUGCGAUGAGACUGAGAAUUUAUCUUCAACCAAUCCUUUCGGUCUCUCUGGGCUUUACAACCUACAAGUUCUCGAAUUCUCUGGUUGUGCAAUUUUUGGUUCAUCGUUUCUGGAACAUCGUCUUAAUAUAACACACUUAUGCCUAUCUAACCAUGCAACACUGGUACAUCUACCCGAUUUAUCAAGCUUGAAACAGUUGAAGAAGUUUCAUAUAUUCCAUCACAUCAGCCUUGAAUCACUUCCUCAUCAUCUUCAAACACUUACAGUUUAUUAUUGCCCAAGCUUAAAGAACUCUCAAACAUGUCAUUUUUGAAGGAAUUGAGUUAUUUGAAUUUUGGUAGCUGCAGCAAUCAGAAAUCAUUUAGUACCGAAAGAGUCCCCUGCAGGUAUGUUUCCGUUUGAUCUCCCUCCCUCCCUCUGUCCCAAAAUGAUACACAAUCACACUUCUAUAAAUCCAACUACAUUCUUUCAUGUCACAGGUAAUCAAAAAAUGCCUCCGUUUAUACGAAGCUGAGGCACCAAAGAUGGUAAAUUGGUUGAGCUACGAAAGCAGUGGGCAUACGAUCUCUUUUGGUACAUCCCACCACUAUUGGGAGAUAACUUAUUAGGUCUUGCGCUCUCGAUUGAUUUAUCAUGCAGAGAGCUGGUUCCUCAUUUGAGCAUUAGAGCUGCACUCAUAAAACAAAUGGUACAACAAAGUGCUGUGUGAUCCCUUUACACUGUAAUGGACCUCAAGUAUAUUCACUGGUGCAAUGCUUAAGUGGAGAUGAAAUCUCAAUAAGAAGUGGAGAUGCAUAUAGAGUUGAUGCACCAGAAGUAAUUUAUUAUGUACAAUUGAAGGUGAAGAUGUACGUUGUUCAUGUGAUACCAAAAACACUCUCCACCCCUGAUUUUUGCUCUGUUUUAAGCAACUUGAUUAACUGAUGUUUUACAUCUUUACAAAGUAUUUGAUUUUAUCUCUCAGUCAGUUCAAUAUAUUUUACUAUAUAUUACAAAUAUUUCAAAUAAGUCUCUGUUUACGUUGCUUCAUGUUUAACAUUUUUCUUUUGAUAAUUUCCUUUUUUCGACUUAUAUUUCAAUUUUAGAAGCUACCAUGUUACUAUAAGAGUAGUAAUUAUUGACGCACAGAACCGAAAUUGGAAUCUGCAGACACAUAUAUCAUUUAUGAAACAAAUUCGAAUAAGACAAAUUUAGAACCUAUCAAAAUAGAGGAGAAAAUUUCUAAAAGUAAAAUUUCAUUUAUUAUAAUAGAAUAUAUACAAUAUUGUUUACGUAGGAAUAGAAUCCUAAAAUUAAAUAUGAUCAAAUCUGAAUAUAUCGAAUGAUGAUAAAUAUAGUUUCACAGUGAAGGCACUCGCAGAAUCUUUACUACUUCACAUCGUUACUAUGCCUUCAAAGAUGAUAAUGCUCUUGAAAAAGGCCUAAUAAAUAUGUAGUUAUUUCUGGGGAUUGGCAUCCACCCCGUCCGGCUCGACCCCAAUUCGACCCACGCCCCGUUCGAGUCGGGGAUUCGAAGAAUUUUCGGGUCGGGGCGAGGAAUGAGGAAAAUGUUAUAAAAAAUUUGGAGAUCAGAGCAGCAGGGUCGGGGAUUCGUGUCUCCCCACCCCGAUCGCCGACUCCAAUUAUAUAUAUAUAUANCGACUAAGAAAAAUGAGGAUUUUGAAUUUAUCAUAUUCUGGCUUAAAAGCUAGAAAUUGACUUAUAAUUUCUUUACCCAAAUCUAGGGAUAGGCAUUUACCCCGCCCCGCUCGACCCCGCUCCGAUCCCCACCCCGUGCGGGUCGGGGAUUCGGAGAAUUUUUCGGGGGCGGGUCGGGAAACGGGGGAAGUUCUAUAAAAAAUUUGGGGGUCGGGGAUUCGUAUCUCCCCUCCCUGCACUUCCACUUGACAGCUAUCGUAAUGAUAAAAAACCCCGAUUGUAUAUAUAAAUAAUAAUAUAUUUAUAUAUAUUAUAUUAAAUAAAUUAUUAAAAUUAGAUAUCUUUUCUAAUCUUAUUAAAAUUAAAAAAAUAAUCUUUAUUUUUAAUAAUCGAUUAAUAUAUUGUAAUAUAAUAUAUUUUAUAAUUUUAAAAUUGUCGUUAUUUAUAUUUUAAAUUAGUUUUAAUAUGAUUUGAUGUUAAAAAUAUGAGAUGAUAUCAUUUUAUUAGUGUAUUAUGAGUUAGUAGUUUUAUUAGUGUAUUAUGAGUUAUUAUAUUGUAUUAUGAGUUAUUAUAAAUUAUAAAAUUAUUUUUUUUUUUGAUUAAAAACUAAAAUGCGAAUUCCCGCAGGGAUCCCCGUUCCUCGUUCGGGGCAGGAAUGGGGAAGGAAAAGAAUCCCCGUUCGGGGUUCGGGACGGGAUCGUGGAUAACUAUCAAAUUCGGGGAUCGGGAGGGGAUAGCUAUCCCCGACCCCGAAAUGCCACACGUCCAUCCCUAUUAUCUCUCAUAGCUAUGCUCAUUCACCCUGGUACCUCAAUGAGCUUGUUGAGAUCCUUAGACGCUAGAAAACGGUUUAUUUAACCUAAGCUAAACGACUCAAAUUACGUUUAAAUUAAAUUUUUGAAGCAAUUAAAUAAAUAGAAAAUUCAUAUUUAUUUAGUACUUAUAAUCUCAUUUUUUUCAUUUUUAGUAAUAAAUAAAUUAUACUCUCUUUAUCCGGGCGAAUUCUUUAUAUUGGGGUUGGAUACGGAGAUAAAAAAAAUGUAUAAAGUAGUAUAAAGAAUAAGAAAAGUGGAGAAAAAUUGGGAAUCAUGAAAAAGUAUGGGUUGGAUUGAGUUUUAUAUUAUUAAAUUUUAUUAUUUUGUGAAAAUUUUGUAAUGUAAAAAAAUGAAAGAGACGUUCAACAAAAAAAAUCGUAAAGAAUGCAGCGGGAGUCUUUUUUCCAACUCCGAAUGGGUCGGGGUCCAAUUCUGAGUGUGCAACCCUCUAAAGCGCCAAAAUAGAUGGUAAUGCAUGAAAGCUUGGUGUUUUUAACUCAACAAUUACUACCAGGCUACUGCCAUUUUGAUGAUGAACUCAUUUUUCUUUACAUUAAUAAGAAUGCUCACUUCAUUACUUCCUUCACAUACCUCCAAUUAAUGUCAUUAACUUGUACUCAUUUCCUUUUCUGCUAAAUGUGAUUAUUAAUAUUAACAAUUAAUAAAACAAAAAUGACUUGAAACUUCCAGGCUCAACGUGUUGUUGACAUAACAUACAAAUGGAAUAGAUAUAAAUUUUUCAGUCCCAUUUUUUGAAAUUGUACCAAGGCAGCUAGCUCUCACUUAAGUCCUCUCUCUGCAUAAAUACAAUUGUGUUAUGUGUAUGCAAACAUCAGACACAGUACUGAAAAGAUUCCUAUAAUAAAUAGUAAUAAAAGCCUCAUAUAACCGAAAUGCUUCAAGAAAUGAAAUGCUCUGCCACUGGUUUGGUGGCACAGUAUAAUCUGAUCAUGGGAGUUACGCUUGUCUCAUUAAUACUCCCUUCUUAUCGCUUUGCUUUUGCUUUAUCUAUCUCUUUCUACGUGCUUCCUCUUCAAUUUUAUUUUCUUUUACUGCUUUACCACAGAUAACGCGUUCUUUGCAUGUCUGUAUUAUUGUUUUCUCAUGUGCGAACAAAUUUAUGUCCUUUCCGGUGUUCUAAAAAUCGGCCUCGACCGAGUAAUUCUUACGAGAGGUUGUACCGAUUAUAAUAUGGAUAAUAGUCCUGGACAAUCGAUUAUUAGCGACAUAUCAUUAGUGAUGAAAAAUAAAUAAUAAAAAUAUUAGGACAGAUGAUUUUUCCGCUGAAAGAUAAUGUAAAUCCUCCUGCUUACAUAAAAAAACUAUAAUUAAUGUCUUUCGGCGGAAAAAGCAUGUUGAUAGUAUGAUGCAUCAUAUGCAUGGUAUUAAUUUUUCGAUAAGAUCUGAUUCUUGAAUUCUACAACAAUGAUACCUGCAGCAACAUUUUAGCUACUUAACUUUAAGAAUGAACUAUAAAUUUACAGUAAUUUGACUAUACGAAAUGACUUGUGUUGAUUUUGGUGUUUGGAAUAUUUUGAAAGAGAAAAAAAAGAGGGAAAAAUAUAGGUGAAGUUGUGCAGAGGUAAGUUGGGGGUUAUAAAUGCAUCUCCUGCCAAAGCUUACUACCAUCUUCUUAAAUAUCACUAGCCCUAGACAAUAUUCUCACAACACUCUCUCCCCUCUCUAAUACUUCCUCUCCAUUCUUUCGAAAAACUCCACAUAUAUCAGUAGCAAUGGGUGUUUUUCAUUCUUGAAGAGUUGGUGUUUGAUGCUAGCUAAUACAUGUUCAUACUUGUGACACAUAUACUAUGAUAUUGGCCGGGCUCACUCAGAUGCGCACAUAUGCACUUGAAUAGUUAUGAACGGUGAGUCUGAUUGAGCCGCGCCAAUAUCUUAGUUUUGUUUCAUUCAAACUUCCGGAAACUCAUCACUAGGUUAAUUGCGUUAUCUAUGUAUAUAUAUUUGUUAAUAUUUACCAAUCAGUUAUAUUUGAUUGGUUUAUAGUUCUUACAAACAAUCACCUCUAUUUUCUAGUUAACAAGAAUAUUGGUUUUUCAGAGACUGGAAAAUGAAUGACCCUUAAUUUUCAUUGCGAGAUGUCCGCACAAAUUUCAUUAUAUUCUCUCGUAUUUUGAUAUCUACUUUUCCAAACAUCACAUUAUGCUAAUUACAAUCAAUAGGAAAAUAGAAGACGGACAUCUGCAUUGUACAACACCAGUUGCUCCUCUAUAUGAUAGUUCAUCAGCUUUGAUUUAUGUCUCAAUUAGUCUUACAAAAAUUUUCAGCAUUCUGGCGCCCGUGUCCAGCGUCUAGCGUCCGGUCAUCUGAUUAUGCAGCAACUUGAAAGUGCUGGUUAGAGGAUCAGGGUGGAAAUGUCAGGUGGUGGUUAAUGUGACAAGGUAUCGGCUGCGGUUAUGGUAAAAAUAUAAUGCUAAAUAACAUUAUACACUUCACUCCAAGGAAACAGGACAAAACCGACCGUGCAAAAGAAAUACCGAAGUGUAAAUGCUACUACACAAAAAUUUACACUUGUAUCAUUGAGCUUCUAGCCUUCGAUCCUACUCGAAGGGUUCAUUAUAGAUGCAAAUCGAGUAGGGUUAAUAUUAAUACUAGUGAAGCAUAGGUAUAUAAGUGAGGCUAAAAUCUCAGCUUUCACUCCAAAAAAUUUCUUCUUUUUUUUUUUGCUAAAUAAAAUUUUCUUUUCUUUUUCUUCCAACUUAAAUUUAUUAAGGAUAAAUUAGGAGAAGAUUAAUAUGAUAGUCCUCUUGAAGUUGCUUUUGUAUAUUCAAAUUUAAGAAAUUAUUAUUAUUUUUACUAUUACAAACGACAUCUGGUAUCUUUAUACUGAACUAGAAUAUGGGGCCGUAAACUUGCUUCUCUCAAGUCUCAUCUGCAUGGGCUAAUUCCUUAGAAGUAAAAAUAAUUUUACCUGUUGUCACAAAAAAAUUACGUACCUUCAAAAAGAGUGAAUUUGAACGUUCUGUUUUCUCAAAAUAUUUUUCGCAACUGCUUUAUAAUUCUUUAAAUACCGUCAAAAACAAUUUGUGUAUGUGAGUAAGUAUGUUAAUUUUUGAAAAAAGUAGGAAAAUUACAUCAUUUUCCAGCUCUAACUUGUUUUUAUCAAUGUGAUAAUCGAUUUAAAGCAAUAUAAAUAUAUUUAUAUCCGAUGAUAAUUUUUAAAAUUAGAUUAUUAUAUAUAGCAAAUAGAAACAACAUGCAAUUGUUAGAAAUUGGAAAUGUAAAAGUUGUUUACUUUGUGUGCAGUGGGAAAAUCAUAAUCUAAAAAUCGAGAUCGGCUAUAUUAUUGUGUUAACGUGGUCUUCUGCCUGCAAAGGACAGUGGCUAAUUUGUAGCAUUCAAUAAGGCGUGUUCGUAAAUUACAGAAACGAUUACAUAUUAUGUGUGAACAUCAGACUAUUAUUGCGCAAAGUCAUGUAAACAGCCAAACUAUCAUCGAUGAUUGUAUAUUCAUUAUGUUACACUUCCCUUGACAGGUCAUAAGCACAGUACUGUUUUUGAUUCUUUUGUCGAUUGCUUCUCGUAUCAAAAAUCGAACCGAACCGAGAGAUCGAAGUAUACGCAUGUUUUAAAGACGAAGCCAAAAAUGGUCCGGUCUGUCUUCGGAUGACAAGUCUAUUAUUCUUGGAUGUCAAUGCUUUUGUUCUGAUUUCUGUCUUGGUCCACCCCCGAAUUCAAGCGGUUAGACCUUACGAAAUCGACAUUAUGCGAAAAAGAAUCUGAAUUUAACCAACUGUGAUAACAUGAGUUUCCUCUUGAGGGUAAAACUAGAAAUCAGUGAUUUCGCUUGCAAUGUACUCCCUCCGUCACCCUCAUUUGUUUACAUUGAGGGACGGGAGUUCGACACGCAUUCUAAUGCUCUUGUAAAACAUAGUUCGAUAAAUUAUUUUGAACUUUUUUUUCAUCUAAAUAAAAAAAUUUGAUGUUUAAAUUUUUAUAAAAAAAUAAAAUUUUUUAAAAUAAAUCAUAGAACUAUGUUUUUUAUACGCCUUAUAAUCCAUGUCGAGUAGUGUGAAAAAAUUAUAAAGAAAUGAGAGAAAGAGCAGGUCAUGCUUUCGGUCGGCUAUCAUGUUUUACACUUACUAGUUACUACUAUGAUUUUGUGUUCAUAUGCUUAUCUGUUUCUGAUGUACUGAGGUUGACCUUGGGGUGUGGCUAAGAUUACAAGAAAAUCAUUAUAAAAUUAGGAAUAUUUUUGUAAAAACAGGAGUGGAUUUUAUAUUUACGGAUUCAUCUUUAAUUUGUUAAAAUAUUGCCUGACCUCGGGUUAGCUUCCUGUGAGCACUUUCGGGCCAAUUUUCUUUUAAUUAAAUCAUUAAAAGUGAUUAUAUUGUAAGCAUGAUUAGAUGAGUGUUCAUAUUUGAGAGAAAUAAAAUCUAGUUAUAUGAUUAUUUUAAUUAUUUUAGUUUAGAAGUCAAUUGUUGCUAGUAUAAAAAUAUUUUUUAUAACACAACUACAAUAUCGGUAGUAUAGAAUACGGACACUCUUUUAUAUUAAAAAUGUCGAUUCUUAAUAUAACCAACAUCAUAGAUACUUAUGAUAGAUUAAGAGUAUCGGUUCUAGCGUUCUACACUUAACCUAAAGUAUAAAUGACUAUUACGUUCUUGAGUGGUUUAUUUAUAUUGUGUUUAUUUCAUCGACGCUGUAAAGCGGGUUAUAUACAUCGGCCAAUUAAUUUCAUUGACUUUGUAAAGUAAUUUAUUUAUAUUAGGUUUGAAUUCGAUGUUAUAUAUCAAAUUUAGUGGUGGGCAUAUUUGACUAUGAUAAAUAAUUUAAUAAAGUUGAAAAUAUUGAAAUUAGAUAUAUAGGGAGUGUUUGAAAACGCUUAUAAGUAUUUUCGGACUUUGUUUUAACACUUUAAAAUAUUUCUACUUUUUACGUAGUAAUUGGCAAAAGAAGUUGAAAUUCUUAUUUUGAAUUUUUUAAGUCAGAAUCUCAAAGUUAGAAAUGUUGACUUUUCUGGACUUUUUUUAAUGAUUUGCAUUUUAUUAUGAAAUUUUUAAAUUUUAAUAUAUAAUAAAAUUUAUUUAUUAAUUAAGUUUCUUUUAUUUCAAAAUUUUAAUAUUUUUAAUUUAUAAAUCUAAAUUAACAAACACUUAAUUAACUAAUAAUUAAAAGUCAUCCAAAUAUUUUUUAAUAAAUUACAAACCAAGUUCAACUCUCACUUUUCUUUUUCUUUUUUUUUUAGAAUGAGUUCAACUCUCACUUAUAAAUUAUAAUCAGACUUUGUUAAUAUAAUCGAUAAAUGAAUUUUUCGAACUCAACCCAACCAGCCCCGUAAUCUCCCAUUACCCAGCUCAGUCGAUACCCAGUCUUCGACUACCAGUCUCCCGAGCAAUCUGUGGUGCAUCGAGACAUCAAAUCCAGCAAUAUAAUCACAAGUAACGCCCACUUUACCGAAUUUACAAGUCACGGUGAGCAGGUUUAGGGGUAAUUCGCCCAAUUGAAGUCACUCUGCUAUUUAGGGUUUGUUUUCAUUCUGCUCUGCUCUGUUUAUGAAUGUAUUUAGGGUAUGUGGUGCUUCAAUUGAUUAUAUAUGUGCUUUCAAUUUGUGUUGUUUUGUAAGCUACUGUUUGAAUAAAUUCUAAUAAACAUCUACUGGAGUUCUGUAACUUGUCUCCAGUAUUGUCAUGGUAAAACCAUUACGAAACUUAUAUUUUCUCCCUAAAAAUCUUCUAUAAAGCCUGAAAUUACUAGGAAGUUGAGGAAUAAAAAUACAUAUGAGGAGCAAAUAGAAGGAAAACUUGAUGCAACUCGUAUGGUAAAUAAGCAGCCCAGCGGUGGACAAUGGACAUCACAGCCUUAACUUAAUUAUAACCACGACAAAUGUUUCUGUGCAGCUGCUCUUCGAUUGAACACAGUUUGGUUAUGUGUAUAACUUCUAUGUUCACUGAAGUGAAAUUUUUAUCCAAAUAAGAUCUAUAAAUAACAUUGAAACCCAUUCUAUUCUAUCUUCACCAAAUCACCAGUAACACUGUAAAAGAGGUCAUGCAUUCUGGAGGAUCUCAGAGCUCUGCUUUUAAGCUAAUGUUUUUUUCUGCAAAUUUUCUCUUGUUUUUUGAAACUGAUUAGACCUAAAUGAGAAAUUUAUAAGUGGAGUUUAGUACGUAAUAGAGCUUAAUUUGAUACAGUACUUUUUAGGUGAAAAGGAUGUAAUUGUCUGUAAAUUGGUUGUGCCUCACUAAGUUGUCUGUUGGCUGCAAUUAUAUACGGCUCUGUUAUACAAUGAGUUCUUAGCCUGCAAAAUGAAAAUGACACACAUUAAGCCCUGAUAUCACUGUUUAUACUUUAUACCUUAUACACACUGAACAUUAAAUAGUAAGUUAUAAAUCAGCAAAAAAGUAACGAUAGUGGUCAGAAAUUAAGCAGAACAACCAUAAUUCUCUCCCUCCCUCCCUUCCCCUCUCCCCUCCCUCCCUCAUAUUUAUUGAUAUGUUUGUUUUUAUGAUUCAUCACAUGCAUAUAUGUAUCAUUACUUGAACUGUAUAUAUCUACACAUGCUCAUUAAUUAAUGUUCUAUUAUUGUUUGUUUGAAUAUAUGCUUCAUUCUUGUUUGAUUUGAUUGAAAAGUUUCCACCUUUAUCUGAUGUUUUAAUACGAGGAUGCCCUUUUUUUUGUGUCUCAUUCACAGAUCUGUACUAUUGUUGUUGAGUAGUAAAGAAACUAUUCAUGGAGUAUUGUUUUUGCAUUUUUUGAAGACUAUAGUUUCAUGAAUUAGCUCAUAAUAAGGUAAUGCUCUUAUUUGACCUUCUGGCAAUAUAAUAUAUCCUGUUUAUGUUCUUAUGUUGCAUAAACCCUCUUAAUUUACUCCCUUUUAUUAAUUUUCCAUGAGUAAUAUCUGUAUCUUUAUUGAUACAGGGCAUAUCGUUGUGAGGUCGGCCUAAAGUUUUCAUUUUGCAGACACUUUCACACUUAUCAGUUAUCAGGUUAGACUUUUCACUUUUAUCCAUCUGUCUGUGCUAAUUAUUUAAUUGGUUCUUUUUAUCAUAUUUGAAUUUAUGAUUUGAAUUUUUGGUUGAAUAUACCUGCACUAUUGAUUUUGCGUUUAAUAUUUGGGGGAUUUUUUUUUUAAAAAAAAAUUGUGUCUCCUUUUUCCAAGGAUCAUUGGUGAAAUUAAAUGAUAGUUUAUGUAGCUAGAUUAAUUUGCAAAGUAUAAAUCUUCACUCAUCUGGGCAGAUUUUUUUUUUUUUAAUUUUAAAUUUUCUCUUCAAUUGUCACAGAUCUUGUUUAUAGCUUUUUUUUUAAAACCAACCAACAGCUAUUGCUAUUUGGAACCAAAUGUGACAAGUACAAUGGAAAAAAUUGUCAAUGUAGGUGAAACAGGCGGUAAAGAAUUAAUGGAAAGCUAAAAGUGUCUUGGUGAAAUCAUAGUUGUUGAGAUUCUUAUCUGUUCUGUUAAAGUUACAGUUGAAAUGUGUCUAUUGCCAAUUAUGCGUAGUGCUGUAGUCUAAUCUCACAGCACCUUCUCAAACUAUUUGAUUGCUAAUUUGUUAAAUGAAUUUAGUUAUUGUAUAAUCAUGGCUGAAGCAGCUCAACCUGAAAGGUAGACAUACAUUUUAUACGGAGAUGAUUCCGUUGAACUAGACAAAAGACCCGUGUGUGCCCUGUGGGAGGAUAUCUGUUAAAGAUGCUUGGGAUUGCUUCCCGAUUUCCAGUUGGGAGUGCCUCUCUUAAUUUUGACACAAGGUCCUUGACGUGAGGCACACACUGACUUGUGAGGUUUGAACUUGGAGGAGUGCAGGAAAAUAGUUAAUACAAAGUCAGGAACAAGCCUUGUGUAGCAUUGAACUUGUAUUUCUGAAACACAUUCAGAUCACUAGAUUGUAUAUACGUUUUUUCAGUUUAAGUAUCAUGACACUUUUUUUCUGAAUUUAUUAUUAUAAAGUGUUUGCAAGAAGUGAUUGACCUGAGUUUUAUUACCACUCAAUUGCCUAAGUCCAUAGUCUCGAAGACUUGGAGAUAGUUUUUGAGCAUAGCAUAAAUAUGGGGGUUCGAUCAUCAGUCGCUUGUUGAUCCACUAGCAGUAGUAUUCUUUAUUAGUAGCGGACUUGAGGUUGAGGAUAGAGUCGUCAGUGGAGUCGUUGCACAUACACGUACCUAAAUUCUUGCAAAAGGCCAUUUCCCUAUAAAAGAAUGUGGACCAUAAACAGUUGUGCAUUAUCAUACAAACAUCUCAUCUCCUUUAGCAACUGUUGGUCCAUAGUUGAAUUGUUCACUAAUUACUAUAUGGUCAUCUGUUUCAGUGAUGAAACGGGUAGACUUCCGUUUUAUAAUCCUAUUUUCAGCAUUUCUUCGAAUCUUUCUAAUUAUAUAUGGAGAAUGGCAAGACACUCAUAUGGAGGUUAGAUACACAGAUGUCGAUUACUUUGUCUUUUCUGAUGCUGCGGCGCUAGUGGUUUCAGGAGUCUCUCCUUACAAAAGGUCUACAUAUCGAUAUUCACCCUUAAUCGCAUAUCUUCUCACACCAAAUUCAAUAGUUCACCGGUCAUGGGGAAAAGUUCUCUUCUCUAUUUCAGGUAUCCCUUAUGUUUUACACUAAUUACAAUGGAUCUGUCAAUAUUUUCUCUUUUUGUGUUUAUUUUUUUUUCAUAUUUUAAAUAUUAAAUCGUAAAUAAACAAGGACAGAGCAAAUUGACAAAAGGCAUUCAUUUUAAUCUAUAUUGGUAACAAGUCAAUACCUUUUCUUUUGGUCUUAAUUUGUUCUCUUUUCUAUAUAUAAUUUGUAUGAGACCAUCUGAAAAUACUAACUGUGUUAUACUUGUUUUGAAGAUCUGCUUGUGGGAUAUUUUAUCCGGUCAAUUCUGAAGCUACAAGGUGUUUCUGAUGAAAUAUGCAUCUACUCCGUAAUGGUAUGGCUUUUUAAUCCGUUCACCUUCACAAUUGGAACCCGUGGGAAUUGCGAGCCUAUUAUAUGUGCUAUGGUUUUGUGGAUUAUUUUAUGUCUCUUGAAAGGUAUUUCAUCUUCUUUGUAAUGACUUCCCCAAUCUACUUGUCCUUUGUGUUUUUUGUUGCUUUGUUAAUUAAUUAAAAUGUGGACAACUCAAGUCCUUGUAAAAUAUAAUCUUCAUUGGGUUGCUGACAGAACUUACAGUUAAAAGGAAGAAAGGAAGCCAUGCAAAAUAAAGGAUAAUAUGCACCAACUUUUGUCAAUAUAUAUGUAUGAAUUCCUUAAGACAUUAAUUUUUUAAUGUGUUGGUAAAAUCACAUGCCCUAAUUUUACCUGGUUAUACAAUUUGUACUGUUUUGAAAUGUAUGAAACUUUUGAACGAAACGGUGCCCUCGGUGUGCAAGUGAAGCAUGGUUUUGAAUUUGCCAGUGACAAGUUGGGAGGACUCCAUAUUGUUAAAAUAUAUUGCUGAGCCCCCACCCACCCACACACACACACAACACACACAGAAUUAUCUCUUGUUACUUCUAGGCAAUUUGUGGUUAGCACUCCCAGUACUAGUCACAUUUCACGUAAAUUGUAUUAGGCUGCUCCUCAAUAGUUUUCUCUUGAGUUACGACAUAUUGUUCUUCAUUCUACAGGCAAGUUGUUACAGGCUGCAUUUUGGUACGGUCUUGUUGUCCACCUGAGAAUAUAUCCUAUUAUUUAUGCACUUCCAAUCGUCUUGGCCCUUGAGCCUUGCAAUUUUCAAUCUGGUAAAAGGCUUAUCCUUCGAAAAUGGAGUUCUAGAGAUAUUAAGGCAGCGCAGAGGUCAAGUACCAAGAAUGUAUCUGACCUAGUUCAGAAAUUGGGAGUUAUUGCAAGGUUGCUCACUAAAGAAAGAAUUCAGUUUGGGCUUCUCUCAGGGACUGUUUUCUUCUUUUUUACAGGAAUUUUCUUUUACCUGUAUGAAUUAGAGUUCUUGCAUGAAGCCCUAUUAUACCAUCUUACACGUACGGAUCCGAGGCAUAACUUUUCUAUAUACUUUUAUCACAUAUAUCUCCAUUAUGAGCGAGAGUUUUCACUUCCAGAGAAGCUUGUCUCUUUUCUGCCUCAAGUUAUAGUGCAGCUUGUUCUCAUAUCCCGCUUUAGGAAGGAUUUGCCUUUCUGUUUCUUCUUGCAAACUGUGGCUUUUGUAGCUUUUAACAAGGUUUGUUAUCUAUAACUCAUAAGUUUCUGAAUCUGUUAUAAUCAGUCAUUUGUCAGCUCGAGUUAUUUGAAGGAAUCUUGAAUUUUGAGUCUACAAAAGCUACACACCCUUGUGUGAACAUAAAGUCCUUGUUGUGCUUCAAAAUCAUGUAAGCAGGCAAAUCAGUCUCUUGGAUUAAUUGAUUCUGAAUUAUACCAUUUUCUCUGACAGGUCAUAACAGCACAGUACUUUGUGUGGUUCUUUUGCCUAUUGCCUCUAAUACUCCCUUGGAGUAAUAUGAAGCCAAAACAAGGCUUAGUAUGCAUUUCUCUGUGGGUUGGAGCACAAACACACUGGCUACUGUGGGGCUACCUUCUUGAGUUUAAAGGCAAGCAAGUUUUUUUGUGUCUCUGGGUGGCAAGUCUAUUAUUCCUGGCCGCCAAUACUUUUGUCCUCAUUUGUGUCAUCACCCAUCAUACCUGUUCCCCGUUAUUCAGACCCUUGGAACAUGUGAAUCGAACGAAAUCAGCAAAAUACAAGCAAUGACCUGGAUCACAAUCUUAACCUGUAUUAAUGAUUUACUAUUGAUUUUAGAAACCCAAUUUUGCUUGAAUUAUAGUUUUUUAGUGUCAAAGUGUCAUUCUUUGAGUUGUAUACAGUGGUAGCGUAAGCCGUCAGGCCAGUUUUGUAUGAUUGUAUAUCUACUAGAUAUUAUGAUGAAGUAGUGUUGAAACUUUAUUAUAACAAGAAACUUGGAACAUGAAUUUGUGAUGAAAAUGCUUUGAUAUCAUAAGAUAAAUCAUUUUCUGGCAGUCUGGCUGAUUAAAGGUCGCUAGUUUUGGUUGCUUCCCUAGAUAAAUUGAUCCCCUACUCCAUUAUCCCAUGUGGUUUACGCCAUACGUACAAUGUGGUGGUAACGGAUAACCCAGUGUCAAAGACAUAUUUAUCCGUGUAAAGACAUAUUUGCGGCUUGUAAGAGCAAGUCUAAUAGGUUACCUAAACUUGCUCUUAAACUUACAUUUAGGUAAUGUAUUAAAAACAAGCACUCCAAUACUAAAUCACUGACACAACCUCAAAUAGCCAUUAUUUAUUUAUAGGUAAUCCCUAGCCAUUACCUAUAUAAUAUUUAUGAAUAAAACAAUCAUUUCUCUCCUUAUUUCUUUGUCUUUUCCCUCCUCCCCCAAAUUUAUUAUUAAAAUAAUCUUAGGAGAACAAAUACAAGGAUUGCUAUUGGAAUUGAAACUAAAAUAAAUUACCUAAAUCACUAAGACUCACUAUGAUUCAUUAUUUUAUAUUAUUAAUAAGUAAUGAGAUAAGUAACCUAUUCAACUCGCUCUACAAGGUCAAUUGAUUUGUUUACAUCAAAAGGUUACAAGGCGGCAAAAAUAGGGAAUUGAAAAUAAUUAAUUGAUAUACCGAUUCAGUGAUUGACAUACCGAUUCAGUAUUUGGAGAGAUUUAUCUGAUUUUUUGAAUAAAUCAGAGAUUUUUAUUCAAAUCGAAAUAUAAUUGAUAAAUUAAUAAAAAAAAUUAUUAGAAUUAAUCGGAGUUUGGAGUCACCAUGUUAUAAUAUUGGCAAAUGGAUGUUUCUUAAUGUGACACCGGACCAAACAUUUGGCAGAAGACCGGAUGGUGAGAAAGUCUAAACUGCGGGAGGGCGCACAGUACCGAAUGUGCCCAACUGAGUAUUAGUUUUUCAUGUGCAGAACAGAUGAAUGUUAUCAACAACUCAACAUAGUCGGGAAAGAAUGGUGAUAGGAGUAUGAUGUAAUAUGAGCCUAGACUCGGACUCUUCCUGUUAUAGUACAGUGAGAUAUAUCUCUUUAAUUCCGGGAUCUUGGAUAUAAACUACUCCCUCUGUCCCUCUCAUUUCUUUACGGUUACUAUUUUGGGAUGUUCCCUCAUUUAUUUACAUUACUAUAAAUAGUAAGUUUUUCUCAUCAUUACACCCACUAUCUUCUUCCACUAUCUCAUAUUUAACAAUAAAAAUUACUAUUACACCCACUACUUUCCUCCACUAUCUCGAAUCUAUUAUUAAAUAUUGAUAGGUCCCACUACUUUACCCACUUUUCAUCUAACUUUACUCAAUUUUCAUACAUGUCUUGGUCUCCGUGUCCCCCUCCAAUGUAAACAAUUGAGGGGGACGGAGGGAGUAGUAAUGAAUGGCACCAAGGUGAGCGAAAACCCGAAUAAAUUCGAAACAGAAAUCGCGAAAAAUUGUAAAAAAUCAAACCGAAAUCGAAAAUAAAAAUUUAAAAACCGAACUGUGUACGUGUGUGCAAAGUAUAACGAAUUAAUUUAAACCAAGCAAUUAAUCCGAAAUCAAAUCAGAAUUAAUUUCCUGCAUUCGUGUCCGCAGGUCGCGCGGAAAAGCCCGAGGCUUGCGAAGCCACACACGCGGGAAAAGCCCGAGGCUUGCGAAGCCACGAAAUUUCCCUCGAAAUCCCACAAUUUGCACCCCUGCGCGCACGUAGGUGGUGGAGCACUAAACAUAAGUUAAACACCUCAUAUGUGUUCUAAUAUAUAAAGCCAUGGAAGGCCCAUUUUCUUUUCUAUGUGGGACACUAGUUUCUUUUCCAACUUUCCACUUCUAAGGAAGCAACUUUGGAUCAUCACAACUCAUCCAUUCCUUAAUCAUUUUGAGUGAAUAAACAUGCAUUGGAAAGUUCUCUCGGAGGAGAACAUAAUCCAAGCAUAACCCGCCACGAACACGUAACUGAGCCUUACUCAAAUUUGUGCUCAAAAUGACAAACUUCCAACAAAAUAUAACAACUGCUAUUUGACAUCUUGUGCCUUGCUAUAUUAACAAAGCAAACAUGCCAUUCAUCAUAGUUGAAGUACGAAGCACUUUUUAAGAAACGGAAUUCUGUGAGUAGGAGCCUUAAAAUUUGAAUGCUUUAGUUGUACCAGAAUGUCACUUAUUUUUAUUUAUAAAUUAUAAAAAGGUAACUCUGUGCUCCCCAAACUGAUGUUUAGUUCUAUGUUUCGGGGUGGGAGGUUUCUUAGUUAAUUUUAUUCUUAAUCUCUAUUGCAAGUGUACGAUAAACAUGUUGUCUCCUUGUGAAAUUCUUAACAAAGCUUCACCUGGUGUUGGAGCUUCGACUCGGAUGAACUGAUUUGUGUUGGAGCUUCACUUAGUGUUGAAGCUUUUCAUGCGAUUUUUAACCGAAACUGAACCAAGAGAAACCGAAUUCGAGGUUUUGAAAUCGAAACCGACAAUGAGAUUAUGGUUGAGAUUUUUUAUUUUUAAAACUGGGGACAUGGGGUUCAGGUAAAAUCGCACCAAACUCACAUCCGCUCUCCCCUAAAUGACAUGACUCUAGCUAUUGGGUGUCGCAAAUUGAUGAUAAACUCGAUUUUAUAUGGAAAAUGUCAGGUACCUCAACAAAAAAUAUUCAAAAAAAUUCCAAAUUUCACGUAUCAUUUUGCAAUUGGAUAUUGAGUCAUUAUUUAAUGGAUCUGCAUUUAGAUCAAUCUCAUCAAUAUAAUUAUCUCAAAUUAAUGUAUCCUAAAAUAUUUUUGAAAAAAUAAUUUGAAUUAUCUAGUAUAGUCCAUUUUAUAUUUUAAAAAUAACAAGAAUAGUUAAAAUUUGUAUAGCUCAGAUCCCGAAACUAGGUGGUCCAAUAAGUGGGAAUAAUUGAUUAUUUAUGUCUGCCACAAAUCUUGGUAACCAUAUGCCAUACAUAGGCAUGUUUGAAUGCUGCUUUUCGCCGGUUUUGUUUUUACAAUUUAGAAUCAGUAUCCUUGUGUAAAGAAGUGAUAGAGAUCAACAUGUGGUUUAUAAAUUAAAAUUUGAUAAGUUGGAAAUUCUAAAAUUUUCAAUUGUUUAUUUUCAAAUAAUAAAUUAAUCACAAUAAAAAAAUUGUUUAUAAUAUCUUAUAAUAAUAAUAGUAAUAGUAAUAGUAAUAGUAAUAAUUUCUAUAGCUAAGAAGUUGUAGAGAUAAAAUAAUUUAUAUAAACAUAUAAAACAAAAAAUUAUUUCUUUUAUUAAUAACAUUUCACUUAUAAGCAAUAAGAACUACUUAUAAGUUAAACCAAACAGCCUUCUGGCUUCCCACCGUUCUAAAUUCUGUUUAAGCAGAUUUUUUUGGCAGCAAAUGUUUUCAUGCUUUUUCCUCUUUCACUUUCAUUUAAGAAUAACCUAAAUCCAUCCAUCUUAAAAGAAGUAGAACUUCUAAUUUUUAUGUGCAUCACGAGAUGUAAUAAUCUUUUAAAAUUUUCUGAAUUAAAAUCCUAUAUUUUUAUUUUAUAAAAUAAAAAAAUAUAUAAAAAAAUGAUCGGAACGGAAAUAGCCCUAGUUACCUAGGUGCAGUACUGAUACUCCCUCCGUCCCCCUGAGUAGGAUACAUUGGGGGACGGAGACGCGGCACGGAUUUUAAUGCUCCUCUAAAGUGUAGUUGUGUAAUAUAUUUUUAAAAUUUUUUUUUUUUGAAUUAAAGUUUGGAUUUUAUAUUUGAAAAAGAAAAUCUCAAAAAUAAAUUACGGAACUAUAUUUCAUAAGAACAUUGAAAUACGUGUCGAGCAGUUGAAAAGAAACGUACACUGUUAGAUGGCAUAGAGGGAGUACUACUUUUGACUUAAUCGACUUGUAAAUGGAGAAAUGACAUCCAAUAUCCAACAUCACUGCAGAGCUGAUACUACUGUUUAAUACUCCAUUUGAUAUGACCGAGUACUGUUUGAAUCCUGCUUUAGUGCUUUAACUUCGUUUUCAAAAUCACAAAAGCAAAAGCCAAAUCAAAUCACACUUUAUUUUAAUCCAUUUUUAUCUUACCAAAGGGGAUGCUCUUGCAAACUAAAUAUUUGCAAUCCAAACCUCUGAAUUUUCGUUCAAAAAUGAUAUUGUACUCAUAAUUUUGUAAACUUAAAUCGCACUCCUUAUAUUUAUAUUUCAAAAACGAUACUCACCCCCUCCGUUAAAUUCUGUUAACUUCUAUUAAAAUAUCUCAUUCGUCUCAAUUUAUAUGUCCCUUUUACUUUUUGAGGAGUCAAAUUGACUAAUUUUUAACCAACUAUUAGAAAGCAUUUAUUUAUUAUUUUAGGAAAUCAAAAGUUACAUAUUAAAAUAGACUAGAUCUACUUUUUGAUGAUAUUUUUUAAAAAAAAUUUGUUCAAUUUUUCAAAGAGAAUAAAUUAAAAUUUAUAUAUUUUAUUCAAUAUAUAAAUUUAUGUGUUAUUUAUAAUAAAUAUCACAUAAUAUUUAUUUUUUAUAUUUAAAAUAGUGUAUAUUUUAAGUACUUAAUACACACACACUAAAAAUUUAAAAUUAUUUGAUAUGUAAAAUUAUUUUGACUUGGGGAUAGCUUAAUUAAACAAAAAUUUAAAAAAAAAUAACGUCAAAAAGUAAAUCUAGUCUAUGUUAAUAUGUAACUUUCUAUUUUCUAAAAUAAUAAAUAAAUAUUUUCUAAUAGUUGGUAACGAAAUUAGUCUAUUUGACUUCUCGAAAAACAAAAAUGACAUGUAAAUUGAGACGGAGGGAUAUUUUAACGGAAUUUAUCGGAGGGGUGCGUAUCGUUCUUGAAAUGUAAAGAUAAGAGGUGCGAUUUGAGUUUUCAAAAGUAUGGCUGCAAUAUCGUUUUCGAACGAAAGUUACAGAGUUUGAAUUGCAAUUAUCUCUUAAAAUAAUAUGAAAUAUUGAUAUAUUAAAUUUAACCUGCGAGAUGUUGUGUUUGUGUCCAUAAUCAUAUCAAAUCAUUCUGCAAAUGAUUAAAUUGAAUUUUAGCCCGGUCAAAAUUGAAUAAAAUAUAAUCCAACAAUUUCAAUUUUUUCUAACUGUAUUUUGAACAUCCCCGCUUUGAAAAUUAUGUUCUAUAAUAUAAUUUAAAAGUUCAAAAAUUACUUUUAUAAAUUGAGAUACACGAUGUGCAUGUUUGGGGAAGGGCAAUUCCGGCUUGUUUUGACAAGGAGGCAUUUCUACUUUUCUUGACCGUUUGGGUAAAAAAUGAGAAGUAUUUAUGAAAAACUAAGAAUGCUAAGUUUUGUUUCAGGAUUUCUAAUUUUUUUCCCAGACAGUUUACUCACUUAUAAGUUUAAUUAUUUCUCACUUCUGAUCAGCUUCUUUACUUUAAAGAAGACAUACUUUUCUUAAGUUUACUCAAACGGCCCCUUCGUUCUAGUAUAUAAUUUAAUGAUUGUUAAAAUCGAUAAAUGUUAACGAUUAAUUGAUAAUGAUGUUUAAGGUACACUAUAAAUUAUAAAUUACAUAAGAUAAUCAAACAUCAAACAUAUUAAUUAUAAUUAAAUUUAAAAACUAUAAACAAUGUUUCUCUAGCUUAAAAACGAAUUUUCACAUAACCCAACUCUACAGCAAUAUUAAUAAGAAAAUAAAUUAUUUAAAAUUUUAGGAUCAAGAGAGGAAGAGGUUCGACAAAUAUAAUUAACAUCAAUAACAAAAAAUAGUAAAGUUUAGAUAAGAAAAAUAUGUGUUGGGGUGGGGACUUUUUUGUACAUAGUCAAUUAUUUUUAUUUAAUAAAUUUUCUUGUCCAUUUUAAUUAAAUUUAUAGUGUCUUGGAGAUGCCGUUAGACUUUGUUAUUUUAAAAUAUUAAAAAUGAAAAAGGUUUUUUCGUCAGAAAUAAAAAUCAAGAAGUUAAAUUUUAACAAAAACUAAUAUUCUUACAACUAUUCAUAAUUGUGUUUGAUGAGCAGUGUUAUAGAAAUCGGAAAUUGAACAUAAUCGGCUGAGCUACCGACUCAGGGAUUAAUUGGAAAUCGGAGAUUAAUCGGAGUGAAAAUCAUAUUUAUUUUAAUAUUAAAAUAGUAUUUAGUUAUUAUGAUAUUAGCUAUUUAGUAACUAAUAUAUUUACUAUAUUCAUAAACUCUCCAAUUAUUCAUAUUUAAAGUAAUAUAGUAUUUUACUUUUAAUAAUUUAUCAUAUACACUUCGAUUAAAAAAUAUAUAUAAAAAUAAAUCGGAUUUCAAAAAUCCCGUCGAUAAAUACCCGUUGUUUCUAAAAGAUUUGCCAUCUACAUCCCUGCCUCCCAAAAAAGUACUUCCCCCCGUCUCUAAAUACUUUUCCUGUUUGUACUUUCACGUUUGCCAACACACACUUUUGAUCGUUAAUAUUUUUCAUUUCAUAGUAGCAUUAAAUAUAAAAAUUUCACCGUAUUAAAGUACUCGUGAAUACGAAUCUAACAAGAUCACUCAUGACUAUAUUUAGUUUUGUAGAUUAGAUGUAAAUUGGUAAUUUAUCUCUUGUUAUGAACAGUACCGACAUUACAAACAGGAAAAGAAAAAAGAAACGGAGGGAGUAUAAAAGUCCAGCAAAUUCCCACAAAACACAAUUACAGAAAUACCUAAAAAGAAAAAUCCCAAUAAAAUAAAAUAAAUUUAUACAGAAACAAAACAAAAGAGGCGGGCCCACAGAAACGAGUAAAGCACGGGGAUGGGCGUAACUGCAUAAGUGAACUACAAAGUCCAGAAGGAAAAAAGAAGAUGCUCCGGAUAUUCCCUCUUACAAUCACUCAUCUCCCAUCCCCAAUCCAAUCCCUUUCCCUAUUCGAUAACUCAUUAUAAUAAUCUUAUUAUUAUUAUUAUAUUACUCAUCUCUUUUUCUCCCUUUAUAAAUUCGAUUAUUUUCAUUCAACCCCUCCUCAAAAACACACACAAAAAACACACACAAACCUUAAUUAAGACAACUGAACAUGCCGCUUUCAACUGACUCCUCAUCGUCUAUGAAUCAACAACAACAACUGCUGGAUAAACUCAAAGUCUUCAAGAUCCAAGGCCGUGACAAACGUGGUCAUAUCAUCCUUCGCAUCCUCGCCAAAUUCUUCCCUGGUAAUUAUUUUAUUUUAUUUUAUUUUUGUUUAUCACAUGCAUGGGCACCAUGUUUUGUAUUCGAUUAAUUUUUUUUUUGAUUUAUUAGCUCGAGAUGUGAGCGUUGACGGGGUGAACAAAUACUUGGAAGACAAGAUAUUCCCGGAGCUUGAGAAACGCUCGUUUUCCGUUCUUUACGUCCACACCGACGUCGAAAAGAGCCAGAAUUUCCCCGGAAUCUCCGCCCUCCGAUCGUUUCACGACGCGAUUCCGGCCACCGUCAUCAACAAUCUCCAGGCUGUCUAUUUUCUCCACCCGGGACUUCAGUCCAGGCUCUUUCUCGCCACUUUUGGCCGCUUCAUGUUCUCCUCAGGGUACGUGAAAUAAUUGUUUUCACGCUAAAAUUGUUCUCGACUUUUUCAAAUUAAUCACACCUAAUUUUCUCUGAAUUAAUUUAAUCAUAUUUGUUAAAAAAAUAUUAGUAAAUAUUAAUGUUAUGUUUUUCGAAAUUCUGAUUCCGUCAGUUACGAAAGAUUUUAAUACGGAUUGAUUUUGUUUUGUACAGGUUGUAUGGGAAACUGAGGUAUGUGAGCAGAGUAGAUUACUUGUGGGACCAUGUAAGGAGGAACGAGAUUGAUCUCCCAGAGUUUGUGCAUGAUCAUGAUGAAGAUCUUGAGUACCGUCCGAUGAUGGACUAUGGAUUGGAAAGUGAUCAUCCGAGGGUGUAUGGUGCGCCUUCAGUGGAUUACUCCCCUUCCACUUACUCCACCAGGUGUAUUUCGUAGUUGGGGGAUGGGACGACGUCGUUUUGAAGUUGCCUGCUUUGAAUUUUGUUGUUAUGGUGGUUUGAAGCUUUAUGGGAAAUAUAGUGAAUGUUAGGUUGUGAAAGAUAGUAAAAAACGAAGUUUGGAAGCAAAGAGAAAAAUGGAAUGCUUCUUGUAGUAUAGUUUUGUUUUCGUAAAUUAAUUUCAUAGUUUUUGUUCAAUCUUUUUAUGGAAUGGUUAUAUACUCGAAUAAAUAUUUCUUUUUUAAUAUCAUUACUAAGAUUUCAUUGGGUAAGCCAAUACACAAUAACUUGUGAAGCUAUAUCAGAUUAUCGAAAAAAUUGAGAAUCGGAAUUAAUAUGAUUUAUGAUUUAUUGGAAUUUUGUCGGACAUUUUAUUAAGAGCAAUGCUAGGUACCCCAAAAGAUUUAAUCUACAAGGGGCCUCAUUAUUUUGGGAGUAAAUGCAACCAAUCAGGAUUAGACACCUCAUUUGGGAAAAAAAUUUGGGACAAUUUUUUGAGGUCCCUAACAUUUUUCUUUUAUUAAUGAAUAGAUAAUUUUUAGUUAAUCAAAAUAUAAAUCGAUGAACAAUUGAAUACGUGCCGAAUUUCCGUCCCCGGUAAACAAUUGAGGGACGGAUCACGGGAGGAGUAUAUUUUUGGCCAAUGAGUAGUGUCCACAAUGUUGUGAUAACUGAUAACGGCAUAACGCUAACUUCUCAUACAAAUAUACAUUUUUUUGACUUUUUUUUUUUUUACAGAUACAUAUUUUUGACUUUGAAAGUUCAAAAUGAUACAAAACAGGCUCUCGUUCAAAAAGUGAAAGCUGGGUCAUCAUCAAAGCAUUAACCCUAUCACUAAGCAAGUGGUAUGAAUGUCAAUAAAAUUAUCUAGCAAAUGAAACAGAUAAUUCAGAUUCAGAGUACUAGUCAUACAAUCAAGCCUUACCGUAGAAAAAAAAAAAUGAAUGAUAAAUUAACAUUGUGGAUUGAACGAGAAACCAAAAAUUUCAUUGACAUUCAUUGUGGAUUAAAAAAAAAAUGAAUGAUAAAUUAACAUUGUGGAUUGAACGAGAAACCAAAAAUUAUCACUAAGCAUUAACCCUAUCACUAAGCAUUAAAAAAAUUGAUGUAAAACAAAAACAAAAAUAUCAAUUUCAUAAACAAAAGAAAGACAUCACAUCGAUUCUCAUAAAAGAAUGAUGUAAAACGUUACGAUACACAUCAGUUUCACAAGUCUUUCGAUAUUAAUAUACCGUUCUAUUAUAUAAUGAUAUUGAUGACAUACGAAUGAAGAACUGAAAUUAUAAUAAAGGUAUAUACUUUUAAAGUGGCUAGAUUAAAGUUGCGAAUAGACAUAAUGAAAUUUAAUUUUCAAUAAUAACAAAAUAGUAUUCUCAUCCCAUUUUAUUUCAGUUAUUUUUUUUUUGGUUGAAUUUUCGAAAGGAAUAAAUCUUUUAUUCACAACCUCUAUAUAAAAUUAUAAAUACACUUUUGUAUAAUAGUGUAAUAAUUAUUUCACUUUUCAUGAUUCAAAUUAAAGGCAAACAUUUCAUUCUUAAAAAAUAUGUUGCUCAAACAGGUUCAUAUAAAACGGGAGAUCGAGGGAAAUGAAAAGGAAAGCAUAAUAUAGCAUUCUAAACAUGUUUUAAAUGUAUGUGAUUUGAAAUAAAAAAAAAUUAUUUAUGAAAAAACUGUUUUAUCAAUUUUUACCGAACAAGAAUAUAAAAUAUUAUUAUAAAAUCAUGAUAAAUUCUAUUAUUCCAAAACUGGCUGCUAAUCUUAUAAAAAAUAAAAUAAAAUUGUCCGCCACUAAAUUCGUGGGCAAGGUUUAUCAAACAGUCCAUAAUUCCACCCUUCAACUACACACUCACUCAGCUCCGCUCACAUUUCCGGUCAGUUUGCGACAAUCUCGCUUAUAUUCACGUCUCUUUACUUUGUUGCCCAAUUAUCUUGGUUUUUUUUUUAUUAUUAAUUGCAGCUUGUAUAUCAAUUAUUACAUUUUUAAUUGUUAAUACACCUGAUGAAAUGAACAUAAUUACACAUGAACAAUUUCCCUCGUGAAAUCAGUUACUAAUUUUGAAGUACAAUUGUGCGAUGCUGAAUUCUGCGGUGCUAAUUGUCGAUUAAUUAACUUAAUAUGACACCUGUAGUUCUGAAUUUCGAUAUUUAUGAGUAAUUUUUAGACUGCAUUUAGGUUAAUGAUGUCCGUGUUUGGAUUAGCCUUGUUAGCCGAAAACAUGUCAAAUGUGUGUCUUGUAAGGGAAUAGAGGCAAUGUAAAAUCUACGGGAUGAUAAUCAUAAUAAAUUAAUAAUAAUGGCGAUAAUGAUUAAGUGGCUGUUUAAGGCCUAAUUGUUUGUUGAUUUCAUUUGUUAGGGUAAUUGUUGGUGGAUGUGAUAGACAUGGAUUUCUUGCGUUGGGCGUGUCCAUCACCGGAAGAACAGAAGUCGUGCAUCAACAAGUAAUGCAAGCAAUUAAGUUGAUUUCUAUAGCUAUGAAUUUAGAGAGUUAAUGAGUGUGAUUGGCGAUUUUUUUCUAGGUCUGUUGCUUUUAAUUACGAUAUUAAAUAUAAAGGAGCUAGUGCGAAGCCCGCGUCUUCGCUUCAAGAAAAUGAGGAGCUUAGUAAAGAUGGUUUCUUUGUUAAUCACGCAAAAGUUUUACUGGGUUCGGGGCCUGAGACUUAUGAGAAAGGCAAGACUGCACUGCAGACUUGGAAGUGAGUAUAUAAAAUUCUGGAUAGUAGCUAAUUUAAUUUAAAGGAUAUUUUGGUAUCUAAUGGAAAUUUGGUUUGUAGGCAUUUCGGAAUGAAUUGGGCUUUUGUUGAUCCUCAGACUCCAGUCCAAACAGGGGAGAAGUUGUGUGUUUGUGUCAAAGAGAUUGUACCAUGGAUCAUGAUGCCCCUGCAGGUUGUGUUUGUAAAUGAAAGCAAAAUGGCUAAUAAGCCUGUGGCCUCUUUCAGUUUCGGUAGCGGUACCCUCAAAGGACACCUACUGGUUAGUGCUUCUUUGCAAGUUCUGAGCAUGUAUUCACUGCAAGUCCUGGGCUUUUAGUCAUGCCAAUAGAUAUGAGUUACUAGAAAAUAGUUUUGUUUUCCAAACUCAUCAUAAUUAUUUUUUACUUGAAUGAGGCCUUGAUCUUCAGUAGUCUUUGGAAAGAAUUCUCAAAUUCACCUUUACUAAAAUCAUCAAGAGGUUCAUUGUCAGAACAUUUAAACUGCAUUGUUUGUUUGUCACAAAGAAGUGUACCUCGUUAAGCACCAAAGUCCCCAUGUAUAUAACUCAACUUGCAUCUACUCUUUAGUCUCAACUGUUAUUACCUUUUUUGCAACCUGAAACCUUUUCCUUGUGCAAGAGGAACGGUGUCCAGUUCGUAAAAAAUGCCAUAGUUUUUUCUAUCAACAGCUACAGUUAUGACAUUUAUGCAUUAAUGCUAUUAGCUAUAUAUAAUUGACUUUCUUUCGGUUUUAGUUGUUUAACAAUUGUUGUUCAUACAUACCAAGUCUGGUAAUGUAGGUUGGUCUAUUGCUCUCGGUCUCGGAUAUUGUAAAUUUUCAAUUAAUGCUAUUCCGAAUUUAUUAGGAAAAUAUUCUGUAGUGCUGCAAAUGGUUGUAAUAAGAACAUUCCAAAGUGAAAAAUUAUUGUUGGAAUCCCACAUUGAUAAAAAGUUUCAUAUCUGAAUAGAUCUCCAAGUGAUAUCAUGCAACUUUUAGACUAUUCAGAGGUGUCAAUCUUAUAAACCAAACCAAAUGUACCCAGUAUGUCCCACUUAUCGCAGAGGGUAAGAUUUUUGGAGUCUUACCUUCAUUCAAAAGAAUGAAGAGGAUGUUUUCAUAAAGACUCCCGGCUUGUGUUUGUACAUGUGUGCGAUUAUGUACAAAGUGAAAAUUACUACACAUAAGAAAACAAGAUAUAUCAAAUACAUGUACAAACAAAAUUUGAUCAUAUAAUUUGUAAAGUGAUCAAGUCAGUAAGUAACCGAGCCCAUAAUUUUCUUGACACGGGACUUACUUGUGAUUUGAAUUGAACCAUAAAAUCUGUAGAUUUCACUGCUCCAUCAAAAAUCCCUAAUUUCUUCAAUUAUUUCCAGGGUCUUAUUCAUCUCUAAAUGUUAAUAAAAUAAUCUCGAUUUCUGUUAGCGUUGUUGAUGUCCCUGUCAUGUGGUUGUGCCUUGGCAGCAAUACACUCACCCACAAUUUUAUACACAAAUUCACACACAUAAUAUACAUAAACCUUAUAAACUAGAUAGAAAGGAAUGGUUAAAGUUUGUUAUUUGUACUUCUGAUUUGACAGUCAGUAAAUAAGGAAGAUGAAAAAUAAUGAUAAUCACAAGUAAUUUGUAUGGAUCCAAGUAGAUUUGAAGAAAUGGAAAUGACAAUGUAAAACAAAUUCUUUUUCACAUUGGUAUUUGGGAUACUAUGGCCCUGUUUGUUUAAGAGAAGCUGAAGCUGCUUCUGGCUUCUGCUUCUCUUGAUCCGUUUGUGUAAAAAAGUAGAAGCACUUUUAAGAAGCUGAGAAUGCUAGCUUCUCUCUCACAACUUCUGCUUCUUUUCCAAACACUUUAUUAACUUAUUUACUUUUCACUUCUGCUCCACUUCUCUAGUUUAAGCAAGAAGUCACUUCUUUUAAGCUUGUCCAAACAGCCCCUAUAACUAUUGGUUCCAUUUUCGUUAAUUGCUGUAAAAUAAAGCAGUCUGAGUUUCUUAUGUACUUUUUAAUGCUACCUGAAAAGCUUAGCAGUUAACCAUUCUAAUGUUAUCUAUCAAUUGGAUAUAAUUUGUUAUAGCUCCAGCUUAUCUGUUGCAUGCAUCAGCCAAGUCUAGUGUUUAAACUAGUGACUAAUUGGUGGGGCUGACAUUCAGAAAUUGUGGUCAUGCUUAUCCUUUCAUUGGUUAUUUGCUAAACUGGUGUGUUCAGUGCAUUUUUAUUGUUUUAACUUUAGCAAUCAAAUCAUUCAUCAAGUUUAUGUAAAUACCUCUAGUACUCUAUAGUUGCUGUAAUAAGUUAUUAGCUUUGUGCUCAAUACCCUCAAACAAUAUAGUUGCAUAAUAAAUAUUAAGAUUUUACUUGGUUGUAUAUCUUUUUAGUAACAAAGAGUUAAUGUAAUAUAUUCCUUUGUUGAAAACAGGCUGGUGAAGAGCGUUUCUCAGUUGAGCUAGACGAGAACAAUCAAGUUUGGUAUGAGAUACUUUCUUUUUCAAAGCCGGACCACUUUAUCUCGCGAAUUGGGUAUCCAUAUGCGCGUCUCAGACAAAAGUACUUUGCUAAUCAAUCUAGUUCUGCAAUGCAAAAUUAUGUAUCUUCCAACUAAAUUACUUAAUAUCCUUGUCACUUUUUAUUUUGAACUUUUAGCAAAUAUUAUGUCCUAUAGAUCUGUAUAAUUUGAAUAUUUUCAGUUAACUUUAUAUACAAAGAUUAAUAGGCUGUUUCUGGAGUCAAUAAUUCUAUAGGUGAACUGUUGACCAUCAUUUCAAUCAGGAAUGCCGUUGUCAAAGUCGCACAUUGGUUGACAUAUAUUGAACGAUAUGGUGGCAUCAACUUUUCACACUUAGUGACUUACAAAUCGGGAUGAACAGAAAGUGUGAUAUAGUGCAAAAGCAAUAAUCAUGUUGAUAAUUAGUUUAAUUACAGGAUUGAUAUGCAUUUUGUUAGUAAGAGUUGGAAACUUGAAUAUUAAAUAUAGUUAUUAGCAUUUUGGUCUCAGUUCUGAAGUGGGGUAGUUGUGGAUAAUGUAGGGAACUAUUAAAUGAGAAUAAUAUGUGAAAAAAACUAAAUAUUAAAUGAGAAAGAAUGAAAAACCAACACGAAAAGAUUUCUCCUUAGGUUUGUAUCGUAAUUCUUAGCAUUUCAGGUCUAUAUUCUUUAAGCACAUAAUGAAACCACUAAACUUCUGAUGCUAUGAAGUUUCUUGUGGAAAUUAGGCUGCUGCCUUCAUCUCGAAGAACUGAGAGAGUUAUAUAAUGGGAAUUUUUAGUUGAUCGGAGUUUUGCAACGCCUAGAGUCUUUUAAAGAUAUUGCUAAGAAGGUUUAUGCAAUUCAUUUUAUGCUUCUAUUCAGUAGCAAAAACAUACCUGUAGGAUCUUGAUGCUGAAGUAUGUCAUGUGUAUCACCUAUUAGAUAUGGUGGAUCCAGAACUGAAAGGAUUUCCUGAGGAUGAAGUCAUUAGAUAUAUCAAAAUUGCAUUUUUCUGCACGCAGGGAUCAGCAAGUAGGAGGCCAACAAUGGGCCAAGUUGUUGACAUGCUCUCAAGAAACACCAGGUUGAAUGAGAAGGAACUGUUGGCCCCAGGUUUUUCCCAAGAUAUGGGUGCACGUUCAUCUUCGAGGAACAAGUCAUCUGAUACCCCAACAAGCACUCAGAUGAGCUCUGUCCCCAUCUCUGUCACUCAAAUCACCCCUAGAUAAAACUCGAGUUUCCUUAUUUUGUAGACAAGAUUUAAAAAGGAAUUCGAAGGCAAAAAUGUGCUACAUAUGCNUAUUUGAAGACCAUAUCUUACACCCUUAAUUAAAACAAUAAACAACGGCAGAUGUGAAGACAUGUGGCAAGUCUUUAAUAUUUUAAUAAAUGUAGAUAACCUCAGUAUAUCAUACUGUAUGAAUUGUAGUUUUGCAAACUUCAGUGAUACAAGACAUUCAAUUGACAGUUAAUUACUCGUCAUUUCUCCUGCUUAAUUUUUUCCGUCAGAUCAAAAUCCACAUGAUCAUAGGAUAAGAUCGACAACGCGAAAUAGUGCAGAACAACUACGACAUAAGUCGGAGAACCGUCUACAAGUAACGUGUUAUUGGGAAACUACAGGACAUGAAUCAAAUGUGAAGAACUAUAAUCUGUUAAUUUUUCGAUUGUUUUGUUGUGUUCUUGUUUAAGCUCGACUGGAUGCUUGCUGCAUGUCAAUGAAAAUAAAAGAAAAUGGGGCCAUUAUAUGACUUUGAUGUUCUUAAAAUGACUGUGUAAUAAAGUAUUAUCGCUUGCUAAUAUGGUGGUGUUGUUUAGUUGUUUAUGCAUGACCAAGCAGUUUGAUAAAUGUUGUAUUGUUCUGUUUGAACUAUGAUCUGCUCUAUUUUGUGUAUUGUUCUUCAGUCGCAGUAUACUGAGGGACAAGUAGACUGAGAAUAAGAAGGAUAAAUAUCAAAGAUAAUCUUGGUGCUUGAAUUCAUGAGAACAGAACAACCGCCUGAUUUCACGCUUGAUUUCUGAGUAACCGUUAUAAUGUAUUUAUACGGUGAAGAGAGUAUAAGAAACAAUAAACAAGUAAACAUUCUUUUUAAAAUAAUAACCACCAUUAGAUUUGAAGAAGAUGGACGGACCAGAUGGGGUCUCCAAUACUCCAAAUAAAUCCGGUCUCCACAGAACUUAAGCCUAUAUAUAUAUACUUCCAUUAUUUGAGAUAAAUAUACAUAGGCCCUCCAUCUCAAAAUACUCAUAUCAGUUGAGAAGUAUAAAUCAGAUCACAUUACUGAGAGACAAUGUUCAAGAGACCCUUAUCCUAGUCAGGAUCCCUGGUAUGUGUUAAAAGUAUAAAUUUCAUUUGGUGUUUUGUUAAAUACAUAUAGGUUCAAGGAGAGUGAUAAUGUAAAUUGGCAUCAGAUUCUAGGUUUAUUUAGAGAGGUCUGUUGUUGCUCCUUGUUACAUUGGGAUUGUGCCCCCUUGAUUAAUAUGUUAUGGUGGCCCCCUUGUGCAUUCGAGGGGAGUAUUAGAGGUAUAAGAUUCAUUUAGUGGAUUCUAUCAACACCUAAUUUUUUUAAGAAUUAGCUAUCUAACAAUAUGCUCUCUAUGCCAUUCUCUGUGACUCAGAUGCCUCCACUCUUUGUUAUUUACAUGAUUCAGUCUGCCCUUCAUUUGACCUGAGUCUCAUUAAUGCUCCAUCUAUGCUAUCUAGUUAAUUAAAACAUAUGUCAUGUUCUCUUCCUGCUUGUGACAAGUGACUACUAUGUUCCCUUGGACUUCAAGUUGGUGUGAAAAUAAAGAUCAGGACAUGCUGUAAGACUUUUGAUGUUCGUGGAAGUAGAAAUAUUUGGUACUAGAAUCACCAUGGCUAGGUGGUCAUCCUGAUUAAUAAAUUGCAAUGUACUCCAUGUUGCACACUUGCCUCAGGGCGGCAAUCAACUUUUUGUGAUCUUUUAACCUCUCUCCGGAAAAUGUGUACUGGGGCAGUGUAGCCUUCAGUGCUUAACUAUCCAUUUCUUCUCCGUAGAACAGACUGUAGGUUUCACAUUCACUCGUGUGGUAACUUAUGACAUGAUAUAUGUUUACAUUCAUAGUUAUCAGAUUUUUGAUGAAUUUGUCAACAAACUUAUCAUAGCAUUACUCAUGUUGGUUCUGAGAGAUGGUUUGUGGCAAAUCGAGAUCAUUUGUCCAUAUGUAAUUUUUUUUUUAAAAUGGUAACAAUUUUCUUGGCCGUUGGCACAGUUGAUACUUCAGUUUCUCAUAUUUUGAGUUUAUUCAGAUCCUCUUAGAUGUCAAGUGUGCUAGGAUGCAACCUACUAGGCAAGCUAGUUUGAGUUGGGCUCUUAUUAAAUUAUAUAGAGUACCUGAAACUUCUAUUUACUGCUGUAUAUACCUUAGUAACCAAGAUGAGCUAUAAACUAGUGUCGGAAGCGUGAUGAUAUGUCUGGAGAUGGUAUUCUCUGAGUUAUAUCUUCUUGUAAAUUGCAGCAGUUAUAGUUAGAUUAAUAUCGAAAACAUUUUAUACAUAAACAUGAUAUACAUGGUAAGCCCUUUUAUAAUGUCUAACGAGCGUCUCUAACUCAACAUAAUAUCAUGGUUUUGUUGAACCAACCGUUUCAGAAAUCCACAUAAAACCAUAAAAAUGGCCUUUGAGUACCGGUAAGCAUGAUAUGCAUAUUAAGUUUUCAUCCUUAGCACAUCUAGAUUUUAAGAGAAUCGGUAUUCUAGCAAAAAUCGUUGGUCAUUUCAUGUUGCCCACACGUAGCCCACACUGACUUCCACAUUUUCCUCCUUCCAACACCUUUACACAAAGUUGCAUCAAUGGGGAAUUCCUCAAGUCACUAAAUUAUUGUAAUCUAUAUACGACAAAAUAGUGCAGAUUCUUGAGAUCUGUUUAGGGAACUAAGAAAUAAGAAUGAAUGAAGAUUAUAUAUAUUAAGAUUAUAUACAUAAGAAGAUAUAGAGAUUGGCAAUUGAUAUUAUAUACUUUCUUUGCACGUAUGGCAUUUUAUAUAUGUGUCUCCACUGCAUUCAUUAUUGUCUAUUGAUAUUUUUAUAAUGCAAGUAGAUGCCUGACUCGCUUAGCUCAUUUGAUAUGUCAUACUUAAUGUCUUAGUUCCUACCUUAAGUUUGUUGCUUGCUACAUUUGUAUUUUAAUGAAAGGAAUAUUCGAGAAUCAUAUAGAUGGAUUCUAAAGAAGAGUCUCCAUUUUCUGCUAUCUUCUUUACUUUUCCAUCUCAUUUGCUUUUCCAAUUGUAGACACGAAUCACAAUUUCUUUUUUCAAGAAAGAAUUCAUUAAUUUGAUGCUGUAAUUGUCUAAUAGGAUUUUGCUUGGGCGAUUCACACGUUGCGACUUACUGACUCUUUUAUUGUUCUUUAAACACAAAAAAUUGCUUUAGGUGGGUUUCACGCCCAUAAGUUUCGUGAGGUUUGUUAUUAUAUAGCAAGGCUCUGUUGUUGCAAUCCAUCAUCAUAGUUUCUCAAGUAAAAUAUUAUAUUUGAUAUUGUAGGUUUGCCUAGUCGUAUAUCUCUGUUUAAAGAGGGAUUUAGCUGUUAAGACAAAUAAUGCAUACUUGAGUCUACCUGUUAUAAUAAAUGUUUGCACGAGUGGUAUGCCUCCUUUGUUUCCGGCACCGGGGUUUUGCUACCUGCCAUAUUAUCUGUAUUUUCUUUAUAUAUUAAUGAUAUCUUAUCAAUGCAGCCAAAUAUGCUUUGUACUACAUGCAUUAUCAUGAUCCUUUUAAAUAUUCAUGUUGUUGCUGCUGUGACCUCCUUGAAUUACUCUUAGAUUAUAAAUGUUACUAGUUAGCAAUAUAUCUAAUUUUUCAGACCCGAAGCCUUUUCAUUCCUACCUUCUCAAUUUUCAUACACUAACUUCCCUUGCCGGCUUGCCAUGCAUUUGAAAAUUUUAUAAAUUAGUUGUGAGAUUUUUCCUUCUUGUUUUGCUGUACACAAUUGUAAAAUAUCAUAGAUUAUUGUUUUUAGUUUUUAUUGAGACUUGAAUAGAAAGUGAGCUGCUAUGCUAGUUACAGUGGCAGGGACGGAACUGAACUGGAGGGGCACGGGUGACGGCCGUCCCCCCAAAAGUUGCUAUUUUUUAUCUAUAAAAUUUCAAAAAUUGUUAUUUGGUCCCCCCAUUUUUUACUUGAUUACUUAUGUUAAAAGGAAGUCGCUGGAAAAAUUGACAAUGAAUCUGUCAUUGAAGUGUUUUACGAGAUGAAAAUGUUGUCAAAUGCAGUUAAAGUAGUAUCUAUGUAUAGUUUGCCUCAUUUGAUGUUUAAAAGUUGCGUAUAUGAAGUGAUAUUUUAUCUAUCCUUUCAGAAUAAAUUAUGCGAUUUAGUUUAAAAGUUCGGCCCCUCCAUUUUUUCUUCAAGUUCCGUCCCUGUUCAGAGACAAUGACUGCUGCUGGCUCUGUCAUUGUCGACUCUCCCAUACUUGAAGUAUUAAAUGGAACAUUGAAUUUAUUUCAUAAUUAAGUAACAGGGGCCGGCCAAGUGCCAACUAUGUACUAUCUAACAGUCCUUUAUGAAUUUUGUCCUAAUGUAUAAUCUAUUUUUUGGUCAUUGAAUUAUGUAUUUUGUUCAAUAAAUUCAUUACUAUAUAUAUUGCUGAGCUUUUCCAAUAAAUGAAGAUCGUUUCGUUUAGUCUAGUUACCAUUAAGAAGGGUAACUGUUGCUCCUAAUUAUGUCUGGAUGGGUGGAACCUUCGUAAGAUUAUACUGGAGAUUGUAGAAAUGAGAUCAAACUGAGAUCACAUGCUUAAUUGUUAAUCAAGAUUCACAUUGAUAUAGUCGCUGAGAUAAACAUUGAAUAAUGUUUUAAUUUGUUUACUUAAAUGUUGCACGAAUGGUAUUUUGUCAGUAUGUCAACACUGAGGUUUGUUACCUAAAACUAUAUUCUUUUUGGAAUCUGGAUAUAUAUUAUCCUCUAAUUAUUGUGUUGUAGCAAUGACUUUCGUUGUGUGUGUGUGCACGCUUUUUGUUUAGCAAGUUUUGUCUAAUGAUUUGUGCUUUCAGACCUCGGUUAAGUUUUCUCUGAUUCUUCCUGACGUUUAUAUAACUUGCUUUUUGAUUAAGCAGUUAUCCGACACUGUGUGACAUGAUAAAACUUAAUCAUCUUAUCAGGUGAAACUCUGAUCAAUUUCUAUCCUGUUACAUUACCAUGGACCUCGAAUGUAGGCCAAAAUUUAGAAUCUGGGAUGGCUGUUUAGAGAUAUUGAUGUGAUAUGGACUAUAAUAAUGCAACUAAUAUACAAUAAUUUGUUUGCAUAUGGGUGGUGGUUUCUACUUUCUAGAUAUUGAAUACUGGUAAAGACAAUAUGAUAUUUGUGCAUGGCUGGCAUGUUUCCAAAGUGUUCCCUUUCAGGUUUGCACUUGGCCAGCCAAAGAAGUGACUACAGCUAAGAUGUUGUAUAAUUAUUUAUUCAUUCCUUCUUUGCUUAGAUCUGUAUUGUUUUUCUAUAUCGAGGUUCAUGGAGACUGACAUUUUCAUCUAUAACUGAGGAAAUAAUUUUUAACUGUUUAGUUAAUUUAUGUUUUUACCAUAAUUAUUUCUUUGAGGAAUGAAGUAGGUUGAUUCUCUGAAUGUCCCUGCAGGCCUGGUUAAUUAUCAGUAGGAGAUGCAGGCAUGCGAUUCCAAAUUUUAUCUGUUUAUAUAAUUUUGAAAUGUUUCUAAAUUAUUAUUUUUUCCUUCGAAAAGGUUAACAGGGAAUCUGCAGAAACUGACUCCCUACUUUAACUUUUUCUAGUAUCAUAAUAUAUGCUCAUAUAUCUUACCCUUUCCAGAUUCUAAUUCAAAUGAGAUAUGCAUUAUAUGCUAUAUGUUUCAGUUACUAUGUCAGAUGGGUUUCAAUUGGUUACUAAUAUACUGAUGGAAUUUUAUAUACGAUGUGGUGAAGAAAUCAUAAAUCAUAAUUUGGAUGUAAUAAUUAUUCACUUCACCAAUUGUUUUGGAUAUGUAGGAACCCAUGAACAUAGAAAUUUAAUGAGAUUAGUGUAUGGGAGAUUAAACUUAGGAUAAGGCUUUUUUGAAGGAUUAUACCAUAUCAUGCUUUGUGAGAUAAAUUUAGUGACAUUGAUUUAAUUCUUAUCAUAUCUGUUGCAAAAUUCCUCCAUGGAUAUGUUUUGCAUUAUCAGAUAAUCCUGGAAAUGAAGAACACAGUGACAGUAUGGUGGAGACCGAGGUAUGUGAAACAUUGAAGUACUAUAUUGGAAUUGUGUAUAUACAUUCGAAAAUGAGCAUGUAAUAGCUAAUAGUUUUGUUUACAUGUUUAUACAAUGCAAAAUUGAGUUCCACAAGCUUAUCCUCUAAUAUUCGGAUACUUUUGCAGAUGUCAAGAAUCACAGAUCAUACUACUUAAUUACUGGGAAACAAUGUUGAGCAGAGACGCUCUUGUUCUAAUGAAGUGCCUAAACAUGCUCUCCAAGCCAUUCUCAAUGCCUUCAACAUCACUCUCCAAGGUCUUUACUCGAUCCACUUCAUUUACAUCAUGCUGUUGAUCUUCACUUGACACAGCACCCUUGUGCAUCAGUUUUGAAACUUGCAACCACUUUGUAGUAGCCUUUGGCUUCAAUAUAGGUGUAGAUAAGAAUAGCAAAACAGAUUGAAAGACAGAAACACUUGCGGCAGUGACUUCUUUUAGUGAUCUAAUCACUGCACCUAGGUGCUGAUCUUGAUCAAAGAUUUCUAAUACACUGCUUUUGGUAUCCACUUGCUUGAGAGAUGCAGUCAAUUUUUUCGAAUCCUUGUUAAUCGCCUUUCUGAAAGCUGCAAAUUCCGCGCUUGAGUCCCCCUUCUUCCUUCUUAAAGCAGACAGAAGCUCUCUGGCAUGAACUUUAAUCUCUGACAUAACAUCUCUUGUAUUCCCACAGAUAUCCAAAAGCCUCACCGAUUUAUCCAUCAACUCAUUGACACACUUCUCGUUCUGAUGGUGAGAAAGCGCUUGCUGGGUCAGUGGCAAAUUCAGAAACUCAUCUGUAUAUUUGUACAACUCCCCAAGCCUGCACAGACCAUCACAAACCGUGUCCGCUGUCAAAACAUCAGAAGCCUCCGCUUCCCAUGAUCUGAUCCUGGUAAGCCCUUCUUCGAUCUUGCAAGCACUCGGAUGCAACGUCGACGGGAAGCUAGUCGAUCGAACAGUGCAACGUUUGUUGAAUUUCAUUGAAGUAGCCAUUUUCUUAACUUGUCAAAACUUUUGAUCUGCCAAGCUCUGAAAAUAUUUGAUACCUCAACCUUCAACUCUCUGCUAUUUAUAUGCUGAUACCCUAGGAUAUUAUACAAAUGUAUCUAGAUAUUAUUAUAAAAAUAUCGGCAACUAGCGGAUGAAAAGGACGUAUUUAAAAUUUCACGGGUAACUCUUCGCACAAGAUGGCUCCGCCCCUGUCGAUAGUAACGUGGCUGGCAUUUCAUGUGAAAUGGACUUAUUUAUUUCAAUUAUUUCAUCUUUGUCCCCAGCAAGCUCAACAAUAAUUUGCCACAUUUUUUUAGCAUUUUUAUAAAAAUGCAUUAGUCACGCCAAUUUGGCCUCCCAAUUAUUGCUCUUCGAGUGCCACAUUUCACUUUUUUCCUACCAUCCACAUACGUGUAACUUUUUGCAUCAAUGUGGAAAAAAGAUGGUAUUAUAAUCGCAACAGUGGAGAUCUGGAGAUCUUUCAGCAGAUUAAAUAAGCUACGGCUAUGGUUUAUUUGCAAACGUGUUUCCACCGUUUCAUCUGCCUUGCUGCCUAACUUGCUUACUCUAGUUUUGAUCUUUUUGUACAAGUCAGAGCAAGAUGCCUAAUCCGCUUAAUUUUUCUGGCGAGUUAUCGUUUCCACUUGUUUAUCAUUUUCGUCGUGUAUUCGGACUCUCAAAUUCUCGACCUCUUGUUAUUAUCACUAAUCGGGUUGAAACGGGGAUUUUUCGCGUAAAUUUGAAAAUUUGGCUUCUAAUUAUAUAAAAUUGUUUAAAUUAUAUUAUCCAAGCUGUUUAACGUAAUUAUUUGUAUUAAUUCUAAAUCAUGUUUAUGUUGGUGUGCUAAUUGUUGGUUGUAUGAUUAGGAAAAAAACAGGUAGAGUGGGAUCUAAGGUGAUUAAUAAGCUAAUUAUUGAUAGAUAUGGGUUUACAAACUUACAAUGAAUGCAGACACAUGUUUAAUAAAUGUAUACACGAGUGCUAUGUUCCACAUUGUCUGCGCUAAGGUUUGCUACUAGCUGGCUUUCACUUGUCUCGUCCUUCAAGUGUUCUCUCUAGUCUCUACCGUUGGAAAAAAUUCUAUUGAAUAAUUUUUUAAUCGUAAGUGUUCAAGAGCUUAAUAAGGGUAAUUUUGCGAUAAAACCAGAUUAGCUGCGCUUAAAAAGUUAAAAUUACUGGUUUGUUGUUGUGGGCCUCUACUUAAUAGGUUUAAAUCAUUUGAGUAGCUUUAAAAAUUUUGUGGGCUUAAAAGUGGGCUCUGCAUGCACCACAUGGCAAGAUAGUGUUAAUAGAAAAACAACUUGUCAAGAUAAUUAUUAUUUAGUUUAUGUUAGUUUAAUCAAUCAAUUAUAAGUUUAAUAAAUUAUUAAAUUCUAAUCAAUAUCUAUUUUUUGUUUUUUUAAACUUAUAUUAACUAAUAUAUCAGUCAAUUCCAUUAAAAAUACUCUGAUUUCUAAUUAUAAUUUCUACCUAGUAACCUAGAAGAAGAUUAGAUUAUAUAAUUAGAUUUUCAGGAGCCGUAAAACAUCGUUGUGAGAUGGAAAAUUAGUUGGAAUAUAAAUAAUAAAAUAAAUCUAUUAAUAUGAGAUCUUUUAAGAUGCGCUCGAAAAUAAAUUUGCAUAAAUUCAGUCUAAAAUAAAUAAUAUUAUAUUAUUUUGAAUUAUGACUCACUCAACAGCUUAAUAAACAGUUCACAAUUUCAGAUUAAUAAUAAGUCCGACUCUCCCAGAAUGGCCACGAGAUAGACGAGUCAUCCUGCAUUUUAUUUUUGAGCUCAUCUCGAAAAAUUUCACAAUAACAAAAUUAUUUGACCUUAAUAUUCUAACUACCUGCCCAGGUGUGCCAACUCCCCACACUUGCUAGUAUGUUUAAUACAAAACCUACAUAGUGGUAUCUUCUUGUUGAAAGAAUAUUAUAUAUUAUUUACAAAGUAAGGACCAGUUGAUUUGUCUGAUUAUGAAAUUCUUGAGAAAACAGAUAACUUUUUUUAUUUAAUAAUAAUAAUAAAAAACAAAAAUACUUUUUCACAGCUAAUAUAUAAAAUUGUUACAUACUUGGCCUAAUUAUUGUAAAUCUAACUAAUUAUGGUUCCAAGAAAAGGACAUUUUUUAAAUAAAUCUAAUAAUGUGAUAAUUAGAACGCACUCCAUGACAUGGUUCACACAAAUAAGAUCUGAAUAACUUCAAACUUGGGUAUUUAUAUACGACUAUAAGAGUAUUAUAGGCGCAAAAAAAAUGACAUAAUAAUUGAGUGGAAAAAUUUAAUUGAUAUUAUUAAUAGAUGUUUGGACUUUUUUUUAAUAAAAUAUUAACACAUACUUACUUUGUGAAUCUGGUGGUACACAAUUUCAUAUAUCAAAUAUUUUUCAUUGUAUAUACAGACGUACAUUUCUCACACUGUCGCACAGAUUCUUAACAUACCGAUACAAAAUUACAUGCUGAAGCUCCUUUCCACCAACAAGGCCUGAAACCGUCUAAUAUCCAAAACAUUCAAUCAAAAUCUUUUCUAUUCCCUUUUGUAAUAUCAGCAAAAAGUCGAAGAAAAAAUAUAUACAGCCUAGAUACAUCUUCCUAUAAAAGAUUUCAUCCUAGAUUUUCUACAGGCUAAUUUAUAAUUUGGUACCACCGUCAACUUAUUAUUCUUGUAAAAGGGUUCAUGAACCCAUGAAAGUCGGUUGCUAAUUUAAAUGAAAUGCAGAACUUGUACGUACAUUUGUCUGCAUAGGAUGUACCUUCAGUACACAAUAACAUUGAGAUUUUUGUUUAGAUUAAUUGUCUGGGGAUAUUACAUGUUUUUAAAGAAAGAGCAAUAGGAUAAGAUUAUAUAUGUCAUAUGUAUGUAUGGGUUCUUAUAUUAAAGUUAUUAAUAUAUUAUUAUAAAGCAUGCAGGCUUAACUUUGGCAGAGAAGAUGGAGUUAUAUUCUAACUUGUGCAUGGCUGUCAAUGUUUAAGCAAUGUCCCCUGUUAAGGUUUGUAGCCGUAGAUAAAAAUUUGAUCUAAGAUGGCCUGAAUAAGAAUCAGAAUAUUUUCCAAUAAUAUUAACUUAGUCCAAAACUGGUGUUAAUUUUAAUGAAUAAAGGCAGCUGACUCGUGCAAGAGCAACUUAGAUUUACUUUUAACAAAAAUAAGUUCCUUUUAUUCAAGAAAAAUACACUUCUAUUCUGUUAAUAUAUAUCAAUAUUUGCUGACUCUAUAUGAACAUAAUCAACAUACUUAUAACUAGAAAUACUUGAUUAUUGUAUGUAACUGCUCCAAAACAAUACAUCAUUUAAAAAAGUGAAAUUUUUCCAAAAUAAUUGUUCAACACUUUCUUAACAAAUGCAAAACAAUUGGUCCCACUGUUCUCACAUGAACCACUAUCUAAAUCUAUAUAUAAAUACGAUUCUAAUACAUGUAUAAUAGAACCAUUAAAGACUCACUCAUAUUGGGUUCACACAAUUCUUAAAUAAUAUAAGAGAUAGGAAGUUUAAAAGGAUGCAUUUCAUUUUAUAUAAUAAAUUUUAAAUGACAGUAUUUGAGUUGUUAUUUCAAAUAUCCAUAUGAUGAAACCGGGUUUCCAAACAAAUUAUAAAUAUAGUGAUAUUAUUAAAUAACCUUGAUCUCUGAACCUAAACGUGUUAUCAUUAAGAAACCGGCUAAGGUUAUGAAAUUAGGUUAGUUUGUUUCAUGAAAUUAUAAUUUGUGUAAUUAGUCUCCUCAUUAUUAAUUUUAAACAUCAUACAUUGUUAUAAACUUAUUCAUUUUUCUAAUAUAGUAGGAAUGUGAAUUGGGAGGGAAGGAAUUGAAAGGAUCCUCUGAAACAGUUUCACGUGAUUUAAUUUUGAAACAAAUAUAAAGAUCUUUAAGCUUAUCGGUUUAGAUAUAACACUUUGGAUCUUAGUUGCAUUCAUUAUUUAUACAUAUAGAAGCAAAGAAGAAGAAAUCAUGGAAUAGAGAAGAGACUAUAUGUGAUGGAACUCAAAUGUUUGUAUAUAUUUACUCAUGGAAAGAACUAAUACAGUUCUUUCUCUUUACAUUUCAAUCAGCAUCUAUAAACUAAUCAAUCCUCUAAAAUUCGGAUAGUUUUGUCAAAACAUCUAAUCACUGCGAAACAAUGUUAAGCAGAGAAGUUCUUAUUCUAACAAUGUGCCUAAACAUGCAUUCCAGUUCGUUUUCAAUUCCUUCAACUCCGGCCUCCAAUGCCUCUAGUCUUUGCUUCAGCAAACCAGACUCUUUAGUUGAACCCGAUGUUAUACUUGAUAAUUCCGCGUCCACCUUCUCCAUUUCAUUCAUUUGUUGAUGAUCUUCACAUGCAACUCUGUUUUUGUGCAUGAAUCUUGAAACUAAUGACCACUUUGUGGAUUUCACCUUUGUGGAUGUUGCUAAGAACACGAGUACGUAGUUGAAUACAGAAAUAGUGGUGGCAGUAACUUCAUUGAGUACUCGAAUAACUGAAAUUAAGUGUUGAUCUGAAUCAGCAAAUUGAGAGCCACUUGUUCUGUUAUCUAGUUGGUUAAGAACUGCGGCUAGUCUUUUGGCAUCUUUGUUUAUUUUCUUUCUGAACAAUGUGUACUUGGUAAAGCUACUUGGAUCGCCUUUAGGCCUCCUUCGUAGACAUGAAUGAAGAUCUGCAGCGUUUACUUUAACUUGUGACAUAAUAUCUUUUGCACUUCCACAGAUAUCUAGGAAUCUGAUGGAUCCAUCCAGCAACUCGUUGAAUGGGUCGUCGUGUUGAAGGGCAGAGAGGGCUUGUUGAGUCAGUGGCAGAUUGAGAAGAUCGUCCGUGCAUCUAUACAACUCGCCUAAUCCAGAUAGGCCGUUGCAGAUGGUCUCUGCUGUUGGUGCAUUUGUUGAUACUUCAGCUUCCCAUGUUUUAAGCUUGUUCAGCUCCUGAUCCAUCUUGUAAGUACUCGAAUGUGGCCUGCAAGGUAAGCUAAUUGAUCGAAUGCCACCACGGGGUUUGUUGCAUCUCAUUGAAGCAGCCAUUGUUUGUUUCUGUGUUAAGAAUAUGAAGUUAUGUGAAGUGUUGAUAUCCAAACCUCUGUUGCAUUUUGUUAUAUAUAGACAAAUGCUAAGACAAGAGCAAGAUUAGUUUUAAAAUUAUGGGACAAAGUAAUGGGCAUGUGAUCAAGAUGACCUUUGCUAUUUUUUAAGUCUUGGUAUUUGGUGAAAUUCAUUGGUCAUUUUUGGUGUGGCAUGCUCUUUGAGUGCCACAUUGCCAUCUUUUGCGCAGCUUCAUCUACGUGCAUUCUGCAUAUGCAAAAGUUGAAUCAAAGGGGAGAUUUCAAGUCAUCAAGAAAGUAUUUAACAAUAGAUUUUAAUAUGAUGCUGCAGAUUGUGUGAUCUUUCUGGGGAUUAAUAAAUAAUUACAGAUGCAGAUGAGAUUUCUGGAGUAGGAUUGAAGAUACAUACCAGAUUAGUUUAAGUGAUUGGCCAUAAAUAUUCUAAAAUGGUUGCAGGUAUGUGUCUUUUGUAGACGUGUCUCCACCGUAUUGCUCGAUUUUCUCUCUUAUUGGAUGUCAGUUGCUGCCCAACUUGCUAACUCUUAGGUGAGUCAUGUCUCUUUCUAUUUUUUAUGUCUAGCUCCCACUUAUUGGUAAUGCAGUGCUCAUCUUAGGCCCUUGUUAUUGUUACAACUCACCGUCAGAAGUAAGGCAUGCGUACAUCUUAGUCAUCGGACCUCCGAAAAAUAGUAUAUUCAGUUUGAUCUUGUAACACAAUCUUCUUUCACUAAUACAGAGUUCUCAUCCAUUUGACUUUAGAACAUGGUAAAUUUUUAACAUAGCUUCAGGUACAAGAAGGCCCCAGACCAAUGCACCAGGGAUUAUCCUAAAUGCAUGUAUUAGGACAACUAAACUAUUGAGAUUAACAACAAUCUUGGUAACAUAUAUCUCAUUAAUGAUUGGUUUUUGUUUUAUCUGGAGCUAUAGUGCUCAUUGUUUAUUUUGGCGCCCACAUAUGUGUAAGGGACUAAGGGUCAUAUUGAUUGGUCUAUUUCAUGCAUGCAUCUAUUAAUGACACUCUCACCCUUGUGCUUAUACAUAGAUCUUCUUGGAUUUAUCAAAGUCGGCAGCCAUUAAAUUUGCAGACGGUGGCUUGCAUUUAAGUUGUCUAAAUGAGAAGAACCUUGUACAAAUAAUGCAGAGAAUUACUAGUACCAGUACUCUGUGGAUUUAGCUAGAUCAUUAAGUUCUUAAAUUAUUGAUCUAAGAUUAUGAUGGAUAUGGUUGUUAAUUCUACAUGUUUGCAAGAGUGGCAUGUUUUACAAUAAUGUCUGCACUGAGGUUUGCUUGGAUUAUUGUACCUUUCCAUAUGCAAAGUACAUUAGUACUAAACUACAAGAUCUACAGCUAAUAUAUACGUUUUCAGAUUAAUCAAUCUUGACAAAGUCUUCCUUUUGUUGAUGAAUUUUAAUGGGUGCAAUUAUGUUUUUGUUGUUAAUCAUCAAUUUUAUGAUUAAGAAGCUUACGAAAUAAUCAUGUACAGAUGUGUAUAAGAUAAUCAUGUUCUGAGUGAAAAUUAUUUUAGACUAAAAUUAAUCAUGCACAAAUUACCGGUUACAGUGGUGAGAAAAUAACAAUAGUGCAGAUCACUUGAACCAUUGAACUUUGUUAGAAUAUAAUAUGAUCCUGGUAAGCCCUUCUUCUAACACCUCGAGGUUUUAGGAGAAUUGAUCACUUAACAUGGUAUUAGAGCUCUGUAUAAUAGAGAGUUGUGAAGAGUUUCUAGUUUCUAUUCAAGCCCAGACAUGUACAUAUAUGAUACUGAAUAUGGUUUAAACCUGGUAACUUAGCAAAAUUUCUGCCUAAACCUUUUACCCGUCUAAAUCAAGUUAUCAUGUGUGCGUUUUAUUUGUUUUUUUUACUUAAUCUCGUGGGUCUUCUUGAUCCUGAUGAACCUUUGGCAUAACUGAACCAAGUCUGUAGUUACUUAUUAGUAAUAGUAUUGCAAAAACCAUAAGAAAGCACAAUACCAUAGUCUACAGGCUGAUAUAAGUUUAUAUUUGAUGAAACACUUCAGCAAAAUGAAUGGAAUAAAUCCAAAGAAGAGAAAAUGUUACACUGAGCUAGCUUGAGCUUGAUGGAGAUCUUAAUAUUUACUUUUUAAUAAGUUGUAGAACAAGGAUUGCAUGCAAUAUUAUGAUGUUCGAAGAGCCAAAGGUAUUCUGAGAAUAAACAAAAGCAAAUAUAUAUGUAGCCGUAGAAGAUUAAUCUUGUAAAUGUUCCAGUAUAAGUAUAAAUAUCCCUCAUUUACAUUUCAGUUGAACUAAUAAAUGAAUAUGUAAAACUAAGGCACUUUCUGAUGCUAGAUCUAUAAGCUGGAGAUGAUAUUUAGAAAAGAUGCUCUUGUUCUAAUCAAUCUUCUGGACAUGCACUCGCUUGCAGAUUCAACGAGUUCAAUGCCAUCAUGGAGUGCCUUUAGCCUUUCUUGCGCGAUUUCAAUCUUUUCACUUUCACACGAAUCAUAUGAGUCUAGUGCAGAAUCAACUUUUUCCAACUCAUUCUUGUUUUGGAGUUGCUCUUCACAGGUUACAGUUCCCUUUUGUAUUAAUUUUGAAACUAAUGACCAUUUAGUUGACUUGGAUUUGGAAACUGGUGAAGAAAAGAACAACAGGAGGGACUGGAAAACUGAUAUGGCCACUGAGCUAACUUCCUUUAGUACUCUGAUCACCUCUGACAAGUGGUAAUCUAAGUCGAAGAUUGCUGAGCAUGUGAUUUUGAUAUCCACCUGCUUUAAAUCUGCAAUCAAUUUUCUAGCUUGUUUUUUCAUCUUUCUUCUGAAUGAAUUAAAUUUUGAUAUGCUGGUGGCAAGGGUCAAGUCUCCCUUCUUUCUUCUUAUCGCAGAUUGAAGAUCCACAACGUGUUCUUUAAUCUGCGACGUGAAGUCCCUUGUGGUGCCACAUAUAUCUAAAAGCCUCACAGAUCCAUCCAACAACUCAUCAACCCAUUUCUCUUGGCGAUGGUUAGAAAGGGCUUGUUGCGUAAGUUGCAAGUUUAGAAGAUCAGCAAUACACUUAUACAGACCUUCAAGUGUCAAUAGGUCACUGGAGACCGCAGAUGCAUUACAAGAUGAUGAUACAUCGCGGGUUUUGAGCUUCCUAAGCUCCUCAUCAAUUUCAACUAUAUUUGGAUGUGAUCUUGAAGGCAAGCUAAUCGAUCUGAUAUGAUGACUGUUGUUGGCUUCUGAUGCACAAGCCAUUUUUGCUAUAUUGUCAAAAAAUUCAGAAGAUUUGAACUUUGAAUGGUAUGUAAAAACUGCAGACUUUGCUAUUUAUAUCACCACAAUGCAGGGGACAGAAGAUCAAAAAAAUGAUGCUAGUGUGGGCUCUCCCUUAAAACUUGUUAAUCUGUUACAACUUGUCUUACAAAAUGCACUAAAAUUUGACAAAAAUUGCAUGAUUCAUCUCCUUGUAGCUUCCUCAUAAUGUGGUAUGAUUGACACCAUUACAAAAUGUUAACUAAUAAAAAAUUGCAGCUGCAUCACCUCCAUAUAAAUUAGCUGGCAAUGCUGUCUCUGUCUCAUCCAGAACAUACUCAUGUCAUUGUAACAGCAACACAGCAUAUUUCUUUAUUAGAUAUGAUAAUGCAGGGAGAUACAUGAAAUUUCAGAGAGAUUUUCAUUAGCCAUUGCAGAAAAUUAGCACACGAAUUGUUUGUCUGCAUCGUACAACAAUCUUUCAUUUCGUGCUACUGCAUUGUUAUUUGGAUGUCGAUGAGAAUAUGAGAUUGGGGAUCAUGCAUAGACAAAAUCAAUCUAGCUCUUUCUUUAAUAAUGCAUGAUUAUAAUGCAGGCUAACAGGCCUAAUGAGGGAUUAUAUUAAGUUUUAGCAAGCGUCCAGGGGCUCUAAAUUUCCGGGAAAUUUCAGUGGAAUUAUUGGGAUCAUACGGAGAUGAUGUACCAUAUUCAUAUAUUAAGGAUCAUAUUGAAAAUAAUUAAAAGAUUCCAAUGGAUUUAGUUGGUAAGAUGGUCUUUGUUUUUAAUAUCUGUACACGAGUGGUUUGCUGUCAUAAUUCAGUGGGUGUUCUUUGGAUCAGGGUGAUUCUAUUGCAUUGUCAGAUGAUUCAAAAUCUGCUUGUUUUUCGUUUAAAAUUAGAUCUCAGCAAAACGAAAGAAUCAAAAUAGUUGCAAGAACCUCAAAAAUAAGAAUGACUUCUCCCUCUUCUUUUUUCUAAUAUACCUGAUAGGGAUAAGUUAUAAUGAUUCUGACUUCUCAUCCGUUGAGACGAAAUUUAACGAUCAGGUUUUAAAUUGAACAUAGUACAUUAUUGGGAAAAAAAAGUUGAAGCAGUUUAAUUUUAUUACUACAUGGAAGCGUAUAAUACAAAUUAUUUUUGGCCCUCACUAGACCAAAACUUUAUCACAGAAUAUUAAUUUUUUUUAUUUUUAUUAUUAGCCUCACGACACUAAUUUUCUGACUCCACCAUAGAUUACAAAUUUUCUGUAUUUUCUAUUUGCUUCAAUCUUUCAUUUCAUACCUUUGAUCCCUAACAAACUGCCAGGCUCUAUUUCUGAAACAUGGCUAAAGAGAUCUCGUGUUUUCAUAUUGUUCUUGAUGUUGGUGCGGCUUGGUGGUAGAGCCAAGAUUCCUCUGACAUAUAAUCUUCACACCGGCACCAGAAAAAGUAUUAAUGCAUUCUAAGUUUGUAACGAAACUAUGAGAGCACAUUGUAAUGAAGGCAACCACUCGUAUUAAGACAAAAUCUAAUGUAUUCAAAGUUUGUAAUGGAACUAUGAGAACACAUAGUAAUGAAGACAAUCAACUCUGAAAGUUAGUAAAGAAAUCAUAAGAAGACAUUGUAAUCAAGGCAACUAACUCAUUUUAAGAUAAAAAAAUUUAAAACAUUGCAACUAAACUAUGAUAGCACAUAGUAAUGGAGGCAACCAACUCAUACUAAGAAGCAGCAAGCAAAGAAAUAGAAAAUUGUUAGAGCCUUGUUGGCCAAAUGCAUAACAAGAUAAUCAGAUCACAGAGGAGCCCACAUGGUAAUCAUACUGCAUCCUGUGACACAUCUUGUCUCCUCUCCUGUCUUUUGUGCAUGCAUAUAUAGCAAUGCCUAUAGCAAGUAGUUCUCAUCAAAAAAACUACAGUUGAUAAAAAAUCAAAACACAGAAAACUAAAGCCAUGGCUAGUACUAGCUACCAUGUUAGAUCAAUAAGCUUGCCUUGCAGAUCACAUCCUGCGAUAAUCAGAGUCAAAGAGGAGCUUAGCAAGCUCAAAACAUUGGAAACUCCAUGCUGCCAGACAUCAGAAGCAAUUUGCAACAGUCUGUCUGGCUUGGCAGAGCUGUAUGAUUGCACAAAUGAUCUUCUUGGCCUUAAGUUAACCAAACAGUCCGCUCUGAUGGAUUGUCUGUUAGACGGGUCUGUGAGGCUUCUUGAUAUAUGUGGUGGAACAAGGGAUAUUGUUUCACAAAUUAAGGAACACACAAGAGACCUUGAAUCAUCUAUUCGAAGGAGAAAAGGAGACAUAAGCAUUGAAAGUAGCGUUGUGAAAUUCAAUUCCUUUAGGAGGCGAAUGAAGAAGGAAGCCAAAAGAUUGAUUGCAUCUUUGAAACAAAUAAAAAAACAAUAUGAGGCUUUGGCAAUGUUGGAUUCAGAUCAGAAACACUCAUCAGUGAUAGGAUUGCUGACAGAAGUUACAUUGUCAAGCAUUUCGGUUUAUCAAUCCUUGUUGAUGUUUGUGACGGUACCAGUUUCAAAGACAAAGGGAAGGAGAUGGUCAGCUAUAACAAAGCUGAUCCACACAGAACGAGUGUCGUGUGAAGAGGAAAACAUGAAUGAGUUGGAAAGGAUUGAUGCAGCAUUGAUAAGUCUUUGUAGAUCAAGGAAAGGGGAGAAGAUUGAAAGUGCACAACGAGGUCUAGUAGCACUGGAGACUCAUUUUGAAGGCAUAGAGAGUAAUUUAGAGUGUCUGUUUAGGCGCUUGAUCAAAACCAGAACCUUAUUCCUAAACAUGGCAUCAGACUGAUGUUCUUUAAGAUGCUUCACUUGAAAUUUUCCCAGAGGCAACCAAAUUUUAGAGGAUAUGCAUAUGGAUAUGUAAUUUUCAAGAGUUGUGUACAUUAUAAUAUAAUUUUCGGAAACAUAAUGUGAAUCAAUGCUUUCAUCCAUCUGUUUUACAAGUCCAGUUACUUUUCUUUUAAUCUCCCAAGCCCCACUACUUCAAUUUUGUUACUAAAAUAAAUAUCAGUUAAGUAGUUAAGUAGUUAACUAAUAACAAGAACAUAGCUUAUUGACAAAAACCUGAUACAUAAGCAUCACACAGUGCCACAAAGAUCUUAUUCUAUUAGACAACUUAUAAGCUUCCUUCCACCAAUGCUCGCUGACAGCCUGAGGAGAAGAUGGUGGUGAUUAAUGCAUUACACCCGGAGUAACUUCCAGGACAGAAUACACUUAUCCAACAAUGCAAUUUACAUAAAUAUUUAAAGGCCUCUCUGAGAACUGGUAUUACAUAUAAUUAGAGGUCAGUUUUUUAAGUAAAAUCCACAAAUAUUGAGUAGUAGCAGGUUCAAAAUUUGCUCACAUGUAAAUAAUAGGCCAAGUGGCGGAUUAACAAUUGGUCAGCUAUUUCCUAUAAAAUGGUUCUUGUGGAUAGAGAGAUUUUUAGUUGUGUUGCAAACAAGGACAACCAUCUUUACGUGUACAUGUACUUAUUGAAUUCAAAAUCUCUAUCACAACUUAAGAAUCAUAGCUAUGCACAAACAACCCUUCAAUCCAAAUCAGCUUCAGAUUUCUUAAUCACCUUCUCACACAAAUCUUUUAAUUUGUAGUAAGUUUGGCUGUGGUAGAUGUUUGUGAUGAUUGAUGACAGUGUCCUCUUACGCAUGAAACACCUAAAUUUGCAAUUUGGAGUUUGUGAAGGCUGAUAAGUCAUUCAUACGAAGCAACCAACACAGUUUUGCCUUCUUCCAGAAUGAAAAUAAGAAAAAUUUAAAAGAUUGAUUGCAUCUCUGCUGAAACAAGUAAAUAACCAAAUUGAGGCCUCGCUAUUGACCUAUCUAGAUCAGCAACACUUAAAAUGUUAAGAUCAAUUAGUUUUGAGAGCAUCACAGUGCUGGAGAAGAAAUCAAAAAGACUGAAUGCGUAUUUAAAGCAUAUAAGGAACCAUUAUUGGAUUAUUCCGCAGAAGUUAAUAGCAGUAGCAUACAAAUAAUUCCAGUACAACCAACUGGACAGCAUACAACACCUCGACAAAUUAUUCAGGAUUGCACUGUCCAUUUCUCUAAUUUGCUCGACUAUAAAGGAUCAGUGAACUUAUAACCGAGUAAAACGAAUACAUAAUCAUGUACUUUAGAUUAUUGGAAGCCAUUCUGUGCAAAAAAUAUAACUGGCACGAUAGAUUAUUGGAAGCCAUUAUGUGCAAAAUAAAGCCAGGAUGAAUUUAUAGGCAUGGAUCAAUUAAGCAAUGUGAGGAAAUCAAGUCCAAAAUGUCAGAAGUGGGAUUUGAACCCACGCCCUCUCUCGAAGACCAGAACUUGAGUCUGGCGCCUUAGACCACUCGGCCAUCCUGACAAUGUUGAAAUAUUAUGCUCUACUAGCUACUUGACUCCUGACUAGUUGCUUGAAAACUAGUAGGACAAAGAUAUGUAAUAAUAUCACAAGCAUAAUAAAGCAAAGACUAUCUCCCUGUUUGUCAAGAUAUACUUAUGUUCUCUACAUAUGCAAAAAUCUGCAGUAUCAGUGUAUUACAGUGUACUAACGUCUAUGAUAAAAGAGAAAAAAUAUAACCAUCAAUGAGUCUGCUUUGUAUAAUGCAGAGUUAAUCGCCAUUCUGAUAACUAGGAUACAGUUAUAAGUUGUUGCUAAAAGACAAUUCCUGCGAAAACCACAUUUUUAUAUACUAAUUUAUCUUAGUUUGACCUUAUUGUAGGUAACAAAUUUGGCUGAAACUCUCAGGAUUCUUGGAAACAAAAGAAGCAAAGCUACUCAUUCACAGAUGCUGAAGGUACCACCAGUAGUAGAAGUAGAUGGGAGGUUCAUGCAUAAAAGCAGGGCAUUAGUGAUAGUUUGUAGUAAUAAUUGGCAUAAUCAGUGAGUAAUCAGUGAAAUAAGAGUUGCAAAGUUCAGGUUGUGUUCCAGGAAAUUAGAUGCUGCAGAAAAUAAUCUGAAUUUAAUAAUUUUAGAGAUGUAGCAAUCCUUUUAAUUUAUAAAUCGGUUACAACUCAGAUUUCUUAACUGACAUUUUUCUCGGUGUAUUUGUUCUUUUACAUAUAGCGCGGUAAGUGAGAAUUGAAAUCUAGACCUCUUUUACCAGUAGGAGCAACUCUGCCACCGCUGAGCCUGUCCUAAUUCUUUUGUAACUCAGUUUUUCAUAAUAUAAACAUCAAAAUCCUAUCGAAAAUUAGCGUGAAGGAAAUGCUGGAGUAACUUAAUCUAAAAAAAUUAACAUGCAAGACAGGUGCAUGAGCACUGAUUAAUGAUUUUUGGGCUUAGCUUCCUUGAUAAAUUAAGAUUGAGCUGAACGUUUAAUAUAAAUAUUUGCAGCAGGAGUCGAAAUCAGAAGUAUUUUAACUGUACUCUUCUUAUAUCAUAUUUUUGUACAAGCAGAUUCUGUAAACAAGUAUAAUCCUAUGACCCCUAGAGAAUAAGGGGGUGAUUGAGAAACUAGCAAGUAAGAACAUUAAGGAGAGACACUCUAUACUGGAUAAGUCGCCUAAUUGCAGCGUCUAUUCCAGACUCGAGUCCAUCAAUGCUGACUGCAAGUGCCUCUAACUUAUUUUGUACAGUUCGAACUUCAUCUGUAACACCAGUACCUCGAGCAUGUGCACUAAGGCUGCAAAGGGCAACAUCAACUCUCCCUACUUCGUUAUUGAUCUUCUUUCCCUUCUCAAUAACGACUAAACCUACUGGCAUCAGUUUGGAGAUCAAGGAGCAUCCUCCAAGCUUGGUUUUCAAAAGGGAUGGUGUGGACAAAAACAAUAAGAGAUGUCGAAAAAUUACAUUUGUAAUACUGCUUAGUUCUCUAAGCACUCUGAUCACCAUCAACAAAUGAGGAUCUAAUUCUAAUAGAGGCAAAAACACAAAUUUGCCUUCGGCUCUCUUUAGUAAUCUAAUACACUUCAAAGCAUCCUUCUUUGCCUUCUUCCUGAAGGUGGUGUAUGCAUUUACAUCUUGUUGGAUGGAACCUCCACCUCUUCUACGCAAAGAUGACUGAAGUCCUUGCACAUGUUCUUUCAUCUUCGACAACAAAUCUUUAGCACAGCUACCCGCAUCAAGAAGAGUCACUGAACCUUCAAGUGCCUCUUCAAAAACUUUACUAUCUUGAUGGUGUAAAAUGGAUUCUUGAGUGCGGCUAGUCUGAAGAAGCUCCUCGACACUAUUGUACAGCUCAGCUAGCCCAACCAGACCUUUUAGGAUAGUCUGGCCACUAAUCGAUUCUUCCAAGGAUGGCAAUGAGGCUUCCCAAAUUUUAAGCUUGUCAAACUCUGUAUCAACUUUGAGGGAAGUAGGGUGCAAUCUAGAGGGCAAGCUAAUGGACCUCACUGGGUGCAACCCAAAGGAGCAAUUCAUGGUCUAGUGUUUGUUUUUCACAAAUGGUUACAAGUACUCUGUGUCUGAGAUAUGUCGGAAUGCAAAUUAAGGAUCAAUCUAUAUAUAGAAGACACAACAAAAGCAAGCUAGAGAAUCAAGUUAAACAACUUCCAUGUGAGGCCAAAUUGAGUGUACCUACUGGUUUAAUGAACUUGUAACAAAUUUGGAGUACAACAAAAUUCUUUAAUCUUUUCUCUAAUUGUGGUCAUUAAAUGAACAACGCUCAUCCCUGAUUAUCUUUCAUUAUCCACCCACCGAUGUAUGUAGAAUUGAUAUAAAAAUUAACCAUUAGUUCGGAUUUCUGCCUACAUGCCCAACUUCUCCCCAUGAUCAAUUCACAAUCUACUACAGAAUAUUCCUUAAUAAAAUACACCAAUUGAGCAAUGAUAAAUCACUGACCCUGCUGAUAAUAGCCUUGUUACAAAGAAUCACAGAGGUGCAUAGAGGAGUAGGUAAUAUAAUUUCGACAAGGUUACGACAAGAAAUAGUAGCUUAAAAAAAGUUCUUAGGUCGUACAACCCUAGGAUUUAGGGACGCCACAUCAAGUAAAAUUAAACAGGAUCAGAAAAUUAUGCCUAUGGUUAUUUUAAAAUGCCAUUUUAAUAAUGUUGGCUGGCAUGUUUAGGAGACAAGGAGGCAUAAGCCAUUAUCAUUUCCUUGUCAAAUGGCAAAUACAGUUUAAUAAUAAACCUGCAUCUUAGAAUUGAGAAUGUGACCUCAUUGGUUAGGGGAGGUGGAAUGACUGACACAUAAACAUAAGAUCGGCACUUCUGUGUAUAAGACAUGUUACUUACAUAUGGUUCAGAGGGUCCAUAACUUAGCAUGAAUCUCGAAAAUUGAUAUAUGUUUUACUGAAAUUGAGGCUAGUUUCAGACCACAAUCAUGAACGGAGACAGCAUAUUCUUUGGCCUUUUCUUGCCUGUAAAAAAUUGAGACUAGAGAUUUUUAGAAGUCUUUGAAUGAACAUUUAGGUAUUGAAACAAUAUAUGUAAGAGAAUUAUAUAAUGCAUGUUUAGUAGACAAGGAGACAUAGUAUAAGGUUUUUAUAAGGUCGGGUAACUUGGAAAUUGGAGUGAGUCACAUAAAAAAAAUUCAUGAAACGUUAAAACCAUAAUCUGCUGUUCAAGAAUCCGGGGAAAUCGAAUGACAAAAAUGAUUAACACAACAUGGGCAACAUUUUGUAUUACUAUGAGAUGUACAUUGAACUUGUAGUAUUCAUGUUUGCGUAAAAUGUCUUCAGUUAAGCUGCUUGUCACAUUGUCUGAUAACAUUGUGGACUAGUAGUUCUUGCAUAGCAGAAAAGAAACGCAGGUUAAGACAUGUAUUUAACGAAUGAUCAAGCAAACAAUAUUAAACAUAAUGAUGCAAACCUAUAAUUAUUUUAUAGUCUAACUAAAUAAUGAUGGCAAACUUCAUUUUUUGAUUUUUUUUUUCCUUUAUUUCUCUAUCGUCAUCACUAAUUCCACGUAACUACGUGAGUUACGUGAUUAUUUCUCUCAGACAUUUGAUUCCUCACAAGUGAUUCUUGCAACCAUCUAUCAACGAUUUUUAAAGUUGAUUGGACACUGAACGCGGAUGAAGUGUCCCUUCCGUUCACACAAGAUACCUCAUAGAUGGUUGAAUACUCAAAUCAGCCGCUUGUCAGGAAUCGAGACCCAUCAGUUUUUUUUGUAGGUUUAUAUAAUGCUCAACUUACCGGUUAGAGUCAGACUGAAAUUUCAGAGUGCAUCAUAUAAUAUAACCCAAUCUCCAAUGUCAUGGCCGUCCCAACUCCCAACCCAACUUCAGAGUUCACCUUAAAGUUAAAUUUUAAUGACAAGCGUCACAAGCCCUCAUAUCAUACUGGACCCUAUUGCAACUAUAGCAGUCCGAGAACCCAGUCAAGCCCAAUGAUGGACUCAAUUGAAUGCCAGGAGUUUUCUUUUUCUGAAGAAAAAAAUGAUACAUUUAAAAACACCAAAUUUAACUGCAUAUCACAUAUAUGUUCAAAUAUUGCAUGCUACAUCAGUAAAACAUGUAGAAAGAAAAAUGUUCAGAUUCUGCAUGUCCUGGUCUUCUCCCUCAGAACAAACUUCUGAAUCUUUCCUGUUGAAUUAACUGGUAAAUCAUACAUAAAAACCAUCUGAGGGACCAUGUGAAGGGGCAGUAGUUCCCUGCAAUACUUGAUAAUCUCUUCACCACUCACAUUAUCAUCAUAUUCAUCCCUUAACUUUACAAAAGCACAAGGUGUCUCACCAUUGACACUGUCAGGCCUUGCCACAACCGCAGCUUCGAGAACCAUAGGAUGAUUUAACAAGACAGCUUCAAUUUCAAGUGUCCCUAUGAUUUCUUUCCUAAACUUUAUCACAUCCACUGCGCGAUCCUUCACCUGUAUACAACCAUCAGGGAGUCUAGUGCCAAGGUCCCCGGUUCUGUACCACCCAUCUUCAAAAGCCUUUCUAGUCAUAUCCGAAUCUCCGAGGUAACCGGACAUCAUAGUAUUGCUCCUAAACAUCACUUCCCCAAUGGUUCUUCCAUCAGAUGGUACACUUUUCAUUGUUACUGAGUCUUUGACAUCAACUUCUUCCAUGAUUCCUUGUCUAAACUUUAGGCUUAUUGUUGACAUACUCAACUCUGCAUUGGACAACUUAUUAACAAUCACGGGUCCGAGAGCCUCUGUCAUUCCAUAUCCAUACGUGAUGUUAAAUCCCAAUUCUUGAACUCUGGACAAAAUUUCAAUUGCUGGCAGUGCUCCAGCAAUUACUGCUUCCACUUUGUAGGCAUUUUUCCGCGUAUAGUUAGCUGGCGCCUCUGCAAUCUUGUUCAGGAUUGAUGGCGCCCCGCAUAAAUGCGUUACUUGAUGAAGCUCUAUAGCAUCAAAAAUGACUUCUGUUGUGACAUUUCGGGUGCAAAUAUUCGUGCCACCUAGCGCAGCCAUUGCCCAAGGUAAGCACCAACCAUUGCAGCGAAACAUGUCAACUGUCCAUAAGAACACCGGAAAUUUUCUCAUCUCAAAUCGAAAAAUUGCAGCCAGAGUAUUGAGAUAGGUUGCUCUGUGGCUGUAGAUUACUCCCUUAGGCUUCCCUGUUGAGCCAGAAGUGUAACUCACUGAUAUGGGAUCAAUUUCGUUCUUCGGUUUAACUACUUGAAAAUCAUUUUGGCCCAUAGCAAACAGGGAACUAUAAUUUAGGCAACCAUUAGGAAGUUUUUCGAAAUGUGAAACUUCUUGAUCCGAAUCUGGUAUCAGAAUUAGGAUGGGGAGCUUGGUUUGUGCCAACGACAAAGUUUCGAAUGCUGAAUGCACAACUUCGACGAAUUCAGAGUCUACGAAAAUCACUUUGGCUUCCAGUUGCGUUAGUAUUGAAGCCAACAUUGUUGUGUCCAACUUUGUGUUAAGUGCAGAAAGCACACCUCCACUCAUGGGAACUGCAAAAUGUAACUCAUAGAGUGCUGGGAUAUUUGGUGCCACAGCUGCAACCUGUCAAAUUUAACAAGAUCUAUACUUACAGUAACUCAUUUAACGGUUUUUCUAGUCUGUGUCCAUAAUCACACAAUAAUAACCGUUUUUUAGUUAUGUGUCGGAUUUCUAAUGACAAGUGUCUUUGCCGAGGCAAUUCGGGUUUGGUACAAUUUUUGAUGCCUAAUUUGGAGUAAUUAAGAUGUCAAAGAUGAAAUGUUAGCUUUACACUUGCAAGUUGCAGGGAGAUAUUAAUUUUGUACUCCCUUUGUCCUAUUUAAUUGUAUACAUUUCUUUUCAACUGCUCGACACGCAUUUCAAUGCUUUUAUAAAAUAUAGUUCUGUAACUUAUUUUUGAAAUUUUCUUUUUCUGAAUAAAAAUAUAACAUCCAAACUUUAAUUCAAAAAAAGAAAAUUUUAAAAAUAAAUUACACAACUACACUUUACGGGAGCAUUAAAGUCCGUGCCGCGUCCCGGUCCCCCAAUGUAUACAAUUCAAGGGGACGGAGGGAGUAUUAGAUAAACUCAACGGUGUAUAAAGUCAAAAUAUAAAAUAGUCUAAACUACUCAACUUCAAAUUGUCAUUCCCUGAACUAGAAUUAGGAAGCGUAAACAACGUUAAAGAAAUAAAAAAGUCAGACCUCAUAUAUUCCACAGAUGUAAUAUUUGAUGGCCGUCGUCAUAGGUUUAGUCUGGAGUGUAAACGAAUCUUAACCGACGAGUACUUUGGAAGGACAAUCCCUCCAUUGUUUUCCAGACAGGCAGAGCAGAUUUUUUAUUCGAAUAAAGAUGUCUGAGCUCGAGCUCGUUAAUUUUUUAAACUUGAAUUUUUAAAAAAUAAAUCUGAUUGUUCAGAAAUAAUUAUUUUUUUAAUAUAAAUACUUAUACGUUAUAAAUAGAAUACAUAAAUAUAAAUAUUACUUGAAUAUGUUAUUUAACAAAUAUAAAUGAUAUUUUUCAAAUGAGCCGAUCUCCACACACAGAAAUCAUUAUUCUCAAAUGAGCCGACCAUAGUCGGAAGAAUGGGUCAUAAAUAUCAUCAAACAAAUACUUAACUCAUAUUAGUACAAUAUAAUGUGUUUUAAGUUAAGAAUAAAGUUCAUCCUUGAAUAUCUUCAAAAUAUUUUCAUAUUAACGAAGUUGAUUGAUCGGUAUUCAAGUCGUAUAAAGUUUAGACUAAAUAUCAUAAUACAUAAAUUAUCGUUUUUUGUUCUAAUUUUAUCGAAGUUGAUAAUUUAUGUAUGAGAGCUAAAUCAAAUAUUCUUACAUUUAUAUACAACUCGAUAAUUCUCGAAUUAUCGAGAAUUGAUAGUUUAGUCUCGAUAUAUGCAAGUUCAGUUUAUAUAUAAGAACUUAAUUAUGAGAACUAAAUCAAAUACUCCUACACUUGUAUAUAACUCAAUUAAAUUGAGAGUUGAUAAUUUAGUCUUGAUAUAUGAGAGCUCGAUUCUAAAUCAUGUUCUUAUGUAUAGGAACUUAAUUAUGAGAACUAAAUCAAAUACUCCUACACUUGUAUAUAACUCAAUUAAAUUGGGAGUUGAUAAUUUAGUCUUGAUAUAUGAGAGCUCGAUUUUAAGUCAUGUUCUCAUUGCAAGUGAGUAAUACUCCCUCCGUCCCUUUUUAUCUGUCCAUUUUGGAAAGAAAAACACAUACCAAGGAAUACUUAAUUGUAUAAACUUUUUCAUUAAAUACCUCUAAUUAAUAUCUUGAAAAUGGUGGAAUACCCCUACUUUAUGUCUUGAAAACAUGAAUUCAACCAAGUUUUAAAUAAGUCAAGUCUUGAAAAUUGAAAUUAUGGAGAUAUAUUUGAAAAACUAUCAUUAAAUUAGUUUUGAAAGUAUAAAUGGACAAAUAAAUAAGGACAAAUCACUUCAAGAUAAAACAUAUCACUUCAAGAUUUCGAGGAGAGUUAAAGCUUAAAUUUACGAGAAUAAUCAAAGCAAACUAACGUCGAACUUUGUCCUUCAUUAACGAGCAACAAAGUACUGAAGCCUUGAAAAACAUGUAACGGCAAUCAAUUAGUAGAAGCUAAUUAAGGAAAUGAGAAAACUUACAACAUCACCACGGUUAACUCCCAAAACAUGUAGAGCAGACGCGAUCUUGAGGCAUCUUUGACGCGUUUCACGCCACGAAAAUUUAGUGUUUCGAUAAACGAUAGAGACCCUUUCGGCAUGAACCAAUGCUGCUUGUUCCAGGAAGUUGAUCGGAGACAAAGGCAUGAUCAUGUUGUUUGCUGAGCAUUGAAUCACACACUUCAUUUUCUCAAUCUUCUCGUCAAUGGUAGCUACAUAUACAUGCACAAACCAUAUAAAAUAUUAACCUGAGAAGCACUAACUCUUUUAUAUUCUAGAAUUUACAUUAUAUUAUUAAUAUAUCAUACGAUAGGAUGAACUCUUGAAAUACAGCGCAAAAACACAAGACCUGCGCUAAUGGUUCAUACUUGGUUAUGACGUUUAUUUUUGCCGUCAUCCAUUAAUUGUCAGUUUUCUGUGACAAGUACGAAUACGACUUAAUAUUAGGGGUGUACUUCAUGAAAUUCGAGUAUAUUUAAUUGUGAUUAUUCAAAUUCAUUAAAAUCUUUUGCUAUUCAAUUAAGAUUUUAAAUUAUGCUACAAAAUAUGGUGAUAUUUAAUUGAGAUUGUUUGAAAUCAACUAAAAUAUGGUGAUAUUUAAGUGAUAUUUUUUGAAAUCCCACCAAAAUUCAUGAAAUUUGAAAUAUUAUGCUUAAAUCCUAAAGAAUCUGCAUAAACUCUACAACAUUAAAAUCCGCACAAAAUCAAAAUCACAUACAAUACAUUAAAAUCUAUAGAUUAAAAUCCUAAUUAAAUGCACCCCUCUUAACAUUUCAAAUAUAAAAUGUGAGAAAUUCUUAAAAAUACAGGAACAAUGAGGUAAUUACGUAACAUAUUUAACAAAACUAGACCAAGCCACCCGUUAACAAAACAAUCUACGAAGAUGAAAAACAAAUCAAUGAAAUACAAUGUAUUAAUGAAGACGGUAAAAGAAGUGUACCGUUCACUAUAGUCAAUUAGUCAUAACCGUGUACAAUCAACAAGGCAUGAAUGGCUGAAUUGUCAGGCCUUCAAAAAACAAGUCCCGACUGCUAAAUAGAUUUUUGCCCACUUACACUAUGAUAGUGUGAUCGUUGGAGCUAGUUUAGAGAAAAAGGAAAGAGUUUAUGAUUUGUGAGUUGCAUACAGGAGUACCAUCUUAUGAGUUGUUCUUCUAUUUAUAAGACGAGAAUAGGAAGUGUAACGGCUGCAGAUUUAAAUUGUUGUAACUCAGCCGUUAUAAAUUAUUCAAUUAAUUCUCAUCCGUUACAGAAUAUAUAUAUCUUAAUUCUCAACUGUUACAGAAUAUUUAUAAUUAAUAUAUACUCACCUGAUAAAUAUACAUAUUAAUUCUCGAUUGUUACAAAAUAUUUAAAUUCAGUUCUUAGCUGUUAUAUUUUUUGCUGUUGUAGAUUAUAUGUUCUAUGGUAGUUCACUAUUUUAUUGGAGUUCUUGGAGUUCAUAUAUGUUUUGCAAGUAAAAUAUAGCUUAAAAUUUUGCAAAACAUAUUAUUUUUCAAAUAAUGUUCUACAAAAUCACUAUUAUAUUAAAAAUAUUGCGGAUCUCAUACAUUUUACGAGUAGAAAGCAAAAUAUAUUAUUCUAUAGAACAUGUUUAGUUUGUAGACAUACGUAUUUUACUUAUAAAUGUAUGAGAUUUGUAAUAUUUUAUUAAAGUAAUGAUAUUUAUGAAAUAUCUUUUGCAAGAUAACAUUUUUUACAAGAUAUUUUAUUUGUAGAACAUCCCGAGAACUCCAAUAAAAUGGUGGACUCAAUGGAACUCUAUCCCCAUACAUAUUUUGAUAAAUUUAAUUUAAUCAGAUUCGACUGUUACAGAAUAUAUAUAUAAUAUAUUUAAAUAAUUCUGAUUUUGAAUUUCUUUUUUAGUUUAUUCAAUUAUAUUUAUAUUAAUUAAUCAAUUAAAUAAGCAAAUAACAAAAAUUUCUCGCCAGAUCGCCUCACGUAUGCAAGAUAUUCACACAAAUGACCCCGAGUCGAGAUGUGGCAUGGCAAUGUGACUACAGGUGGCAAUCGUUUUGUUUCGUAUACUUUCGUUUCGUGUAAUUUCGUGUUUCGUGUACUCGAAGGUGAAACCCGUAUCCGCCCGUUAUUAAUUUCGUGUACCUAAUUUGAAACCCGUAUCCGAUCCGAAUCGUUUCGUAUAUAUUUCGUGUACUUUUCGUGUAUAUUAUAUAUAAAAAUAUUAAUAUAUUUUUUCAUCAAAAAAUGGAUUUAAUAUAUAUUUUCCUUUAUAAAUUUAUUAAAUGUGGAUGAUAUAUUUAUUUACAAUUCUCUAUAAAUUUGUUAAUGUAUCUACAAUAUAUAUCCACACAUACAUAUAAAUAUAUACUUUUUACUCAAUUAUAUAUCUAAUAUAUCAUAACAUAUAUAUAAUAAAUAUUAUCUACAAAUAUUUCGUGUACUUUCGUGUAUUUCGUGUACCCCAGAUGAAAACCCAUAUCCGACACGAAAUCUAUCAUGUAAUUUCGUGUUCGUGUAUUUUUGUGUUUCGUGUAUCAAAAAUUGAAACCCAUAUCCAUUUUUUUCGUGUCGUUUCGUUUCGUUUCAUGUUAGCGUGUCACGUGUCAAAUUCACAUAUCAUGCACAUGAUAUCUAAUAAAAUCACAUAUCACAUACCGCUCUUUAUUAUUUAAAUGUCACACAAGUCAAAUUACUCAUUUCAAACUUUUUAAUGUUCCUAUUUUAAUCAAUUUCUCCAAUAAAUUACAUUACAAAAAAUUAUUAGAUUCAAAUAUGAUAAUUUAAGUUUUCAGUUUUAGAAAAAACCUCUAAUUAUCAGAAUUCAAAAAUUACAUAAAGAGCAUAAUAUAUAUAGCCUAAUUUUUUUUUAUCUUUCUAAUAUAAAAUACGUGUGGUAAUAAAUGAAAAUCAUACAGAGAAGCUAAAUCUCAGAAUAGGGUAGUGUAAAUGAACACUUUGAAAUUCAUAAAACAUUUUGAUUCUGAUUGAUGUGAAUGCGAACGUUAUUACUUAUUUAUAAGAUAAUUUUAUCCACGGAAUGUAUUAGGCGCUUGAUUUGUUUGACACCAAUUUCGAUCAUGAUUCAAAUCUAAAUUUAGAAAAAAUUUAAAUAAUUAAAAUAUUUAACAUAAAUGAAAAUUUCCUUUUAUAUUAAUCGAAUUAAAAUCUCAUAAUCGAAUAUAAACAAUCAUUUUCUUUCAGCUGAAAGAAUGAUAGAAAUGACUUUUCUCCGCUGCCAAACAGGAUGGCCUCAGGCUACGCACAUAAACUGAUAAACAUAUAAAACCCUGACACUGCAAAUUUAACUAAAAUAAUCGAUAAGUGAGCUAAUAAAUUUUCUUAACUAAAGCUAUAUAUAUUACUUAAAGAUUUAAAGAUAUAAUAUAUUAUUAAAAUAAUAAUUUCAUAAAUUACAAACAUGUACAUUCCGUGUAUACCGAGUCAGACCAUUUACUGAAUUAAAAAAUAACUCUGCGUGUUUUGGCCGGUGACGACCGACUUUAAACGAGCAAAGUCAGUCCACCAUCAUAAUUUAGACAAGCAUGUAUACAACUGCGUCUGCAAGUCUAGGUCUUUUUAGCGCACUAUUUAAUAUUGCAUAUUACAAUUGUGGUAAACAUCGGUGCAUAAAUUCGAAUCAAUGAGGUAUCUUAAUUGUCCAUCUGUGGAGCAUGAUCGAAUCAUCCGGUCCUGGUUUCGAUUUUUGAUAACUUAACAACUGAAGUUCUCAAGUCAAUAUCAGGAACAUUAUUCUCAUACAUCACAAGACAAACCGCAUAUUAAGAAAAUACUUGAAACACAAUUACAUAGCAACCAACCUCUCUAUGAAAGAAGAAGGAAAUAGCGCCAGGGCGAAAACCACAACAUAUUCAGUAUUCAUUCAGCUUUCCACGAUGAAAAGGGUGGAGUAUCCGAGUUCAGAUAAGAGGCUGCUCCGGUUGGGUAUCUUUCACCCUGGACAGAAUUAGCAAUGGAUUCAAGUUCCGCCAUUUCGUGAGUUGUUAAUUUUAUCUUUAAAGCUCCAAUAUUUUGGUCAAAAUUUUCAAUUUUGGUGGUUCCGGGAAUAGGACACACAUCCGAUCCCUGAUGAUGGACCCAAGCCAGUGCUAGUUGUGAUGGAGUACACCCUUUAUUUGAUGCAAUCGCAUUAACUCGAUCAGAUAAGAUUUUAUUACGCUCUAUAUUUUCCUUCUGGAACCUUGGUAGAGCCUGCGCAGAAAGAAAGAAUUAUACAAAUUGAUCCAAGGAGCCAAGAACUAAUAUUUAAAACAUAUUAGUUCAGAAUACGGAUUAUUAUAAAUAAAUAUUCUGAUUUAUGAAGUAUGUUAAGCAAUUGCAACUUUUGCAUUCCUUCACGGGUUUACAUAAUCUAUUUUAUACAGCUAGUACUAGCAGUACGAGGUUCAGAAUAGUUACUAGCAACCAAACCUUCAAAACAAAUCAGAUUGUUAAAGUUUCUUUAACGAAAGAGUUUCAGACAGUUAGAUUGUAGUUGUUCAUGAAUUGUUUUAACUUUGCUUGCUGUGUUUUCAUGAAGAUCCAAGCUACUAAAAGAGAACUCGGCACUCUGCAAAUAGUGAUCAGUUUCUUCAAUAAACUUGAUUUUAUUUACUUUUUGGCUAAUUUAGACAAUAAAACUGAAUUUUAGAUUUUGAAAUUAAAAUACAAGCUUGAUACUUAGUAUAAUAGAGAAAACAACCUUUCUGUAGUCAUCUUUUGCUAAGCUGUCAACCAAAUUUGAACCUCCAGACAAGAAUCCCCGUCCCAGAGGACUAUAUGCAACAAUCCCAAUGCCUAGUUCUCUGAAAAAUACAAACCAGUGAACUAAGUUUCUGAUUUUUUUUAUAGGUAGUUGGAAAAUAUGAUGAUUUAAACAGAUACCAUACCUGCAAGUAGGAAUUAUAUCUUCCUCCACGCCCCUCGACCACAAAGAACACUCCAGCUGCACGGCAGUGAUGGGAUGAACAGCAUGAGCUCUUCUGAUUGUAGAUGCAGAGGCCUCAGAAAGCCCUACAUACUUGAUCUUACCUUCUUCAACCAGUUUUUUCAGUUCUCCCAUCUUCCAAACAAAUGCACAUUUUUAAGGCACAAUGGGUAAAAGGAGAAAUAGGAAGAAACAACAUAUUAUGGUACCAUCAUCACAUAAAUCAACAUUUCUUUGCACUAUCAUGGUUAAUGGCAUCAACUUACAACUGUAUAAUAAAAACAUAGCACUUUGACCUCCCGGACGACUAUGCGCCCCAACUGAGUCGAUGAAGAUAGUAGUCAAAUGAUUAAAUAACAGUUUUUUGAUGGACUACUGGCCUAGAGCUCUCACAGAUAGUCUUCUAAGUUGGAAAUGAUUUAAUACAAAGUGAAACUGACGAAUUCUCGACACAAUCAGAUCCUUUCGCAAAUCCUGCUAUCAUGAGAGUUGCUAUUUAACAUUUAACUGGCCACUGUGUGCACACACUUUCACAAAUGAAAUAUCACAGAUAUGCUCACUGCAGCCAUUCCAACAGCACACCAAGAAAGACUCAUCUAGGAUUUGGGUAAAAGCAGCAAAAUCAUUCAUUUGUCUAUUGUUGAUUUAUGAAAAUAACAUUUUUUAAUUAAUCAAAUUACCAGUAAUGAGGACAGAUUAAUACAACAGCUAUAAAAUUUUUAGCAGAAAACUUAAAAACAGGGCAAGUAAUUUGGGACACGACAACUAUGUAUUGACAUACCGUAACUUCAAUUGGCACUUGAGUGUCAAUACGGUGCUGAUAGUACAAAUCGAUAAAAUCAAUCUCAAGCCUCUUCAAGCUAGCCUCACAACACGCCCGCACGUAUUCUGGAUCGCCUUGCACUACUCUGAUUUCUCCAUCCAUCCUGAUCCCAAACUUGGUAGCCAGCUGAACUUUGUCCCUAACACCGUCCUUUAAAGCCUACAUUCACACAAUCUCAUUCAAAUCCUUUACACAUUUUGAACUCAAGAUUCAUUUACAUAUUGAACGGGUGUCAACCCAAGUCCCACGUCAUAAAAAUAAAGAAGAUUUAUCUUGAAUAUAAACAGUCAACGAACUCUAUUAAUAUGAAGCGUUUUGGAAGUAGCCCCAAAACAAAUCCUUGCGGGCUUGCCAUAAUCAUCCCCUUAAUCAUAUCGAGAUGAUGAAAAAAAGGCACAUAAAAAGAAAAACGGACCUUAGAAAUGAGGAUUUCGUUGGUGUGAGGUCCAUAAAAAUCUGAAGUGUCGAGAAGAGUGACACCGCUUUGGACAGCAUGGUGGAUGAGUCGAAUCAUGUCGGAAUCAGGCUUGGUCUGACCGUAGAAGUAGGACAUUCCCAUGCAGCCAAGACCCUGAGCUGAAACUUCAAGACCUUGUGAACCCAACUUCAUUCUGGGGACUGCAUCACCCAUUGUAAGGCUAGUAUAAUUUGGAAUUAUUUAUGUGUAUCAGAGAGUUGAGCCGAGAUUUUCCUUGACAAAAGAGAGAGUCUAGUAGAGAUGAUUUUAAGCAUGAGUCUGGAGAUCUAUGUUAUUUAUAGGUGCAGGACCGGAAGCACAGAACCGAAUGGAAUCCAACCAAAAAUCAAAAGUUAUGGAAUUCAUGGACCUAGUAGAGGACUACUAUAGUCUGCACUAAGACCAGACCAUGACCAAAUAGAUAAUCACUUAUGACUUAUGACUUAUCUAUGAAAAACAAAAAAGGGCUGCCGGACGUAAAAUCAGGACAAAGACGAGUAGUGUUAGGUAAUCAAAAUUUAUUUUUUAAAUAAAAUGUGAUAGUUAAAUAAUUUGGUUCGAUUUAUUGAUGUAUGUAUAUACAUAAAAAAUCUCAUAUUAACUUAAAAAUAAUACUCCCUCCGUUCCAUUUUAACUGUUUUUGACUUUUUUACACGUAUUUUAAAGUGUAAAAAAAAUCACAUCUAUAUAUAAUUAUUCUUUAUAAAAUUUAUAUCAAAUAAAAGUUUAGAAUCUAAACUUUUAUUUGAUAUAAGAAUUGAAUUUUUUAAUUAAGCGUAGACAUUGUCUUUUUACACCUCAAUAUACGUGUUAAAAAGUCAAACAUCACUUAAAAUGGGACAGAGGGAGUAUAACUUAUAUGCAUAUGAUUGUUAGAAUAUAAUAAGAUUUUGGUAAGUUCUCUUCCAUUUAAAAUUUUAGAACAAUUGCUCACUUAACUUAAUACUAUCAAAGUAUAGUCUGGUGGAGCCUUUUUGAGAUUUUGAGAGAAUUGAUUAUUUAACGGACACAGUUUGGAAUCAUUUAUUAAUACUUUACAUUUUUUUUUGUGACAGAAAUACAUUGCAUUUUCCAAUCAGGACAAUAAGUGCAGUUUUUAUAGUAACAAAUUCAAGCCACCAAACGUCAUUGCUUGCGUUUUAAUAUUUUCCACUCUACUUUCCAAAUAUGGAAACAUUAUAAUAACUCAGCUUUAAAUUUAUGUCAGGCCGCCGGGGACAAAAUCACAAAAUACAGCAAAGUUAUAGUAAUGUAUAGCAAACUUCUUCAAUUAUAGCGCUCCGAUAUGUAGAAUAUGGUGGCCCGUUGGGUAGAAAACUAGAUACAACAAACUAAUAUCAAUUGAUGCAGCCACUAGUCAUGUGGAAUCCAGAAACUAUUUUAAUUCUGAUUAUAUUAUUCAGUUUAAAAGCGGAGCAAAGUUUAAUUGACCACUUUUUUGAAAAUUUGGAACUCAUUUCUGCCCGUCUGUUACUCCCGUUAGUAAUAUUUAAUGAGAGCCACAUUUUUAAAAGAUUAAUUGAAAUUAUUAAUCAUGAUAUUAAACAAAUAUAUUAAAUAAUAUAAAAUAUCUAAUUUAUUAAGAUUAUUAUAUUAAUUUUAGAAAGAUAUGUUAUGAUUAAUGGGAUUUAAAAGAUCGAAUCAACUAAAUAUCUUGUAAGGUGAUUUUUAGAAAUAUCCUAAAACGUUUUACAUACAGGUGAUAUUAAGGAGAGUAAUGUCAGGGACAUCAGAAUUUGUACCGAAAUUCUGUUCUCAAAUUACAUGGCAGACAUAUGACGGAUUUUAGUUGAGUGGUUUAUGCAGAGACGGAAUCAGAAAAAUAAUUUGAAGGGGCGAAAAAUUUUUAUGUAAAAAAUACAUUCCGACAAUUUAGAUUUUAUUGAUAAGUUUAUGAAUUUGUAUGCACAAAAUUCAUAUUUACAUGAGAAUUGGGAACAUAUUUUGGGUUACUUAGUAUCUUCCUGUUUAGAACUAUGCUACAAGGUUUUACAUGCUGGACUGCUGGAGUCUAGAUCAGCACUCCUGAUUAACAUGUGACCCCAAUUUCUUGUAUUAUACCUAUUUGGAUUAGAAAUCAUAACUUAGCUAGGAACAUAGAUUUUAUUUCCAGAAGGAUUAGGAUUUAAGAAUGUGAAUCUGAUUCGGACAGCAAGCUUCUUACACUUGUUGCUGUUUUUUAUAAACGAACAUGGUGGUUUUGAAAGUCUUGAAAACAUACGAAACAACAAUGGGAAAUUUUGUACUUGAUGCUCUAAGAACAUCAACUCUGUCAAUACAAACAUCAUUCCAUGAAAUCAAAGUAUCUUUCGGGUCCAUCAAAUCAUUAUUAGUACCCUGGACAAGAUCAAACAGUAACAAUUCCAGCCCUGUCAUCUCGAAAACAAAGUUGCGCGAAGAUAUCAAAGAGUUUGAUGAGUCUAAGGUUGGCGUAAAAGGCCUAGUUGACGCAGGAAUCACAUCGAUUCCACGUAUCUUCUACCAGCCACCUGAGAAUCUAAUUGAUUCGCGCUCUCUCACGCGAACCUUGGAUAUCCCUGUCAUUGACCUGGCUGCGUCUGACAGGGCUAUUGUUGUGAGACAAGUUCAAGAAGCAUCGUCUAAGUUUGGAUUCUUUCAAUUAAUCAAUCAUGGAAUUCCUUUGUGUCGUAUGGAUGAUGUGAUUUUGUCGAUCAAGGCUUUCAAUGAGCUUGAAACAGAGCUGAAAUCGCAGUAUUAUAGUCGUGAAGGAAAUGAGAAGAGAGUACUUUACUAUGGUUCAAGUUUGCAUUUAAAUGAAUUAGAAGGCGCCAGCUGGAACGACACGUUGCUGGUAGCAUUGGGACCGGAGCCAGCAGAAUCAUGUUAUGUUCCGGAGGUAUGCAGGAUGGCGGUGGCUGAGUGGGAUGAAGAGAUGAAGAAACUAGGGGGUGCUUUAUUAGGUUUAAUGAGUGAAGGACUCGGGUUGAAGAGGGAAGCACUAGAGGAGAAGUUGUGCAUGGAUGCUAGAAUCAUGGCUGGAAAUUAUUACCCUCAUUGUCCACAGCCAGAUUUAACUCUGGGCUUAAAAUCGCAUACUGAUCCUUCUAUUUUUACUCUGUUGUUGUCUAAUCAUGUACCUGGCCUCCACGUUAAAGUUGAAGGACAUGAGUGGGCUAAUCUGGUGGCUCAUCCGGGGGCUCUUGUGGUAAACAUUGGUGAUGUUCUUCAGGUAAAAUCAAAUAUUUCGUAUUACAUCAGGUCUUGUUUUUAUAUUUUGCAAAGUUGUGAAACUAUGUGUCCCUGAUAUGAAUAUUUUUUUUUGCAGAUUAUUUCAAACGACAAGUACAGAAGUGUUGAACAUCGGGUGUUGGCCAACUCAUUACAAGAACCACGAAUAUCAGUUGCAGUUUUUUUCAACCCAGCUAACGAUGCAGACACUUAUGGACCGUUACCUGAAAUUACAUCACUGGAUGAACCAGCUCGUUAUCGCGACUUUGAUUUACUAGAGUUGAGACAACAAAUGAAAAAGGAAGUGGGUGUCAAAAGUUUGAUUAACAACUGCAGGAUUGGUCCAAAUUUGAAGUGGAGAGAUUGGAAUCCGCUCAGGCUUCUACAGUCUUAUGUAGGUUCUAGUCAGAAUUAGAUAGAUAUUCAGUUUCAUCAAUUUUCAGGACUCGCUGUUCCCUGUAGUUUAUCACAUUUUGAUUCCCGUCACUGGUAAUCCGGCUAGGAGGUCUUUUAACCAAGAAUUUCAUAUGUUAAUCAGAUCUUAUCUCUGCGGCUAGUUGUAACUGUUAAUUACCAGCUUCAGAAUAGUUCUUUUGAUUGUUUUGUCAUGUGCUUAAUUGUGCAAAAUUUUAAAAAAUGGUUUUGAUUGUUUCAAUCAGCAUGUUAUUGAGUCAAUCCUACAGAGGUUCUUUUCAUUUACAUGUAACUGCUCAGUUAUCUUAGCCUUUUUUUUCUUUAGGUAAACCAAACCAAGAAUGUAAUACUUUGUCAAAUAUUUUUAAUACACACGAGUUUAUACUAGAUGAGCAUCUCUAACAAGGGUUGUCAAAAUAAUUGUCAAUAUUGUCAAAUCAUCAUAUAUUAAUAUUUAUUUCACUCAUUUUUUAUCAACUUGACAACAUUCUAAUUCAAUAAUUAGCAAAUUUUGAAAGUUGUCUAUGUGGUCCUCUCAAUUGAAUUAUAAAUGACUCAUGAACUAAUAGAAGUAUUAAUAAUCUACAUUUUCGGCACUUAUAUAUGUAUUUUAACUAUUUUGGAAAGUUACGAAGUUUUGACGAUGGUGAUAGGCAGCCUCUUGGCAAUCAUACAACUUCAAUAGAUUGCAAUGAAGAUUGUCCUACCACAUAAGAUUUAACAACCUCUUAGCAAUUUCUAUCGGAGAUGCUCUAAGAUAGAUUUGACACCCCUUUGACAAAAUCUCUAUCGGAGAUAUCAUAAGAUGAACAAAUUUUUUUAAUAAUUAUAUAUUUAAAAAAAUUAUUGAGUAUAUAUAUUUAUAAUUUUUAAGUAAAUAAUUUAUUAUAAUAUCAGUCAGUCGAAUACUCAACCCCCACCGCCGCAUAGGGUUUGCAAGUUGUAACUGAAGAGAAAAUAAAAGCAAGACAAGAUCGGUGCUGCUUAUUACAAAGAGAAUACCCAGUUAAACACACUCUCUCUCGUAACGUUUAAACAGGUUACUUAGCAAAUGGCGAACAGCAGUAAAAUUCUUCUUGAUUUGGAGGCUGAAAAAUCUCCCGCAGGUCUUUUUUCUAUCUCUUUCCAUCCCUGUUAAUUUUUAUAUAACUUAUUUGUUUGUGUUUGCUGAUACUGUUUCGGGGUUUUACAUUAUUUGCAGAAUCCAAGUUUCUGUUUUGUAUGAAUCAUGAUUUCCCGCGGCAGCCUAAGCCUACAAAAUAUGAAUUGCCUCAGAAAAAGCCUAUAAUUACCUCGGUUCCGAAAAGCCAAGGUAACCAUUUUCAUUCUUUGUGCUUUAUUUGUUUUGUUUUAACACUGUGUGGUAAAAACUCGUUAAAUUAAUACUCGAUUAUGUGAUAACAUCUGUUAAUUGAUACUCUACUAAAAUUUGUAGAAAUUGCAGUAGAGGGUACUGUAGGGGUGUAAACAAACCAAACUAUUCGUGAGCUACUCGAGCUCGGCUCGUAAAAUAUUUGAAUUUGAUUCGGUAAUAAUCGAGCCGAGCUCGAGCUCGAGCUAUUUGGAAGUUUUACCGAGCCGAGCUCGAGCUUCAAAUUACUCGGGUCGUAAAGUUCGCGAGCCUUAUCGAGCCUCUUUUAUUUUUUAAUUUUUUUAUUAUAAAUAUAUUUUUACAAAUAUUUUUAAUAUUUUAUUUAUAAUUUAUAUAUUUAAUCGAAUCGAACUCGAGUCGAACCGAACAUAUUUCGAGUUUUUGUCAAUAUUUGGUGACUCGAUUCGAGCUUUCGAGCCGAACUCGAGCUUAUCGAACUAUUUACGAGCCGAGCUUCGAACUUGAAAUUAAAGGCUCGGUCGAACUCGAGCUCGAACCCCGAAUUUUUCAGUCGAGUUCGAGCCGAGCCUGCCAGUGUUCGACUCGGCUCGGCUCGAUUACACCCUUAGAGGGUAGUAUGCCUAAUUAUAGUUACUUAAUAUCACCUGGAGUAUUAUUGUGUUUAUUGCUGAUUCACAUUAUGAUGAUUGGUUCCCUAUUAAAUUAAUAUGCAAUUAAAAAAAGGUUUAAAAGAAAUGGUUCAAGGAUUGCCUCAGUCAUGUCUUGCUUUAAAUUAUUGAUACAUUCAGUUUGCUUAAAGGAUUGUAACUCAUUUGUUUGAUGUAUAGAUGUUUGAGGGAUAGGGGAGCAGUGGGAAAAAUAUUUUGAUUGUAUAUUUUUGUUAUGAUUGUAGACUGUUGUUUAUCACCUAACUGAUUGAGCUUUCGUUACCCUUUUGGUGGGCAAGGUUGUGUUAUGGUUGGGAUGGUGGGAAGGCUGCACAUUGGUUGUAGGGUGUGAUGUUUCUAGUUUCUAAAUUGUAAAAACUACAAUACUAUGUUUUUGAAGUAUUAGAAUAGGUGGAGUUAACUAAGCAUGAAAAUAGUAUCUUUUAUGGUGAACUGAUCUCUGCAUACCCAUUGGUUGGUAGCAGAGAAAGGCGAUGAAAUGUGAAUUAUAUGGAGGGUUGUAUAUAAAAUGGUGGAAGACCUUAGCUGGGGCACGGGGCAAAUCUUGUCAGUGUUGGUAUGUUAUAUUGUUGCUAGAUGUUGGGGAAGAACAAGUGAGUGGUUUUUCAGGGUGAUAUUAGUCAAUGAAAUAAGUCUGCAAACACCAUUAUGUGUAAAGUUAUAGUUUCUUAGUGCUUUAGUGUAGCAUCCAUAAUUACUAUACUUGAUUUCAACACGGUAUUAUAGUGUGUAUUACAGAUGCACAUAUUAAAUUUGACUGAAAGUAUGAUUACUUUAUAGAAACUUCAGGUUAUGACAUUUUUCUUGCUUAAGUAUCUAGAUAUUAAAAAUGACUUUGACGUCUAAGUUAAUGUAGGAAUAUACUUAUAAACUAUUGUUCUGCAUACUUUAACCCCGUUUUAACAGUUCUGGGAAAAUUGAAGGAUUUCUUACCAGUUAUGUCAGAUGCAAAUAAAAAACUGCAGCUCGCUGCCAUGGUACGCUAUUGACUGUAGAUGUAAUCAGAUUGUUUGUCCAAUUACUUUCUUUCCCCACCUUAAAUUAUCAGGACCAAUAUGUUAAAUGUAGGACAAUGCGAAGGUAUUUGAUAUUGAAUCACUUGAAGACAAUGAUUCUGCACACAUUGAAAUGGUAUAUUUCUCUUACACCUAAUGAUGAUUCUAGCAACCAAUUUCUGUACUUAAUUUUGGGGGUAACCUAAUAGGAUCUGAUGCUGGGGGUAGCUGACCUCCAUACCCCUGAAGCUAUUGCUGCUGCCGAGUCUGCUAUCAAUGGUAUUCAGCCAGUUUUACCAUUUGCAACUACUAGUAAUAGUGAUGAAGACACUGAUGAAUACGAUGACAGUGAGAGUGACAGUGAGAGCACUUAUGAUGAUGAGGAUGGGGGAGAAAAUAAGCGUGACUCUGACAAACAUGAUCAGGGCAAUGAUGGUAUUGAACUAGCAUGCUCUCUUGCAAACACAAAAAGAGCCAAAUCCGUCUGCAAGGAAUCAUCUGAAGAUUUGGGAAAUGCAAAAUCAAGCAAGCGACCAAAGAUUGUCGAGCUUUCAUGAAACCUUUCCGGACAUAAAAAAAAAUGAGGUCUGAACUCUGAAGAUGUAUCUUCCAGAAUCAUGGAAUAGGAUGGAGCUAGAAGAACUAUUACCCCAAGUUCACUGAUAUCAAGCACGGAUGAAACCAGCCUGUUGGGAAGCUUGUUGGAGGACUGUAACAUGUUGAGUGUAAAAUAUAUCUGAUGGGUUAUACAUUUUGUUGCUACAAAUUUGUGGUGUUGAAUUCACAGUUCAAUUUGAUUAUUGUACCAUGUGAUAAGUUUUUUUCUCAGUUUAUCAAUUGAAUUUACUCAUGAUGAGGAUGGUAUUUUGGAAAAGCUUUAUUUCCUGAUCGGAAUGUGGUGGCGUGGUGCAGUCAAUUUGGGUGGUGUGGCACCCUGCACCACCCCUGCUUACCGCAGUAACUUCUGAAGCCAUUUAAUCUAAUUAUGUUAUGAUAAUCGAUCAACAUUAAUCACUUCAUCUAAAUACUAGCAGAAAACUGUUAAUAAAACCGAAGAAUGACCCAUAAGUAUUAAUAGUAUGUACAGCUGAAAGGUAAAUUUCUUGCUGCUGUUGGUUGUAAGUGGUCGAAAGAAAAAAUUGACAACAUGAAAUUAAAUUUAAGCGUGUACAAUUGUGUACAGCUGAAAGUGAAAACAGAUGGUCUCACCAUUCCUGUGACAAUAUAUUUAAAUGUGAUUUGUAUAUAUAACAGUUCACGGUGACCUUCCGCCCUUUUCAUGACUAUCUUGAUCGAGAUGAAUGAAAUCAUUUCAAACUACUUUCACUGGCAUUGUUGUCCAGUGAGCGGGUAUCGGAACUUGUGUGCGUCAGUAUUUAAAUUAAGGAUCUUUCUACUUUUAAUUUAGACGAAAGAGAAAUUUGUUGUGUACACAGACACAUAUCAGAAAAUCCGUUAAAUUAAAACGCUUGUUAGUGUAGGAAGUGUUUCUGUUUCAUACGUGGAUGAAUAUUAUAUGAAGGUGGAGAUUAGAGUAGUGUUCUGGCUUUGACAUACGUGUCUUCGGGAAUCAGGUCUCUACUCAAUUCCCAGUAAAACAGUGGUUACUGUCUCAAAUUCUGCAGACUGAAUCACUCUGCUUUUCACCCUUGUAUCUUCUUUAAUUCCAUUGUGCAACUCAAGAAGUUUUAGUGCCAUAAAUUAUGAGAUUUCUUAGAAAUACUCGUUUCCUUCAAGGAAAUGAAUGUCUGUCAGACCUAUACUUUUACUACCACAAUUUGCAUCGCCGUGACUGAUUAACUAAUAAGAGGUCGAGAUUUAAGUGUCGGGAAAUUACACUAGCAAGUGAAUUUUCCAGCAGAGCAGUGCUACAGGGACAAAAUUGGAUACAAAAUUUUGUACAAAAUGACACAGCACGUUCCAAACAAAACUUAACACAUGUCAUUUUGUGAAAGAUUUUGUACAUAAUUUUAUGCCCGAAGCACCAAAUUGAUUAUAUCUGUUCUGUUGUUCUUACUGCAUUAAUGUAAAAACUAGUGACUCCAAUACUAGGUAAAGUUAAAAUGAUACCUUGGCAUCUAAUAAAGCAGGCUCCUUUAUAUCAAAAGGUUGACAUUUUGUAUAAUCAAUGGACGACUAAACAAAUUAAAGAAAAAUAUAUUUAAAAAAAUUAAGGAGAGAUAUAGACAUGCUUAGCUAAUGAGCCAUGGCAACCGGAGCUGCAUAAUUGAUAGACCUCUGGUUGGGCAUUGCAAGCAUAAAAGUGUGAUCCAAGAAAUCAUUCAACGCGACCACAUGUUCCAGUACGAACCUAAGCUCAUCAGCACACGAAAACGCCAUGUUUCCAGCUCUCCUCACUGCAUACACAUAAAAUGUUAAGCACCCUUUCCUGAAUUUGAAUCUUGCCAUCUCACAACCGGUUAGACCCCGGAUGAUCUUUCGGUUUACUUCUCCCAGCGGUAUUUCCUGUGGCCAUAUCCUGUCAACUGCAUUCUUCAAAUUCUCAGACUCGAACACAAAAAUAAGUACCUUGGAUUUUUUGGUGCCUAGGCCUAGUGUAAGAGUGUGCCAUGCAUGGUGUGCUAAGAUAGUAAAAUUUGUUGGUAAAAAUGCAGAGGUGGACCGGAAACUUGUUGAUGUUCUUGAAUUCCCUGCUGGGCUUUUUUCGUCUAGGGAGAGGAGGUGCAGAAGCUGCAAUGGCCGCGCUUGGCGGAUAGUGAAUGAUUUUACAAUAAAUUGGCCUCCAAAACGGAGGCCUUUAACAUCAGAAGAGGGCUUGAAUGAGAAAUCUGAGGCAUUGGUGGCAAUCUUGGUGGUAUGAUCCUGAUUUGGAUGCUGAUAUUUUUGCUUCUUGGCCUUCUUUUUUUCUUUUUCUCCCAUGAAUUUGGUAUUUGUCUUGAGAAAUAGUGUGAGUGGUUAGAGGUGCACUGGUUAUAUUUUUGUAGGGUGGGGUUGAAUUAUAGCCUUUUAGGGAGUAUGAUAUGAUAACAAACCAAUUUUUGAGAGGUGGCUAGUGGGUUUCAUGAUGUUUGUGUUUAUGUUUCCAGCUUUGGGCUUUAAAUUUUAGGUGAAAGUUGAACCGUGAAACUAAUCAUACAAUGACUAGAAAUUGUUUUUUAAAACAUUUAUAUAAUUCAUAUGUUGUACAGUAGGUUGGAGGGUUGAAGUUAUUACAAGUCCCUACAUAUUUAUGACAUAUAUCUCAAGAUGUUGGCAGUUCAUUCACUGCAAUUUAUGAUUCUCUUCAAAAGUUUUGAUUUCUAAAAACAAAAAGAGAAAAAAAAAACAAUUUUUCUUAUCUGCAAAACCGCAUAAUUAUUAGUACAUAGUAAAUGUAUAAUGUAGUACAGUAGAACAUUUUAUAAGAGAACUCAGCUCUUGUCCUAUCUUAAGCAAAUGAAGUGUCUAUCUACCAUCUCAAUCAAAUGGAAAUUAGGAAUUUAAGAGGUUUUAUGCAUGAUAUAUAAACAAGUCUUCCCAAUAAAGUUGUUUCCUACCAAAGGAAACCCCACUGCCUUUAAUCAUUUCAUGGAAAAUUUUAUACACUGUUGGGUAGACCAGGCUGUGAUUGUCCCACAAAUGGUCCCAUAUAUAUUCUUGCAGAUUAUAUGUCCUUGGAUAUUUACAUAUAUAAUAUCUUCUUAUUGAUCAAAAUGAAAGACAUCUCCUACCAAACUUAGGUAGGACACUAAUUAGAUUGUAUCCAUUUAACAAUAAUGUGUCUGAUUAAUGCCUCCUAAUUCAAACCGGUAAGAGUUAAAUGAUAUUGAUUUGAAUAUGUAUCUUUCAACAUAUUGUCAAUUACAGGUUGCACAUGAAGGUGGUAAUAUGAUUUUAACAUUCACUAUAAAUCCAGAAGCCACGUAUAGCUUCAAAUGACUCGCUAACAAUGUUUAGCAAAAACAUUAUCUCAAACCAAACUAACAUUAGCUGCUUUAUCUCAAACCAAACUAACGUUACAUCAAACUAGCAUCAGAGUGCAGAUUACCUACAUUAUUAAUCAACAUAAAGAAAGCAGUAUUCGCCAAGAUGUCAAAAACAGUGAAUAUCCUCCGAUGACAUUCCACAAUGCUCGGGCAAAAACUUUAUUAAAUCUUAUUUCAACCCGACAUUGCCCAUACAUAUUACAACUCUUUCAAGAACUUAUUCAUGCUCAAAAAUAACACAAGACAAAAGUCAACCCCCAUGCAUCAUCACCAAUUCACCAUACACAGGUUACAUAUACAAAUCGACAAACAAAAAAGAGGGAAGAAAAAAAAAAGAAUAACAAAAGCAGAACAUAGAACAAAUUUGUAAUAGACUGAUGCUCCAUGUUCCAGCGUUAUCCAAGAAGCCCGACUAUCUCAAGAAACUGAUGCUGUAGAAAACUACACCCUUCAACAAUUUCCAAGUCCAACCAUCUUGCAAUAUCUGAUGAAAAUAGGUCAACAACCUGACACCCAAACAUGGGAUGGGGAACAAAAACAACCCCACAUAAUGUGUUUUAGCUACUUAUUUGAUGUAAAUAUGAACCCAUUAUCCCUGGUCCAUAACAACUUAUUAUCUCCCCCAAAACAAUUAAAAAAAAAAAAUCUAACAGGUCCUCACUGGUAAAAUUUAUGUAAAACGAAUUUUAUGUAUCCUAAAAAAUUAAUUUCCUCGCGGACAAAAUUUGUAAGACUCAGAGAGUCUUGUAUGAUAUGAGCCUACGCCGGUCAAGCUUCAAUAUACGACUCUUGUCACUGUUUCUUGGCUUCAGUAAUCGCUGCACUUCCAUUUCAGAUUGAAUUGAAGCUUGCAGUCUCUUUAAAUGCCCAUAACAUUGCCUGUGAUCAGACCUCGCAGUGGCCCUCAGUUUCUCAACUUUCUCUUCAAUUGGACAAUAAUGCCUCUGAUAUGGAGACUGCCACUUCGCUUGCAAAUAAGCAAGGGAUCUCCAUGGAGGGAAAGGCAUCGAGUUCUGCUUGAGAGAAGACCUUGCAGCUUCAACCAUGACUUGAAGGUAUUGUUUCAAUUUGCUCAAAGAGCCCACAUAAACAACUGGAAGGGUAUUCAAUAUCCUGUCAUAUGAGUCAACAGCUCUAGCUAUUUCAAAGUGACUCCUAAAGUCUAUAUCAAUGAUCAGACGCUCAGAGCUUCGAGCAUCAUUGUGAUUAACAACAUCAAUAUACUCAUGGUCCCCUGGAUAAAAAAGUUAAUAGAGGAAUAUCAGUAGCAACAAAAAAUGUAAUUAACUCUACAACAGUACCCGAGCUUACAAAAUUAUAAAUUACUUAGUCAAACCCAAGAAUAAACUCUACAUAUCCAACAAGUCACAAUUAAACAUGCAACAUCAUCUGAGUAAAAUCAUUUGUGCAACACCACCAUAUUGCUACCAUUACCAUAUAAGAUAGCAUGCUUCCCUUUCAUUUAUUCAUUCCUGAAUUCAUUAUCUUAUAUUUUAACUUUCUUACAUACUCUGCUAAAGCCUAGGAAUCUAGCUUCUUACAAGUUUAAAGCAAAAAAAUGGAUUCAAGAACAUACCCCCAGGAACCUUUCCACUACCCUGCCACUUAGAUGAGCACACAGCAGCAUCAUAACCAGAAAGUCUCAGAAGCUUUACAAGGGAAUAUCUGAUACAACUAGCAUUACAUGGACCUGGCUUGACAAGGUGUAGGUCUAUCUCACUGAUAGAUUGCAUCAAAGAAUCCACAACAGACAACAAGUCACGUUCAUACUGAUCCAUUGACAGCUUAUAACACUGUGGAACAAGAAAUCAAGACUAGAAGUCAGAAACUUUAGAGAUAAUCUUCAGUACAAACUUUCCUCUUCUAUUUAGAAGGAUAGAGAUAGAGGGAGAAAUUCAAAGUGCAGCCAUAAAUAUUUAGGUUGGCAAUGACAACGUAACAUAUUUAAUUAAAACCCCAAAUACAACUUAUUAGACUUAUUCUAUCUGAUGUUCAUUUUCAAUUACCUUAACAAUUUCAUCACAACAUAACCACCACAAAAUAUUUUCAAAAUGUUCAUUGUUACCUUCUUCCAUGUUAGAUUACUUCCUUUUACACUUAUAUAUGAUUUCCACUCAAUUCUAAUCAUGAAGGAAGGUAUAAUCAAUGACAAAUCAUAUAUCAAGAAAUUAUUCCAUAGACAAGACAAAGCUCGAAAAAAUUUCAAUAUAGAUCUGGUUAGUGAUCACUCUACCCUGUCAGGGACUAAGUAGUCCAAUAAACUUUAUAUGUAAUUUAGAGAGAAUAAGUACUAUAAUUUAGAAGUACAUUUACAUCUUCCCUGCACCCUAUGGCGUAUAGAUUAAGCCGCUCACUCAUCAUAUAAAAUAGCAACAACAAAUCAAUAAAAAUCAUCACUAGAAAAUAAAAGACAGUCAAUCAAAAGACUUCAAAACACAUUAAAGAAUUGUGUAGACCAUAAAAACAACUUAACAGCUGCCUCUGAAUGAAUAACGACAGUGCACACACAUUUCAUAUGUGCACUGGAAAUUUAAUAACUUAAACCAGUAAAUUAUUCUUCUAAUGUUUCAAAAAAUUAAUAAGAAUUUCAAAAAUGUAGUUUAUGUGCUUACUAUGAACCUUCAAUAUCUUAGUCCAUUCUAAAAGAGGGAGUUCUUAAUUACAAUUUGUUGUCUUCAUAAAAUACCAUCUCCUGUUACAUUGAUUACAAAUGUCUCCGUACAUCAAAUACAGACAUCUCGUAACAACGGUAAGUCACCACUUUUGGCCAAUUACAAUCAAUUUUUUCAAAUGAACGAUUUGAAGACCCUGAAACCUUGCUUCGUGCCUUUCUACGGAAAGAAAAAAGACAAGCUCAAUCUAUGCUCAAAUCAGAUUACGAAAAGCCUGUCUCGAAUUAUUAGCAUCAUAAAGCCUUACAUUUAUGCAUUACAUAAAAGUGAUAAAUCCAUAUUAUAAACACCUUAAUACUCAUCAUCAUAAUAGAAUUAUUAGUAUACCAAUUAGGUAGUCUCUUAAUUUAUUACAACACACAUGACACAACACAUACAAAAUGCACAUAAACUUACGUAUAUUAAAUUAAACUUUUAUUCAAUUAAAGUCAAUAAAAUUAGGCAUUCAUUUAAAUCGCAUUACGAAUUUACAACCAAUCAACCACCUAAUCCACAUAGACACAACAUGGCCAGUUCCGCAAAAUCAACACACGCAAAAUUCACAAAAAAAUAAACACAAAAUUCACCGAAACACGAAAUACGAAACCGAAAAAACCUUGAUGUUAUCGGCCAGGCUGGGAAGAUCGGAGAAGCCGGAAUCACUAUCACUACUAUUAUGACACCGAUGCGAAUCACCGCUCCCGUUCUCCAAAAAAUCACUAACCAUCACCGCGAGAUCAUGCUCGCUCUCGUGACUAUAACCUCCGUCACCGCCGGCCGCCAUUCUGAUAAUCGAUAAUAAUUCUCCNCCCUCCGUCACCGCCGGCCGCCAUUCUGAUAAUCGAUAAUAAUUCUCCCCGAGUCGCAUAGACUCCACAAUCCAUACUCACCGCCAAACACAGCCUUACAAAAACAAUUAUCACAACCUAAUUAACAUAAAAUCGAUAACAUAUUAAAGUUUCGAAACGAAAUGAUUGAUGAAAUAUUAAAAUUUCAUUUGUUUGGGCGCCGAGCCCUAGAAAAUAUCGAAUUGGACGAAAAAAUGCCAAUUAUUAGAUAUUAAAUAUAUACGAUUGAAUUAUUGAGUUUCGGUGAUUUGUGUGUAUAGGUGUAUGUAUAGGUUUGGUGGUGGAAAAACCCAACGCGGAGAGGAAGGAUGAAGGGGAGGGGGAAAUGGUGGGAAUAUAAAGGGGAGGGGGGGAUGGGGGAGUGAAAAGACGAAAAGGGGCUUAGGGAGUGUCGUAAUGACCAAGGAAACGUGUUGAAAUGUGACAGGGGGAUGGGGACGAGAAAGUGGAUAAAGCUGGAGAUGAACCUGGACGCUGUGAACAAACCAGGGGCUGGGCUUGGGUUUGGGCUGGAUUGGGUUAUUUACGGCGGUGAUUUUGUUGGUUUUAUUGGCAUCGUGGACGGCAACUGGUUUUUUACCGUUUCAAAUUUAUGGAGGAGUUCACUUUACUAAUUAUCUUAUCUCCUUGAUAUAUUUAUAUUAUCAUUUUCAUUGGUAAAAUUAGUUACAAAAUCAGGCGGUUUUCAAUUUUUUCCAAAAUAAAAUAAGUUCAAAUCAAGUGUUAGAACAAAUACUAAUUCGGUUUGGCUAGUGUGUGCCCAUGGGCACAUGCUAAGCGCGUAAAUUUUUGUAUUUGGGACAUUUUGAUGUGUGUGGUCGGUGUAUUUGCAGGGGGGUCCACCAUUAUCAUGAGAUAGGAGCCAAUCAAAAUGAUUUUCCGCGCUUAGCAUGUGCCCAUGGGCACACCAUAGAAAAACCGAUACUAAUUCAUAAAAUAUAUAUGUGUCAAUAGUCAAAAAAGAUAAAGCUCAAAGUAUUUUCAAAACACAAUCUUCCGUGUAUCAUGCAAAUGUUGGAUUAAAAAAAUAGUUUUAUCAGGAGAAUUUUAAUCUAUUAAAUAUAUGUUUCAUAUAUUUGGAAAUUUGAAUUUUUCAUGUUUUUUCUUUCCAAAAAUUAAUUGUUUGGUCACAGUGGAAUAAGCUUUUAAAUUCACUUAAAAAUUCUAUACAUUUCACUUUCCGAAAAAUAUAUAGGAUUAAAAUAAUUUUGGAGAUAAACACAAAUGUGGAUAUCCAUUAUCCGGUGGCGCAACUUUAUCCUGGUCAUGGAUUAAUAUAAUAAUAUAUGAAGAACGAGUUGGGGACCAAGCCAAAACAUGACGGGGUACUUGUGAGUUGUGAGCUGUAACAGGAAAAUUCAUAUGAUCAUAUGUUAUCCGUAUUCGGCUUCCUAAUAUGAUUGUGGAUCUUUCAUGUGAACAUCCGCAACUGGUAUCCUUUUUUAGUCACCUCUUUUUCAUUUCUUUAUUGCUCCAUAAUGCCAUCUCUCUCGUAAUUCUCUCUCCCAUCUCUCUCGUAACACUCUCUCUCCUCCCCCAAUGGUUUAUUCGGAUUUUCGUAAGAUUCUUUUGACAACUCAAAGUAUAAUGAUUAAUUAUUUUAAUCAUAAAAUAAUAUUUUAUAAAAAAAUUGAAAUAUAGGAAUUGAUUAAACUAACUAAAAUGUAAAUCAUAAAACAUUAUUACAAUGGUAGGCCACUUGCUUGGCCCAUGGCACAUUAUCAAAGAUACCAGUUGUACUUCCUCUCCAAAGAAAUUAUACUACUAGUUGUACUAUUAUAUUCAAGUACAUGAGAAUAAAGUUAUUACAGUACUACUAUAACUCACGAGGGCCUGAUUUUGACUCUUGACUUGAGAUGAAUGGAUGGUACUUGGUACUAGUAUGGUAAUAUAUCUUGGUCAACCAGAGCUGCUAACCUUGGAUUUAUCCUACAUGUCCUGGUCAAGGUUCAAAUGUGAUGACUUUGCAUUUUAUACAUCAGUUCCAUUACAAUCACCGUCUUGUUCUUUCUCGACUCAUAAUUAAUACACUGCCCUGCUCGUUAGUUUGCUUGGCUCAGUCGGCCAGAUGAACAAUUCAGGGGUGACAAUUUUGGUAACAGGUCGUGUUCGUGUCAACAAUCGAGUCGAUUUCGGGUCAAAUUAAAAUCAUUUAAAAUUGAAUAAAACUUGAAAUUGAAGUUUUUAGAAAUGAAAUUCUAAUUUCAGGUCAUUUCGGAUCAAUCAGGUGAUUUUCAGGUCACUUUCGGAUUUUGUCUCAGUAAAUCGGGUUACGGGUUCGUGUCGGUUUUGAGUCGUGUCUGAUAUUGCCAGUAAACCCUGUUUAAACACUCUAUUUUAUCUAUUAGUCAUGCUAAUUCAUAAAAUAUAUAUGUGUCAAUAGUCAAAAAAGAUAAAGCUCAAAGUAUUUUCAAAACACAAUCUUCCGUGUAUCAUGCAAAUGUUGGAUUAAAAAAAUAGUUUUAUCAGGAGAAUUUUAAUCUAUUAAAUAUAUGUUUCAUAUAUUUGGAAAUUUGAAUUUUUCAUGUUUUUUCUUUCCAAAAAUUAAUUGUUUGGUCACAGUGGAAUAAGCUUUUAAAUUCACUUAAAAAUUCUAUACAUUUCACUUUCCGAAAAAUAUAUAGGAUUAAAAUAAUUUUGGAGAUAAACACAAAUGUGGAUAUCCAUUAUCCGGUGGCGCAACUUUAUCCUGGUCAUGGAUUAAUAUAAUAAUAUAUGAAGAACGAGUUGGGGACCAAGCCAAAACAUGACGGGGUACUUGUGAGUUGUGAGCUGUAACAGGAAAAUUCAUAUGAUCAUAUGUUAUCCGUAUUCGGCUUCCUAAUAUGAUUGUGGAUCUUUCAUGUGAACAUCCGCAACUGGUAUCCUUUUUUAGUCACCUCUUUUUCAUUUCUUUAUUGCUCCAUAAUGCCAUCUCUCUCGUAAUUCUCUCUCCCAUCUCUCUCGUAACACUCUCUCUCCUCCCCCAAUGGUUUAUUCGGAUUUUCGUAAGAUUCUUUUGACAACUCAAAGUAUAAUGAUUAAUUAUUUUAAUCAUAAAAUAAUAUUUUAUAAAAAAAUUGAAAUAUAGGAAUUGAUUAAACUAACUAAAAUGUAAAUCAUAAAACAUUAUUACAAUGGUAGGCCACUUGCUUGGCCCAUGGCACAUUAUCAAAGAUACCAGUUGUACUUCCUCUCCAAAGAAAUUAUACUACUAGUUGUACUAUUAUAUUCAAGUACAUGAGAAUAAAGUUAUUACAGUACUACUAUAACUCACGAGGGCCUGAUUUUGACUCUUGACUUGAGAUGAAUGGAUGGUACUUGGUACUAGUAUGGUAAUAUAUCUUGGUCAACCAGAGCUGCUAACCUUGGAUUUAUCCUACAUGUCCUGGUCAAGGUUCAAAUGUGAUGACUUUGCAUUUUAUACAUCAGUUCCAUUACAAUCACCGUCUUGUUCUUUCUCGACUCAUAAUUAAUACACUGCCCUGCUCGUUAGUUUGCUUGGCUCAGUCGGCCAGAUGAACAAUUCAGGGGUGACAAUUUUGGUAACAGGUCGUGUUCGUGUCAACAAUCGAGUCGAUUUCGGGUCAAAUUAAAAUCAUUUAAAAUUGAAUAAAACUUGAAAUUGAAGUUUUUAGAAAUGAAAUUCUAAUUUCAGGUCAUUUCGGAUCAAUCAGGUGAUUUUCAGGUCACUUUCGGAUUUUGUCUCAGUAAAUCGGGUUACGGGUUCGUGUCGGUUUUGAGUCGUGUCUGAUAUUGCCAGUAAACCCUGUUUAAACACUCUAUUUUAUCUAUUAGUCAUUGCCUAUAAGAAAAACAGGCUCAAUCCCAUUUUUCAGCAAUAUCAAGUUAUUGAAGCUCACCCUUACCAACUGCACCCACAAUCUUUAUACAAUAAACCAGCUUACGCACAAUGCUAUAAGCAAAUUUUGAAAUGAAAUUGUGUGCAACAUGUAUGACAAUAUUAGUAGCCGACUGGAUCAAGAAGUUAAAGGUGGAUUUGCCUUGCAAGUAUGUGAAACCUUCACCCACUAAAAUCUUACUCUUCGGAGUGAAGCAAAAGUAAAGAAUCCCCUCCCCCCUCCUUAUUUUGUGCCCCAAACAAAAUGAAGUUUACUUUCUGAUAUCAUAGUGUCGCAAGUGGAGAGCAGGAGGAGAAAAUUACCAACAAAAAACAGCAUCUUUCUUAUUAAUCAAUUAAAGAGUCAAAUCCACAUAAUCUUGGCUCCUAAAUCAUGUCAAUACCUCCAAGCCUAACACUCUUAUUCAAUAGUUCUACAUAAACUAGUAGAAGGGCCAUCAGUCAUUACACUUGCAUCUCAAGAGCAAGAGAAGCUUUAUGAAUCAAAUAAAAACUUGAUCCAAAUCAACUUAUUGUAUAACAAAAUUGCUAUGUCAUUAGAAAAUGCAAGAGAUCAACAUUGUUACAUGGUCAUCAUUCAAGAUAAAGAAAACAUGACAGAUGAUAAAGGGUGCUCCACUGAAAUUUGAGAGUACAAAGUCACCCAAAUAUUCUAUGGGAAACUGAAUGUUCUAUUAAAUAUUUAACAACAUUACAGGACAUAACGAAUAUAUUCCCAAACCUAUCCCAGUGUACUGUCCGUUGUUUCCUCGAGUCAUAAUCAAUGGUCUUCCAUCUUUUUCAAUCCUUUCAUAUCAGUUGUCUCCACCCUGUAUUAAAAGCAAGGUCAUAACUUAUACUCGAUGCCACAAAUACACUUGCAAAUUUAAUUACUACAAGAUAUUCUAGGAAAGUAUGUUCGCCAAGGCAUGGUGCAUCUGUCCUAUGCUAUUUUUAAUCAAGCCUUAGAUUACACACAGAGCUUAGAAACAAUUUAUGUUAUCUCUGCCCAAUUAAGUUGUGUAUAUUACAGGUCCACUGGAUUUCCAAAUUUAAUGGGAAGUAAAAAAAUCAAUAAUGUGCCUAAGCCUUUAAGGGAUAGGAUUAUAUCAGAAAACAUUGACAAAUUCCGAUAUCCGCAUAUAAACAAAGUUGUUAGACCAUGUAGUGAAGUUCCACAAAAGGACUGAAGUGAACAGAGCCCAUGCUUAAAAAUCGAGCUUGACGAACUACGUUACUAAAUAGAAAAGAAAAUGUAAUAACAAAAUUAUACAGUAGCAUAAAGCAAUUAUCAAACUAGAUUCAAAAGCACCAACACAACUUAAUACAUACCAAGUCUUCAAGCAAAAUAACAAUUGAAUCCGCAGCAAUGUAACAAUGUAUUAUGGAUAAUAAGUCUACCACACGGCAAAUUAACAUAUUAAAACAAGAGAGUAAACUCAUAUUCGUCAAGCUUCAAAUUUUCCUUAUGUUUGUGAUUUUUCAUGAGCAACCCUCUCAGUGUUAGUAGGUUGGUGGGGGAUAUGUACGUACUUCCGCAUCAUCAUUAUCAUCAAAAAAUAUCCAAAAUUCAGCCUAAUUUACUUUUUUUAGCUUUAGCAACUGAAAAAAUAUUAAUCAAUUAAUAAAGACUGUAUACUACACUUGUGUAUAUAAUAUAUAGAAUAAUAGAAUGCAUUACUUUAACCAAAAAGAUACACCAACUCCUACAUCAUAGUUUCUGGAUACACUAUAAGUAGCAAGACAGCUGGGUUAGCAAUUAGGCAUCUAAGAGCAAGUCCAACACUAUGCUAAGAGGUUCCCUAAAAAUAUUAUAAAAUAAUAUGUCUUAUUGAUUUAGCACACGCUUUAGUACAUGAGCUCCAAUAGUACUCCCUAUAUCCAUUCCCUAUUAUUAUAAUAAUAGGGAAUGGAUAUAGGGAGUACUAUUGGAGCUCAUGUACUAAAGCGUGUGCUAAAUCAAUAAGACAUAUUAUUUUAUAAUAUUUUUAGGGAACCUCUUAGCAUAGUGUUGGAAUACAAUUUUAUCCCAUAUUCUCUAUUUUCGGAUUUAAGACUUGAUUUAGCACACCUAUUGGACUUGCUCUAAGGAGAUAGACCUCUAGUCAAAAGUCAACUAAGUGCAAAAUUAAAAGCUGAACAAUGAGGGCUUAUAUGGUCCAUCUGUGACUAAGAAUGAAGUUGCAGCUAUGUAGAAUAUCUGAAGUCUUUAGCCACAAAAGCUAUCACUGUGUCUUUUGGCAAGCAAACAUCGUAAGUUAACUCUGUUUCACUUACCAAUCGCAUCCUUCGGCCACUGUCCAAGUGGUCAACUAGUCACCAACCACACAACCGUGCAGUUGACAAGUAUAAAAGAAGCAAAAUGAAAUCAGGAACACACACACGCGCGCAUAUUCAUCCAAUUUCAGGUAAAUUUGGUUUAUAAUUUGUGGAAAACGAUUCAAAAGGAUUAGAAGGAGUAUCAUCAACAUAAUAACUUGAUAGCGUUGCUGUGCUAUGGAUACUCACUGUACACUCAUGGAUAUCUAAUACUAUAGUCAUAUAGGCUUACUACUAUGCAAUAUUUUACAUAGAACACAAAAAGAAGUACACAUACACGACAGGAGAAGUGAUUUGAAAAUAUAUGCACUAUCAGUUCCUAGCUAGCAGCAUAACAUAUGCACUAAUUUAGUUUGUAGUUACCAUUUUAACACACAAAUAUAUAAGUAGGCAGAUUGUUUUGGUUGAGCAGAGCCUGGUAAGAAAACUAGACCAACUGCUUAGUUCUAUAUUCAAUAGUUAACUACCACUUUGCUUGAAUCACAUGAAGGAUUUCAGGUAAUUCGGGUAAAUUCACGAGGUUCAUUAGAAUUAAUAACACUUGGUCCAGUCUUGUUGCAAGGAACUUAAAGUCCUCUCAGAUAUACUCAAAAGGUACUAAAAGCUCAGUCACAACACAGUAUUGUCACUUGGUCAAAUAAAAUUAUUUGUUGCAUUUGAUUCUCCCCUAAAAAACUAAACAGAUUUAAGAAUAUGAUUGAUCAAACACAAAGAGAGCGUAAAAGUACUAAAGAAAUUUAAGUAAUCAAUUUCAACUGAUAAAUAUUUUUAUAGAGCUUAUCAUAUUUGAUCACAUCUAAACUAUUAGGUAAAAAAAAAAACUAUCUGACCAAAAAUGGCUCAAAAAUAUUGUGUAUGUAGAGGAUUCAGUAAAGUCUCCUAUAAACAUGGGUCCUGCUCCCCAGCAUCAGCAUGUGUAUGCUGGGGAGCGCUUAUCUGCCAUACAAAUUUCAGACCGUUGGAUGAGAUACCAACAGCCAGGAUUAUAACAAAAUUUCACCUCAUCCAGCGCUUUUUAACCGCUAGACACCUAAAUCAGACAAUUUGGGGAGCUGUUUUUUUCACUAAACCAGACAAUUUUCUGGAAAAUAUUAUGAAACUGCCAUUAGUAUGUUCAGCGCAAAAAAGCACUUAACGUCCAAAAUUUGAAAAAAGAAAAUACUCGGAUGUCCAGUACUUUUUAAUCACGGAGCAUAUUGAACAUAUUAAAAACAUUAACACAUCCAGUGGAAAAUAACCGCUUGAUGCUAGGUGUUCAGCAGUAAAUUGUGCUGGACGUAGCUUAAAAAUCUUAUAAUCCUGGAAUGUGUAUGGCAGAUAGGAGCUCCCCAGCAUACACCUGCUGGGGACCAGGAGUCCAGGACCCUAUAAUCAUUCGCUGGAAGUCUUUAUUAAAGAUGUGAAAUAUCAGAAGACAAAGUGAUAAGGUGGAAUUUACUGGUCAGUAAACUAUAUAGUAUUGGACAAAUUUAUUAUCCAAGAAGAAGAACAAGAAGCAUUUCUCUACAAUGUACUUGUAUGAAACACAUAACAGCCCAUUUGAUACUUACGUAGUUCCAUAUAAGACAAUCUUUUGAACUUUUGUUGUCUCGCAUUCAGAUUGGUUAUCCUCGAUAAAAAUUGUCAAGCUGAUACAAUGUCCAGAGACAAAACAGUGAGAUCAUUUCAAAAGAUAAGUAAAAAACAUUGAAAGGCUAAAAUGCAAUUCUGAAACUUACCUGCGAACAUUCUGAAACUUGACAUACUUUAAAGCAACUGGUUUUCCCUAUAUGUGCAAGUAUACAAUAUUUGUAUGUUAGCAUUUACAACAUUGUCUGAAACAUGCAAUGGCUUUCACAAAGGAUUCAUCAUAUCACUGGAAACUCUUACCUUGUUAUCUUCAGAGGAUAAUACUAUGGUGUCAUUUGGAGCAUAGUCGUUAACAUUACUGCAAAUUACAUCAUUUUGGCAUGGUAAUAAGGUGCACGAAAAUUAAACUAUGACAUAAUUACUGCGUGCAACUACAAAUCCACAAAUCAGUUACCUGAAUCCCAUAUGCUCCCUAUUUGUAUACAGUUUAACUGUUUUUGGACCUGGAAAUUGACACAAAGUUCCAAAUUUGAAGACAAAUUCCAGUAUGAAGGUAUAUGCACCCAUGGUUCCAAGUUAUCACAAUUAAUUAGUGGAGACCCUUUUACGCAGUUUCUAUUAUACACAAAAGGGAUGCACAAACACAGUAAAUCACUGCAACAAUCCAGGAAGUAACUGGCAAUCCCGGUGGGUUGUGACAUAGGGGAAAAAUGUAUUGACAUCUAAUCAAUGUGCAUGAUUAUGAAGUUUUAGCAAUUAGCAUACUAUCACUUAUUACCAUAUUCACAGAGUAGGCACAAUUUAAAAAAACUAAAGCUAGAAUAUGUAAGACUAACUAGAAUAAAUGCUAAAAAGCAAACAAUUGUAAGAAACAAGUUCACGAAAAUAUAUACCUUCCUCGUCAAGUCCUUGAAUGGCAAUUGAGUGUAGUUUGAUGACUUGGGUGAAAGGUAUAUAAAUCAAAAGUUGUUCAUCUGCAUCACUCUCUAAAUUCAACCCAUCAUCUUCUCUAUAACCCUAAUGCACAAAAAAAAAAAAAGCAAAAGCCAGUUUAAGUCACUGAUACAAUUACUAAAUGGCUGAAGAAAAAACUGCCAGAAUAUUCGAUAUUUUCCAAUAAAUAUCAUUUAAAAUUCUUAUGUAAAGGUUUCUACUUCCAAACAAGAAAAUGUAUAGAAGCAAGGUAUUCCCAGCUUCUUGAUAAUUUCCACUACCACAAAGUCUGCAUACAGAACGAUUUUGUCUCUCACAGUUAUGAACAUACACUUGAACUCAAAUAUUUUUCUCAAUACAGAUUGAACCUAUGGUAACAAAAGCGUGUCAAAUGCUGCCUUUAUUCUUUCAGUACAAAUUUCACCCACAUGAAUCAUGGACGUUAAUUACGUUGCAGCAGUGAAUGAUGAAAUUUUCCGCAACUCUGCAAAACCACUGUUUUCUAAUCAUUCAAAUUGUGCACUAUAUGGAACACCGCCCCACACUUCUACUAAAAAAAGAUCAUUUAGUUUUCAACCCCCUAGCUUACAUGAAUAGCCCAUUUCUAAGAUCAAUUCGAGUUUGCUGGAAGGCAUCGCAUCACCGUAAAGAUGACAAGCUACUUCCUUAAGGUUUCCAAUUGAGUUAUUUGGUGUUUCCUUUGAUGCUUGAACAAUAGCAGUAUAUAUUAAUUAAUUUAAUAAUUUUAGAUCCAUAUUAGAUUACAAGGAAAAAGGAGGUGUUUUUCUUUGUAGAAAUAUAGCAGAUUACUUUUAAAAACUAGAGUACUAGACCAUAAUGAUUAGCUUUUUUUUAGUUAGGAAAGUACUUAGCUUUGAAACAAUAAGAUCUCUGUAUAAAUUCUUGUAAUGCUGAAAACAGUUCUACCUAAAGAUGAUUGACGAUUAUCACUUAUUUGAUGGAAUUUUUUGAAACUACGAGGCUCGCCUCCAUCAAUUCCCAGCAGAGGUAGAUUUUAUCCCUUAAAUAUGUACCACAAGUUUUUAUGACUUCACAAAGUUAUAUAUCAUAUUCAUCACUGAGUUCAAAAAUACUCAUAUCAAGAACAAGAAAACCAUUAACAAGUUGCUCUAAUUUGCAUUGUAAACUAGUACUAUUAUACUAUGUUCAGCAUAUAUAUUAACUAGUAUGAUCGCCCCAAUCCCAAAACACGAGUAUUAUGCAAUCAAAAAACCACCAAAUGUAUCACACAAUAAAACCCCUUGCGAGAAACAUAUACAACCAAAUACAAGUCAAUACAAGUAAAAUUGGAAACAAAUUUUAAAAAAAAAGGGGGGGGGGGGGGGGGGGGGGNNNNNNNNNNNNNNNNNNNNNNNNNNNNNNNNNNNNNNNNNNNNNNNNNNNNNNNNNNNNNNNNNNNNNNNNNNNNNNNNNNNNNNNNNNNNNNNNNNNNNNNNNNNNNNNNNNNNNNNNNNNNNNNNNNNNNNNNNNNNNNNNNNNNNNNNNNNNNNNNNNNNNNNNNNNNNNNNNNNNNNNNNNNNNNNNNNNNNNNNNNNNNNNNNNNNNNNNNNNNNNNNNNNNNNNNCGGUAUAUAUGAAGACCUUUUUGAGAGCAUUGGCAUAAGCCUGGGUUGAAGUUUGAUUCAGACAUUCGACUCCAGUCCAAUCUAUGAAGUCCACUAGAUCAACCUAAGACGGCAACAGAAAUCAGACAUAUAUACAUACAUACACAUAUCGAUACAGAUGUAAUAACGAAAAGACAGAAGAAAACAUACUUGGUUUCUUUGAAUUGCAGAGGCGGGUUCUCCAGACAUUGUGAAACGGACCAAAGAGAAAACCCCUCUUCUGUGUGUACGAGAGUCAAACGUAUGUAUGUAUCUUGUGUAUAAAGUCCGAGGUAGUGGGCGCGGCGCGGGUGUCUCACGCAAGGAAUAACUCAAUUGGAUUAUUGUGCCUGUUUGUCGAUCAAUUUUUUUAAAAAAUAAGUUUUUACUUUAAAAAAAAUUAUUUUUUAAAUAUAAAUGUCAAGAAGUUGUUUUAUAUUUAUUAUACUUAGUAAAAAAGUAAGGACUUAUUUCAGAAAAAAUAGAGAUUACUCACAUCAUAUUUUAUUAAAGAUUAGUAAAACAAAAGUUUUAUUUUGUUAAAGUAAACGUUUCAAAACAAAAGUUCUAUUUUGUUAAAGAUUUACUAAUUUCGUGGGAUAUCACACAUGAACUUGCGUGUUUUAUGAGAAUAUAAUUAUUACUAGUAUUAAUCUGUCACUGGUGAGUGCAUCUUCUCGAUGAGGUUCAUAAGAAUUAAGCACAUAUGAGAAGUGAUAAGUUGAAAUUGCAUUCAUGAAGAAUACGCAAAGGCACGCUAGUUUUUAAUACAAGAUGAGAUAUAUUAACCUGCAUCAACUUAAUAUUUAGAGUGACAACUUCAAUUUUCGCUUUAUCUUUUGAAAAUGAACUUGGACGUACUUUCUAGAAUUGGGGUUUUGCAAAUAUAACGUUCAAGCAAUCUACAGGUGUGGGAGUGAUCAUUAAGAAUGCAGAUGGCCCGUAUAGUUGUCAUGGUCUUAGGAAUCCUAGGGCCUCUGAAUCAGAGGACCAAUGAAAUAUAGGCAAUUGUACUUGGCACUAUUUAAGAAUGAGAAAACGGACUGAGCUGGAGACAGAAUCAACUGAGGCACUGCGUGAAUGAGAGGAUUGGCGAUGUUUAUUGAUGUUUACCAUUAUUGAUUGGUUGAGUAACUGAACCAGCGCCUUAAAGACAACUACCUAGUGCUUCAUAAGAAAGUUAUCGCGGCUAGUCAGAAUUGCUUGGCUAAAUACUUGGCUAAGAACAUUGUAGAAAUCCGAAAAAGUCCUCGAAGGAUCUUCGGGCCAUUUGAUCGAGUUAGGGGUAUUUGGUACCUUGAUAUGUUUCUAGGUUUUGUGAGGGAUGGAUUCAUGAAGAUGAUUAAAAAGAACAACAGUAACAGCAAAAUGAGUGGGUCAUGCAAGCGGACGCGCGCAGUAGUCUCAAGCACCAAUGAUUCAUCGGUUGGCAACGAAAACAACAAUCUGAUCAUCAUUGACUAAUGUGCUAGUUCGAUCACCCUGCUCGUGUAUUUAAACCAUGCCCCUCUCUCAGUUCAGGUAACUAAUUUUAGUUAUAUUAUGUUUUAGAUUAGUAUGUUCUCAGCAUUAGUUCUUAACCUGCUUUGAAUAGCAUUUAUAUGUGAUGAUGUUGGUGCAUGGAAGUUUGCCUUGGAGACCAUGAGGUUCCCAGGUCUUCUUCCAUUUUGAUUCCAAUGAAAAUGUUUAUCCGGAAAUGAAUCUGUUAGAAUUUUUAAGAAUUAAGUAAUUUGCCUUAAACAUUAGUUGGAAAUGAAGGAUGUUCAGUUUUGAGUUGGUAGUAAAGCUCUGUAUUGAUUUGCAUACUAAUGAUAUUGCACGCUCACACCCACCACUCACUCUUCUCUACUUCGAUACACAGUACCUGGUAUAAUAUUUGAUCAAAAAAGUGUUUGAGGCCAUAAUAUUUAAAAUGAGCGAAUGGUCUGUGUGAAGUAACCAGGUUGUUACAAUUGUUGCAAAAUUAUUUGCAGAUGUUGUGACAGAGAGUCUGUCUCACAUGAGUCCAUGUUGGGUUCUUUUCGUGAGUUAUGAUCGAGGAGUUCAUUUGUCCAAAAUUUGAUGGUCAUAUCAUUUUUUAAAAUUGGAUGGUAAGCGUGUAUAAUGACCCAAACUUCAAAGACAUGAAGGUAAUUAAGCCUAAAUUUCAAAGGCGACAACCAACAUUGAUAAGUCCAUCUUCUAAUAAUUUUUACUUUCUCUGUCAAUUUUUUUUAUAUAUCAAUAUUAAAACAUUGAAUUAUAUUUGAAUAUGGUUAACAGUUUAUCGAAAAUGCUCAAUUUUAUACGAAAUUAUAACAACACGUCGCACUACGAAGUAAUAAAUCAGAUGUCAAAAUGAUUUUUUUUCCACAUAUAGCAUAUUUGAUCUAUAAUAUCAUCAUGUUCUAGUGUGUACUAUUCUAUUUUUGACUUCUCGAAUAUCUUUCUAUUUUUGUCUUGUGAAUAAUACCUUUAUAUUUUAAAUUUAAUGUAUAUCAUAUCAUUAUCUUACUUAAAUAUUAAAUAAAUGUUGAAAUUUAAUUAAAUCAUCUAAUUUUUCAUUUAAACUUCAUUUUUUUCACAUUUUCAACACUCGUAACAAGUUACUACUUAAAAUAUCUUAGAACAAAACGUAGUUUAAAACUUCUGUAUAGUGUUUUCAAAAUAUUCUUUUUAAAUUCCUGUACAAUCAACUUUUUCAACUAACAUCAUUACUUUUUGAUAUAUGUGGUACUUUAUAAUUUAAUUUUAAAUUAACUUUUGUGUAACAUAAAAGUAAAUAUAAAAAUACCAUUCAUAAGUAGUCGAAAAUAUGAAAUGCACCACGCAUAAAAUAAAAAAUAAAAAGGUAUUUAACUAAAUAGAUAUAUAUUUUUUAUAUUAUUUUCAUCAUUUAUUUGAAAUUAAAUAAUUAAUUUAACUAAGUAUGGCAUAUUAUUCUUAAUAUGAUAAUUUUUAUAGAUUAAAUAAAUUAAAACGCUUAUCUUGAUGGAUUUUAUUAUAAACGUGAUUAUUAAUUUUUAGAUUGAUAAGAUGAAUAUGUUCGUCUUGAUUCUUGAGUUUUUUUGUGAUUUUUUAUGGACCUAUAUGAUUUGACAGUUUGUCCAAUUUGAAUUAUGACUAGUUAUUACUCCCUCCGUCCUCCUGAGAUAUAUACAUUGGGGGACGGGGACGCGGCACGGACUUUAAUGCUCCCGUAAAGUAUAGUUCCAUAACUUAUUUUUAGAAUUUUUUUUUCUGAAUAAAAAUUUGAAUGUUAUAUUUUUAUACAGAAAAAGAAAAUUUUAAAAAUAAGUUAUAGAACUAUAUUUUAUAAGAGCAUUGAAGUGCGUGUCGAGCAAUGAAAAAGAAACGUAUACAAUUAAAUGGGACAGAGGGAGUAUCAACGUAUAGAUAAUGUUAUACUUUCUCCGUUAAUUAGUCAUUAUAUUGGGGGUGUUUGGCAUUGAGAAGCAGAGCUUCUUUUCCAUGAAAAAGCAACUUCUACAUUUUGAUGACUGUUUGGGUAAAAAAGUAAUGCCAAAUUUUCUUGAGCUUUUGCAGAAGAAUUGAGAAGUUAGGAAGUCUAACUUCUCUUCCCCGGCUUUCAGCUUCUUUUUUUUAACUUGUAUGUAAAACAAAAACUUACCUACUUGCAUGUAAAACAAAACUCACCUAUCUUUUCGUUAGUAAUUUAUUUUUUGAUAUGUACUUUAAAUAAUGAUUUUUAUAUUAAUAAUAGUUUGAUAUUUUUAAAUAGAAAAAAAAAAUUAUGUUUAAAAUUAUCAAAUCUACCAUUUAUUAUAAGUCAAGUUAUCCAAACACCUAAGUACUUAAAAUUCACGGCAUCCAAACACCUCUAAUCCGAACCAACUUCUCACUCCUCUUCCACUUCUUUACUUUUAAGUAGAAGUCACUUCUUUUAAGCUUAGCCAAACGGCCCCAUUGUCCAUUAAUUUUGCAUUACACUUCAUGCGUUGUGUUAUGCCUAGGGCUGUUAACGAAACGAAUUCGAAACGAAUAUCUUAAUUUUCGUAUUUGUAUACGGUUUAAAUACAUAUAUUCGGAUUUGUAUUCGUUUAUUAUCCGAAUAAUUAUUUGUUUUUUAUUCGGAUUCGGUUAGAUUCACUAACUAUUCAUAUUCGUUUAAGGUACUCUUUUAAAACAAAAUGGAACUAAAUAACUGAAGUGCUAGCUCGUGACAAAAGUAAUAAACUCUUAUACUACACCAAUUCAAGCAAACUAUAAAAUACUAAUUACACAGACUACAAUCAUCCAAUUCAAAGAAACAAAAUUCAAUUACAACCAAAAUGUAAAAUUUAAUAUGUCUUAAUUAACUCUAAGAUCAUGCAACAGAACUUUCACUGGCUCAACCUUUUAGUAUAUGGACGGGUAGGGGUGAGCAAAAAUUCUCCAAACCGACCGAAACCGGCCGAUCCAGUCCGCUCAAACCGAAUUUAACGGUUUAAUAACGGUUUGGUUUGGUUAUGGUUUCAAAUUAUAAAAACCGAAUUAUUUCGGUUUGGUUUCGGUUUUUACCUCCAAACCAACCGAUAAAUCCGAACCGAACCGAUUAACCGAAUGUGUAAAUUUAAAUAUUAUAAAUAUACAUGUACGAAUAAUGUAUUAUUAAUAAUAAAAUUAUAAUCUACGAAAAAAUGUAAAAUCUUAAAAAUAUAAAAGGUAUCCUAGUAAAGAUUUUUUUUAAAAAUAUUAUUUAUUCUAUUUUAUGAUAUUAAUUUCGAUGUAUGUAUAAUAUUUCCAUUCUUUUUAUUUAUAUUUUUGUAAAAAUAUACGAAUCACAUUUUUUUUAAUUUUCUUCCGUCUCUUUUUAUCUAUCAAGCUAAUAUAUUCUUGUAUCCUCUUUAAAUAUGAUUAAAUAGAAAAUAUAAAUUGAAUUUUUCAUUCCUUAUUUUCAAGUUAAAAUUUAAUUUUGUUGCUAACUUUGUUUUACAUAUAAAAAACGGUUUAAACCGAAACCAAACCGAACCGAACCGUUUUAAACAGAUUGGUUUGGUCUGGAUUUUAAACAUAAUGGUUUGGUUUUGGAUUGAGAUUUUGAAAAACCGAUUAUUUCGGUUUGGUUUGGUUUAGACCUUUCAAACCGCCCAAACCGCCCGAUGCUCACCACUAUGGACGGGGCUGGUUUAAUUUAAUAUCUGGUCUCAAAAUAAUCUAUAAUCCUAUUAAAUAAGAAAUAUAAUAUUUUUAUAUAAUAUAUAUAUAUAUAUAAUAUUUAAUUUCCGAAUAAUUAAGUGAAUAGCGAAUACGAAUAUUUAUCUACUCGAAUUUGUAUUUGUUAAUGAACCGAAUAUUUUUUAAGAUUUGAAUUCGUAUUUGUAUUUGUUAAUAAACGAACACGAAUAAUACUAAACGAAUUCGAAUACCGAACAUUUCAUUAAAUAUUCGUUUCGUUAACAGCUCUAACUUAUGCCCUGAAUUUUACAAACGUGACUUGAAAUAUUAAUUACAAGAAUUUGGAUAAUGGAUGGUAUAAAAAUAAAUAUUAAUAUAUUUAUUUUUGUUACAUUUAUUUUUCCUAACAUGGCUGCACUUGAUAAACAAAAAAGAAUGGGCCUGAAAUACAAACUGGACCACGAUAAUUAUUUUGGACUACGGCUAGAGGAUCUUCAGCCCACAUGGAGUCAUAAAGCAGUUGAAAGUUGUUGGAUAAGUCAUGGAAUGGAUCGUAACUCGUAACAAUCUGCAGGAUUACAGAAGUACAAUUCAAAUAAGAAAAUGAGAUAAGGAGGCACCAAAAUUGGAGGCGGUUACAUGCACGUGGGUUGGUGGAGCAAAAGUAGGAAGGCUGGAGUUGUGGAAUAAACAGGAUUCUCAGCAAAAUAAUCACGAAAUAGGCGCUCAUGCCCCCUGGUUAUGAUUUCGACGAAUGAACUUGCGAUGUCGCCUGUUUUCAGAAUACUGUCUAUAAGCCCUUUCACUUUCAACAUCUGUAUCAUCUUUUGAAGAAAAGUAUGCUAAGAUUUUGCGAAACAAUGAUCUAACCAUUUAAUGAUAUGUGAUACCACAAAGAAAUUUCUACAAAUAUUUGAAAGAAUUACAAGUUAUUGAUGAACUGAUGAAAGAAAGGAGUAUAUGAGAUAGGAAUAUAUAUUACCGUUAUACAAAUUUAAAUUUUGUAAAAGAAGGAUACAUAAAAAAAAUAUUAAAAAAACAAUAUAGAGAUGGAGAUAAGGACUGGAAUGUGAUAACGUCUUAACAGAAAACUAAACUUUUGGGAUAAUUAUGGGAAAUUACUAUAUAUAGUAAGUUUUUGGGGUUAAAGAAAGAGACCCCAAUGAGAAUGCUCUAAAUAGUAGGUGUGUAAACGAAGAGAGGACAACAAUUCUUACUCGAAUUACAAUUUCAUCUUCAUCUCCUGUAAACCAUUCAUAUAGUGAAUAUUUUCUUUCGGCUGGGUAACCAAUCCCAUCCGCGGUUUUUACCCUACAUCGGGGGUUUUCCGCGUCACCAAAUAUUUGUCUCGUUUUAUUCAUUUUAUCGCUCAAAUUAAUUCACAUAUCAUUCACCCGUAUAAAAUUUCGUUAAAACACGUUGAUACACUUUAUUCUUCAUUUAUUGAUACUCAUGAAGUUAUUUGUUGGUCUUCCUUUCACUUGUGAGAAUUUCAUGCUUUAGAAUAGUUAUCAUUUGACUAAAUGUUCUUUCCAUCCGGACCGUUUCAUUCAUGAUUUAUUUGACAAUCAACUGUUAUUUUAAGAUCACUUCACUUGUUACGAAAUCUUAUCCGUUAAUAUAUAAAAUUUACUUUAAAAUAUUUUUAUAAUACUAUCAACUAGUAAGUAACCUAAUCAACAAAUACUCUUAUGAAUAUCACUCGCUGACUGGUUAAAAAUAAUUAUAAUUUAAUGCUAAUUAGUGAAUUAUUAUCAUUAAACCCAAGAUUAAGAUUGGCGAUUUCGGGUUUGGGACUGGGUACGGGUCGGGUUAACAGGCGCAAGUCGGUUUUUUAGCCAACUCGAACCUGACCGGAAUUUUAAUGGGUCACAAUAUUCAACUUGAACCGGACCCGAUCCAUAAUAUUUAUUAAUAAGAAUAUUUUUCAAAUAAUAAAUAAUUGUCAUUUUAAUUCAAGUAAAUUAAUUUCUAAUAAAUCAAAUAGUAUUUUAUUGAAUUUAACUAAUAGAUAUUAAAAAAUAAUAUAAAUAUAUGUAUUUUAUAUAAAUAUGUAGGAUUUUUAAAAAAUGUAUUCAUUUUCGGGUUAUUUCGGGUUAAUUUCGGGUAACCCGAUUUCAACCCGAAAAUGACCCGUUUUUUCUGGUUGAUUUUGGGUCAACCUGAAUAAUCAACCCGAAUUCUACCCAAAUCCGAAAAACUCCAACCUGAAUUCGUAUUUUAUGGGUCAAAUUCGUGUCGGUUACCAUAUUGCCACCCCUACUUAACAUAUAUUCCCAACAUAAUCCAUAUGAUAUAUAUGAUGCCCAUGAACCUAUAACCUCAUACCUUUUUAAAAAAAAAUAAUUGAUCACUUAGCAUAUACAAGUAUUUGUGUUUUGAACACACAAAAAAUCAUAAUAUACUACACCACUUUAUUAUUAUACCCUGACAUUGUGACCAACCAAAAAAAAAUAGAAAUUCAUAUAAAAAAUAUAAAUAUCUAGUUGACCUAUAUUUCUUACCUUUGCCUCACUUUUUAUUGAUUUGUUUUAUUUACGUACUUCAUUUUUAGGAUUGAAAAUUUUGCAUGACACUAAAGUUAACAAGAAGAUGUAUUAUUUGAGUUUGCGAUUUUAAAAUUCAAGCCCGUAUGAGUCAUUUAAAACUAAACCACAAAAUUAAUUCAUUUUUGUGUCAAAUCGAUCUAAAUCUAAAUAAUAUAAUAUUAAAUGUUAUAUGUAUAUGUUAUAGCGUUCUAUUUGUAAGCCCAUCCCACGGUCCAGCCCAAAUAUAUUGGCAAAAACCCUAUUUUUCUUCGAUCAUAUCUAUAUAUAUCCGCCGCCUCAUCAUUUUUAUGUGUUCUUAUAUCUUAACAUCUCUAUGAUUGUUUUCUCAGUUUUUUUCUUUUCAAACAUCUCUUCUCCAGUCUAUAUCAAGUGCUCAUAUCCAUGGUGAUACUACAUAUGCACACAAACAAAAUACUUAGCGUCACAAUAAUUUUGAUAUAUCGGUAAGUUACUGCUUUGACUUUUGAAACAAUAAUAUAUGAAUACAUACAUAUGCUGAUAUAGUAAAAAAUGUGCUAGAUCUAUCAACAACGUUGAAUACUUACUCAAUUUUCAUUGAAAUAAAAGCAAGUUUCAGAUUUGUUAUUUUAAAAUUGAAACGAAACAAGUUUGUGUAUGAUCCAAUUCGCAACACGCGCACACACGCACAUUGUUUGAAAUUAUUUUAUUUUAAAUUUUAGAUAUGUUUAGAUUUUAGUAAGUUACGGUUUUAAAUGAGUUUUGGGUAUUUAAUCUAGAAUUAAAUUGAAUCACAUUAUAACCCUGUAGUUUGAUAAUUAUUUAAAUUUUAAAUUUUUAUUAAAUCAAUUUCGGUUAAGAUUUUUAGUUUGCCGACAAUAAAAGAUUAGUUGACAACUCCAACAUAACACAUAACACAUAAGUUUAACCAUAUUUGAUAUCAUUUUUCUCCUCCAAAAUAUUUAUUGGCAUUAUUUUUACUAUCUCCAAUUUGGUUUAUGAAAUUUAUAUGAUUUAUAUACAUGAAUCUCUUGCAGUAAACAAUGAAGAAAGUGCUCCACGAAAGAUUAAAGUCUUCAUUUGAUUGGAUACAAUUUGCGGGUAAUAUUUUUUUCCUUUCAUAUACAUUUGUAUGACUUAUGAGUUAUUCAAAAUAUACGAUUUAGCAACCAAAUGCAAUUGGAUGGAACCAAGACCAGCCUUUGAUGCAAUUAAAAUUGACUUCGAUUUUUUUCAAAAAAAAAAUUGUAUUAGGGGGUUACAAUUAUAUAAGAAAAAUGGAAAAUAGUUUUUUAUUUACAAACCAUAUUUUUGUUAAUAUUUUAAUAAAAUCACAAAAAAAAUCUAAAAAUAAUAUUUUUGAUAAUUCUUCUUGUUUAUUCUCUUUAUAAUAGUUCAGAACAUUAUAUAAGUCAUAUAUAUAAUCAUAUUUUAAUUAUUUAUUAAUUCAUCUAAAUUUUAUAUAUUUAUAUCCAAAAUUGAUUUGUUACAUUUUCAUUAACAGGCAUUCGACCAAUAAUGAACCAAUUCUAGCCAGAUUUAGACAAUCCAUGAUACAUAACCUUUUAGUUUUAGUUACUCCGGGACCUAAAAAUGAUGUCAUUCACUAGAAAACCCUAGUGGACUCCAAGCAGUGCUGAUGAUGCAACAAGCGAGCUAGAUGAGAUGGAACAUCUAGCACAGAUUCUGAAUCUAUUUGAACCAACAAGACGUGAAGCUUCACGCCAUGUAGCUAGAGAAUUACUGAACCCCACACAAUUGCUUGAUAUAUUCAUGAACAAGAUAGUAUAAUGCUAUACAGGUGAAGCUUCGCGACAUAUAACAUUAUACUUACCAUGUUCAUAAUAUAUCAAGCAACUGUCUAGGGUUCAGUAAAUCUCUGGCUACAUAGCGUAAAUUUUCACGUGUAUAGGCUAAUCUUGUUGGUUCAAAUAGAUUUGGAAUCUGUGCUAGGUAUUCCAUCUCAUCUAGCUCGCUAGUUGCACCAUCAGCACAACCUGGAGUCGACAAGAGUUUUCUAGUGAAUGACAUCACUUUUAACUCCUCCGUAGCUGAAACUACAAGGUUCUGUAUCAUAGACUGUCUAAACCUGACUGGAGUUGGUUCAUUAUUGGCCGAGUCGAGGACAGCUCCUAAAGUAGUAAUACGAGUGACUGCAUCCCCUAGACACUUGGAGAAAGACAACAUAUAUCAAUUGGGAGAUUGAGACUGAAGUAACAUCACAAUGAUUUUAAUUAUCUUUCUUUCAUCUUCUUAAUUUUAUUGUUGUGUUAAUCUUUGAGAUGUUGAACUAAUUGUUAUUCAAGGCCUUGAUGGAUUCUUGAGUUAUAUAUAUAUAUAUAGGCUCAUGAUCAAAUAGAAACCACUUUUAAAAUAAAAACUAGAAACCAAUACAAGUUAGUGAUAUCCUCAGUACAAUUUAGUGAUAUUCUCUUUACGAUUUAGUGAUAUGUGUUGCACGAAUUAGUGAAAACUUGCGGAAACUGCCCAGAAUUUCUGAAUCUGUUCUAGUUGCCGAUUCAGGUGGUGGUUGCGGUGGUGGAGAUAAUGGAGGUGAAGGUGGAGAUGGAGGUGGUGGACAUGGAAGGAGCCUUUAGCUUUGUCCGGCAGAUUUUUGGCAAAGAUCUGGAAUUUAAAUCGGUAUUAAGCUAGAUAUACGGUACUGUAGGUGAGGAAGACCGAGGUGGAGGUGAGGACGAAGGUGCAGGUGGAGGUGGAGGUGGGGGUGGAAUGGAAGGGGCGGUGGAGGCCGGAGGGGGGUUGGAUUUGGUGGUGAUAUAAAUAAUGGAGGCCGACAUGGAGGUGGUGGCUAUGGAGGGUCGGGCGGCAUGGAGGUGGAGAGAGUAGCAGAGACUUGGCGGGGGUGGUAGGGUGAAGCUGCCGGAAGCGGGGUGGAGGGUUGGUGGGUUGGAGAAGAAGAAGGCAGAAAAUGGGGUUGUUUGAGAAUUUAGUGAUAUUCUCUUAGAAAUUUAGUGAUAGUUUCUAGUUUCUAGAAUAAGGAGGUUUCUAUUGGAGUAAAGCUCUCUCUCUCUCUAUAUAUAUAUAUAAGUGUGCGUUCUUCUUGAUUCUUAGAUUUAGUGUUCAUGUAAUUGAUUAUGUUGGUUUGUGUAUAAUGCUUCUGAAGGAGUAAUUAACUUUGAGAUUGAUUCAAUAAUCUUGGUGAUGCUUGGAAGAGACAACCUUAAUUAGACCCGAUCAAUUUAACUUGGGAUUGACAUAUUGUUAGUUUGUGUUCAUGAUAGGAAUGUACUUGAUCACCCCCAAAUAGUCAAAUUAGGAUCAUGUAUUCAUGCUGCUCAUGGAUUUAACACGUGAGAUACAGAAGGUCCUUGUGAAUAUAUGUGUACCUUAGACUAGCGGUUUGAACAUGAAAAUAGAGAUGAUGGAAGGUGCUUGUAAACUCAAGAUGGAGUUAAAGGUCUAGAUUUAAAUCUUGUUUCAUUCUUAGUCUUGUGUGUAUUUUCAUAUUAGUACUCCCUCUGUCCCAGUCAUUUGUAUACAAAUGGCUGGGACACGGAGACCAAGAAAUUGUUUAAGAAAUUAGUAAAGUUAGAUGAAAAGUGGGUAUAGUGGUGGGACCCAUGUAUAUUUAAUAAUAGAUUUGAGAUAGUGGAGAAAAGUAGUGGGUGUAAUAGUGUUUAUAUUAUUAUAGAAUGAAGAUAGUGGAGGAAAGUAGUUGGUGUAAUGAUAUUUUAUAGUAUUAUAAAAGUUUACUAUUUUUGGAAUGUAUACAAUUGAUGGGACGUCUCAAAAAGGAAACUGUAUACAAUUCACUGGGACGGAGGGAGUAGUAGUUUAUGAUAAAAUUUUCAUCAUAGUUUAUUUAACUUGGAUUGGGCGAACGAUAGUGAAUGGUAAUUAGCACUUAGCAGCUCAAAUUAAACUCGUGAGAAUGAAUUAAUAUACUACUUGUUGGGAUAAGUACACUUGAGUUAAAGUUGCAAAAUCGCUAACACCUACAAAAUAUAAUUGUAAGAGAUAAAUCUUUGUAAUUGUCGUUUAUUCAAAUUAUCCAUCACUCGUUGAUUGAUCUUAAUAUAGAUGAACGAUGAGCUCAAUGAAUCCACGAUCUGCUAUCUAGGAAAGGAAUUAAGAAACUUCUUUAACAUGAAUACAUGAUGACAAAUAGAAAAACUUGAUGAACUCCUUUUCAGUUAAAUUUAAAUAUCCUUUUUGUACCAGUAGACUCCUUUAGUCUCACCUUCAUCUUUCUCCACGUAAAUGCAUUCCUUCAUUUCUCUGUACAUUGCCUUGAGAAUUGGAGUUCCAUCAUACUGAUAAUAAUCACCCAAUAGAGGCUUCAUGGCCUCUGUGGCUUCGAGUCCGUGGUAAUGUGGGAUCAUGGAGAAUAUGUGGUGACAGACAUGAGCAUUGCAGACAUUGUGGAACACCUUGUUCAAUAUUCCAUAGUCUCUGUCGACAGUGCAUAGAGCUCCCCUCAACCAAUCCCAUUCGGUUGAAUCGUAGUAAGGCACAGAGGGAUGAGUAUGGUUGAGGAUGGUGAUCAAUGUGAACCAUCCAUUGACAACAAGCAAUGGACCUCCAUAAACACAGAAAACCCAGACAAAUCCUUUGGCUAAUACUAGAUUGUAUAGGCCAUAGAUGACUGCAAGAAUGGCAACAUCAGAAACAAUGAUUUGUUUGCGUUCACGUUCUGUGUAAAGAGGGCUAUGGGGAUCAUAGUGUGAAGUCCACCUCUCAUACUUGUGUCCAGAAACAUUGAACAUCAGGUACAAAGGGAAGCCUAUGAGGAGUGUGGUAACCCACACAAGGACACGGCCAGGUGGGUUGUUGAAAAUUUUGUAGUAAUUCCUGAUGUUGGACUUGAACCUCGGGACAUAAACCUCGUCGUUCUCAAGAGAUUGAGUGUUGGCGUGGUGACGUCUGUGGCUAAUUUUCCAAGAGAAGUAAGGGACCAUGAGAGAAGAGUGGACAACAAGGCCGACAAGGUCAUUGAUCCAGCCAUAGUCACUGAAGGCAUCAUGAUCACACUCAUGGCCUACGACCCAAGCCCCAGUCAAGACACAACCUUGGACAGCAAUGUAAGCCGCCCAUCCCAAGUAAUUAAGAGGAUGCGGAAGGUACUGGUCUAUGUAAUUCGUGGCAACAUAGUAAAGGGCAUAGGCCAUGAGGAGAUCUUGAAUGAGAUAACGAAAAGAAGUGAUGAGGGAUUUUUCAAAGCAAUGAGCAGGAAUGGCUUUCUUAAGGUCACCUAUGGUGAAAGGAGGUUUCUCAUGAGGAGCACGUCGAAGUGCUUCUGUUUCAGUUUUUUUGGCCUUAGGAGGAUCCGACAUUCGACCACCUGCACCCAUUGUUCCUGAUUACUGAAUGCCUUCAAUAUAAUCAGGAAGUAAAAUAAUUGAGUUGUGUUGGCUGUUUGAUGAAGUUUGGUGGUGUUUAGUUGAAGCUGAAGCUCUGAGUAUUUAUAAUGAAGAUAUCAUUGUAAAAUUUUAUUGGAACGGCUCGUGUUGUGGACUGUGGUGGCCUAUAGCGCCCGCCACACUUGAGUUUUCAACGUGCAAAAUAUUAUUCUUCUACUUGAAUCUGGUGUUCUGCAAGAUAUUAGUUGCCCUGUCAUGAUAAUUUGCAAAUAAGGUCAAAUAAAUUCUCAGUCUCAUAAGGCUACUCCAGGACACCACUCUUGAGUCCUUAUUGGCAGCUAUUCUUUAUUGAUUAAUGCAUUGGUAGAUUUACUUUUAGAAUAUAAAAAUAUAAUUUUAAAGUAAAGGGAUAGUGGGAUUUUAUACUAAAAGCUUAAAAAGAUUGCACUUUGCUAUCUUUGUAUCAUUUAUCAACUUCUUGCAGGUUACUUAGCAUGCCUCGUAUAGAACUCCCGCUGUUAAGAAAUACUAAACUUAAAGUGUUUUUAAUUUCAAUUUUAUUAAAAAAUUUGAUUACAUCAACAUAUUAUGAAAAACAGUUUCGAAUUUGAUGUUAUCAAGACUAGUUGGUAUUAUUAGGAAAAAUUGUUAGUAUUGCCUUUUGGGAUAUAUAUCAUGGAUUGGUUGAGCAUGACUAAACAAGACUGUUUUCUCAUAAUAUAUAGUUUUUCCCAUUUUAUGAAUGGCCAAGUAGCAAAACAUAUUGUUCAGAUUUUCUUGCAGAAGCACAAGACAAUGGUAGAUGUGUGGUGUGAAAUUCGAGGGAUUCCAGACCUCUUCUGGUGAGAUUCGCUCAUCAUCUUUAUUAACAGUUACUCUUAUGUGACAACAAAUCAGCUCCGCACAUAUGUGUUGAGAGGACUAAUAAGUGGUUUUAGUUUUAAUUUUAUUAGUGAUUACAUCAACAUAUUUGUGAAAUACAGUUUUGAAUUUGAUGUUAUCCAGACUAGUUAGUAUUAUUAGGAAAAAAGAAGUUAGUAUUACCUUUUGGGAUAUAUCAUGCAUUGGUUCAGCAUGACUAAACCAGUCUGUUUUUUCAUAAUAUAUCAUUUUUCCCAAUUUAUGAAUGGCUAAGAAACAAAACAUAUUGUUUAGAUUUUCUUAUAGAGCAUAAGGCAAUGGUAGAUGUGUGGUGUAAACUUCAAGUGAUUCCGGACCUCUUCUUCUAGUGAGAUCUGCUUAUCAAUUUUAUCAACGGUUACUCUUAUGUGACAACAAAUCAGCUCUGCAUUGCUCAUAAUCAUAUAUACGUAUUUAGAGGACUAAUAAUUUUUUUAUCAUGUUGCAAGCUAUAAAUUAACAAAAUGAUAUCACCAUUGCUGCUGAUAUAAGCAUUCAUCAAUAGGUUGUUCAUCUGUUCUGGCACCAAAACUUUAUAUAUUACUUGGUGCUCUGUGGCAGGCUACUUUCUAAGAUUGGAAUUUUCAAUCUCUUUUAACCCUCAAAUCUUUACAUGAAAUGAUACGAUCGAUUAAUCAUGUCAAACAUUAACAAGACUAGUGAAGCAAAAGCAAGAGUAGCUGAUCUCUCUCAAUUUCUUUAUAUAAACAAAUUAUAUAUUAGAUAUAAUCAUCUUUAACAUUUUUAAGUUUUUCAACACAUAAUGAGAUUGUCCUUGUUCAAUAAAUAAACCAGCAUGCUCUAAGAUGUUUCUGAAUCUUAAUCAUCCACUGGAAGAAGGAUUACUGUAUCAGGCAUAUUAAAGGCACAUGCUCUUUCCCACAGACUAAAUCACUAAGAUCAUAGUUUUUAAUAAUGUCAAUAUUUCAUAAAUUUUCAUAAAUGGAAUUUUCUUUUUUGCCAAAUUAAUUUUUAUUAUGUCUCAUAAAACUAUCUGUUACUCCUUUUGCAAAUAAGGAAAAAUUCAACCAGGGACUAUGAACGGGCAAGCAUGGAAAGGCCUCAUCUUUAAAACUCUGAAUCAUCUCUUCCUAAAAACUUCAACUCUUCUGGAAAACUUUCUGAAAAUGGAAAAAAAAAAAUAAAAAUAUUUUACCUUCGAGUUAACUAAGCGAACUCAAAUGCACCAUUGGUUGCCUUUUCGAUACAGAACUACCUUUAUCCUUCUAAAUUUUAGUUUCAUGCAAAGCACAAAAAUGUUUUGAGAUUAUACACACAUUCAACAUAAGUAAUUUAUUUUUGUAGAGUACUAAUUGUAUUAACCCCACAAACAAAAUACACAGGGCAUGCCCUACUAAAAGUGGAGCAAACUCAUCCUACAAGAGGUCUCACAAGAAAGCCUGUGAGAGUGAGACCACCUUGACAGAGAACCAUAUCUCUUUGUCUUGAACUUAAAGGAAAUUUUAUCAUUGUUUAAAUUCCCAUAUUAUUUUGAAACAUUUGAAAAGCAUUUCUUAAUAUUUUAGUUACAUUUAUUUUCUAUCUUUGUACAAGAUUCCAGCCUGCCUUUUAAGGGAAAUGAGCUUUUCUUCCUGAUACAGUUCUGGCCUUUAAGCUUAGGAAAGUUUUUGGUCAAUAAUCAAAGGUGCUCUCCCUCUCAGGUGUUUGAUUAAAUUUCAUAUCUUUCUUUUUUUUUAUGUUGGUUUGUAGUACUUUGUGUUUGAUUGUCUCAGAAAAACUGAGGUUCACUGUAAUAUGUUUCAUGGAAUAUUUGCAGCAUCCACAAUGGGGACCUCCACUCAUUUUACAAAGUAUGUUCUUGGACAAUCAUAAUUUCAUUGAUGCAAUCAUACUAGGCUACAUUACAACUUACAAAUUAUCCACUGCUUGUGGACUCAUCUUAUUCAAAAUGAGCAAUAAACUAAUGAACCUACAACAUGCUAUCUAAGGAAAUGUAGAAAAUUGCAACAUGGGAAUGAGUAGAGAAAGGAGUCAAUAUCGUUUUCAGUUUCAAAUGUCCUUUCUGUACCAGUAGACCCCUUUGGUCUCUCCUUCAUCUUUCUCGACGUAAAUGCAUUCCUUCAUUUCUCUGUACAUUGCCUUAAGAAUCGGAGUUCCAUCGUAUUGAUAAUAAUCACCCAAUACAGGCUUCAUGGCCUCUGUGGCUUCGAGUCCGUGGUAAUGUGGGAUCAUGGAGAAAAUGUGGUGGCAAACAUGAGCAUUGCAUACAUUGUGGAAUACCUUGUUCAAAAUCCCAUAGUCUCUGUCAACGGUACAGAGAGCUCCCCUCAACCAAUCCCAUUCUGAUGAAUCGUAGUAAGGGACAGAUGGAUGAGUAUGAUUGAGGAUUGUGAUCAGUGUGAACCAUCCGUUAACAACUAGCAAUGGACCUCCAUAAACACAGAAGACCCAUGCAAAUCCUUUGAUUAAUACGAGACGGUAUAGACCAUAGAUGACAGUAAGAAUGGCAACAUCAGAAACAAUGAUCUGUUUACGCUCACGUUCUGUGUACAGAGGGCUAUGGGGAUCAUAGUGUGAAGUCCACCUCUCAUACUUGUGUCCCGAAACAUUGAACAUCAAGUAUAAAGGAAAACCUAUGAGGAGAGUGGUAACCCACACAAGCACACGGCCAGGAGGAUUGUUGAAAAUUUUGUAGUAGUUCCUGAUGUUAUACUUAAAUCUAGGGACAUAAACCUCAUCGUUCUCAAGGGAUUGAGUGUUGGCGUGGUGACGUCUAUGGCUAAUUUUCCAAGAGAAGUAAGGGACCAUGAGAGAAGAGUGGACAACAAGGCCAACAAGGUCAUUCACCCAACCAUAAUCACUGAAGGCAUCAUGAUCACACUCGUGGCCUACGACCCAAGCCCCGGUUAAGACACAACCUUGGACAGCAAUGUAAGCUGCCCAACCUAAGUAAUUAAGAGGAUGUGGAAGGUACUGGUCUAUGUAAUUUGUGGCAACAUAGUAAAGGGCAUAGGCCAUGAGGAGAUCUUGAAUGAGGUAACGAAAAGAAGUGAUGAGUGAUUUUUCAAAGCAAUGAGCAGGAAUGGCUUUCUUAAGGUCACCUAUGGUGAAAGGAGGUUUCUCAUGAGGAGCGCGUUUAAGUGCUUCUGCUGCAGUCUUCUUGCCAUUCGAUGGAGCAGUAGACAUACGCCCACCUGCGCCCAUUGUCUCCAAUUACUAAUUGCCUGCAAUAGAACCAGAAAGAAAAAAAAAAUUGUAAGAACUUGUUAUUUAACUUUGCAUGUUUUCUGAAUCAUUCAUGUGCACUUUUACAGCAAUAUGCAUGCUAAAAACAUAACACUACUAGUACUGUAAUUGAUUAGCUGGAAGUACAGAAGAAUAUACAUGUACCUGAAAGAGCUGGAGUGCUUUCUUGCCUAAGCUCUCUUCUCUGUGAUGUAUUGCUCUUUUAGUUUGUAUAGUCUGAGCAGAAGCUUUGAGUAUUUAUAAGAGGGUUAUGAGCUUGUGAUACUAAUGCACUAGCUGCACUUAUAUUAUUUGAAAAAUAUUAUGAGUGUUGAGAGUGGCCUAAGCGCCCGCCACCCUGAGAAUUUGAACGUGCAAAAUAUAUAAUUCACCUACUUAAGAUAUGGUGUUAUGUGGCAGCAAUAGUAAGCAUGGUGAUGAAUGCAAAUAAUUAAAGUCAAGUAAAUUGUCGGUCAAGAAUGGCUACUACAGUAGUAUUCUCCUCCGGUCAUUCUUGGCAGCUAUUCUUUAUUGGAACAUGCAUCGUGGCAUUGGCACUUAAAAAGUUUUCAAUAAUUCGGAACAAAUUUGUAACUAAUAUUAACAAAAAUACAGUCUUGAAUAUGUAUAGCAAAUAUAUUAACAAAUUUGAGAUACAGGGCACCAUCUAUAAUAAAAAUAAUAAACGACACAGGUCUCUUGCAGCCUGGGCAGCAGAAAAGGGUGGAGGAAACCUAAAGGUCUAACUGGAUAAUGAUAACAUCUAAUUUCUAUAUUAUUAUCACAUAUCUAAACUAAAUAUAUUAUAUGUUGGAAAUAAAUGAAAUUUAAAAUUUAAGAUUUUAAUUAGUUUUCAAGUUUCUACUUCAUAAUCUUUUUUCACAGAUUUUAGUAAUGAUCAUUAUUAUUGACAUAUUAUGAACUUAGCCAUUAUUGACCAAUAUCAACAUAGAAUGUUUCUUAGUUCCACGGAUUUUGCUCUCUUUUUUUCCGAGUGUUUUUUUCGGACAUUAAAAUUUUUAUCUAAUUUAUUGUGGGACAUUUCGAUAUGUAUUCUGGUUAGAUAAAAUCUUUCAGGUAUGAAAGAAGUUCUUUCAAUUCUUUCGAUAUUGUACCCAAUUCUUUCGAUGUUGUAUUCGGUACAAUUUACUGAAGUGAAAGUCUAUCGGAAAAAAAAAGAGAAUGUUUCUUACCCAAUUCAGUUGUAUUGAAUUGAGUCAGAGAGCCGUGGAAUACUACUUAAUAGAUAAUUAAUUAUUGAUUUUUAAGACUUUACUUGUAGGCCUAACAUAUUAUAUUAUUUUGAAAAUAAACAUUUUUCUAGGUGGAGAAUUUUCCAAAAACAAUUGUUAUUUUAUUACAUAGUAAUAUUCCCUGCACAUGACUGAGGGAAUAUUUUUGAUUGAGACCGAUCAAAUCAAAAUAAUAUAAUACUCACUCUGUCCCAGUCAAUUGUAUACGUUUCUUUUUCACUGCUCGACACGUUUUUUAAGGCUCUUAUUAAACAUAGUUCCACAACUUAUUUUUAAGAUUUUCUUUUUUUGUAUAAAAAUAUAAAUGUUAUACUUUUAUACAAAAAAAGAAAAUCUUAAAAAUAAUUUACAGAAAUAUACUAUAUUGAAGCGUUAAAGUCCGUGCCGCGCCCCCGUCCCCCAAUGUAUAUUAUUGACCGGGACGGAGGGAGUAUAUAUUUUCAGAAACGAAUAUGUGUGAUCUAAUAGUAGUAUCAGUGGCGUGCUGUACUGAAAACAAUCUUGUCGACCUCUCUCUUUUUUCUGUACACUCCUGCAUUAUCACUCCAAAUGAACCUCCAAACCAGCUUUUAUUAUUGCUUUCAAGUUUCAACACUCCAAUCAGUCAGCGGCGUGCUGUCCUCUAAAUUCAGCUUUGGCGUACCAUUUGUCAUGUGCAUCAAUCCAGUCUCCACAGUCUUGACUGCUCAACGUUUUGCACAUUACUCACUUUGGUCACUAUUAUUUCAAAUAUUUCACAAACUAUAUAAAUAGACCAUACUCAAUAGCAAGUUAGCAACAUAAGCAAAACACAAAGCUAAUCAGGUUCAAGUUCAACACAUCUUAAACUUGGUAGCUUUUUUCUGGUGCUCAAAUGGGUAAAGGUGGACGAAUGCCUGUUAACACUGAUCAACAAAAACCGGUUGAUCAGAAAUUAAUCCGUCGAGUUCCUCACCAAAAACCGCCUUUUACGAUAUCCGAUAUCAAGAAGGCCAUUCCCCCACAUUGUUUCAAUCGUUCGAUUAUUCGUUCAUCUUCCUACCUUGUUUUCGACCUUAUCGCGUGUUUCUUGUUAUACCAUGUUGCGACGAGUUACAUACCCCUCAUUCCCGCACCCCUCUCGUACCUUGCAUGGACGGCCUAUGUUUACGUCCAAGGCUGUUUUAUGUUCGCGGUGUGGGUGGUGGCGCAUGAAUGCGGUCACCAGGCCUUUAGUGACUACCAUUGGCUAAAUGAUAGUCUCGGCUUUGUUCUGCAUUCUCUUCUCCUCGUACCUUAUUUUUCGUGGAAAAUUAGUCAUCGUCGCCACCAUGCAAACACUAAUUCUCUCGACCGGGAUGAAAAUCAUGUCCCGCGAUUCAAGAACACGAUCAGAUCAUACUACCAUCACUUCAACAACCCUCUAGGCCGCGUCUUCAUCAUCGCCUUCACUCUAAUUUUGGGAUGGCCUUUAUAUUUAAUCGUCAACAUUGCAGGACGAUCAUACGAUCGCUUUGCAUCACAUUUCGACCCCUAUAGUCCUAUUUAUUCGCAACGUGAGCGCGCUCAGAUUAUAUUAUCUGAUAUCGGUGUCCUUGCUGCUGGCUAUGGUUUAUAUCGGAUCGCUGCAAUCAAAGGCCUUUCGUGGGUUUUCUUAGUCUAUGGCGCCCCAUUACACGUAGCCAACGGAUUCCUCGUGAUGAUAACUCUCCUGCAUCACACUCAUCUCUCAUUGCCUCACUACGAUUCAUCCGAGUGGGAUUGGCUAAGGGGAGCCUUGGCUACUGUGGACCGAAACUACGGAAUACUAAACAUAGUGUUCCAUCACAUUGCGGAUACUCAUGUGCUUCAUCAUCUCAUCUCCAGCAUCCCUCAUUAUCAUUCCCAGGAGGCGUCCGAGGCCAUCAAGCCCGUCUUGGGGGAUUACUAUCACUACGAUGACACUCCGUUUUAUAAGGCGAUGUGGAGAGAAGCUAAGGAAUGUCUCUAUGUCGAGGCUGAGGAGGACGGUGAUAAGGCCAGUGGUGUCUACUGGUACAAAAAUAAGCUUUGAGUUUUGAGCUAUCUGCUCUGUAAAAAUUACAUUAUGUAUUUCGGCUAGCUCCAUUCCUUUGUAAUGUUUUCUUUGUUACAAAUGUAGUGUGUUUUGACGAUCAAUCUAAGGAUACUAAAACAAUUUAGACACAUAUGGAUGAUCAAAUCAACCCAAGAACGAUUAGCUAUAAAAGUAAAACCAAUUUGAUGAUCACUGGAUACUGCAUCAAGUGUCACACUAUACUCCAAUUACUGAUGUUCUCGCAAUUUAAAGUACUUUAGUUAUCCAAAUUUGCAAUAUGUGUAUACCUUUAGAACUGAUUAUCAAUAGCACCAGUAAGGUGCCUAAAAGUUUUAAGGGUUAGAGGCUUAGAGCAUUAGUCCUCUGCUUCUUGAGUACAACAGAGUUUGAGUUCAAAGCCUUAGCAGAAGGAAACAGGCCAGAAAAAGAAAGGAUCAAGCAAGUGUACAAUUUCGCGGUUUCUGAAUUGUUUCUUUUGGUAAUUAAAAAAUUUAUACCACGGAAAAACACAUUGGGAGUCCAGUCUAUAGUAAAUUGGAUAGUAUAUGCUAGUAAACGAGGGAUGGUUCAUGGUUGUCCACAUUCCCUCUUACCCUGUCAAAUUUUCUACGGAGAGGGCUUUGUGACCCUGUCCAGCAGUGAUCUCAGGGCCGGCUAUAGAGGGGUGCAAACAGCCCAACUGAACCGCUCUCAUAAUUAUCAGGUUCCCCAAAUAUUUCGACCAAUUUUUUUAUGCAACACAGGGCCCUGAAAUGUUUUAGAGGGGGCCUGAGUGAGCUUUUAUGAAAAUCUUCUUAAGAGGAAUGCAGAUUCUAGUGAGACAUUUAGCACUCUGAAAUUUAUGGUAAAAUCAAAAUGCCCGGUUCCAAAUGGCUUCACAGUCGAGUUCUACCUUGCAUCCUGGGAUAUUGUAGUCUACCUGAGAGCUUACAACUGCCGAGGAUCAUUAACUCAGCUGCUCUUGCAUUAAUUAGCCAGUGUAUCUCUGCAGCCAUGCUAUUAGUCAAGGUGAAUGAAAUGGUUCUAUAGAAGGCUGUGUAAUUUCGAGAUAAUAAACCCUAACGACAACUAGUCCGGUUUUAAUUAAGUUUGUGCCUGCUAGCUAGUCCGGUUUUGGCUCGAAUUUCUGCUACAUUGGUGUCCAUAGAUCGCACACGCGGAAAAGCUGUCCGUAGAUCGAAUACACAAAAAAGCCCAAGACUUGCCAAAGUCCCGAAAUUCACCUCAAAAUCCCACAAUUUGCACCCCAUACGUGAUGGAGCAAUCGAAACUCACCCCAGUUUACAACUCAAUUGACUUGACAAUGUAGGACUCGACUACUCAUACAAUCCGUCUUCCAGCAUUGGUUCGUGAGAGAUUAAGCACAAGCUCCAAUUUAACAAGUUCUUCAAAAUACUAUCCUUCAUAACUACUCUGUAAUAGAGAAGUGAUUGCUUAGUUGCCUCUGUGGCCAGAGUUUGCCGUCUUUGAAUUUCUGUUAUUUUCAACCAUUAAUAAUGAACCUGGAUCCAUUUUUAUUAGAGAUGUCAUCAAAAAGCAGUGAUAAUAUAAACCCACGAAAUCCAUAUACAAUGCAAUGAAAUUUUAAUUUUUACCAAGAAAAACUCUUAUAACACAAAGGGAGAAUUGUCUUCACAGUACAUAGACUCAGCGGUACACAAGCUAGAGAAAAUUUGAUGAUCCACAAAGCUUGUACUAAACAGCAUUCCAGCGUUUUAUUUAUGUUCUAAAGGACAUAAGUACUCAGAUGCUUCUUAAUGUGGCGUCAUUUCUGAAUCCCAGGCCAUUAUUUGUUUACAUUCGGAUAAUGCAGCGGAGGCCUUCCCCUUUCAGCAUCAGAUCAAAGGCCUUGUUGAUUUCAGCAAAUGGGACUUCAUGAGUAAUAAACUUCUCCAGUUCGAGUUCCUGAAAAACAAAGCACUUGUUCUGUCAGGACUGUACCAAGAAGUCUUUUCCUAGAUCAAAGAUGAUAUUCUAUAAAUUUAUAUACCUUGUUCAUGUAUUUUUCGACCACGGAUGGAAGGUCAGUACGAGGUUUGUAGUUUCCAAAGAAACUACCCUUGAGGGUCCUUUCAUUCAACAAAUUCAUGGGGUGAGUCUUAAAGACAGCAUCUUUAUGUGGAACUCCAACAAGCACAGCGACACCCCAACCCUGAAAUAAUUCGCUAAGUUAGAGUCUUGGAUAUGAAAAAUACAAGAAAGAAAUCGCUUUAUAACACAUUCAUAAGCAUGUCAGAGUAAACAUACAUCAUGUACACAUUCAAAGGCUGAAAUCAUGGCAUCAACAUGUCCGGUACACUCGAUACUUCUGUCCACUCCUCCAUUAGUCAUUUCAGCAAUCACCUACACAAUGGCACAUAUACGAACAUCUUAUUAAACAAUUUAAAAAAACUAUGAAAGGGACAUGUAGGCAAGAUGGUAUAUAACAGACCUCUUGAACUGGUUUUUGGUGGUCUUUUGGAUUCACAAACUCUGUCACACCAAACUUCUUUGCUGUAUAUACAAUAUAAGUUAUCUAAUUAGCCAUUUCUUCACUAUUUAGUUAUGCUUCAUAGUUUGAUUGCAUGAUGUAGCUUUUAGCUUACCAGAUUCAAAUCUGUUUGGAUUCAGAUCAAUACCAAUAAUUCUAGAAGCCCCAGCAAUUCUAGCUCCUUCCGCCGCCUAAUCAAAGAAAUUAAAAUUAAAUGCUACCAUAUUACCAAACACAAAAAUCACCCAAAGGCCGUAGUAAAUGAAGAACAAAGGGCCAGAACUUACAGCAAGGCCAACAGCUCCCAAUCCAAAGACAGCCACUGUUGAGCCCUUCUUAGGUUUCGCAACAUUUAGAGUCGAACCCAAUCCUGUUACGGAGUACACAAAAAAUUAGAACGUGUGCACAGUCUAAAGAUCGAGAAAUACCGUAUAAGCAUAUAGUCCACUUUAUCAUACCAGUUGAAAUUCCACAGCUAAGGACACAAACUUUGUCCAAAGGAGCAAGAGGGUUUAUCUUUGCAACACAACCAACAUGUAUGACAGUGUAUUCGCUAAAGGUGGAUGUUCCUACAAAAUGUAGGAUGGGCUUGCCAUUGAUUGAAAAGCGCGACUUUCCAUCAUUAAGCAUAACACCUCUGUCGGUGUUGAUCCUAAGGAGAUCACACAUAUUGCUUUCUUCUGAUUUGCAAUGUGCACAUUCCUUGCAUUCUCCGGUGAAGACGGGGAGAACAUGAUCACCUGGUGCCAAAUCCGUUACUCCCUCUCCGACACUCUCCACAAUACCCCCUGCUUCAUGUCCAAAAAUUCGAGGGAAAACAGGGUUCUGUCCCUGAAAUAUUUAUACAUAAAACAAAAUUUAAUUUAAUACAGUCAUCUAAAAAAAUAUACAAUCACUUAUCAACUCUUCCAAUAAAACAAUUAACUGUACCUUGGCUUCCCAGAAGUAAAUAUCAGUGUGGCAGAGGGAAGUGAAGAGGAUCUUGAUCCGAACCUCGAGUUUCUGAGGAGGGGCAACCUCAACCUCCUCGAUCACAAGUGGUUUCCCUGCUUCCCAUGCUACAGCAGCUGUACAUAGUCGUAACAACAAAUGCAAUAACAUAUAAAAUCAUCAAUUGGUCACAAUUAUAAACACUUCAACUAAAUAAAGUGUCAGAAUAUAGCUAACAAAUGGUACUUUCAAUUUUUAAACUAGGGCCUUCAAAUUCAGAAUUAGAAUUACAUAAUUUCUUGAAUUUUUUCCAUUUUAAAUCAAUGCCAGUGUCAGCAAAUCACUAGAAAUCCUAUUGAACCUCAGCUAAUUUUGUAAAGUAUUCCAACCCUGAUUAUCUGCUAUCCGGAAAUAUUUCAAUACAAACCAUUUUAAAAUCUCGUGAUCCUGAAAGCUAUAGCUCUACAACUUACAAGCAAUCAUGAAAAAGUAUAACAACUUAAUAUAUUUUUUUGUCACAAGAUACCUAAUAAAUUAUGUCAGUAUACAAUAGCCGAAUCGAGGAGUUUCUUUUAUUUAAUAACAUAAUAUCUUAAGCAAGUACUCCUAGGGCCAAUCCUAGUAGCCAUGAACAUUACAAGAUUCAACAUCAAAUAAAUAAUUAAAAGUAAUUACAAAAAAAAAAAAACAGGGUAGAAUUUUAAUACCUUUGCAGCGAAUGACUUGACCAGCAGUGCUUGCCAUCUUUCUUGCUAUUGAUUCACAAGUUGUAAAGUGAAACAGAUGAUUGAACUCUAGUAUGUUUGUGUUGUAUAUAAAAUUCUUGAGAAACUGUGAGAUGAAAAACACAGGUGGCUUGAUGAUGUAUAUAUACUAGCUGGGAAGUACUAACAGGUUUUGACUAAGAAUCACGGGUUAUAUAAAACCACAGGCUCUUCGGACACAAUACCAGAAUCCGCACUUCCCCCCUUUUUACAACGUACGAGUAUAUUGGUCCCCCGUAUUUCCUCGUCUCAUUUUUUAGUACUACAAUAGUAAGUCGGUGCUAACUUUCUGUAACCUGCAAUAUAAUUGAAAUAAUAUAUAAAUAAAUUUUGUGGGGACCGAAAUCAAAUUUUCUGCAUCGUUCAUCAAUCAUCAAUAAAGUUUGAUAAAAUCCGCGGUCUAACUAAAAAGAAGAUUUUAUUAUAAAUUUACGGAGACACACUACAAAGUUCUAUAUACAAAUACUUUUGUAUAAUUCGACGGACAUACUAAUUGUCUAUUUUUGAGUUUUGCUGAGCUAAAAUUUAAUCAAUGAAAUAUAAGAAAUUUUCUUAGAAAAAUUUAAAGUUUUGGGAAUUAUAUUUAAAAUAGAUCACAUAUCAUUUUUAAUGAUACAUUUUCCUUAUAAUUAUAUACUAUAUAUAAAUUCAAUCAAAAUUACGUUAAUUUUAUCAAUCAAAAAUAAAGAAUUGACGGAUAUUUUGAAAUGGAGUAUUAAAAAUUUAUUUUGAGUGUUUUGUUUUGUUAACAUUUUAUACAUCUACUGGAUAUUUAAAUUCAAAAUUGAAGUUAUUCAGUUUGCUUGAAAUUGGCUUUGAAACCCGAAACAUCGAUUGAUCAAAUUUAAUUUGAAUCUAACAGUAUUUAAUUUUGCCGACUCAUUUCGCCCUCAAAAUUUAACAUUCUUGCUCACUAGUUUGUUUCCAAACUAUACGUGUCAGUUGAUUCGAGCACUCAUAUUUAAGAAUACUAAUUUAUUUUUUUUACAAUAUAAGUUUAUAUGACUUACAAAUUAGUGUUUAUUUUGAUAUUUAGUAUCUGUUUAAAUACUUAUUGGAUGCCAAAGUCGAACCGGGUCUAUCAAAACAACAGAGAAUAAAUUCAGCUAUCGAAAUGUGCUCAACUUUCCUAUUUUUUAAUUUAUAUGGAAACAAAAUUAUAUGAGUAUAUCGGAACACGUGCAGGCGAGGGAGAAAAUGCCACGCAGCCAUAGCGGAGAGGAUUCGCGAAGGUUUGAUGUGAAUCCAUGUCACGUUCCCAGCAAAGCAUGUUCCUAAACCAUGUACACUCAUAUCAUAAAACCGCCCUGGUUUUAGUCCUUGGUUUUCUUGUUUUGUUUUCCCAGAAGGAAAAUACUGCUUAGGAAAACUGAGUGGGUGCUGGGCCGAUCAACUUAUUGUCAAGAUGUGACCUAAAGAGAUGUAUAUUAAUAGAACUGUAGAGAAUACAGAGUCACAAGAAUAGGAGGAAGGAAUACAGAAUAGAACUAUUCGUUCUAGAACACUACUGAUACUCUUUUCUAUAGCUAUAGAACUACAUAUAUACAAGCUUGCUCCCGCCUUUCCUAACGAUCUCAACUAACUCCAACUUCUCGUAAUAUAAAUGCUGGAUCAUGACAAUUGCCCUCCCUUCAGACAAAGCUUGUCCUCAAGCUUGAAAUUCUGGAAAUUGUUGUCUCACAAAAGAAACAUCCUCCCAUGAUGCUUCUGUUUUGUCCAGACCUUCCCACUUGAUCAGCCACUGUAACACUGUUAUGUCCCCCCUAGUUAUCUGCCUCCUCUGUAGUAUUAAUUCUGGUUUGAGAACCACUAUGUCAUCAUUGUUGCAUUCUGGAAUAUCUCCUGUAGUUAUGGGAAUAGUACCCACAUGCUUCUUAAGUAAUGACACAUGGAAUACAGGAUGUAUUUUUGCAUGAGUGGGAAGCCUCAGCUUAUAAGCCACACUUCCAAUUUUCUGUGUAAUCUGAAAAGGUCCAUAAAACUUUGUAGCCAGCUUAAGGGAACUCCUGAUUGCAACGGAUUGUUGUUUAUACGGCUGUAACUUCAAAUAAACCCAAUCUCCUAUAUUCAAUGUCCUGUCUGUCCUUUUCAAAUCUGCAAAAUACUUCAUCCUUUGUUGUGCUUUGUUCAGAUUAUCCUUUAGUACCUGCAACACUUGAGUCCUCUGCUGCAAUGUAUCCUGAGCAGAUGGUAUAAUCAUAUCUUGUAUAUUCCCCAUAGACAGAGGCACAGGUUUCACUCCAUAAACUGCUUCAUAAGGUGUGAUUCCCAAGCUGGUAUGAAAGGAUGUAUUAUACCAGAAUUCAGCCAUAGGUAACCACUUCCUCCAGCUGUUAGGUCUCUCACUAGUGAAGCAUCUGAGAUAAGAUUCUAGGCAUUGAUUUAAUCUCUCCGUUUGACCAUCCGAUUGAGGGUGAUAUGCUGUACUGAAAUGCAAUUCAACUCCCAGCUUUUCGAAUAGUGUGGACCAAAACACACUAGUAAAAAUCUUAUCUCUGUCGCUGACAAUCGAGUUUGGCAUACCAUGUAGACGAAAGAUGUUAUCUAAAAACACAUCUGCAACUUCUUUUGCUGAAAAGGGAUGUUUGAGAGCAACAAAAUGGCCGUACUUCGAUAGUCUGUCAACCACCACCAGUACCGUAUCCAUACCUUCAGAUAAGGGCAAUUGUUCCACAAAAUCCAUAGAAAUUUCUUUCCAUGCUUGAGUAGGAACUGCUAGUGGCUGUAACAGGCCCGGAUAUUGGACAUGUUCACUUUUACUUCGUUGGCAAAUCUCACAACUCUUAAUCUCUUCAAUCACCUCCGCCUUCAUCUUUGGCCAAAAAAAUGCCAAUUUAAUUCUCUGCAAACAGGCAGUCUGACCUGAAUGUCCUCCCAAAGCAGAUGAAUGUAAUGUUUUGAUUAUCUGCUUCCUCACACCUCCACUCUUGCCUACAUAUAUCUUGCCAUUCUUCUUGAGUAUUCCUUGCACAUACUCAAAAUCUGAAUCUUCUUGAGUAUCCAGUACUAACUUGCUAAUAAGUUGUUGACACUCAUCAUCACUUUCAUAGCUUAAUUCCACCUGUUGCAGCCAUACAGGUUGAACCAUUGAUAUGGCAGCUAUCCUUUCCUCUGUAUUUUCCAAAGUUCCAGCACUAUUUCCAGCACUAUUCUUUUUCUCCCCCUCCUCCAGGCACCCCUCCAUGCUCCUGGACAACGAGUCAGCUGCUAUAUUUUCUAUUCCUUUUUUGUACUGAAUUUCAUAGUCCAUUCCAAAUAACCUUGACAUCCAUUUGUAUUGCAAAUUUGUAUGAAGUUGUUGUUCCAACAAAUAUUUCAAUGCUUGAUGAUCCGUCCUUAUUACAAAAUGAUUUCCCACUAGAUAAUGUUUCCACUUAGUUACUGCCAUCACCAGAGCCAACAACUCCUUCUCGUAAACUGAUAAUCCAAAAUUUUUACUGUUAAAUGCUUUACUCAAAUAAGCCAAGGGCCUGCCCAUCUGCAUUAGUACUGCCCCCAUCCCUUUACCAGAAGCAUCUGUUUCUAAAACGAAAGGUUGAGAGAAAUCCGGAAUGGCCAAAACUGGGGCUGUACACAAUGCCUUCUUUAGUUGCUGAAAUGAUUCUUCUGCUUCUGCAUUCCAUUUGAACCCAUCCUUCUUCAGUAAAUUUGUCAAUGGUCUGGAUAUCAUCCCAUACCCUUUGAUAAAUCUACGAUAAUAUCCAGAUAAACCCAAGAAUCCUCUCAAUUCUUUGACACCUGUUGGCGUAGGCCAAGACAUAACUCCUUCAACUUUUGUUGGAUCCAUACUCACCCCUUCUCCAGAAACUAAAUGUCCCAGAUACUCCACUGAAGGUACAGCAAAAGUGCAUUUAGAUAAUUUUGCAAACAGCUGAUUAUUCUGCAAAACUGCCAACACCUGUUCUAAGUGUUCUGUAUGAGAUUCCAAGGUUGGACUGUAAACCAAAAUAUCAUCAAAAAAAACAAGAACAAACUUCCUCAAAAAUGGCUGAAAUAUCUGAUUCAUAAGUGAUUGAAAUGUAGCCGGGCAUUUGUUAAGCCAAAUGGCAUAACAACAAAUUCGAAAUGGCCAUGAUGUGUUUGGAACGCUGUCUUCGCUGUGUCACAAGGCUUAACCAGAAUUUGAUGAUAACCAGAGCGAAGAUCAAGUUUAGAAAACACCUUGGAACCAUGCAACUCAUCCAAAAGCUCGUCAAUAUUUGGAAUUGGAAACUUGUCCUUAACUGUGAUUUUGUUUAGGUGCCGGUAAUCUACACAGAAUCUCCAAGAAUUGUCUUUCUUUCGAACUAAUAUCACGGGUGAUGCAUACGGACUGUUACUCUUCCUGAUAGUACCAGCAUUCAACAUUUCUUGCACCUGAUUUUCAAUCUCCGUUUUUUGUGAAUGAGGAUAUCGGUAUGGCUUCAACUUGAAUGGUUUGGCCUCUGGCAUUAGAGGAAUUUCAUGGUCUACAGACCUGGUUGGAGGUAAAGCCUGCGGAACCUCAAACACUGCUGCAUAAUUCUCAAGAAUCUUGUUAAUCAUCUCUGGAACCUCAGCUUUACUCGAAUCUUCCUUUCCUACUGCAGACACUACUUCAUUUAUAAUUCUUUUCUUGACCAGUUCUUGGUUGAAUUCUUGCAAUUUAUUGCCUCUAACCAACUUGAUCGACACCUUUUCCUUAACAUCUCCAUGUAACAACAUCUGUUCAUCCUCUCCUUUAUCAGCCUUCAACUUAAGAUACAACUCCUUGAAAUCGAAUAAGAUUGGAGAGUAUUGCUCUAACCAAUCAACUCCUGCAAUCAUGUUCCAACCCCCUAUGGUCAAUAUUCUGGCAUCACAACAAAAUUUAUGUUGUUGAACCUCCCAUCUUAAUCUUGGAAUUACUCUUUUACUGGUAACGACCCUGCCAUCUGCCAUUUUCACUCUUAUGGUCUCUUUCUCCUCACCUUGCAUACCCAACUUUUUAGCUGUUUCUGUAUCUAACACUGUUACUGAACUCCCUGUAUCCACCAAUAUCUUGAUUGGUUCUUUUCCAAUCCUCCCAUCUAAUGUAAUAGUCUUCCUUACUAUGCUUUCUGACAAAGCAUUCAAGGACACCUCAGUUACCAACCCUUCUGUUUCCUCCUCUUCAUCCAGAAAUUUAGCAAUUUCUUCAUCCCUGGAAUCUUCUACCAACAUAUAAGUGUACUGCUCAUUCCUACACACAUGUCCCUGACCAAAUUUCUCUCCACACUUGUAACACAAGUGAUUGUUCUUCCUAUACUGGAAUUCCUCCGGAGUGAUUUUCUUGAAAUAGUUACUAGCUGCAUUUUUCUUAUCCUCUCCUGUAUUCUUUUUUUCCAUGGUAUUCUUAUAUCCUACUCCAUUGUAAUUCUUUUUACUCUCAUGUUUCUUCAGUAUAACUUCAAUGGUUUGUUCCUGAAACUGAGCCACUUCUAUAGCAUGCAUCAAAGUUUGUGGUUUCAUUAACCUGACCAUUGGUUUCAACUCAAUCUUAAGGCCAGAAAUAAAGCUAGAAACAAAAUACCCUUCACCCAAAUUUGGGUUCCUGUACAGAAUCAAAGCCUUCAAUUCCUCAAACUUCUCCACAUAUUCCAUCAAAUUACCAGUCUGACUUAACUUGUUAAAUUCCUCUUGAAAAUCUAUUCCCCCAGUCUUCCCAAAUCUAUUCAUAAUAGCAUCACAAAAGUCUCCCCAAGAACCCCCAUCAUGCAUCAGUUUAUAACUUUGAUACCAUACAUCUGCUUUACCAUCUAAAUGCAUUUCAACAAUAUCAAGCUUAGAAGAUUCACCAACCUGAUUCAUCACGAAGUACUUAUUGCACUUCCGUAUCCAAGAUCUUGGAUCUUCUCCCAUGAAAUUAGGAAUUUCCGCUCGGUAUUGAUGUCCACUUUGAUUCUUGACUGCUUUAGUCUUAUUGCCAUUGCCCUCUUCUUCGUUGUUUUUCCCAGUGCUUGCCAAUGGAGAACGCAAGAUGGGAGAUCUCUCCACCCAAAUCUCCCCAUCUCUGCCCACUUUCUUUUCCCAAUUGUUUUUUUGUAAUACUCCUGAUACUUUCUGUGAGAUCUUUUCCUCCAUUGAUGCAUUAUAAGCUUCGAUUUUCGCAUCACACCCAGAUACCAUCGCCAUCAAUUUAUCCAUUUUAUCUAUGAUUUUGUUUUCCAACGCAGCAUUGCUCUCAUUGAUCUUCUUGAAACAUGAAUUACUGACUUCUUGAAUUCGCAGAUCCAAAUCUCUCCAUUGAUCUUCAGCUGAUCUAGAUCGUGUACUACUUGCCAUAAUGCUUCUUUAAACAAUUCCAAUUGCCAAGAAUCGUUAGCUCUGAUACCAAAUGUCAAGAUGUGACCUAAAGAGAUGUAUAUUAAUAGAACUGUAGAGAAUACAGAGUCACAAGAAUAGGAGGAAGGAAUACAGAAUAGAACUAUUCGUUCUAGAACACUACUGAUACUCUUUUCUAUAGCUAUAGAACUACAUAUAUACAAGCUUGCUCCCGCCUUUCCUAACGAUCUCAACUAACUCCAACUUCUCGUAAUAUAAAUGCUGGAUCAUGACACUUAUCGGCUUAAAAAUUAUAAAAGCCCACUUUGCUUAAAAGCAGUCCGUUUGGCAAUUUUGCGGAAGCUUUGACAUAUCAAAAUACACAACUGUAUUUACAGUUUUACACUUAUCUUUCAGGCUAUUUAUAUCACUAAUUUGACAUUUAAGUCUUAAGCAUUUUUUAGUUUCAAAAAAAAAAAAAAGUCUUAAGCAUUUUUAGUGAUACUUAUUUUAUUUAAGAGGUAUAACUAUUUAUUUUGGAGAAAAAUUUCACUUAGAUAAUAUUGUUUAGAAUUGUUUAUUUAAUGAUAGUUUAAUAUUUUUUAUCUGGAAAAUAAAACUUGUUUUCAGAAAAACAUACUCUAUAUAUUUAUGUAUUUUUUUAGAAAUGAAAAUUUAUUCAUGAAAAAUAAGAUAAAUCAAACAAAUCCAAAAUUUAUUUUCCUUUUUCCGACAAAACUGUUUAUAAAAAGCUAAAAUGUCAAUGCACCAAUAAUUUAUUAAAAACAAUCGAAAUUAAUUUAAUACAUAGUAGGGAUGCAAUCGGUCGGUAUGAUUCGGUUUUGACAAAAACCGAACCUGAACCGAAUAGUAUUUUUCAAAAUCGAACCCGAACCGAAUCGAAAUCUGAAGUUCAAAAACCAAACCUGAAGCACCAGGUUUCAGUACGGUUCGGUUCGAACCGAAACCCGAAAUUAUAUAAAAAAUCUAAAAAGUNGAUUCUANAUUUAAGAGGUAUAACUAUUUAUUUUGGAGAAAAAUUUCACUUAGAUAAUAUUGUUUAGAAUUGUUUAUUUAAUGAUAGUUUAAUAUUUUUUAUCUGGAAAAUAAAACUUGUUUUCAGAAAAACAUACUCUAUAUAUUUAUGUAUUUUUUUAGAAAUGAAAAUUUAUUCAUGAAAAAUAAGAUAAAUCAAACAAAUCCAAAAUUUAUUUUCCUUUUUCCGACAAAACUGUUUAUAAAAAGCUAAAAUGUCAAUGCACCAAUAAUUUAUUAAAAACAAUCGAAAUUAAUUUAAUACAUAGUAGGGAUGCAAUCGGUCGGUAUGAUUCGGUUUUGACAAAAACCGAACCUGAACCGAAUAGUAUUUUUCAAAAUCGAACCCGAACCGAAUCGAAAUCUGAAGUUCAAAAACCAAACCUGAAGCACCAGGUUUCAGUACGGUUCGGUUCGAACCGAAACCCGAAAUUAUAUAAAAAAUCUAAAAAGUAUAUCUAAAAUAUAGAUUUAUAAACAAGUCUCUUAUUCAAAAAUUAACAUAUCCUUAAAUUAUUACAAGCAUAUUAAGAUAUGCAUGAUUAAAUCAGAAAUUACAAUAAUUUAUAAUUAAAAAAGAAGCUUCAUUAUUUUUUGAAGUGUUAGUUAAGUGUUACUCCCUCUGUCCCAUUUAAUUGUAUACGUUUCUUUUCAACUGCUCGACACGCAUUUCAAUGCUCUUAUAAAAUAUAGUUCCAUAUCUUAUUUUUGAGAUUUUCUUUUCCUUAAAAAAAAUAUAACAUCCAAACUUUAAUUCAGAAAAAGAAAAUUUUAAAAAUAAAUUACACAACUACACUUUACAGGAGCAUUAAAGUCCGUGCCGCGUCCCCGUCCCCCAAUGUAUACAACUCAGGGGGACGGAGGGAGUAUUAGUUUAGCAUAUUAAAAAUAAAUGUAGGAUAAUUGUUAUACACAUGAAAAUAAAAUAUCAUGUUUUAAUAUAAAAUUGUAUGGAAUUUUUGUUAUUUAUUUAGUUAAACAAAAUUUCUGAUAAUAUUUUUCCUUUUUAUAAAUAUUAUUUAAUACUAGAUUAUGUCAUAUUUUAUAAUAGAAAGAAAAGUAUUUAGUAUAUGUAAAUAAAUUUAUAUCAUAUUUAAUAUUUGAAUACGUAAUGAAAAUUUAUUAAAAAAAGAUAGCAAUAUAAUUAUUCUUUUUUACAUGUAUAUUAUAUAAUGGUAUACGAUAAAUUUAUAAUAUCGAGUUCGGUUGGGUUUUGGCUUGGUUCGAAUUCGAAUCGGGUUUCGAAUAUUCGGGUCGGUAUUGGUUCGGUUGACCUAAAAACCAAACCAAUACCAAAUUCAAUCGGUUUUUAAAAAUAAAAACCAAACCCGUAACCAAACCAUUCGGAUCGGUUCGAUCGGAUAUUCGUCGGUUCCCAUCUCUGAUACAUAGAAUUUUAUUUCAAUUAAACAUGCAACUAUAUAGGUAACUCAGUGGCAGACACUCCAUCAGGCCACUUGGUUAAGACGAUCAUUCCCUGCUGUAAACAUAGUUAUCAAUGAGCAGUGAUGUAUGUAAACCACAAGAAUCAAACAAUUCAAUGAAUCUGGAAAUUUUAUAGAAAUGAUUGAAAUCAAUACUCCCUCCGUCACUAAAUACUUUUCCUGCUGUUUGUACUUUUCACGUUUGCCAACACACACUUUUGAUCGUUAAUAUCUUUCAUUUCGUAGUAGCAUUAAAUAUAAAAACUUCACCGUAUUAAAGUACUCGUGAAUACGAAUCUAACAAGAUCACUCAUGACUAUAUUUAGUUUUAUAGAUUAUAUGUAAAUUAGUAAUUUGUCUCAUGUUAUGAAAAAAGAUACGGAGGGAGUAGUACUGUAUCAGACUGUGCAUGAAUUCACCCGACAACUUUGGAAAUUAAGAAUAAUAACACAAAUAUUCAAGAACCAACUUGUAGAAACAAGUUCUACACAAGAAAAUUAUUCUUUUAUUUGAAAGAUGAAACUGUUUCCGGACCCAAAUGAUUCCUAACUUGCAACCAUUGAAUCUUUACAUACGGAUGAUGCAGCGGAGUCCUUCGCCUUUCAGCAUCAAAUCGAAGGCCUUGUUGAUUUCAGCGAAUGGGACUUCAUGAGUGAUGAACUUCUCCAAUUCAAGUUCCUGAAAUAACACAACAUUGAUACAAAAAGUCAGGCAUGAUCACAAUGCAGACACAUAAUUCGUGUAUAAAUGUGUGGAGCUUUACCUUGUUCAUGUAUUUUUCGACAACAGAUGGAAGGUCCGAACGAGGUUUGUAAUUCCCAAAGAAACUGCCCUUGAGAGUCCUUUCACUUAACAAAUUCAUAGGACUGGUCUUAAAGACAGCAUCCUUGUGUGGAACUCCCACAAGAACAGCAACACCCCAGCCCUGAGAUGGUAAUUUGUUCAACUUAAGAUUAAUAAGCCUGUCACAUAUUUAGAAUUGAUCAUAGAUUCUUUAGAGAACUUACAUCAUGUACACAUUCGAAUGCUGAGAUCAUGGCAUCUACAUGACCCGUACACUCGAUACUGCGGUCCACUCCUCCAUUGGUCAUUUCAACUAUGACCUACACAAUCACACAGAUUAGAGAAAUUUAAAUUAAACAAACAAGGAGAAUUUAAGUGGAGGGGAUUUGGAGGUAAAAUUUUAUAUAGCAAACCUCUUGAACUGGUUUGUUGUGGUCUUUUGGGUUCACAAACUCUGUCACACCAAACUUCUUUGCUGUACAUUAAAAUUAAGUUACCAAAUUAGUCACUUCUUCACCACUUAAAUUCAUGUUUCAGAGAUAAUUUCAUGACAGUCUGUAGUUUCUAGCUUACCAGACUCAAAUCUGUUUGGAUUCAGAUCGACACCAAUAAUUCUAGAAGCCCCAGCAAUUCUAGCUCCUUCUGCAGCCUGAUUAAAGAAAGGGAAAUGGAAAUGAAUUACUAAACACAACAAACAAAGGGAAACUACAGGAUGAAUGAUCGAGAACUUACUGCAAGGCCUACAGCUCCCAGUCCAAAGACAGCCACUGUCGAACCCUUCUUAGGUUUCGCAACAUUCAGAGUCGAACCCAAUCCUGUAAAUAAAAAUAUUAAACAUUAGUAAAUUGUAAUUUCCAUAACAUAGAAAAUAAAAUAUACCAUAGAAGUAAAUCAUUUUGCAUCCAUACCAGUAGAAAUUCCACAGCUAAGGACACAAACUUUGUCGAGAGGAGCAAGGGGGUUGAUCUUGGCAACACAUCCAACAUGUACGACAGUGUAUUCACUAAAAGUCGAUGUUCCAACAAAAUGUAGGAUGGGCUGGCCAUUGAUUGAAAAUCGCGACUUUCCAUCAUUGAGCAUAACUCCUCUGUCAGUGUUGAUCCUGAGGAGAUCACACAUAUUGCUUUCCUCUGACUUGCAAUGUGCACAUUCCUUGCAUUCUCCGGUGAAGACAGGGAGGACAUGAUCACCUGGUGCCAGAUCUGUCACUCCCUCUCCAACACUCUCCACAAUCCUACACAACCAAGAAUCACAUGAAUAAACACUAAACACUAAACAGAGACAAUCAAUACAACAGCAAAAAAUAUAGUAAUUUUUUUUAGCAUUGUUAACAUACCCUCCUGCUUCAUGACCAAGAAUUCGAGGAAAAACAGGGGUCUGUCCCUGAAAUAUUCACAUAGAAAAACAAGAUUUAAUUUCAAAUACACUCACAUCUACUCCCUCCGUCCCAUUUUAACUGCUUUUGAAUUUUUUACACGUAUUUUAAGGUGUUAAAAAAAUCACAUCUAAACAUAAUUAUUUUUAAUAAAACUUAUAUCAAAUAAAAAUUUAGAUUCUAAACUUUUAUUUGAUAUAAGAAUUGAAUUUUUUUAUUGAGCGUAGAUAUUACUUUUUAUCACCUCAAUAUACGUGUUAAAAAGUCAAACAUCAGUUAAAAUGGGACAGAGGGAGUACAUUGGUUAGAUAAACAGUAAUUGAGCCAUUUAUAAGUACAAAUAAAUAACAAUUUACUAGCACUUUUGACCGGCUUGUGGUGAGUUAUUGGUUCUGAUAUGCAUCUAGUUGUGAAUUUGAGAUGUUAUAAAUGAUAUCAGAGUUAUAACUGGUUUGCUAGGAGUGCAAAUGAACUACCCGGAUUUCGUAAAUUUGAUUAUGAGGUCGAUGAGGACUUUGCGCAUAUAAAAGAAUGUGUUUGUAACAUCUCAUAUCUUUUAGAUAAUGAAUAUAUGAGUCCUUUACAAGUAUACCAAUUUGCUAGCACUUUUAAAUCAUUCUUGGUGAUGAGUUGUUGAGUCCGAUAUACACAUAGUUACAACUGUGAGUUGGAUGUUACAUAAUGGAUCUACUACUUUAAUCUCAGUAUCUUAGAAAAGUGAUCGAAAUUGUUUAAUAUAGCAUUUAAAUAUCUAUAAAGAUUAUUAUCUUGUGAUCAUUUUUUUACAGAUAUAUCUAAGCGUACCUUAGCUUCCCAGAAGUAGAUAUCAGUGUGGCAGAGAGAAGUGAAGAGGAUCUUGAUACGAACUUCAUCUUUCUGAGGAGGAGCCACCUCAACCUCCUCCAUCACAAGUGGCUUUCCUGCUUCCCAUGCUACAGCAGCUGCACAUAUAUUAUAACAUCAGACAACAAGUAAGAAAAUAUCGAUCAGGCUCGCGCUCAAUCGAGAACAGUUUUUAGUAAAUUCACGUAUUAGUAUUACCUUUGCAGCGAAUGACCUGACCAGCUGUAGUGCUUGACAUGUUUCUUAGUGUUCUGAAGGAUGAAAAUUAAAGAUGAUUCAAAUUUGUGUGUAACGAGACUGUAUGAUAUGAUAAUGUGAGAUGAUACUAGACAUUUGUGGUAAUGGUAUAUAUUUAUACUCGAGAAAAGAAUCAGAUUUUUUAAGGUGGGCUGGUUUUGAUUGGAGAUUGUAUUAUAAUAUUCCUAAAUUAAAAUAAUUAUAAAUUGCUUUGUGAAUAAAGAAGAUUGAAAAUGGAAACUGCUGGUUUUUAGCAAAAACCAGAACCCACUGUCUUGUCGCUUGUUUUCUUUUCCUCUUUGGUUUUCUUUUUACUAGCCGCCUUCCUCAGUCGGUACCGUUAAUUUAGGAUUUUAUUACUGCUUUGUUCAUUUUUGGUAACUUAUUACUCCUUAGUAUUUUAUAAUUAGUAUAAAUUUAUCUUAAUAAUAAGUAAUUAAAAUUAAAAAUUAAAUAUAAUUAAGUGUUGAAUUUUUGUGAUGUUGUAAAUAUAAAACAAGGUGAUAUUUUUGUGAUCUUACAAUGCAAUACAGUCGGGGAUGGCAAUUUCGGGUAAUGCGUCUUGUUCGUGUCAGCAAUCAGGUCGAUUUCGGGUCGACUUUGAGUCAAGCUAAAAUCAUUUAAAAUUAAAUAAAACUGAAAAUUGAAGUUAUUAGAAACGAAAUUCUAAUUUGGGAUCAUUUCGGGUCUAUUUCGUGUUAAUCGGGUGAUUUUCGGAUCAUUUUUGGGUUUUGUCUCAGUAAAUCGGGUUGUGGAUUCGGGUCGGGUUCGAGUCUGGUUCGGGUCGUGUCUAAUAUUGUCACCCCUAAAUACAAUACUUAAGUUGACAAUAUUUUUUAGUGGAGAAAGCAAAAUUGAUGAAAGUUCCGGAACAUGCUUUACAACUUGAACAAAUAUUCAAAUUGACUAACGUAGAAUAUUAGAGGACCAUGUAUUAGCAGCUGGCAGUUAUGUAGAAUAAUCGAUAUUGUCCACUCCCUAAUCAGUAAUUAUCAGCUUAAACCAUGCCCUUGUUUUUUGUUUUGUUGGUUUUGAUAAUUGUAUAGUGCCUAUUGUAUUGCAAAACUGCUGAUAAAACCACUAAUGACCGGUGGUUUGUGUACUUGCCUAUUUUUUCACCUAUUCUAUACUUUUGAUAUAUAAAAAAAAUAAAAAUAAACCAAUUGGAUUUAUUGUUAUGGUUAUCCACUGUCCAUGUGGUACCUUUACAGUUUACACCAAACCAACUCAUUAUUAUAAACUAAACAGGUCUACCCGAUAAGAAUCGAAAUCCAAACUGAAUUAUAUACUCCCUUCGUUUCAAAAUAUAUGUUAAUUUAAAAUAAAAAAAAUUUGUUUCAAAAUAAUUGUUCACUUCAAAUUUCAAUGUAAAUAGUAUUUCCAAAAUCAACUCUUGUUCACAUAUUUCAAAUUUAUAUUUCCAAGAUUAACCAUAUACCACAUAUUAGGUUCAAUUAAUAAUUUAUAAGAUCUCUUUUUUCUCAAAAUCUACUUUUCCUAAAUUAUGUGAUUUUUUGAUGGUGGACAUAUAAUUUGAAACUAAAGGAAUAUUUAAUUAUGUUGGUAAAAUCAAGAAAGUCAAAAUCUGGAAUUGAAUCAGACAAAGUUCAGGAAUAUUUUUAAUACAUUCUCAAUCCAACAAACUUUUUAUGAAGGUAUAAUUUUCAAUAAGAAAGGUAUAAUUUUUACUUAUGAAUUGAUUGGAGUCUCGAACCCACAUAGCGAUAUCAUGUGACGAAAGUCUCAAACCUUGAAAUAUUAGAAGAAGGACAUAUCAUAUUUUAUUCUAAUAGUAUCUAUUUAGUCUGCACCAGACAUCCCAAUGUAAUGCUGGUUAUGCAAUCACAAUUCCAGGGCAGCCCCAAAUGGCAGCGACCAUGCAUUGACUAAGAUUUUGCUCUCUGCCGAGAUGUCAUAACCUCCGAGCUUUGCAUCAUCAAGGUACAUGUGAGGGACUAAGAGAGGAACACAAAAAUAUUAUGCUAAAAGAUGGGUAGAAUUCACAGAAAUUUCCUGUUGAUUUAAGAUAAAUGUAUAUCCGAUUUAUAAAAUAAUCAAAGAUUUUCUUUUCAGCAGGAACAAAUGAACAGAGAUGGGAUAAAAUAGAACAACACAUGCCUUCAAAUGCACAAGUCAGACUCUGAGAACAAGAGUCGGCUGCUUCUAUUAGCCUAUCUCAAUCCAAAAAUUAGUUUCACAUCACGGCCAAGCACAUGUGAAACACUUCACAAAGAACUAGUGGCACGAACCACAGUUUUAGAGAAGCCGACGCUACAGCCUAAGUUGCUCCCUUAGUUCCUCCCAUGCCCAGGACCCUCAAACUUGUUAUCUACUAUCUAGUAUUUGCAUCCUAUCUUAACUUCAAAACAUAGCAUUAGAAUCAUCACAAUAAUUGAAAAUACACAGAGAACACUUCUCUACUAAAUCCAAAGUUGCAGUAUACUUCGGCCUUUAUUUUUCAAAUUCAUAGAACUGCAGAAACAACAGUUUCUAAUAACUCCACAAUUUGACAAUCAAAAGUAAAGAUAAGAAGAGACACCAAUUAUCAAAUUGAUCUUGGCUUGGCAACCACAGUUGAAUGCUUCAGAAUUUGCAAAAGGAACUGUCCUCUUUUCUCUGCUGUAUCGAUCUUAGACUGUCCAGGAGGAGGCAAAAGCUCAAAAUUCUGCACCAGACGUCCCAAGGUAAUACCCAUAAUGGGUAAUGCAGUCAUAAUUCCAGGGCAGCUUCGCCUCCCAGCCCCGAAUGGUAGGAAUCUGAAAUCAUUUCCAUUUGUCUCAACAUUUGAUUCUUCUUCCAUGAACCUCUCCGGCCUAAACUCUUCAGGGUUCUUCCAGUGAGCUGGAUUGUUGGCAAGCCACCAUGCAUUCACCACAACUUUGCUCUUUGCCGGGAUGUCAUAACCCCCUAGCUUUGCAUCAUGAAGGUUCAUGUGAGGGACUAGAAGCGGAACGCCCAUUCUGAGGCGAAGAGUCUCCUUGAUCACAGCUUCAAGGUAGGGGAGCUUGUGGGUGUCGGGCUCAGUAACUUGAACUCCAACCCCAAGCACACUGUCUAUCUCAUGCCUCAGCUUCUUCUGAACUUCAGGGUGAUUUAUCAGUUCCGCAAUUGCCCAUUCAAUUGACCGUAGUGUUGUGUCAAUUGCUGUAAUAAUAUGAAAUUAGUAGAUACUACUUUCAAUCAGAUACCACGAUGAACAACUUGAAAUAAAUAUGUAGAGAUCAAAGAAAAUAAAUAUGGGAAGAAGCAAUCACACCAGCGAUGUCGAGGCCAUCAACAAUAUGAAAUAUAGUCUCCUCGGUGAUAUCUCCUUGUUGUUGAGCUUCUAAAAGGUGAUCCAGGGCGCACGUUAAGCUGUCGUUAUCUACUCUCCUUGUGUUUACAAGCAUCCUGUUACAAUUUCAUGAAGACACACUCGGGCUGCAUAUUAGAAUCGCUAAUCUAUUGUUGGCCACAAAACCGAAAUAGAUGAAGCUGGACUUGCUAAAAUUAGUUUUUAUAUAAAUAAAACAGCUUUUACAUUAAUGAUAGUUGUAAUAGCAGUGGCCAUUGGUUGAAGAUUAGUUGUCAGAGAAAUUCGAUCGGGUUUUACUAAAUUUAUAGCGACUCAUAUUUCAUAAUACAUCUGAUAAUUUGAAAUGACAACUCGAUUCAUAUCACUUGAAACGAUCAUUUGAUACUCAUAUUAUGUACUUAAGAUCAAGUUCAAUGUGGACUGAAUGAGACAUCCUUCUUUUGCAGGUAAUUUCAUAACAGAACCACAGAAAGACAGGCAUAAUAGUAAGCUGAUCGACUAAAGCAGAGAAUGAGUUGUGACUGAUACUUACUUCCGCGGAUCAACAAAAUUAUCCUUAAAAAGCUGAAACCUUUCAUCCUUAACUUGCUUGCAGAGUCUGAGAUAGCCCUUCAAGAAAGGGCGGAGAACAGGGAUAAAAUCUCCGUAAUUGUAAUCAAGGCUCUGAGUAAGCCUAAUACGCUCCCAACUCGAGGCCUUGAGCUUCAAUAACAAGGGAUCAUCUUCGCUCUCAAACCUCCUGCCGAACAUAAUCUUAUAAGCAUUGUUGUACAUCAUCAACUGCAGUCGCUUCCUUAACACGAUCCCAUUGGUGGAAGAUUCUGGAUUGGCCUUAACAUCUGCAACAACACGAGCCGCCUCAUCCUCCCAACCAAACCGGUAUCUUUGCACAACUUUGUUAGUAAAGAGAGGGACAGUCAAUAUGCGACGCAUUUUUCGCCAAUGCUCACCGUAGUUGGUGAACACCAAGUCCUGUCCAUUGCCUGUUACAAGUUGACAAACCAGUGUUAGUGAAGAUAGAAAUCUUAAAUGAGAAAAUUGGCAAAAAUAUCCUUAUUUGUAAAAAAGAUUUAUAAAAAUACGGUCAAAGUUGUAUAUGAGAUUGCAAUAUGUUAUAAAAAGUUGCAAUUGAAAUUGCAACACCGAAAAUAAUUGUUUUUCAGGUUGCAACAAUUACAAAACAAGAAAAGGGUCCUAGAUGUCACGAAACUCAUGUGUAAUGUCUAAAGUAACAGAACUUGGAGAAAUGGCCCCAAAUAUCAUUUAUUAACGCCGGAUUAUCCGACAUUUUGAUUUUGAAAGAAAACGCUGGAUUGUGUUGCGUUUGGUCCGAAAAAUUCUACAAAACACAACACGAUCAAACAUUUUAGGAGCAAGACACUACAUGAAAUAACGUUUAGGGUUUCAAAAUGCUAGAUCUUGUGGUAUUAGUAAGAAAACGAGGAUAAACGACGGACAAUCUCGCGUUUUGGAUCGUGAAAUGGUAGCUCGGGACCAUCUUUUCCGACACUAUUAUUUGGGGCUAUUUUCUUGAAAAUUGUGAUAAUUAGGGCCAGCCCCCAAUUGAAAUUGAGGUUACAACGUUGAAGACUUGAAGUAAUCAUGCAAAUCCCUUGCCUGUGAAGAUAUCGUAAACCAUAUUACUACAGCGAGAACCAAACUCAACACCCUGUGUGUGGAGUACUUGUUUAGCCAGUUCAGGUGAGGAAACAACCACCAAAUUCCGCACGCCCAUACGGAGCAGAAAGAGAUGGCCAAACCUCUUGGCGAAGUCCACAAGGUUGCCGUGGUUAAGAUCAUUGCCAACUUGUAGCCAGUUACCGAAUAUAGGUACCGGCGUGGGGCCUGGUGGGAGUUUGAAUUGCUUGCGCCGUAGCUUGGAGAUGAAGAUGGCUAUCAUGAUUCCGAGGAAGAUGCCCAGCAUGGCCUUCUCUAGUUCAAGGAGAGCAUCCAUCAUUUUACUUGUUUCUUUAUUUUUUGUUCAGUAGAAAUUUAAGAUGCUUGUAUAAGUACAAACUGUAUCACCUAAUUUUGUCUUUUGUGCGAAUAGAAUGACAGUGACAACUGUACACUGCUUUUCUUAGAUCAUGUUGAAGAAUUUUUUUGUAAACCGUUAUGAAACUUUGUGUUAAAAUUGUGCAUUUGAUAAGUACUCCCUCAUUCCCAUUUUAAUUGUCCACUUUGCACAAAUCACACAAAUUAAGAAGUAUUAAAUGUGAUAUGUUGUUAUCAUUGUCAUGCAUUGGUUAUACAAAUAUUCUACUAAGUUUUCAUUCAUUUUGGUUAAAAGUCAACAUUGUUUGCAUUGUAAACAAUGAAAAUUGUGUGAACUAGUAUAUGUUAACAUUGAAACUUGCUGUAAUUUGUAUUGAACAACGAAAAUGGACAAAUAAUAUGGGAAAUUUUUUCUUGACAAAGUGGACUAUUAAUAUGGGAAGGAGGGAGUAAUAUAUUUGUAUAAAAAAAUAAAUUUAUAUUUAAAAUAGAAUUUGAAUGUUAUUUUAAAUUUAGAAAAUUCAAAUAACAACAUAAAACUGGAAAUUUGAAAUAAUGUGUCACUUAAAAUUCAAAAUUUGAAAUAAAAUAUAUUUUUAAAACAUAAUUAUAUAAUUAGAUACAUUCACACGGAAUAAAAUUUCUUUAGUUCAUAACAAGAAUAUCAUGUUUCGUAGCUGACAGUCAAAAAUAUCAUUUGAACACACAUUUUUAAAAUAAGUAUUUCAAGAUACGCAUUUUUAUAUGUGUGUGACAUGUAAAUUACAUUCGUUUCAAUGUUUUUUAUUUUUUUUUUAAAAAUUAAAUAAGCAUCAUCAGAAUGGAUAUUCUACUCCCACAGUCCCACUGUACCCAUAUCCUUCUUAGGGUUUUGUUUUUCAAUCCAAAAAUCUAUAAUAUCAGCACCGCGAUCAUCAUCAUCAUAUGUAAGUUACUCUGUCAAGAAAUUGGAGACACCAAAUAUGAAUAAAUUGAAUUAUUUUAUAAUCAUAUUUUUAUUAUUAUUUUGAAAAAUAAUAUUCCCUCCAUUUCAUUUUUCUUAUCAUUAAUCAAAAUUCACAUAUUAUUUAAUCAUAAUUAUAAAUUAUAUAUUAACCGGAAAUUCGUAAUGGUUUUCAUAAAAUAUAAAAUAUUCAACAUUUAACUUUUCACAUUAAUUUAAUAUGGACAACAACGAAAUAAGGAAUAGACAUUAAUUCUCAGUCAUUGAUAUAUUUUAACAUAUAAAAUAGAAAAGGCCUAAAAAUUAUUUGAAAUAUAUAAUUUACGAAUUUUAAUUCUGACUUUAAUACAGUAAAGUUUUUGUCAUAGUUUCAACUUCCAACUGAACCCUGCUAUGUCCAGUACGCUGAUUCUCCCUAAAUACCUUAAUACUGUGAGCUUUUCUACCGGUCAAAUUGACAAAGACUGAAAUUUAUUAAUAUUUUAUAAAUUAAAAACAUAAAAUAUAUAUGACACCGGAAAUAACUUCUAAUCUACUUCAAAAUUUUUAAAUAAAUGAAAAAGAAAAUUAUAAUAUCUUUCGUCAAAACUUAAUCAAGUUGACCAACAAAAAUAAAAAUGUGACAACUAAAAAAGGACGGAGAGAGUACGUGUGAAAUGAGCAAAAGGCUCAUCUAAAUUGGGAUGGAGAUAAUAUUUCAUCUAAUUAGGGAUGACAACGGGUCGGUUUCUUGAGAUCCAGACCCGAUCCAUUAUAUUUCGGUUCGGAUCGGGUCUGGGUCCGGAAAAUGAAGAUCCAGAUCUAAUCUGUCGGGUCUUUUCGGGUUCGGGUCUAAUUCGAAUAUUUUUAAAAAAUAAAAUUAAAGAUUAUAUAUCUAUAAAAAAACGUGAUUAUUGAUUUUUUUUUUAAUUUAGGAAUAUAAAAAAGAGAGUUACGGGUUUCAUUUAGUACAAUGAACACAUGAAACAUGUUAACUUAAUUGUAUACAAUCAUUCAACUUAUAAUUUAUAUUUUAUUAUUUUUAUUAUAUUUAGAUUUUUUUAACGUACAAUAAUUGAGACAAAUAUAAUAUUGAUGAAAUGAAUAUAAAUUAUGUAUUGCGCAUUUAAAAUUAAGUAAAAUGUUAAUAUUUGUACCUAAUAAUUCAUAAUAUAUAUAUAUAUAUAUAUAUAUAUAUAUAUAUAUUAUUUUGUAUCGGGUUUAAAUCGAGUUUCGGGUUUAAAUCGAGUUUCGGGUUUCGGGUCGGGAUACCUCAGAUCGUCCAGACCCAAACUUUUUCGGUCUGAAAAUAAGAUCCAAAUCCGGAUUCAAAUCCAAAAAGUCGGAUCCGAGCGGAACGAGUCGGGUAUGCAUCGGGUUGGAUAAAACUGUCAUUCCUAAGUCUAAUUCCGUCUUUUCUGCUGCAUUUCAUAGAAUAUGACAAGGGCGAUAGUUGUACACCACUUUUGAUACAUGUACAGACAUAGUUAGGUGAGUUAGUAUUGAUUAGUUACAAACAAAUGAGGCGUUACAUUCAAGAUACAUUUUAUUUUGCUAGAAGACCAUUGCAUUUUUUACAAAAAUUUAAGGCUUGUUGGUAAUAUAACAAAAAAAAAAAAGAGGAGUGCUCUAGCAAAUCUUCCUGUUACAAUCCAGAAUAAAUGGCUACAGGAGUGAUGGAGGUGACACUUGUGAAAGCCCGAGGCCUUAAAAACACCGACUUCAUCUUGGGUAUGUUUUUAAUCUCUUUCUAUCCACUUUUUUUUGAUAGUGAAGUAAAAUGGGAAAUCUUACUCGUCUUGAAGUUCUACGCAAAUUUGUCUAAAUUAAUUUAAAAAUGAAAUAUUAUUUUAGUUUCUUUAUUUUAUAUAUUAUUUUAUUAUUUUGAUACUGCAUUCGAAUGGAUUUACUUAUUUUGAUACAAGUUAAUUUGCACUAUUAACUACUUGUAUCUCCCAUCUUCCGAUUACAAAAGGUGGUAAGAUCGACCCGUAUGUUGUGAUUCGAUACAAAGAUGAGGAGCAGAGGAGCACUGUGGCCAAAGGUACAAACAUUUAUUAUAGUCCUCCUGCUAGCUUUAUUAUUUUUAUAUUUAGAAGCGGCUUGGUUUUUCGAUUUUGAACUUCUUUUAUUACAUUGCUGAGUGAUCAAGCCUCUGUUUAUUUGUUAGAAAUUUAGUGUUCAUUUAUCUUGCAAAAAUUAUUUUCAGAAAUAUAAUAAACACCAAAAAAUAGGAUUUCCUUAAAAAUAUUUUCUGUGUUAGUUUGAUCUCUUAAGAUGGAUUUUUUUAGAGGUGGAAAUUUCUUUUAAUUUUUUUUAUGAAUUUCAAAAAUUUGACUUCCCGUAGCAAAAAGGAAAAACGUGAAAUUGAGAAUUUUCUAUCAAAUUACUUUUUAUAAAUUUUAAAAUCGUCAUAUAGUGAAAAUAUUUUUCAAAAAUGAUUUCGAAAUGGAUAUUUCCUUUCCAAAGAAUUAUUUUUUAUUGAAGAAAUAUUUUUUCAAAAGUAUUUUUCAAAUUCUAGCACACAGGCGUGCAAAGUAGCUUGCAAUAAAAUAUUAAAAUUAUUGUUUGGUAUGUAACAUGGCUAUAUGUUUGAAGCAGGGAAGGGAAGUGAACCAGUUUGGAACGAAAAAUUUGCAUUCAGCGUGGACUAUCCCGGUUCAGAUGAUGAGCACAAGCUCCUUCUCCAUAUCAUGGACAAGGACACUUUCUCUGCUGAUGAUUUCCUCGGCCGCUCCACGUAAAUUUUCUUACCCUAAUUAUUAUCUUAAAAUAAUAGACAGCUUAUCCUAAACAUAUGAAUGAUAUUUGCAUACAUGAGAAAAAAAUGCUCAAGUUGAAUUUAGCAUUAAGAGUCUGUUUGUGAGUGAUGUUUAAAUUUGUUGUACUGUCAAAAAAAAUAUUAGUUGAAAAGUCGAAAAAACUGCUUUUAAAUUUACCAAACAAUUUUUCACAUGUUUUUUAGCAAAAACUGUUGUUACCGUCUGGAACAGCAACCCCACACAACACCUAAGUUGUCGAGGACUCUUUUUCCGCUGAACCUUCUAAUGUACUAAUAAUGAAUUAUGCGGAACAUCCGAACAUGUAAUAAUAAGUCUGAAAAGCUUUCUUGAAUUUGUAGAAUUUACUUGAACGACAUCUUUGAGUUGGGAGUGGAAAAUGGGACUGCUGUAGUGGAGCCUACUAUCUACAGUGUCGUGGAUAGCAACCAAAGGUACAGUGGGGAGAUUCAAGUUGGCAUCACCUUCACACCAAAGGUAAUUUUAUACGAGUAUUUAUUUAGAAAAACAUAUAUCAUCACAAUGAAAAUUAAUCUUGUAAUGUUUGCGUGAUGAUUUUUUACAUUUUAAUAGAACUCCUCAAAAAAAGUCUCAAAGUUUGAGAUCUUCGCAUUUCCUCAGGGAUAUAUAUAGUGUUUAUACGUUUACCAUAAUUCCAACCAUCAGGCUUGUUUGAUAAUUGGUGGUUAGGAGUUAACAAAUUGAAUAAUUGUUUUAACUAGUGAUUGUAGUAAUUGUUUUGAAUUUCAGAUUAAAUUUAGUCAUUUUAGCUGAAAUUAUUUGAUAAACAGUUGUUCGAUUAGUUUUUUAUUUUAACUAGACACAUAUCAGUCCUCCAAUAUGAUGGCUCUAAUCAUUAAUUUUUUCUCAAAUAUCAAACUUUGGCCAUAACAAGGAUGUUUGAUUUAAAUGGUAAAUAGGAAAUUGCGGAGUAUGCCUAAAAUGUAGUGUAGAGAACAUUUCAUCUAAAAUAUUAAGGUGUUAGAGGAAGCCCAUUUGGGAUCUUGUACUUAUAUUUCUAACACUUAGUGUGUGUAUAUAAUUUUUAUUUGGCCUAUUAUCACCUCCUUAUUCAUCAUAUAUUGUUUAAAUUUAAUAGGUUCAGGCGGAAGAAGUUGAAGACUUUGGAGGAUGGAAGGAGAGUAACCCUGAUUAUUUUCCCUGAUUGCACAAAGCAAUGGUUCUUUGUUUGAUCCGUUGGUUUAAGGGGAAAGUUCGGUUAAACUUUAUUGUUCUCUUUAAUAUUUCAGACUUUUGUCGUUCAAGUGAAUUUCCUGAAAAUUAUGUAAACGUUCUUCCGUGAAAGAUUGCGUUUCGACUUUUGUACUUUUAAGUGAUUUUUCGUGAAAAUUAUGGUUUCCUUGUGCGAAAUAAUUAAUCAUUUUCAUGUUUUUUUUUUUGACGGAAUCAUUUCGAUGUAUGUGUUGUGUUUUGCUAUAUAAAAUCAUAUAUUUUCGACGUAUUUGGGCGAACAAGACAUGAAUGAGUAACAAAAUUGAGGAACGGAGAAUGAAGCAGCAUAGGAUAUCAUAUAUAGGUGGUGUUUGUUUGCAAGAAGUGCAAACUGCCUCUUCUGCUUUUUUUUAUCCAUUUGUGUAAAGACGUAGAAACCUUUUUAAGAAGCUGAGAAUGUCGGCUUCUAUCUCACAGCUUCUGCUUUUUUUCCAAAUAUUUUAUUAACUUAUUUACUUCUCACUUAUUUGUAAGUCAUUUUUUUAAGCUACCCCAAACGGUCUUAUAGUUAUUGAGAUUUAUGUUAAAAGAUCUUCUUCGAGUCAGUUUAAUCUCCUUUACAAUUAUUAAGGUUCUAAUAUAUAAAUUUUUUUAAAUAUCUGACAUGUUUUUCAAUUAGAGGUUAGUUGAUGAAUUUUCUUUCGAUUUUUUUUUUUUUUGAUCUGAUAUUAAAAAUCUGUACGAGUGAGUAAAAGAAAACCUUUAAUCCAAGUUAAAUUGUAAUUUUGAGAAUUUAGUCAAGGUUGCAAUUAUGCUUCCAAAAUUUAAAUUAUAAAUUAUAUACAGUAAAAACCUUUGAUGACAAUGUAAAACCAAAUCAAAUCAUUCAUGCUUGUUCAAACUUAGAACAAAUUAUUACUCCAUCUCAACUAUUUCUUUACUCUCCUUUUACCUUCUCCAUUUAAGAUAUUUUUUUCUAAUUUUUUAUAUUUUAAAACUUAUCAAAUAUAAUAAAAUUGUUAUAUAAAAAUCAAUUAUUCUCACUAUUUUUUCUACUAUACUUAUUAUAUAUAUAAAAUACUAAGCAUAUCUCACCACUAUCCUCACUUUUCCUACUUUUUAAUUCUUAUUUUAUUUAUCUGUUACGACAUUAAUUAUCUAGAUAGGGUAACUGAGAGCAUCUUCAAGGGUAAUGGUCCUGUUUGGAAGUUAGAUGUUUGGGCAAAAAUUAGAGGUUUGAGGUGAUUUAGAGAUUUGACCACUAAAAUCCGUUAAUUUUAGUGUUUGGUAGUUAACGGAUUGAAGCAGAGGUUUGGGUCCAAAAAGCUAAUUUUGAAAAACUAUUUUGAGGAGUUUUUUGGAUUAGAGUUUUUGGUUUGUGUCGGAAAAAGUUAAUCAAUCAGUUAUUUACCAAACAGUUUUACAAGAAACAGUUAAUUCAAUCCGCUAGUCAAAACAUGUAAUUCAAUCAGCUAGUCAAAACAUCUAAUUCAAUCCGCUAUCAGCUAACCGCUAUUUCCCAAACAGGGCCAAUAUUUAAAUUCGUUAGCUAUAGUGGAUAAUGGAUUAUACAAUUUUUUUGCUAAGAGUAAGGAUAUGCACUCCAAUGAUGUUAUGUAUAAUUAUUAUAAGCUAAAAUUAUACCUAAUAUUAGCUUUUUUGGUUGAAUGAUACUUAGUUAUCUAUAAUUUUUUUGGUAAAAAAUGAUAGUUGGAGUGCUACUUUUUUUACAUAUAAUCUAAAAGGGGGCCACCUAACACAUAGGAUGACACGGAGAUUUUUAGCUCACAGUUUUCAACCCACAGAGAUGCUCUGAGUCAACUGACAGGUGGAACUACUUAGAAUGUUAUUUAAUAACAUCUAAAAUCGUUUUAUCGAGUCUGCUGGCACGGAAGCCGACUUAGCUCAGUGGUAGAGCGCGUGACUUUUAAUCCCGUGGCCGUGGGUUCGAUCCCCACAGUCGGCGUCAUUAAGUAUUUUGCCCUUUUUUAUCCUCCUCCGUCUCAUUCCCUACAAAAUUAAAAAAUACAUCUACGAGACUUCUCACACACCAAACUAAUGAAAUUAGGAAAAUACAGGUGAAAUUGUGGAUUUCGUAAAAAGUAUCACUGGUUAAUCAAUUUGAUUGGAAACAACCAUUUUUUUUAGAGUUGUAAUUGAUAGGGUAUAACCCGGAUUGGCUUAAUCUGGACCCUGGAUUGGCUUAAUCCGGACCCGAACACGAUAUGACCCGGAGAUGAUCCCGGACCCAGGAGACGAUCCCGGACCCAGGAGAUGGUCCCGGACCCAAACACAACCUAUCCACUCUUCUCCCGGACCGGGACACAAGAGUCCAAGCCGACACCUGAACAAGCCACAUUCUAACAUGAAAAGGAUUGGCUUAACCCGGACUCUGGAUUGGCUUAAUCCGGACCCGAGCACGAUAUGACCCGGAUAUGGUCCCGGACCCUGGAGAUGAUCUCAGAACCAGGAGACGAUCCCGGACCUUGGAGAUGAUCUCGGACCCCGGAGAUGAUCCCGGACCCAGACGCAACCUAUCCAUCCUUCCCCCGGACCGGGACACAAGAGUCCAAGCCGACACCUGAACAAGUUGCAGUCUGACAUGAGAAGGACAAUACCCAAUGCCAGCUGCUGACACUAUGAAGACAAACCUCAUAACACUCCAAAAUACUAUUGCUUAGCUGACACCUGGACAUGUGUUAAGCAUCCAAGCCCUACAGAUGGACAGCAGGAUCCAAGGUACACAUCCUUAAACCCUAAUCCUUGGCCUAUAAAUAGACCAAGGAUGAGAGGCUUAAGGAUCUUCUUCUCCACACUCUCAUAUUUCUCACACACUCUAAGCCACCAUACACAGCAGCCAUACACCCUCACCCACCACACAUAGAUAGCUCAUUUCCCGUCUAUCUAUUUUCCGACGCCUGUACUCAUUCUCACGCCGGAGGCGCCGCGGGGCUCAAACCCCCCUCCGGUGUUGUUUUGCAGACACCCGUCCAGCAGCUACACCGCAAGACACCAGUACACAGCGGAGGAAGCACCGGAACGGGAUUUGACGUUAUCAGUAAUAACAACAUUAACAUCCCUUUUAUAAAGACGUUUCCAUGCGACGCUGAAUAAAAGUUGAUAAAUCUUAUUGCCAUUACUAGUUUCCAGGAGAUUUUCCUAACAAAUUCACCACCACUCUACUCAGUCCUCCUGCAUUAAUUAGUGAUAAAAAUCCAGUCAUCUGAGCACCGGAGUGGACUGUGCUUAUGCUAUGACUUUUUCUUUUGACAUAUGGGUGCUUAUGCUAUGACUUUUUCUUUUGACAUAUGGGUGAUUUUUGUUUAAAAAUAUUAUAAUCCCCUCCCUAUUAAUUUUAUUUAUUAUAAAUGUGAAAUAUUAUAAUCUCAUUAAUUUAUAUUUUAAUAAUUAUUGUAAUUAAUUUUGAUGAGAUUAUAAUAUUUGUGAAAAGGAAAAUAUUUACAAUUCAUAAAAAAUUAAAAAUAAUACAGUGUCAUGAUAUAAAGUCUCUCGUAAUGAUAACUAAAAAUUUUAAAAAUGUUAUGACUGAAUUUAGCAUGAAGGAAAGGACAAGGGCGCGCCCUUCCCGGAGUAAUUCCGAGGGCACCGCCCUAAAGUGCGGGGUUGACUGAAGGCGCGUGGAGAAACGAGAAUGCGAGGACUUAGGGCGCGCCCUCCAUGGUCGCGCCCACAGGUAAACUUAUUAUGUGUGAGGAUGAGUGAGUCUCGAUGACGACCCUUCCGAGGGAUACGAAGACCUACCCCUCCGGGGGAUAUAACUACCCUUCCGAGGGAUAUGAAGACUAGUGCCAGGCUCAUCUGGAAGUUAUCAGGCUCAUCUGGUAGUUCCCGGGUUACGACCGGGCGUGAUCUAUAAUCCCCAAUCCUGCUAUCUGCCGGGUUGUCCUCGUGCGGGGGCUUGGGGUGAUCAUGGUUGUAGAAGGCCCUCAGGGGUGACAUGAAGGCCGAUCAUAUGUCUGGGUCCUGUAUUCUGGUGAGUUAGCCCUCAUUGGGGGACUGAGACGAUCGUGUAACUUGGCUCCUUACUUGUCUUACCUCUUAGUGAGAACCUUCACUAAGGGGGAAGGGCGCGCCCUACACCUCAGGGAAUUGGUCACGGCUCUACCAAGAUGUCUCCUCCAUGCUACGAAAAGUAGCGGUUAGUGUCAUCUCUCGUAGUGGGGAUGAUGCCGUAUCCGUGAUGUACUUGGACUAGGAGUCUGAGGUAGUUGCCUCAAGGCUUAAUUCUAACUGGAGUAGAACUCUAAGUGAUAAGUCACCGGCUUAAGAUUGGUCUUAUCCCCAAGAAGCCUAGUCUUGAUCAAACUAGGAGUCUUGGUUCAAUAGAACUACGUAUGGCUUGAUCCCCUAUAAAUAUAGGGGUACGUAGGCACAUUAGGGGAUCAUGAGUUGAGAGCACGUGAGACCAACUCAAAACCCUUAUCUCAGCCACCCCUAAAACAAACAACCACCACUCUCCGGCAACCAAAACCACCGUCACAGAUCUUAGCUAUGAACCUCAUCUUUGUUGAUUACCAAAUUCCUCUAUCAACAAAUUGGCGCUAGAAGGAGGGGCCUAUUAUUCGUUUGUGGAGGACAAACGAGACCAAACAAAUAGAAUGUCGCAGUGUCUGAUUUAUGGUUAAAAGACGAAAUCGUGACUACACGUCUUUUAAGAAGAUAGGUGGUUGAUUACAGGAUAGUGUAUGCAGGUACACGUACUCAGGCACAUCUACGGCGGGACGUGGAUGAUUGGCGCAGCAGCAGCGUGGAAAAGGCCACAUAUUAUAACAAUGUUUUUUUUUUUGUUUUGUUUUGUAAUUAACAGAAGCCUAACAAAAACAAAGGACGCAUGUUUUUUAAUCGGAGUCCGGAGAAGCACCACGGAGGACAGAGGUCAUUAACAACAUGCAUGGAGCAGGGGCUACAAGUAGAGGUGGCCAAACGAACGAGUUCAAACGGAUCGACUCGUCUCGGCUCGCCUUUUAACUCGUUGAAUACCGGUACGCCGCGAGACGAGUUAAAACUCGCCUCAUCUCGUUAAUCUGUACGAGACGAUCACGAGCCUGGGUUUGAGAAAACGUGGACGCCUCGUCUCGGCUCGUACGUAUCGGCACGCACGCACGACUCGCGCCAACUCGUCUCGGCCGUCUCGCACGUCCACGACUCGUCUCGCACGUCUCGGACUCGUCUCGCACGUCUCGGACGUCUCGCCUCUGUCUGCACGCGCACUCUGCACUCUGCAGCAAGUCUGCACUCUGCAGCAACAGCAAGCCAGCAACACAGGCGGAGAUAGCGACCACUCCAUCUUUGCAACGGCUAGCUAGCAACUGUCCUUCCCAACGGCUAGUUCUUCCAAACGACUGAACCUGCAGGCUGCAAGGCUGCAGCAAGCAACGGCUCCAAGGCUCCGACUUCCGAGCAACGGCUCUUAAUCAGUUCCUAUAAAUAUGCAACGGACCUCCAUGCCUAUCACACCAGCUCUGAUUCUCUGAACUUCUAUCCCCAUUCUUUUACUCUCUCUCAUUCUCUUACUCUCUUGAAUUUCUCCGUCACUCACAAGUCACAUCCGGCGUGCUUAAAAUUUUCCGGCGAGUUACAAUAUUUUGUCAAGCUUUAUUUAAUUAUCCUACAAGCUUUGUUUUACAAAUGGCUGAAGGCACAGGCACACGAUCAUCACAAGGAUCCACCCAAGCUACUUCGAUGCGACCCCCUCGACCCAAUACUCUGGAACCCGGUUAGUUUUUAAAAUUUAUUUAAUUUUGCUUUUUAAGUGUUUUACUAAUUUUAUAUCCGAUAUUAAUUGAUAUAUGUUUUAUUUUUGUAGGCAAUGCUUCGGGUUCGCUCUCAUCAUAUGUAUGGAACUAUUUUUCCCGAGAAAAAAUACCGGAAGAUCCGAGUCAUUAUAGGCUUUUUUGUUUACUUUGCAUCGAAAAGGGCAAAAAUCCAUCACCUUUGAUGCAUCCUAAAGGGGCCGGUACGGGUGGACUUGAUCGUCAUUUGAAAAAACAUCACGGAAUAACGAAAGAAAAUCACGAAAGUGGAGCGGCACGUGGAGGUACAUCGCAACAAACUCAAAUUGGUGGUUUUAUGACUUCGUCUCCCGGUGGAGGUAUGCCUUUCGCUUAUAAUCGAGAUAGAAUGAUCGAACAAUUUGCCACUUAUGUUACGUUAGAUGAGUUACCUUUUUCACAUGGAGAAAGUGAUAAUUUAGAACACAUGAUAAAAACUAGCAUAAAUCCCGCAUUUAGAAGAAUUCCUAGGAACACACUUAAACGUCACACACAAAAACAAUAUUAUGGUCAACGAGCACAAUUAAUAGAAUAUUUUCAUGAUUUUGAUGGUAUGGUUUCUUUAACUAGUGAUUGUUGGAGUUCGAGUCAAGGUGAGCCAUUUAUUUGUGUUACCGUGCAUUGGAUUGAUUCUGAUUAUUAUUUACAAAAACGAAUAAUUGCAUUUGAUGUUAUGGAUGAGAGACACACCGGUUACAACAUUAAACAAAGAAUUUUAGAAACAAUAAAUGAAUUUAAUUUGCUUCACAAGGUGUUUACGAUAUCCUUAGAUAAUGCGUCUUCGAACAAUAAAGCUAUGGACUAUAUUAGGAAUGAUAUUCCCACUAUAAUAGAUGGCGUUUUUUUGCAUGUUAGAUGUUGUGCACAUAUUAUUAAUUUAUCGGCCCAAAAAGGAAUUGAACAAAUAACUUUAUUGUUGGAACCCAUUAGAAAAAUAGUUAAGUAUUUACGUUUAGCACACUCCACAAGAUCUAAAUAUAAAAAAUUGUGUAGAGAAAACGGGUUAAGGCCGAAGAAGUGGGCUAUUGAUUGUCCAACGAGAUGGAGUUCGACUUAUAAAUUACUAAAAGAGGCAAUUAAAUAUAAGGUAGUUAUCACUGAGUUGUAUAAUUCCGACCCGAGAAACCAAAAUGAAGAUGGAUUGAUUACUGAAACGCAGUGGGAGCUAGCAACUAGCGUACGUGAUAUACUUGAAUGUUAUGCACAUGCUACUAAUGUUUUUUCUUAUGUUUAUGAACCAAAUGUGCAUCAUGUUAUUAUUGAAUGUGUUAGUAUUGUUACUACUUUACGUGAUUAUGAAAAAAAUCGUCAUUUUGAAAAUAUUAUUUUUGACAUGAAAGUUAAGUGGAUUGAAUAUUUUUCGGAGUUCCCUUAUAUUUAUGGUGUUGCAUGUCUUCUUGAUCCCGGUGUUAGAAUGGAAGGUUUGGAAAAUAUGUUAGAACAUUAUUACGAAGUUUUAGGUGUUCAAUAUGAUUAUACUCUUUAUGUAAGGAAUUGUUUAAAUUUAUUAUACCGUCUUAUAGAUAUAUAUACUCCCAAAACUCCAAAUGUUGUACAACCUAAGCCUACUGGUACUAGUAGGUUUAAUAGUACAAUUAGUGGUAUAUUAACAAAAAAACAAAAGGUGAGAAUUUCAACUACAUCUACCACAUCUACACAAUCUUGUUCAACUAACAUGGUUCGUGAGUUUUUUUCUUAUAAUUAUGAGUUAGAUGAGGAUUUUUCGAUAUUAACGUGGUGGAAGAAUCAUGAGAAUCAAUUUCCGGUUUUAGCUAAAAUUGCGAGAGACAUUUUAGUAGUUCCCGCUUCUACAAUUGCAUCGGAGUCCGCUUUUAGUGCGGGAAGAAGAGUAUUGGACGAAAAAAGAUCAAGUCUAUCUCCGGAUGUCGUAAAAAUAUUAGUUUGUAAAAAAGAUUGGGAUCAAGCCGCAAAAAGACAACAAGGAAGGAAAGAAGAUGACUCGGAAGGAGAAGACGAUGUUUGGAUGACAAUGGACACUUCAUCGGAAUCGGGCACGUCGGCGAUUCAAGAACAAGAACAAGAAGAAGAAUAAAAAAUUAGUUUUGUGUUUACAUGUAAUUUAAAUGUAAUUUUUAUAUUUCAAUUUAAAUGUAAUUUUUUAUUUUUAUUUUUUUAAUGUAAAUGCGGUUUGUUCCGUUUUUUAGAGAGGAGUCCUCUCAAAUCAGUUGUAAUUUUUUUUAAUUAAUAAAAUAAAUAGAGGUACCGUCCUCUUUUUUUUAUUACAUAAUAAAUUAAUGUAAAAACAAGUCAAAAAAUGGAUAUACAUCUCUGUGAUUUUCUUUCCUUUUCAUCAGUAGCAAACUAGCAAUUUAUUGAUGCCUUGAAUCUUGAUAGAUUCAAUAAAUUAAUGAAAACGACAAAGUUGGUCUGCAGACUGCAGCAUCUCUGUACAAGUUGGUCUGCAGAGACUGUAUCAUGACUCAUGACUCACGAGUUGGUCCACGAGUUGAACGUGACGAGUUCAACGUCCAGCUCGCCAACUAAUCCAAAGCAAACUGCAAAGUAAAAAAUAUACAUAACUCGUCCAACUCGCCAAACUCGCGAGUUGGACACGAGUUUAAUAUCCUUCGACUCGUCUCGUAUCGUCUCGUCUCGCUACCCUUACACGAGACGUCCACGAGUACACCAUUCAUCAACUCGUCUCGCCUCCGACUCGUCUCGUCUCGUCACGGGGCGCCCGUUUGGCCACCACUAGCUACAAGUUGUCCACACCGCCGAAUGAAAAGAUAAGUUUUCUUUUUUAAUUAUUUAAGUUAUUUAUUUGUUAAUUAUAUAUUUUUAUAUACGUAAUUUGUUACAAUUAUUUUGUAAUGUAAUAAUUAGUAGAAAUAUUUAUUUGUUAAGAGAUAUAAUAUUAUAAAAGUAUUGUUUUAUUUAUUAUAUGCAUGUUUAGAAAAAACUUAUAUAUUAUAAAUACAUUUUUACAAAGAUAUAUUUUAUUAUUAUUAUUAUUAUUAUUAUUAUUAUUAUUAUUAUUAUCAUCAUUAUUAUUAUUACUAUUUUUAACGUAGAACACUUUUUUAGAAUUUUUUGUGAAAAUCAGGCUUUUUACUCAAAAUACAGAUUAAAUGUAUUCAUAUUAAUUUGUUUAUUUUGUGGAGGAAUAUAUUCAUUACGUUUGAUUGAGUUUUUACAGGAAUUUAUUACUUGCGCGUGCUUAUGCCUUAAAGUAGUUUUGAGUUCUGUAAUAUUAGUUAUCAACUUGGCAAAGGCAUAAAAUUUUAUGGGUUAAGCAAGAAAGAGGUGGUAUGUGCACUGGCUUAUCCUCAAAAAUUAGGAGGUUGGAUAUGAACCAAUGAACAACGAGGGACAGGCGGAAUAAUUUCCUCCGCAUGAUCAACAACUCUGUUGCAACACGGCUCCUCAGCACCAAAUCAAGACCCGAACGACUUUCAAAAGAAAAAGGAGAUAAGAUUUUCUUUACUUAAAUUAUUUUUAGAUUAUGAGAUUAAUACUUAGAUUGAAUAUAUUAUGCAUAAAUUCUAUAUGCAUGACUAGCGUAAAAUAUUUUAUGCUAUUAGGAUGCAAAUGAGAUAUUUACUUACCAUUGCUAAUGCAUUUAUAUGGACCAAAAGAAUAACAGGCUAUGAACUGGAGGGGAAGAGAAAGAAAAACAAGGAAGGGAGGCCUGUCACCGUAAACAAGUAACAUAUUGCCGAAUCUUGCAAUGGCCGGGCGAAAAAGAUAAGUUCACCUUAUUUUAUUUUUGCAAUGAUAUAUGUGUGGUAGUUUAAUCUUUUAAAAAUAUUAACAUAGAUCCUUGCAUGAUAGUAUCAAUACUUUAUAUUUGGUAUUUUUAAAAAAUUUUGUAUACAUGCUUGGAGGUAUAGAUUUUUGUUUCAGAAAUGCGCAGGACAUAUUUAAAGGGCUUGAACGGGUUCCAACUUACAAAAUCCAGAGAUGUUGUUAGCAGUCAUCAAGUGACACUAGUGGCAACCAGGGAAUAUAAAGAUAAGUAUUUUACAUUUCCUUUACAAUUCUUUUAGUAUAUACCUCGGUGUCAUGCAUAUAAAAUAUAUGUUUAUAUAUGUUUAAUGUUGUGUAUUUCUAACCUAAUAUUUUAUUUUAGUGAAGCUGUUUUUAGACAGGGAAAGAACUUCAGGAAUUUCGUACGGCGCGCCUAGAUACGCCCUUAUGAAUGAGAACGUGCUAUCUCGAAAGGAUUUUUUGGAAAUAGCAUUUGACUUGCCAAGGUGCACCAUAAGAUAAUGUUUAAUAUUUAUUAUCAUGACCAUUGUUAUUUAAAUUUGUGCAGGAUGAAAAUGAUGCAAAAGGAAAAGGAUUAGGAUAUUUACAAGACGCGUCUCUCCCUAACAAGGUACGUCACGAGGUAAGUAAAUAAACUCUUAUUAUUUGUACAUGGAAAGUUUUAUGCAGGCACCCUUGAAACAUCUCUUAAGGCGCGCCUCCAGGUAAACUUUUUACAUCACCUUCGCAUGCUAUUACUUUCAAGUUUGUCGUGGUUUAAGUCUAUUGCAGGAAGGGGUACGCAUACUUGGAAACUUCAUAGAUUUUCUAGAAGUGGCGCGCCCUCCCCUGAAAAUGCUUCAGGGUUCGUGAGGGGCGCAUUUUGAAGGUGUAACCACAUGUGGUGAUGUGAGAGGAAAGGUUAUAAGCGGGGAGUUAUUCAAAUGGAGCCUAGCUCGAAAAGUUAUAAAGGGUGCGCGCCUCCCCCUGACAGGGCGCGCCUCCAGGUAAACUCCAACCCCCUCGUUAUUUCAUCCUAUAGAAAUAUGCCUUUAUGAAAUCGCUGGUAAUGUGGUGUUCGAUUACCCCCAUGAGGAAUGCACCUCUUGGCUUUGAUGAAUAGUCGCGCCCUCAGGUACGAAAUUUAUGAUAUGUAUUCCUGUGUCUACAUAAGCUCUUACAGGAAGCCAAUACGAUGAGCCCGUCACUCAUGGAAGAAAGAGGCGUGCCACAUCUAGCUAAUGUUCUGUCAGAGAACGAAUUGCGCGCCUCCCUCUGACAGGGCGCGCCCUCAGGUAUGUCUGAUGCAUUAAUUGCUUAAUAUGAUUUUAUGUGAAGCCAACCAUACGCAGGAAAGGAGCUCAAUAGUCUUGAGGAGGUCACGUCCCUUCUUAGGAUGCCCCCUUUCAGUAGUACUCAUCACUUGAGGAAGCGCACGAGGGCGCGCCCCAGGAUAAAAAUGUUGAGAAGGAAGAUGCUUCAAAGACAUUCCUUCUCCUAAUUGGACGCGCCCCGAGUUCCUAAGUCAUGCGCCAGGAUUAAUAUUUCCUGGGAGAGAGCGCCUCCCCCUAGCAGGACGCGUCAUGAGGUAACACUGACCAUCACUAUUGUUGUUAAGGAAGUCAUAUGUAUAUGAUUGUGUGCAGGUCAAGUCCAACAUCUUAGAGGAGCUGUCUGUCUUGAUUAGGACGCGCCCUCCGAUGGAUCAUGAUACUUUCAAAGGCAUUGUACAUUAUGAUCAUGGGCUCAUGCUAUUCAUACCAGUACACGCAAUACCUUUCAAAGGUCUACCUAAAUUAUCCAUGACUAGCUCUGGAUACUAUAUUUGCGCGUCCAUGAUAUGCUCUGGACAUUAUAUUUGCGCAUCCAUGAUACGCUCUGGAUCUUACCUAUCCAUGAUAUGCUCUGGACAUUAUAUUUGCGCAUCCAUGAUACGCUCUGGAUCUUACCUAUCCAUGAUAUGCUCUGGAUAACACUUUAUACUAUUGAUUCCCCAUUGAGCCAUAACCUCUGGGACCCGUGCGAUGCACCGGAGUUAUAUAAACCACGAUAAAAUUCGUGAUGCCCCAUACGGGAUGAUGUAUGGACUGGGGAGUGGUCUUUUUGAUUUUCUUAAGCAAGUGAGUCACGCGCGAAAAAGUAAGGCUGCGCCAAAAGUCGCGCCCUCUACUUAAUCCUUGGAAAAGAUCAAAAGAGCCCACAUUACAAGUAAGGCUGCGCCGUAGGCUGCGCCCUCUACUUAUACAGUCCUCGGAAGAAAAGAAAUAUUGCGAGUAAGGCAGCACCAUCGGUCGCGCCCUCUGCUUAGGCAAUUCUUUAGAAAAAGAUAAAAAAGGGGUCAUGUUAUAACAAGGCGGCGCCAUUCUGUAAGUCGCGCCUUAUAUGUACUGUUCCUAGGUAUCAUGGACACACUAAGGCUGAAAAACAGCCACAAACCUUCGCAUCCCGAAGGCGCGCCCUUCUUUUGUUGAAGUUCAUUGGCGCGAAUGUUAUGGUUGAAUGUGUCCUUUUGAAGGAAUAAGCGAAGCUGCGCCACUGUCAACGACAGAUAGGCCGCGCCCCCUGUUUUCUUUUAUCUACAUAAAGAUUGCUCAUUACUUAUGAACACAUCAUAAAAAUGCGCUAGCCUCAUACUUAGCAAUUUGCUAAAUGUCCAAAGACACUGGCAUUAUAUGUUUGCAAGGCGUGUGGCACAGUCUGCACCUUGAAAUAUCAAGGAAUAAUACGCGGCUUAAGUCGAGCCUCUAUGCGUGGACGCGCCCUCAGAAUAAUGUGUGUGGCACGGUAUAAAAAUUCCCUUGAUAUCUUCAAUAUCAAGAAAAUUUGGGGAGUACUUGUUAUGACUGAAUUUAGCAUGAAGGAAAGGACAAGGGCGCGCCCUUCCCGGAGUAAUUCCGAGGGCGCGGCCCUAAAGUGCGGGGUUGACUGAAGGCGCGUGGAGAAACGAGAAUGCGAGGACUUAGGGCGCGCCCUCCAUGGUCGCGCCCACAGGUAAACUUAUUAUGUGUGAGGAUGAGUGAGUCUCGAUGACGACCCUUCCGAGGGAUACGAAGACCUACCCCUCCGGGGGAUAUAACUACCCUUCCGAGGGAUAUGAAGACUAGUGCCAGGCUCAUCUGGAAGUUAUCAGGCUCAUCUGGUAGUUCCCGGGUUACGACCGGGCGUGAUCUAUAAUCCCCAAUCCUGCUAUCUGCCGGGUUGUCCUCGUGCGGGGGCUUGGGGUGAUCAUGGUUGUAGAAGGCCCUCAGGGGUGACAUGAAGGCCGAUCAUAUGUCUGGGUCCUGUAUUCUGGUGAGUUAGCCCUCAUUGGGGGACUGAGACGAUCGUGUAAUUUGGCUCCUCAAUGGUCUUACCUCUUAGUGAGAACCUUCGCUAGGGGGUAAGGACGCGUCCCUACACCUCAAGGAAUUGGUCACGGCUCUACUAGACGUCUCCUCCAUGCUACGAAAAGUAGCGGUUAGUGUCAUCUCUCGUAGUGGGGAUGAUGCCGUAUCCGUGAUGUACUUGGACUAGGAGUCUGAGGUAGUUGCCUCAAGGCUUAAUUCUAACUGGAGUAGAACUCUAAGUGAUAAGUCACCGGCUUAAGGUUGGUCUUAUCCCCAAGAAGCCUAGUCUUGAUCAAACUAGGAGUCUUGGUUCAAUAGAACUACGUAUGGCUUGAUCCCCUAUAAAUAUAGGGGUACGUAGGCACAUUAGGGGAUCAUGAGUUGAGAGCACGUGAGACCAACUCAAAACCCUAAUCUCAGCCACCCCUAAAACAAACAACCACCACUCUCCGGCAACCAAAACCACCGUCACAGAUCUUGGCUAUGAACCUCAUCUUUGUUGAUUACCAAAUUCCUCUAUCAACAAAAAACAUGAUUGGAAUCAAAGUAUCUGGAUUGGGAGGAAUAUUUAGCAUAGAGUCUUGUCUUUAACUUAAGAAAUAGUAUCAAAGUUCAUUCCUUGCCCACCAAGCGAAACAGAAGAAAUAGUAUCAAAGUCCAUUCCUCGCCCACCAAGCGAAACAGGUGGUUUCUUGAUCACGACCGGGUAUAGCUAAAGUUUCAAAGAGAUUUAGUUUUAGUAAAUUGCUUAAUGGUUAAAACGCCCAACCCAUAAUUGACGAAUUCGUAUACUUACUAACAUAGGAUAUGGUUCCAUUAUUUUGCAACAACCUAUUCUCUAAAUUUUUAUUAUGAAAUUACUUUUCUUUAUAAUGAAUAUUUAAAGUCGAGAUGUGCUCAUGAUUUGAUAUAUAUAUACAAAAUCUAGAACUAAAAUAUUUUCGCUAUAAAACAAUUAGGGCUGUAAAUCGAUACGGACUAUCCGGUGUCUCGGCUCAUAUCUGGCUCGAAAAUAUGAUACAUGUCUCAUAUCCGUUUUGAAAACGAUCCAAAUCUGGCGGAAAAAUUAAGCCCGUAUAAUAUAUGAUCCCGGAUACGAGCACACCUAUACCCGCUCAGAUUCGGUCUCAUAUAAUUUUUCAUAAUAUGAUCCUACCCGAAUAACCGAAUAUGAUCCACGGUUCAUAUUCCAUUCAAACUCAUAUACAUAUUAUAUUUUAACACCAUCAUGUUUGCAAAUAAAUAGUCAUCAUUUUAUAAAAUUAUAAUAUCUUAUUUAAGUUUUUAUCUUCAUAAAAUAUGAUUUAUUUAAUGUGAUCAUGGUUAUUAUCUUCAUAUAUAUUUAAUAAAUGACAUAUACCAACAUAUAAUUAUAAGUUUUAAUUCAAAAUUAUUAUACUUUAUAAUAUUAUGUUUACUUAGACUAAAUGAUAAUUAUUUGAACAACUGAAAUAAUAAUGAUAUUUGAUGUUAGUGGAUCACAUCAGGCUCAUAUUCGAUGGAUCAUAAACUACCCGGUUAAAAAAUAGAAAAUACGAUACUGGAUCAUAUCCGGUUCAGAUCCGAAUCUCAAAUACCCGAGAUCGGUUUAUACCCGAAUAAAAUGAUCCCGGACCCAAAUCUGGACAAGCUAAAAAUAAUAUGAUCCGGUACUUGAGCAGAGGGGUACCCGGGAUCACCUGGAUCAUUUUACAGCCCUAAAAACAAUCACAUAUAGGCUAGUAUAACGGUCGAUUAAUAGGGACUUCGAUCCUAUACAUAUAAUUUUAAUUUACUUCUAAUUAUGAUCAUGUCUUAUUUUAAAAAAAAUAUUAAUAAAUAACAUUCUUAUUGUAAUUCGCAUUUUCAAUAUAAACUAACCUGAGCGAAGAUAAUAUUAUCCAAUCAAGAGGUCGUUACUUGAAUCACGCGCUUUUGCUUUAAAUGUGCACGAAAUACAUAAUAUAACAUGUCUUGUGUUUCCAGAAACUUCAUUCAUAUAUGCGAAACAUCUAAUAGUUGGUCUAAGAUGAGGACAUAUUUUGUGCUCCGAAAGAUUUAUUUCAUACAUGUGAAACAUGUAAUAUUAUGUCGGGAUCGUACAUAACAAUCAAGCAGGUACACAUGACAUGUUGGCGGAUCCACUCACUAAAGGUUUACAAACUAGUAAAAUUUUUGUUCAACGUAUCUCUAACAUGGAUCUGACGAAGAUACUCCAACUAAUAGUCACUUGUUAUGUGAAGCUAAUACCAAGUAAACUCUUAUUUUGUCAAAAAAAAAAUUGUACUUCACAUCAUACUAUUGGUUUGUUGUUCUCAUUAUUGUUGCGCACUUGAGAAUUUAUAUUUAUAAGCAAACACGAGGGGGAGACCAUAUGAAUGGAUUUGAUAAUUAUACUUUAUUAAAAAAUCAUUUUAUACUAUUAUGAUUAAUGUUAAUUUUGUUAUGUGUUGAAGUAUUAAUGGUAUGAUCAACGAGGGUCUUGUGUUCAUUGUGAUAUAAAUAUAUUGCAUUGGCCUGCUGUAAUACUUUCGCUUAUACAGCAUGCAUGAAGAUAUUAAAUCAAUAAUUAGUCAAAUUAAAAAUGUAAAUUCAUAUUUUGGAAUAUAAGUAGUAAUACGGUGAAGUGGGAGAAUGUUAGCUUAUUUAUUUGUAGCCUACUACUUAUGUGAUUUAAUCAUUUACAUAAAUAUUGAUUUAAUAGAUUAUAUCUGGGGAUUGAUAACAUUAGAGUUUUAAAUGUUAUCUAGUGAAAGAAGAAAUGAAUAGUUCUCUUUAUUGUGGGUACGGAGCUAUAUAUAUUGUGAUGUACGAUUUAUAUUGUCGUAUCAUUAAUAAUUUAAUAGACAUAUACAUAAAAGUGUAGGUCUCUAUUGGCUUUUCAGUGCUAACAUCUUACGAAAUAUAAUUCCAUCCUUAUUAUUCAAAGAGACAACAGAAGUUUUAGGGGCCGUUUGGAUAAAUUUUAAAAAAGUGCUUAUUAAAAAAGUGGACUAGAAGUGGGAAACAAAUUAAAACUUAUAAGUGAUUAAACUGUGUGGGAAAUAAGCAGAAGUCCUGAGACAAAAGUUAGCAUUCGUAGCUUUUUAUAAGUGCUUCUGUCUUUUUAUACAAAUGGGUCAAGAAAAGUAGAAAUUAGCUUCUUCUCAAAAAAAGCCAGAAGUUUGGGUACCCAAUCGGGCACAUAAUCUUACAAGGUUGCAUCAAGAGCAGACACUCACAGUUGUAACUUACAAACCAUGUCAUCUCUCAGCUCAAGUGUGCACACGAUCAUACAUAUAUGUAUUGACUAAACACCUGAUCCAUUACUUUUACAUGAUGGAGUCUUUGUGGUGAUAUAGUACAUAAUUCAUAUAUAUAUGCGUGUGUGUUUACAGAAAUAUCAUUUCCACCAUUUCAAACAACAUAUCCACUUUUAAGAAAAUCAAAUGAGUAUAAAGAAAUUUCUAUACAUAAUUAUAGUAUUUAUUAUAUUCACUAAAUAUAAUAUAUGGGAUAUAAUUGAUGUUAUAAAUAUAUAUUAUAGAUAUGGUUUAAAGAAAUUAGUAGCUUGUUAGGACACUAAUCAUCUUUAUAGGUACCAUCAAGAAUAUUUAACAGGUGUAAAAUAUGUAUCAUCUAAUGAGGAUGAUUCAUCGAGUCAUACUUCACAGAAGCCGACUUAGCUCAGUGGUAGAGCGCGUGACUUUUAAUCCCGUGGCCGUGGGUUCGAUCCCCACAGUCGGCGACUCGGAGCCUUUGAACUUUUUUCCAUUUAAUCCAAUUUUAUUUACCCAGCGUAGCGUAAUAUUGUAAUUCUUUUUUCCCUUUGUCAUGUUAUUAUCUGUUUUACUUGCCAAAUAAUAUUUCUGCCAGGGAAAAAAUGCAAGUAUGAAGGCGUUUUGAAAACAUGCAUUUCAUUUCAAAGGAUGGAAUUCGAAUUAUAAAAUUUGAGCUAUUACUUCAAAUUCUUAUAUCAAUACUAAUAUUUGAAUGUAUAGAUUUCAAAUAAAAUCCAAAUUCAAAUCCAAAUUUCAAAACAGAUUAUUUGAUAAAAUCCAGAAUUUGAAAUGAAAUAUAGAUUCCUCAACCGGCCAUAAAGGAAAUUCUUUUUCAUGCAUGUCAUGGGACCCGGGGAAAAUAGUAUUAGUCUGUUCGUGAUUUAUCUCUCAGUUCUCAAGCAUAUAUUUUGGUAACAAUUAGGUUUAUCAAUUUGAUAUAAUAAAACGCUUACUUUUUGUCCAAUAACAAUAUAUACAGACCGGGUAAAGACGUUUCCUUGCCUUUUUGUUGGCUGUUGAUAUGGCCGCCUGCUGGGUGCUGAUUCCAGAUUUCAAAUGAAUGCGAUUAAGUUGGUCCCAAAGCAGAAUAAAAUCGGACUUGUAAAAUUUAAUAAUCUUCUUGGUAUCACUUGUUUGCAGUGAGAUGUUAAAUCCAAACCUCUGAGCAAAGGACUAUGCUUAUUUUUGUCUACUGUAUGUGCAUACAAUUAGAAGGCAUCCGGAUAUAUACAAAUUCAGAAAGGCGCUACACGGGGCAAGGGGAGAAACAAAUCUAAGAUUCCAGAUAGGCCAUUUACCUGACAACCUUGAGAUCAGAAGCAGUAGCUAUAUUUAAUUUCCUGGCCGCAGAAAAGGGAUGGGUAUAGAAAAUAAAACAUAAAACCACCUCAGCAUCCAGGAGCACCAAGUGUAUAUUUUUUGCUUUUUAUAAAUAUGGUGACGACAAUGUUGGUAUUAAGUUUCUCGGGGUUUCCCCCUCAAGCAACCAGUAAACAUACAAAAAGUAUUGCUUAAAAUGGGAAGCAAAUCUAGACAGCAAACAUCCCCUGAUAUAUUGUGGCUAUUAAAUAUGCUUUUUAAACUAGAGAAGACACUUAAAAGCCGCAAACAUUGAAAUGUAUAUCAAGUUAAGCAGCAGUACAGUAGCCAAAAAGAGAAGGGAUUUUUUAUAAUGGUCAUGAAAUAUAUUUUGUAUUUCUAAUGGGACAACAAAUGCAAUUGCAUCCCCAAGCUCAAUGGGAUAUGAAAGCACACAACUUAAAGUUCCGCAAAACUACAGAUGCCAAAACAUUUGAUCACUUGACAGAUUUAGCACCUUAAAGAGGGGGCUCAGCUAAGAAACUGACUAUUUUGUUUAACAGAUUCAAUCCAAAUACAGUUUCUUCACAGUUGACUUUCACAGUUGUAUUAAGCGGUUCAGAGCAAUUACCUCUGAGGGUAACAGUGAUCAAACAAGGCAUCGAGUUACUCAGAAUCUCACAAGCGAACCGCAAGCACAAACCUGACACAUCAUCAUGGUUUGUAGUAACAGGCAUGUCCACCGAAAUGAGAGAAAGAUUUGCAUUACUGAGCAUCUUUAAUCCUAGAGUUUCACAUACGACAAGAAACUUGUCUUUUACCAGAGAGAUUUCACCCUUUUCAUCUUUCAGCUCCCUCACAUGAUCAAUGAAGGUACACCUGUUAUAAAUGAAGAUAACAUUAAGCUCUGAAAGCAAUGGCAUUUACCUCUAAUUAUAAAGUGAGAUCAGGACAAAGACAAGCCCGCCAAAUACAUUUACUCUUCUAAUUCGGAUCACAAAGAAAAAUGCUCUACGCAACCAUAUGGUAAACCUGGUGUCAGUGGAUUCAGUUUAUCUUCUAUAUAUAUUUUGGUCCUCUCCUUUGCUAUUGGAAAGAAACAAGAAAAUAAGUGACCAUCCCCAGUCUAAACCCACUAUGAACAGUCUAAACAAGUUGUUUUAGAAGACUCUACAUUCUUAAUAGAUACGAGUUGUUUGCAUGUUGAAAAGUAAUAGCAUUUCUAAACUUACUACAAUGGCCCCAUAUAUCUUCCCGGAGGCAAUAACUGUAAAAUCAAAAGGGGUAGAAUAUGCCUGAUUUUCAGCUAAGAUGUGACUGUAUGAGUGCCAUGGUGUAAUGUAGUGCUGUGCCCCGGCUCUCAUCAGGUGCCCUUGUAAUGUUCCUUCUCUUAGGAGAACACUUAAAUUGCCUUGUGAAUCGAAGGUUGGAUUUACAAUGUUAAAAAAAUCAAGUUCACCAAUUUUUGUAUUACACUUGCGCAAAUAUCAAGUCAACCGUCCAAUGGGACUGACAGACCUCUUUCAAGCUUUACAAUUCACUACUUUUAUACUGUUUUCUUCUCUUCUUCUACUUCUGUUUUAGAUAUUCCAUAAUUUCCAUUUUCUAAAUAACAUGUAAACUACUGUCUUGGAAUAGGAUUAGAAAACACACUAAUCAUAAAUAUCAUAGUAUUAGUUAGUAUGAAAUUAGCAUACAUAGUCAUACCACGAGCAAAAAAUAUUUAACCCACUACAGACAUAGACAUAUAGUAGAACAAUAAGAAUGACCUGUCCAAAUGGUAUGAGAAAUGUAACCCAAACAACUGACCUUCUAUUGUAUUCAAACAUCCCACGGAGUUGAGAUUCCUUCCUGAAGAAUUCUUCAUCAUCCAUUGGCAGGGGUUUUACAAAGUAUCCAAUGUCAGGCCACAACUUAACAGGAAGCUUUAAUCCACUGCAUCGUAGAACUAGCUUUAUAGGCAAGAGAUGAUGAUGGAAAUGAACUUCCAUGAUUUUCUUUGAACUCUGACCAGGUUCUAGACAAGGAAUUUCUUCCACAGGAACUAUAACUUUAACAUCAUUGUUAUGUGGUGCUGAGGAACUGCAUUGUAUGAUGAACAUAUGUGAACUUAUUGGGGUCACAACAUAUCAUCUGACCAAAUAUCUAACAAGUUGAAGCAAAGACAUGCAGAUACUUUAAUUAUAAUCGUUUAUGGACUUGGUUAAAAUACAAGGAAAGCUCAAUGGGAUACAUAUAACAUGUAAAUACUUGCUGGACAAUAGUGCAUCUACAAUAUAAAUUGGCUGAUCAGAAACAGAAAGUAAUAAAAUUCAACUAGACUUCAGUGUCUAGCAAGCAUGCACUAAGUCACGUAUGGAAAGACAUUCACCAGAAGGUCUACUUCAGUAAAACUUCAAAUAUGAAGAAGUAUGUGUAAAGGUAAAUUUUCCGGCUUAAGACCUCGAUAAAGUUAAAUAUAUAUAUAAAAAAAAGAUGAUAUAUGUUCUUUUGAACUUGUGGAAGAAGCACAAUGUAUGUCAGAAGAAAAAAACAAGUCAUGACUACUAGCAGAAAAGUUGUUUCUGGGAAUACCUAAUCAAUGUAAACUGAAACCAAUACUUAGGGAAAAAGAAGAUUUCAUGUGAACUUCACCAUUGAUCCGAAAACAUUGUUUCUUUAUACAGUACACAUAUCAACAGACCUUUUUAGUCACAUGUAAACCUUUUAUACUGAUGGCAUCACAGCGUUGAAGUACCAAUUACAUUAAAACCUAGUUAAAGUAUUGGUGUCCGUGGUCUACCAACCAUAUAUAAAGAGGAGGGGCAGUACAUUUCCUGGAGAGUGAAAACUUUGCAAAUAUUGUUUGCCGACCAAUAAACCAAAAUUGGCUGAGUUAAAUGUUUGACUGUAAAUAUUAUGUAUGAAAGACACAGAUGAUAUGUAACCAACUUCAAAAAGAAAAUUUGUGGAAUAACCAUAGUUCCAAGGGAAGUACGGAAAAGGAAUAGAGUGCUCUCAAAAGCAUAGUAAGUGAUCACCUCUCGUUUGUUCUCAAUGCUUGCUCUGAGUUAUCUUGGCCCCCUUCAAUGUCCUCAUCAAACAGCAAAAUUUUCUCUUUAGGUUCAUUGGAACAAUUUUUGAAAGAUACUUCUAAACAAACAAAUUUGGAUUUGCUUGACAUUUCAGAUGAGAAUACAUAAUCCACCCUCAAGCCAUUUCCAUUUACAGUGUCUAAGAGUGUAUAAGAUUUUGGUUUUACCCUCUCAGAGAGGGACCCGACAGAUAUUCUAGCUGAUGAAUUCUGGAAACUACUUGAUUCAGGAGCAUUUCGGCUUGAAUCAGGGCUUUCAUCCAACCAAGAUUCAAGAGCUCGGUUAGACAUGAGCUCGCCAAAAUCAUUAGGUCUGGAUUGAGGAUCAUUCACCUCUGAGUUUCCAUUAAGGUUUGCAUAUGCAGCAUUACCAACAUCUGAAAAAUUAAUUAAUAACCCAGUGUUCUCGUCACCCUCGCUUGCAGACCCACUCUCAUCACCAACAUCAUUGCCACUUGAGCCAGCUUCAGAAAUUUCAGAACCGUCACUUGAGUUACUAUCAUCAUCUGAAGAACCCGAUGCUCUUUCAGAAUCAUCUACUCCGUAUAAAUCACUGUGAGUGCCACCCUUAACGAUAUUUGAACCGAAACUACUAUCACCAAUGGUCAAACUACAUGGCUCCGGUAAAGGAUUAUACCCUGGAGCUGCAUGAAGAACUAUCUGAGAAAGCGAUCCAGGAAGAUAAAAUCGAUAGUUAUUGGGUUCAGUUGACAUUGAUUUAGGUUUUUCCAAAAAUAAUCGUUCUGCUAGUAGACAUGACAUGUUCUUUGAUUCUGAUAUAUAUCGUGCUUCUUCCACCAGUUCAAAGGAAAAUAAGUACUGCGUAAGAAGUUUUCUUAUAACACGAGCUCGGUCACGGAUGUCAUAAUUUAUAUCACAUUUGGCAAGUUCAAGCACAUAGCUUAAGAGUUUUUUGGAAGCACAUAGAUCAUCCCCUCUUGCACAUAAUACGACCUGGAAAAAGAACAACUUCAUGAAUAAAGACAAGGAACAGAAGCAAAUUUCAGGAAAAAUAGGAUACCUACACAAAUAUUAUUAUACUCUGACCAUUUUUGACAACCAUAUUGUAAUUUGUGAUAUGAUAUUAGGUGUAUGAGUCCAAUUUCCACCAACUUGCAGAGACCAGAUGUCUGUAAAGAUGAUGGUUUACCUUGGGGGGGGGGGGGGGGGGGCAAAAGGAGGGGGGGAAANNNNNNNNNNNNNNNNNNNNNNNNNNNNNNNNNNNNNNNNNNNNNNNNNNNNNNNNNNNNNNNNNNNNNNNNNNNNNNNNNNNNNNNNNNNNNNNNNNNNNNNNNNNNNNNNNNNNNNNNNNNNNNNNNNNNNNNNNNNNNNNNNNNNNNNNNNNNNNNNNNNNNNNNNNNNNNNNNNNNNNNNNNNNNNNNNNNNNNNNNNNNNNNNNNNNNNNNNNNNNGACAACAUGAUGGAUGGAAAAGGAUAAAGAAGAAAUAAAGAUGCAUACAACAUAAUAAUCACUACAGAACCACAAUUGACAUCCUUUCAGGAUGAGCAAAAAAUUAUCUGAAAUUGCUCCAAACUGAAUUUUGCCGUUUUAUUACGACUUGGUUUGGUUAUCAUUAAUGCAACUAAAAACCCGAAUUUUUCUGUUUGGUUCAGUUUUUAUUUCCAAACCAACCGACAAAAGCGAACCACCUACUGUAAUUAUAUAAGGUUGCAUUAUAAGGUUGGACCAUUGCUUUUAAUUUAUAUGUUGUCUGUUGCAGAUUUUGAUCAGUUGAGUUUGAGUAAAGAUAAAGGCCAAAUCCAUAUUUAAAUUUUUUUUAUUUUUUUAGUAAUUCCAAUACAAAUUGCUAGACACCUUUUUACCUAUUCUUUCUUUUCUCUUCUGUUGAUGUCUCUCCUGUCAUCAUUUCUUAUUCUCCCUCCAACAAAAAUAAACAAGAUGCCAGAUGUAAUUUCUAUAUUAACAGCUUCCAAUUCAAUUUUUCACCCUCUUGUUACGAUCUCUCAGCAUAAUAAAAAUAUACAAUAAUAUUUUCCUGAGUCUGCUUGUGAGAUGUGCACAAAUUAUUGGUGAAAAGCUGAGUGGUUCUUGGUUAUUAAUCAGUUUUAAACCAAAUCGAUAGUUUCAAUUUCAGACAGACCAAAAAAAUGUUCAACACUAUUAGAGCUGUGAUCAAAGUUACAGCACAGAUAUGAGAUACAUUAAUAUAUUCUAAACCAAUUUCAUUUAAGACGCCAAAUUUUCAGUAGGUUUUUAAAAUAGAAAGCAUGAAGUUUUGGCGUCAUCACUUAAAUUCACACUUGACAAUCUAGAGUGACAGUGACAAAAUUUGGUGACUAACUUCGAUUAUCCAGUACUAAGUUAAACAAGGGAAACGUUCAAAUUUAAAUUACCUUGACAGCAGCAUAUAGAAUCUGGAGCUUAGUUUCAAGUGCUUCUUUAGUAAAGCAGCAAGCAAGAUACGUAAGUACUGAGGUCAACAUCUUUGGAAGAAUGUGACCAGAGGAGUUGUACUCUCCCAUCAUACGAAUAACCAUUGCCCUGGCUGUGGGUACUUUAAUUGAAUCCAAAGUUCGCACCAGAUGAACAAUUACCUUGAGCAAAAAGUGAAUAUAUUUAUAAGCAAAAUUGUUUGUUUAUCUAAACAAUUUACCGAAAUAGAGCAAUAAGAGAGUAUAGGAUAGCAGCUUAUUUAAAGCAUCUAUACACUACAUACAGCUUACUCAGCAGAAAGAUACGCAAGUUGGAACAAGCAACUCCAAUAAACUGAUCUAUAGAUACAGAAAUAACAUAAAUUAUCUUAAUCAAAUUCUUUAUGCCGUAUAUAUUAUUUGUACAUUAAGAGCCUCUUAUUACAAGGAGAGGUAAGGUACCAAAGUUUGCGUAGUGCGUAACUUUUAACCUAUAAAGAACCUAUACUGGAUAAUUUUGGCUCACAUGAACAAGGUUUCUUGAAAAUUCAAAUUUAAGAGUGUUCCGCAAAACAUACUUUUCUGGACAUGGAUUAUAAUUUUAUUAUGAUGUGUGACCUAAAGUAACUAAACAAGCCUACACAUAAGCUUACCCCUUUAGAAUUAUAAAGUAUAAAUAUACAAUAUUUAAGCUGGGAAAAAAUAUCAAGGAAAACUGUAUUGGCACAAGGACUAUUAUUUAUAUCAAUAAUUAUUUCCUUGACAACAAGCUUCUAUUAUAUUGACUACAUGGCUCGUAAUUUUAUAAUGACAACCCCGAGUCAUUUGCUCAAGAAAAUGCAGUUGUCAUGUCCCAAUAUUCAUCUAUCAAUUCUUGACACGUGCCCAAGGGUUCUUUUGGUUGGUACCCAGGCACUGGCACUGGGAGAGAAACUUGAAAAAGAUGGAUUAGCAAGAAUGAAUGAAAUCUAUGUCUCGGUACUAAGGGUGCAAACAGAACCGAAUAAAAAUACAGGCAGAACAUAAACCGGCCCGAACGCAUACAUAUGUAAUAUGUGAAACGGAUUCUUGAGCACUAGGAAAAGAUUAAAUCAACUCCACUUCAAGAUGACAAAAUCUACCAAUACCCUUUAGACUACGUAGAAUACCUUGGGGCUUAAAAAAACUAAGCAUACACAUGACAUGAUGUAUCUAGAUAAAUAACAUGGGGGAGAAAUUAUAUAUAAGACAUCGUUAGCUUGAAUGAGUAACAUUGCAGCUCAAAAACCUUCUCAUGACGUGGUGGAUCUAGUUUUAUGAUUGAUCUGAUUGAUAUGAUUGCUUGAAUUAGAACAAUUGAAUCUCCACCUGAAGACUCGGUAUCAUUAUUCAAAGAUUCUGCAAUAGUUGAGCCUUCAAAGAAUUAAGAUGAAACCAAAAAUAUUUCGAUACAAAAACAAAUUUACGAAAAAAAAAUGAAACAAUAGGUGACUUACGGGGUAUAGUCAGAGCUAAUAAUCCUUCCAAACAGGUAUUAGCUACAUUUGGAAGCCUUUGUGCACACAAACCUAUUGCAGCUACAGUAUCUGCUGCAAAUCUCCUAUCGGAAUCUCUAACAUAAUCCUAGCAAUACAACAGGGUCAGCAUCGUUGCAUGUGAAUCAAACAAAGGACCAAGGAAUAAAACACUACAGCAACAAGGAAUAAGGAUGCAUAAUAACAAAUGUCUGAAAAUGGUAGGCACAUGGGUAGAUUAGGUACAACAGAAACAAGGAAUGCGGAUGCAUAAUAAUAAAUAGCAAGUAUAAGAAUAUGGUAGGCACAUAGGUAGUAGUAGUGACAGAUUACGUGUAUCUCAUAACUGGACUAUAGGUAUAUGCACAUUGAUAGAGACUAGCAAACAGAACCACUCAUAUCUCUGUUAUCUCCUUUAUUAAACAAUUUUGGCAUUAAGCUGAAAAAAUAAUGUGUACAGUGUACACUACAAUUUCCUAUAAGAAUAUAACCCUAUUAAGGUGAAAGACUGAAUGUUAAAGGUGAGAUCCAAGGUUAAAAGAGAAUCCAAAUGAAUAGACUACUUGAAAAGGACAGGUUCAUUUAAUUUGCAGCUAAUGGUACUCUAAACAAGCAAACCCCGACACUUUCUUUUAUGCCAACCCUAGCAAUCAUUGUAUAAAUAUUCAAAGAUAGAGUUGAAAAGAAAACUAUUAUCCCUUUCUUUUUAAGCUAUCCAUGGUCCCCUGGCACAAAAUAAGUACUUAUAGUUACAAGCACUAAAAUGGCUAAAUUGUUACACAAAGCACAUAUAUGACACUAUUUCCUCCCAACUGCGUUGGCCUUUUAUAGCAGCAACUCUCCUGGACUACCCAAAACAAGCCUCUAACUCUUUAAAAUUAAUUCCACAAACAUGUCUUUAGGCACAACAUUCAUGACCAAUUGGUGUUUUUACAGUACUCAAACAUACAUAAUAACAAAAUACAUAUAACCCUGUAGACAGUUAGAAAGGAAAAAAAACAAACACACACACACCUAUUCUACGUUUCACUUAUUCAGACAAAUAAGAAAAAGUAACAGAUAAAAGAUAUCUAUUUUCCUUAAAAAAGGCAAAAAAACGANGAACGCAUACAUAUGUAAUAUGUGAAACGGAUUCUUGAGCACUAGGAAAAGAUUAAAUCAACUCCACUUCAAGAUGACAAAAUCUACCAAUACCCUUUAGACUACGUAGAAUACCUUGGGGCUUAAAAAAACUAAGCAUACACAUGACAUGAUGUAUCUAGAUAAAUAACAUGGGGGAGAAAUUAUAUAUAAGACAUCGUUAGCUUGAAUGAGUAACAUUGCAGCUCAAAAACCUUCUCAUGACGUGGUGGAUCUAGUUUUAUGAUUGAUCUGAUUGAUAUGAUUGCUUGAAUUAGAACAAUUGAAUCUCCACCUGAAGACUCGGUAUCAUUAUUCAAAGAUUCUGCAAUAGUUGAGCCUUCAAAGAAUUAAGAUGAAACCAAAAAUAUUUCGAUACAAAAACAAAUUUACGAAAAAAAAAUGAAACAAUAGGUGACUUACGGGGUAUAGUCAGAGCUAAUAAUCCUUCCAAACAGGUAUUAGCUACAUUUGGAAGCCUUUGUGCACACAAACCUAUUGCAGCUACAGUAUCUGCUGCAAAUCUCCUAUCGGAAUCUCUAACAUAAUCCUAGCAAUACAACAGGGUCAGCAUCGUUGCAUGUGAAUCAAACAAAGGACCAAGGAAUAAAACACUACAGCAACAAGGAAUAAGGAUGCAUAAUAACAAAUGUCUGAAAAUGGUAGGCACAUGGGUAGAUUAGGUACAACAGAAACAAGGAAUGCGGAUGCAUAAUAAUAAAUAGCAAGUAUAAGAAUAUGGUAGGCACAUAGGUAGUAGUAGUGACAGAUUACGUGUAUCUCAUAACUGGACUAUAGGUAUAUGCACAUUGAUAGAGACUAGCAAACAGAACCACUCAUAUCUCUGUUAUCUCCUUUAUUAAACAAUUUUGGCAUUAAGCUGAAAAAAUAAUGUGUACAGUGUACACUACAAUUUCCUAUAAGAAUAUAACCCUAUUAAGGUGAAAGACUGAAUGUUAAAGGUGAGAUCCAAGGUUAAAAGAGAAUCCAAAUGAAUAGACUACUUGAAAAGGACAGGUUCAUUUAAUUUGCAGCUAAUGGUACUCUAAACAAGCAAACCCCGACACUUUCUUUUAUGCCAACCCUAGCAAUCAUUGUAUAAAUAUUCAAAGAUAGAGUUGAAAAGAAAACUAUUAUCCCUUUCUUUUUAAGCUAUCCAUGGUCCCCUGGCACAAAAUAAGUACUUAUAGUUACAAGCACUAAAAUGGCUAAAUUGUUACACAAAGCACAUAUAUGACACUAUUUCCUCCCAACUGCGUUGGCCUUUUAUAGCAGCAACUCUCCUGGACUACCCAAAACAAGCCUCUAACUCUUUAAAAUUAAUUCCACAAACAUGUCUUUAGGCACAACAUUCAUGACCAAUUGGUGUUUUUACAGUACUCAAACAUACAUAAUAACAAAAUACAUAUAACCCUGUAGACAGUUAGAAAGGAAAAAAAACAAACACACACACACCUAUUCUACGUUUCACUUAUUCAGACAAAUAAGAAAAAGUAACAGAUAAAAGAUAUCUAUUUUCCUUAAAAAAGGCAAAAAAACGACAUAAUUUGUUUUUAGUUAUUAUCAACAGGCCAUGCUGGAAAGUGGAAACCAAUAAAAUAUGGAUUACCUGAAACUCUUGGAAUAUAACCGGGAUAGAUGACUCUGUGGCAAUGUUAGAUAAUAUCUCAAGUUUGAGGGCCUUUAUUUGAUAUGUAUCAGAGGAACAUAUAAAGAAGUCUUCACUGUAAGAAGCAAAGAGAGAAGGCAUCGCUUUAGCAAACACUUGAAUAUUGCAGAGCGCCUGCAUCAACAAGCAUACAUAUGUAUAAGCCAAAAUUUAAGGCUAUAUACAUGGUUUCAAGAUGUACAAUGGUUCAAACAAAAUCUUUUUUGAAUAAUCAACUUUAAAGACUUGGGAUAUCAUUAUUCACGUCGUCAAUGCUGUACUCUGCACCAAAAGUAAUGAAACUGACUAGCAUUGUUAUACACUAAUUUCAAAUUUCACACAUAGGAGACUCAUACACCAUAGAGUGAAUAUGAGAACUCAGAAGUAGGUCAAUCACCAUUAUAGUCUUCUUAGUACUGACAGACAUGCAAUUACGAAGCAUGAAAUAUUAGAUGUACAUAGUAAUAGCAUAUAUGAAACCAGUACAAAAUAAAUCAAAUCACUGACCCAGAAACUUUCAUGGCAUUGUAUGACUAUGUAGCAAGCUAAAGUAAUUUGAUUUCAGAUAUUGGCCAUAUAAGAAUUUUUAUUUUAUUUUAUUUUAUUUNNNNNNNNNNNNNNNNNNNNNNNNNNNNNNNNNNNNNNNNNNNNNNNNNNNNNNNNNNNNNNNNNNNNNNNNNNNNNNNNNNNNNNNNNNNNNNNNNNNNNNNNNNNNNNNNNNNNNNNNNNNNNNNNNNNNNNNNNNNNNNNNNNNNNNNNNNNNNNNNNNNNNNNNNNNNNNNNNNNNNNNNNNNNNNNNNNNNNNNNNNNNNNNNNNNNNNNNNNNNNNNNNNNNNNNNNNNNNNNNNNNNNNNNNNNNNNNNNNNNNNNNNNNNNNNNNNNNNNNNNNNNNNNNNNNNNNNNNNNNNNNNNNNNNNNNNNNNNNNNNNNNNNNNNNNNNNNNNNNNNNNGUUCACAUCAAGAGAUUUACAAAGAAAAGGUAGUGCUUGUAUGUAGCUAAAAGUUAAACUAGCACCGAAAAUUAAAGGUCUGGGCAUGACAGCCAUACAGAGUGGCAGAGCCAGCCUCAGACUCUCAGAGUGUGAUGGUGGCCAAAAUAAAUUUCCACCCAGCCUAGCUAGGCAAGUAAUUCGGGGCAAAAAGUAUUAUUAAUACAGUAGAUCUUUAUUAACUUGUAUAUUGAAAAUGUUAUUUUAUGAAAGAUAAAAAUUAAAAAUAUAUUGUUUAUUUAACUUUAGAAUUUAGAUAGAAGAGGAAAUAUUGAGUCAUUCAUAUCUUGAUGAUUUUCAUCAUUUAUUUGUUUGUUUAUGUUUAAAAAUUUCCUUUAAACAGUUAAAAAAAUACUUUUAAUUUUUGAUCUAUGUAGCAAUUUUUAAUAUUAAAAUAGCAUUGAUAUAUACAGAGAAUCAAAGAAACAUACAGAGAGAAUCAAAAAGAAUUUCUGAUACAGUAUUAAUACAAUGUAAACGUAUUAAAAGAAAUUUAGGAAAAUAUAUUAAUAUGAGAUAUUACAAAAGACAGACUUCCACUUCUCCUGCGUUUCUCUCUGUACAAGGGUCUCACUCUGCUCUCUUCAUACAUUUUGAUAUCAGGCCACAUCACUGCUUUGAAACACAAUUAUCUGUGUGUAUAUCACAUAUAUAAAUAUAAGUGGUAAAAAGUAGAACGUCCGAUAGGGUCCAGUGACAAUUAAUUACUGUAGUUUACAUAAAAAGGCACCUGUAAAAAGCAAUUAAUACCUAAAAAAUAUGUAAAAGAAUCUGGUCAAAAAAAAUUCAAAACAUGUUCAAGUCCUAUGACAAACAUGCAGCACCAGAGGAGAAGUGCUAAAGACAUCACACCUCUCCUUCCAUUGGGAGUUCGAAGCUUCAUGUUUCAGUGCAGAAAAAGUGUGUGCGCGAAUAUAGUGCAAAAAACCCCAAGCCACUCAGAAAAGAACAUGGACCCUUGCUACACCAAACAUUACAGGGGCAUGUAUCUAGGGAUAGGACAUACAAAUCCUACGGAAUUUUAUAGUCUAUAAUCAUAACGUAACAUGUGCAAAAUUCAUAUAAGAACGCAGAAAUGCAUGAAAGCACACAGAAAAUGAAGGAUGACAAGGAACAGAGUUAACAUAGAGGAGUACUUUAUAAUUUAUAAAUGUUACUAAAAAGUUUCAAUAUAAGUGGUAGUUGAAUUUAUCUGGGGCUAGGAGUUCAUUAUACAUGUAGGUUAAUAUAUUAGAAGCCCAAUUGUAUUGGGCUUUAGUCCAUAAUGUUAGGAUAUUAGGGCUUUAUUCCCUAUACAAGCGACGUGAUUCCCGCAUAUUAUAAAGACUUGAUUACUGAACUAUUACUUAUAGUAUUACCAUAUUGAGUCUCUUCUUGGAUUGUGAUCCAUAAAUUGUAUCCCUUUCGAUGUAGUUAUGCUUCUGCUUUUAAAUUACCCUGGUUCUAUCUUGUAACUUAUUUAUUUAACAUAUCUAUAUAUUAUAAUCUGUACUGCAGCACUUGAUAGAUACUAUUAGAGAGAUGGUGUACCACAUAUGCCGAGGCACUAGACGAUCUCAAGAUAAACAAGAGUGGUUUGACAAUUCUUCUGAGAUCCUCUUUGGGUGCCAUAAUCCAGUGUAGCCCAGCAGCAGCAAGUAUCACUGCACUAUUAUGACUCCAUAACAAAGGUGAAGUACACUGAAGCAGGAUCUUUACAUCAUCAUUUUUGGCAGAUGUAAACUUUGGUAAUCCCGAUUGGAAUGCGCCCUUGUCUUCAAAAUUCAUUUGUGAAAGAUAUUUUUCUGGUCCUUCAAGGUAGCUCUUAGAAGCCAUCUGUAAUAAUUGAGACUGAUAUGCCCCAAUGCUAACAACAUUAGUCUCUUCCUUAACCGCAAAGUCUCUAUCUGGACCAUCAAUUUCAGAAUCAAGGUAUUCGGAAUAAGGAGAUGCCAUAAUGGAUUCUCUUACAAGCCCUUGCCUAGCAAUCACAUAGCGUAAAAGAAUCUCAAUUAAGACAAUCUGGCCCCACUCCUCGACAUCAGGAAGUGUCUCGCAUAACUUUUUAUAGUGUCUACCAAUUAAAUUCAGAUUGUUCGGACAUACAGAAGCAAAUGCUGCUGCAGCAGCUCCAACUACAGAAGGAGAGUUGUCAUUCAGCAAGAUUCCAACUAUCUGCAUAACAUGAAAAUACACUGUACUGUAUUAAUGACUGCUGCAUGGUACUUGAUAAGUACAAAACUAAUAUGCAUAUGGACAUACACCCAAAGGAGCCUUCCAUUAAGACUCUUAUUAAGACACAUGCUCAGUGAGAUGUACUCGUAUACUACGCAAGUAAGAGACAAGAUACAAAAGUUAGUCAUUCAAAAUUCAACAAUAUAUCUGAAAGGAAAUUCUGUAUUCUAAUUCAUAGACCAUUUUUAGCUACUAUUGCUGAUGAAUAAUUUGAAACUUCCAAUAUUUCCUGGAGUCAUUUUUCCGGUCUAAAAUUCAUGACUAAAUUAACAUGAAGUGACAAAGACUUGCAGACUACCUCAUCUCAAGCUCUUAACAUGGCAGACAUAUGCAAACUCCAAUACAUAAAUUUGCACUAUGCAUGCCUGACAUGAGAUUUGGACCUUGCAGGAUAACCACUACAUGCGAGUAGAAAGACCUAUUCAAGUGAGCAUGGCCAGCAAGCCUGCCAGUUAAUGGAUACAGAAUAAUACCAGUAGCGUCAUUGUUUUGGAAAAUUUCAAUUGUUUAGAUAAUUAAAAUAUAGAUUGUCAAACUAAUAAUAUAAUUAUCCACCUCGGGGGUGGUACGGUGAUGUCAGAUGAUCUAAAAGUAAAAUGACUAAAAGGAGGUAAUUACCCUCCGAGCCUCAAUUACAAAACACGGUCGAUAUAAUUAAUUAGUUACCUGUGGAUUAUAGAAACUUACACCUUAUCUAUGGGCUGAGAGCGAACCUGAUGUUGCAAAUAUAUACAAGUGUCACUUAGAAAGGUGUUACGUCGUUCAAAUAUUCAUUUCCGGCUUAAUCUCAUUAACUUCUUAAGAAGAAUAUGUAAUAAGCAUCUUAGCGCUUCUGAUUUUGAUUUAAUAAGCAUCUUAGCGCUUCCAAUUUUGAUUUAAAUUCACCCCUGAUUUAGGUGAACAAGCAACACAAGUAUAAUAGUAACAGGUAACUAGGCAAGCAUCAAACUGCAUACAAAAUUCAGCUCAUUUCCUUUAUAUAUUUUAUUUUCACUUAAAUCAAACCAGCAAACGAAAGACAUGUAUGAAAAUACUUCACCCACCUCCUCAAUUCCCCCAGUGUUCUCCUCCAAGCGCAAAUCAUGCAGCUUGGGAAGAGCAUUGGCAGCACAUUUUCUAACAUAUACUGAUGGGUCUCUUGCACAUUUCGCCACUG
rnacentral:lncRNA from 1 species